CUAACUGCUUGUAUAUAUUUAAAAGAACACUUCUACAGGCUUUGGAAAACUAUCAUCCACAUUGAGUAAUUUGGAGAUCCUUGACUUAAGUUUCAAUUACUUGAAUGAUAGCAUUUUGUUAUCUUUGAGUGAGCUUUCCUCUCUCCGGUAUUUAGACCUAUCAUACAACCAAUUUGAAGGAUCAAGUCAUCCAAGAGGUAAAUUAAAUUUGGUCUGGUGUAAGUUUUUAUUUGUAUAGUAGAGUUUGAGGAUGGUCUUCUAGGCUUGGUACCUAGUUUUCCAUUCUUUUUAUCCGUUGUAAUUCCACUUUUGCUUUAGUAAAAUUUUCAUAUAGCUAAGAAAGAAAAAAACAAUUAACAAGUAAUUAUGUAUAUAUAUCAGGUUUUCAAUUGCUUUCAAGACUCAAUAACUUGGAAACUCUUGAUUUAAGUUGGAAUUCUUUGAAGAAUAGCAUUUUGUUCCAUAUGAGAAAUCUUUCAUCCUUGAAGACUUUAAGAUUGAGACGUAAUCAGUUGAAAGGAAGGCUGGAUCAUAUUCAAGGUAGACUGAUUUUACCUGUUUCUUUUCAACUUUAAAAAUCAAUAUGUAUAUUCAAGUUUGAUUUCAUCAUACGAUCAAUAUAUAACUAAUCAAUACUUGGGAUUGAAUUUUAGGGUUGAAUAAUUUGACAAACUUGAAAUACUUGGAUUUAAGUGACAACAGCAUUGAAAGCAUCUCAAACCAAGGUAUAAGUACAGUAUUUAUAUGUCAAUUCAUAUUAAAGGUAGACUGGUUUUAUAUGUUUCUUUUUUACUUUAAAACCAAUUUUUGUUUAAGGGACAGUUAAUGUUGCAAUAUUUCAAAAUAGAGUAAAUUAAGUAGGAAGGUAUCUCAAACAAAGUAUUUAUAUGUUGAAUCAAUUAAGUUUUACUUGUAAAAUGUAGCUUAUCAAUUCAUGGGAAAGCUUGUAAAUUGGCUCUUCCUUCUCAAACAAACAUUUUUCCUAGCUAUUUAUAUAUUGAAUGAUAUUAACUAUACUAAUUAUUUUCUUCCAAUGAUAGAUGGAACACAAUGGAGGCUAACAAACUUAGAGGAACUUGAUUUAAGUAAUAAUCUCUUUCGGAACAACACAAUUUCCUUUCCUCAGGGGCUUUCAAGCCUAAAGUACAACAACAGUUUGCAAGGCUCAUUAGAUACUAAAGGUACUAAAGCUAUAACUUUGUUUUUCUUGAUAAUUCUUUCUAGAACCUUUUAAAAUUAAUUGUUUCAAAUUUGAGCAUUCAGAUUUCACGUUUGAGGUUUUUCAUCUUCACUUCAAGUUUUAGAUAUACUUUUUUUUUAUUUCAUUAAAAUAUUAAGUAGAAAUUAAAAUUAUUAACAUAAUGAUUUUUUGAAUUGGACAUGGAUAUGUAUAGGAUUGAGAAAUUUAACAAAUUUGAAGAAACUCGAUUUACGUUGGAAUCAAAUUGAAAGCUUUCAAUCCUUUAAAGGUAUGCAUUUAUAUUUAACCAAUUACCUAAAUUCUUACAUAUAAUUAAAUUUUAUGCCAAUUCAUUUUAGUGAUGAAAUUAUAUAAAUCUUUUGUAGAUGGUGGUUCAAAAUUGGAGUUGACCCACUUGGAAGAGCUUAAUUUAGAUGCAAAUCUCUUCAAUACUAGUGUAUUUGCAUCCCUUAACAAGCUUUCAAAUUUGAAAUCUUUGAGCAUAAAGUUACAAUGAAUUGAAAGGAUCAAUAGAUACGAAAGGUAAAAAUAUUAGUUUUUUAACAAGAAUAUAAUAAUGUUUUAAGAGAAUAUAAUGAAGUUGAUUUGUUAAUUUUGUUUUCCUAGAUUUGGAUGCAUUUAUCAAGUUAAGGGAACUAUAUUUGAGCGACUAAUGAAUUGAAAGAUUUGGUGAUCCACCAAGGUAUCAUUUAAUUAAACUUCUUUUUUUUUCUAAUUUAGAAAUUUAGUUUUUAUCUCAGAUAUUAUAAUAACGGUUAUUGUCAUAAAUAUUAAUAAAGUUAUAUCAUAUCAUACUUGAAAGUAAAAUAUGAGUUUGGUGAAACAUUUUCUAAAUCCUCCAUUAUAAUGUGUUUCAACUUUAGUUUGAAAUUAAAAUUCUUUAAAAUUUUCUUAAUUUUAAAAUAUUAAUGUUUAUAAUUAUUUUGUUUGUAAAAAUAUAUUUUUUAAAAUAAUUUUUUUAAUUUUUAUGAGAUAAAAAAUAAUUAUAACAAUAAAAACAAUGAUAUUACAAAUAAAUAAAAACAUAUAUUUAUGAGAAAAUAUGUAAUAUAACUAUAUUUUAAUUUCAUAUUUUUUUAAUAGUAUAAAACAUAAAAAUACAUAUUAGAGUUACAUAAAUCACAUUUUUUUUGCCAAAAAUAAAUAAAUAUGAAUUUUGAAUAAUUUAAAAAAAUCUUCAAUUUUAUGAAAUUUAAACAUACAUUUAGAGGUGCUUAAACUUCCAUCGCAAACUUUUUAUAAAUUUCAAAAUGCACAUGAUAUUAACAUAUGUCUACAUACUCUUUAUAAAUUUGUAAUUUAAUUCUUAUACUUUUAUUUUUAGGAAUUUAGUCCCUCUAUUUUAAAAAAAAAAUUCAAAAUCCAAGUUCAAUAGUUAAAAUUGUUAAUUUUUUUUAAAAAUAAUUAGUUGGUGUGACAUUUUGAAAUAAAAAAACUUUGGUAGCAAUGUAACUAAAAAAUGACAUAAUGAAAAUGGAUUUAAUAAAACAAUUUUAACAGUAUUAAUAAUUAGACUUGAAUUUUGAAAUUGAGUAAAAUAAAUGGCAUAAAACAUAAAAAUACACGUUAGAGUUAAUUAAAUGGCAUUUUUUGGCCAAAAAUAAAUAAAUGUCAAUUUUGAAUAAUUUAAAAAAAACUUCAAUUUUAUGAAAUUUAAACAUACAUUUUGAGGUGCUUAAAAAUUUUUUUCCAAACUUUUUAUAAAUUUCAAAAUGCACAUGUUAUUAACUUUUUGGUUUAAAAAAUGUGAUAGGUCUACGUACUCUUUACGAAUUUGUAAUUUAAUUCUUGUAUUUCUAUUUUCGUCAAUUUCCCUCUAUUUUUUAAAAUUUAAAAUCCAAGUUCAAUUGUUAACAUUGUUAUUUUUUUAAAUUAAUUUAUUGGUGUUGACAUUUUGAAAUAAAAAAACCUUGGUAGCAAUGUAACUAAAAGAUGACGUAAUGAACAUGGAUUUAAUAAAAUAAUUUCAAUAGUAUUAAUAGUUAGACCUGAAUUUUGAAAAUUUAUUUUUGUAAAGAGAAAAAUAUGCACAUUAGAUUUAAAUAAAAAUAAUAUUUUUUUAGUUUAAAAUUUUCUAUUUUAUAAUAGAACCAUGAUUUAAAUAAAUGAAAUUUUGAAGAGUUGCCAAAAAAAACUAUGUAGGUGAAAUUUAAAUAGAGAAUUUGAGAAGCUGAAAGUCUCUUUCGGAAUUUAUAAAUUUUAAAAUUCAAAAGGAUGUAUUUUGACAAUUUUAGGGCAAUGAUUUAGUGCUUUAAAAUUUUGAUUUAAUAUGGAGAAUUUAAUUAAAAAUUUAUUUAUUAGAUUGUAAAAUAUUUCUUAACAUUUAUAAUUGAGUACAAAGUAAAUUAAGUUUAAGGGAAAAUAUUAGGUACUAUUAAUGAAACUCUUUUCUUUUAUCAAAUUUUUUUUAAAAAAAUCUGGUUUUUAAAAAAAAUCGGGGUGGUACUAUUAAUGAAAUUCUAAACUUGAUAAGUAGGAUUGAGAUAAUAACAAAUAUAUUAUAUGGUAUAAUAAAAUAUUAAAAAAAGAAAUAUUUAAAAGAAAUAGGUUACUGGCCAUUUUUUAACUUCACUUGUAGAGUUAAAAAACUCCAUUACUAGUACCAAAUACUAAUAUUAAGGAAUUAAAUGCUAAAUUAAUUUCAAACAUAUUUAAAUCUGAUAUGAAUCAAGAAAAAAUUUAUUUUGAAAUUAUAUUUUAUCUUAGAAUGCUAAAAAAGGAUUAGUUUAAUUAAUAAAAUGAAUAAAUAGUUAUGUUAAGAUUUGGACAUUCUCUAUUAAAAUUUUAUUUUAUUGAUGAAAACAAAUAUUUAUAUAUUUCUUUCACUUACAGAAAAUAAGGGAUUGAGAAAUUUGAAAGUUUUGUUUCUUUAUCACGCUUUCACCGAUGGAAGCAUUCCAUUACAAAAUUUAGUGGAGUCUUUCUCAUCAGUUAAAGCCUUUCAUCUACAAUACAAUUAUCUGAACAUGACUCUGGCUACUCAAGGUAAGUGAAAGUCAUUAUGUUCUUUUCCAAAACAGCUUACGUUUAUUAACAUCUAAUACCUCUUCCCAUCCUAUAGAAUUAAAUGUGUCGAGCAAUGUGGAGGAAUUAUAUUUUGACGGAUCUACUCUCAACACCAACAUUUUGCAAAGCAUUGGAGUAUUCGCUUCUCUUAAAACAUUGUCUUUACAUGAUUGUGGACUUAUCGGUCCCUUACCUAAUCAUGGUAAAUAAAUUUAUGGGUCAAAUUGACUUCUUUAUGAGCCUUCUGGGAUAUAAUAUCUCCUAUUCUGUUUAAUAGAUCAAAUUUAAUUAAAAUUUCUUCAAUGAAUUUAUAAAUUUUUCAGGAUGGUGUGAUCUAAGGAACCUUGAAGUGUUGGAUGUGAGUGGGAAUGCACUUGAGGGGAUGCUUCCUCAUUGUUUCAGUAACUUGACAUCUCUUCGUGAGUUACAUAUUUCAGCAAACCGUUUUCAAAUUCCACUAUCAUUCGCACCAUUUGCAAACCUUUCAAACCUCAAAGUCCUUUCCGGUGAUGAAAACAAGAUGGUAAUGGAACCUUCCUUUUAUACCUCAGUCCCAAAGUUUCAAUUGACCAGCAUCAGUUUGUCAAAGUGCAUUACAUCUCAACAACUCAAUCUUGAACUUCCUACCUUCCUUUACUACCAAUAUGACUUGAGAUAUGUGGAUCUUUCUCAUAACAAUUUCAGCGGAACAGUCCCAACUUGGUUGUUAGAAAACAACACAAAGUUAGAAGUUCUCAUCUUGAUGGGUAAUUCCUUUACUGGUCCUCUCUCAUUUUCGUCAGCUCUUAUUUCUAAUGUAUCUUCAAUUGACAUAUCUGAAAACAAAUUACAAGGUCAAAUUCCGACUAGUAUAUGUUCAACUUUUCCACAUUUGUGGCGGUUAUUCUUAUCCAAGAAUGCUUUUGAAGGUAAUAUCCCACUUUGUUUAAGUGUCAUGAAGGACUUAUCAUUUUUAGAUCUAUCAAACAAUCAAUUGUAUGGAAAAGUACCAGAAGAGUUGAUCGCGAAAGGCUCACUGACCAUUUUGAGACUAUCAAAUAACAAGCUCAGUGGAAAUGUAGUUCCUGUGGUUCUCAACUCAAAUGGGGUGCAGAAUUUAUAUUUGGAUGGAAACAAUUUUUCAGGAGAGAUGACAAAUGUUGAUUUGUCUACUUUUGAGUUUCCAAAUUCAAUAAGGGAAAUUGAUCUUAGUAACAACAAGUUGCAUGGAAAGCUCCCAAGAUGGAUAGGGAAUGCAUCGUUUUUGGAGAGAUUAGCUUUGUCCAACAGCGGUUUCGAGGGUUCUAUUCCAAUGGAAUUUUGCAAGUUGAAUAGGUUGGAAUUUUUGGAUCUUUCCCAAAAUCAUUUAUCUGGAUCUAUACCGUCAUGUUUUAAUCCACCAAACAUAGAGCAUGUCCACCUCCACGAGAAUAGACUGAGAGGUCCACUAUCACUUGCUUUUUAUAAUAGCUCCUCUCUAGUGACUUUAGAUCUUAGAGGAAACAAUUUGACAGGUAAUAUUCCAAAAUGGAUUGACACAUUUUCUUCUUUGAGUGUUCUUCUCUUGAAAGAUAAUCAUUUUCACGGUAAAGUUCCAAUUCAGUUAUGCAAGUUGCAUUCUUUAAGCAUCAUAGAUCUUUCUCAAAAUAUGUUUUCUGGUCCUAUACCUUCUUGUUUGGGAAAUUUAUCUCUUCCAAUGCAAACGAAGAAGAUUCUAGACAUUGGGAUCUAUAGGCAAUCUACAGAAGAGGAUGAAUCAACACGCAUUAUGAUAGCAAAUCUGGGACUGGAUUCUUACUACCCUUACAGCUACUUUGAAGAAGUAAUAGAGUUCACAACAAAGAGUGGGUUCUAUUCGUACAAGGGCGACAUCCUUUCAUAUAUGACUGGGAUUGAUUUAUCUUGCAACAACUUAACUGGUCAUAUCCCACCAGAAUUAGGGAACUUGAGUGAAAUCCAUUCUUUAAACCUUUCACACAAUAAGUUGACCGGAGUUAUACCCUCGUCAUUCUCAAAACUUCAUCAAAUUGAGAGUUUGGACCUUUCUUACAACAACUUGAGUGGUGAAAUCCCCAAUCAAUUGGUAGAGUUGAACUCUUUGGAGGUUUUCAGCGUGGCAUUUAACAACUUUUCAGGUAGUAUUCCCGAACCAAAAGCUCAAUUUGGGACCUUUAUUGAAAAUAGUUAUGAGGGAAAUCCGUUUCUUUGUGGAGUUAUAUUGCAUAAAAGUUGUUCCAAAACCGAUUCACCAUCAACGAUAUCAACUGUAUCAGAAGAUAAAUGAGAAGAUGGUUUGAUAGAUACUUAUGAUUUUUGUGUGAGCUUUUUGGUUUCUUAUGUAGUUGUGUUGUUGACAAUUUUUGUUGUCCUCUACAUAAAUCCAUAUUGGCGAAGAGCUUGGUUUUCUCUAGUUGGGAAAUGCAUUACCACCUGUCACUACUCAAAUGUGGGCAAUUCUUACUUAUCACAUUUUCAAGCGAUGUGUUUAGCUACUCAAAUUGCGAUUUGAUUUCCACACCUAAAUGUUUAAUUAUGCUAAGUUGAGCGAUAAUGAAUAUUUUGUUGAUUUUUGCAUUUUGAAUAAAAGCUCUUUUACCUUAUGGUUUUAUCAUUUUCAACCAACUAUUUCUUUUUUCUUCUAUGAAAUUUAAUGUAAAAUCAUAAUCCAUUAUUAUGUAUAUGUAAUAUCUCUUUAAAUUAAAUUAAAUUAAAUUAACUGCCAAGCGUUCACUAGUGCAUACUAAAAAGGAAAUCUAAUGUAAAAUUAAAUAACAUACUAGAAAAUUGAAUCUAAAACUGGAAUAUUUUAAAACCUCACAAAUAAUGCAAUUCUUUAUUCCUCUUUUCCUCUCAAGUUAUUUUGUAUCAUGUUAUAUUUUACAUAAUUAUUCGUAUCAUUGAAUUUUAAAAAAAAUUUAAUAUUUUGAUAUCAUGUUCAUAUUAUGCUUUAAUUCACAAUAUAUUUUGUAUAAUAUGUUAUAACAAUUCAAUUUAAAAAACAAGCAAUUAUCUUAUUUUUGCAUACCGUAAUAUACAUUUACAUGUUAAUAAUUCUUUGUACAUAAAUUUUGACAUGUUCGUAUAUUCGAGUCAUUAUAAUUUUAUUAUUUGUAAUAUGACAUGUUUUACUUACCCUUAAUAUUGUGUCAUGAUAAUUAUAACUCGAUUGGCAGUGUACCAAAUAUUUUUCUAAUAAAAAAUAGUAUUUUAUUCUAUUUACCAAAUCUUUAUCAACUUUAUAUUCUCACCAACAAAACAUACAUUCAAAGUUCAAAUAAGUUCCACACCCAUUUAUGCUCAUCAUCAGAAAGCUGAAAUAUUCCACUCUAAUUAACAUUAUGAUUCUGUAAACAACAAAAAAGUGUGAUCUUUUUUUAAAGCUCUUUUUUUUCUUUAAUGAAAUGGGAUUGGUAAAAAAUCCGCACAUGUGUCGUGUGUGAAGAAGGUCAGGUUGUCUAUUCAUUCUCUAAUAAGUAGCUAAUUAUAGUUGAUCCUACAAAAUCAAAAUUAAUUCAGGUAUCUAUAUAUUCUGAAGACUGGACAGACCUUAGAAGCUCCUUCAAAUUUGCAAGAACAUGUCGUGGUCCUAAACUCUUUACACCGAUGAAAUUCAAAAGUUGCUCUAUAUCCUGCAAUCACAGUAAAGAUUAUGCAAGCUUUUCAGAACGAAUAACAUAACAAGCAAAAGGCAAUCAAAAUACUGUGAUCUCGAUAAUGUUCUUUGCCGAAAAGGAACAUAAACAUAACCUGAAAACAUCAGUGAAGGCUCAUCAGAUUUGCUUAGCAACCUUACAUACACAUGUAAAAAGCUUUGCUUUUGGAUGUAAGGUGUGACUAUCAUCACAGUCUUUCCUAAUUAGCUGAUAACCCUAUAUCUAACAUUAAUCAUGGCUAAGCAAAUUAACAUACAUAAUGUAAAGGAAUUUGACUAUAAGAUCCAACAUAAAACUUAAUAAAAGAUAAUCAACAUAGAAAGUUAAAAGGCAAUGCAAACUUAUUACAAUGAUGCAAGUGGAUCAAAAGAAAGCACUCUAUAAGGAAUUUGCAUUUAAGGCAUUGUAAACAGAAAAAAAAAAUAAAACUUUUUGGAAAGUAUUUUCAAAGAGGAGACAAACAGGGUAGAAAAAAUGUUUGGUCCUUCCUUUUUCUAUUUCUACUGUGGUGAAAAAGCCUUUUUGGGUUAAAAGUGUUUUUACACUGCAGAAGUGUUUUUCCACUGCAGAAGUGACGAAGAACACAUAGCUUUUGUAGUCAAAAACCUACUGCUUUUGGCUUUUGCAUUUCGAAGUGAAAAUUAUAAAAAUACUCUUAGAUUAAUUUAUAUUUUAUAUAUUAUUAUAUUAAUUGUUUAAAUCUUAUUUAUUAUUAUAUUUAAUUUUUUUCAAAAUAUUUUAUAUAUCAUCAAUUUUAUAAAUAAUUUAAAUUAAUUACUUAAAAGGUAUUUAAAAGUUAUAUUUCAUGUAUCAUUAUAUUAAAUUAUUUAAAUAUCAUAUAACUUGACUAAUUUUUUUCUUUCUACCAUCAUGUCUAAAAAAGACAUUUUAACUUUCAACUGCAAUUUUUGGCAGCAAUGAACAACACUAAAAACUAACAAACACACUUUUCCGCACCACAUUUCAACAACACUUUUUUCUAAACGCACUUUUGAACUAGUCCUUAGUCUAUCAUGCAUCAACUCUUCAUUUUUCUUUAACUACCCAUGUCCGACUUCGAACAUGGAUAUGGAGAUAUGACCAAGUCACAGUGACAUAGUUUUUAGUUAUGGGGAAUGGGAUUCGAGUGCUGGACCUCCUUUUAGAUGCAUGGUGGGACUUCAUCACAUUUUUCAAAUUUGUUGAUAAUCCUUCACCUAAUCUGCCGGUGAAGUUUAUAGAUAGUCUUAAGUGUCUAUCACAAGAACCUAGAUAUUGUAAAUCCAAUAUCUUCCAAACAAUUCAACCAUGAUAUUAAUGAUGAUGGAAGCAAGAUUAUCCACUAUCAAUGACAUAAAAUGAGCUGUAAAUGCUGACGAACAAACAUGCACUGUUUUUCCAACCUGUGGAUUGAAGAGCAUUGACAAGCUAACUUUGCAGACCAUUUGAAUCCAAUACUAUACAUAAAAAUGCCAAAGGAGAAUAAUUCAUCUUGGAAAAAGAAUUACUAAUAUGCAAAAGCUUACCUUGUUUAACAAGAAAACAGCAUAUGCUGCUCUUGUCGUGUCUUGACCUUCUAAAAACAGCGGAAAUUCUGCCAGCUUUACAUUUGCUGAAAGUGUUGUAUCCAAUGACAAAUCAGAAGAUGCAGGGUCUAUUGAAGACGCAUGGUCAUUAAUAUAUGAGCGAGAACCACCCAAGCGCAGAGGAUAACGCAAGGGAACUUGUAAAUAGGAUGCAAUUAGUGAAACAGCCUGCAAAUGAUGAAAUAACAGGAAACAAGAAACAAUAAUAGGUAUGAUUAAAAUUAUAGCCUCAGCAUGAGAAACAAACAAUCAAGAUGCAACCCACUAUACCAUAUUACCAUCCUAGCAAUUAAAAAUUACUACAGCAUCUUCAAGCAACAAGGGAUUGUAGGUGGUAGGUCAAAAAACUUGAUAUCCACAGCUUGAUAUUAUCAGAAAAAACAAAUUCAGUAAUAAAUGAUAACUUCACAGAAGAAAUAGAACGCACAUGUGCAACAUAUCCCAAGGCAGUUGCAGAUCUCUGAACCUCCUUUUUGUCAGUGAAAAAACUCAUCUUUGUAAAAGGAAGCAAGGUGAGAUUCAGACCUAAAAUUGUCAACGAUCCUUGAUUGACGGGCUUUGAUGCAGAAGGAUUCCCUAUUGAAGACAGGAACAAAGGAACUUCAUAUCAGUACAUCACCAGACACCACCUCUUUGUGAAAGUCAAAAGAAAAUUCAAAAAAAUAUCAUCAUGAAAGUAAGAGAUAUGUAAAAAGCUCAUAAUAUUCAAGAGCAAAAAAAAAUUGUUUUGAUAUGAGGAGAAUUGAAUAGUAGAUUGCUAAAAGAGGAAUAACUGAAUACAACCAUUAUAACCAAAAGAAGAGUCAAGUGAUAGGUAAUGGUACUCCCUAAGCUGUUUAGGAAUCAUAAAAGACUUGUCCAGUCGACAAAAAUAACUCAUUUUAUUCUCCCCUAGUAAAACAUCAUAUUGGACCAACCAUAUUUGAUAUCAAAGGAUAUGCAUAUCCAGGCAUGCCAUUUAUAGAUAUUCCCAGUGUUACAAGAAGGAAUUGUUCAAGAGAAAGAAGCUGCUAUUGUUGGUAAAGUUUUCCUCAAACCAUUUUGAACAUCCAAAAUCUCAAGAACAAAAAAGAAAACGUAGGAGGAAAUAUAACAAGCAUCACAACGGGUUCUCGAUGAUAUAAGUGAGAGGAUAAAUGUUAAUUAAGAUUAUAAAAAUAAACCACAAACUAAACAGGAAAGACAUGGAUUUCAAAACGAGGAGACUGGCUGCUAAUUAAAACCAUAUGCGGCGUUGUCUAGGGCGCAAGGCACAUUCUAGGUGCUAACCUUUAUAUUGCCUCAAGCACAAGGCACAAAAGGAAGCGCUAGCCUGAGUGCAGUAAAGCGCAAUACGUAUAUGUGAGAGUUUUUGCAAGUCUGUGUGUCUAUAACAUAAAAGUUUUAAGAUAUAUGGUAAACUCUAAAGUGUGGUCUGGUUUAUCCACAAAACUUGCAAAAUUUUUAUAGGUGAAUACUUAAAUAUUGAGAAUUAUAGAGUUUGAUAUUAUCCCUUUCUUAUUAGUAAAGGUGUAUCAAAUGAAAACAGUAGAAAAUAAAAUAAAAUAUUGAGAAAUUCAACAAGGCAGGCUUUUUCUAAUGCCCAUUGCCUUACAAAAAAAGUGUGCCUAGGUGCACCAGGCAUACGCUUGAUCAAAUGGACCUCACCUGGAAGGGUCCAAGGCGUUUUGUUGUAUAAAACUAAGGCGUAGGCACGCCUAGGCGCAUGCCUUGACAACACUGACCAUAUGUUGGCUUUAUUGCAAAGCAUUAGCAAUCCAAAACUACUAGCACAUUACCUAAUCUACUACUGCUAGAAUAGGACUCAAGUUCUUGCUCCUGUGCAGGUCCAACCAAGAUCUUUACAGGAUACAAUAAUGAAACUUGUGAUAUCAUAUAUUGUUGCCUUGCUCGAAGCUUCCUUUGCACAUUUUUAAGUUUAACACAACCCCUUUCUUCAGUGAGUAAUCUAUUUGCUUCCUGUGAUAAAAACAACAUAUAAUCAAUCAUGCCACGCAUGCAAGACUACCAACCAACUAUCUAAUAAAAGAGACAAAGAAGUAGGAGAGCAAGAAGGGGAUAACCCUUGACUAUGCAAAGGAAUUCAUAGAAUGAGAAUCAUCUCAUCUAAGCCCCUCAACCACCUUCACAGGGGGUGGAGGUGCAAAGAGAGAGGUCUUAUUGAUCCGAGAGGAGAAUAUAUAACAUCUAAAGCUGAAUAAGAAGAAACCUUCAAAUAUAUCAUAAAUUCAGAAUUCAUGAUAAUAUAAAAAUGAAAUUCCAAAGCUAAUUUAAGCUAGAAUAAAAAUGCUUCACCUGUAAUCGCUUCCUUGCUACAGAAAGAGAGGUACCAGCAACCAACAAUGAUCUUACUUCAGUACUCAGCAUUUCCUCCUGUUUUUUAGCAUCCUCUGUUGCAACUUUGCAACGAGUUGACAUGUUUGCCAUAACUACUUUCCUUGCCUCUAGUCUCUCACGCAUUUCCUCAAGCUCGUUCAGUUUAUUCAAAGACUCAUUUUUUACCUGCACAGCAUGUUCCCACCCAUUAAUCAGUGGGCCAAUUAAUUAGGUCACAGAAGACAAAACUAAAUUAUCACUCACCAGGUCCCCUUGAAGUGUCAUAUGGCUUUAACAAUUCAACGUGCAAUAUCUAGUAAAAGUGAAAUAAACAUAGAAGAAUGCAAAUGCAAUUCUUAAACGCCUUUAAAUGGACAACAUGAAACAGUUUAAGAGCCCUAUAAAACAGAAAAGUGGAAAAAAAAUCUGAAAAGGAAAAAAAAUGAAUUGAAACAAUAAAUCCAUCUGGUACAAACAGCAACAAAUCUCGAAAUAAGCCUUGGCUUUAGCCCAUUAAAGCCCGGGCAUCCGGCCGAAUAAACAGUGACUGCCAUGUCAACUUUUUGAGACGGUAGAAAAGAGCUCAAAAAUCUCAAUUUCCAAAAUUAAGGACAUAAGAAGGAAAACAAUGUACUUAUUCUUACAGUAGAAGAGCAAAAUGAAACUAAAUGAAGGAUAAGGGAACUGAUGCGAAUUGACAUUGUUAUUUUUGGGACUAAAAAGAAUACGCAGAUUGAAUAUUUAAGAUUUUGUAAGGGAAAAGUUCCAUUCACCAACACAAUUAUCAUCGCCCUUUAUCCCAGUAAAGCUUAAUUGACAAUUUUUCUGUCUCGUGUUCUUGCUAAAGCAUUUGAGCAACCCAACAGAAAUCAUUAUAUGUCAAACUGAAAUGAUUGGCUUUAUCAAUUUCACAACCUAUACUGCCCAACCUAGUAAGUAAUUUAGGUGCAGACACCAGAAAUCUAUUUUCUUUGCACUCUACAACCAAAUAGCCUACCACUUAUCAAUCAAACACAGCUGAAAACUUCAGUGAGGAAACAUUAUGUAAACUGAAAAAACUAUAACUUCAACUUGAUUCAUAGCUCGGUAAGUUCAGGGAACUUGGACUUCUACCACCAUGAUCCAGUUCGAUGUGAAACAGUGAUCCAUAUCACGCAUAUCAGUUCCCGCAACAAGAGGUAAAACAGCAAAUUAGGUAAACAAUGAUCCAACUAUAUUUCAGAAUAGCAACAUUGAGCAUGAAAGCUAAAAUUAUAGCAUAUUAUGGGUCCUUGCUCCCUACAACUACAUAUAAAAUUACUAAACAAUAUUACUACAUUAAGGAUCCAGAAAAACUUGGUUUCAAUUGUUGAUCACUUGAUCCAACUAUUUUAGAAAGUUUAUUCUUCUUUUUCCUUUCCCUUAUUUUCUAAAUCAGGAAAAACAGUAGCAUAUAAACUGGAUUACUACUCCAAUUAAGUUUCUAAAAUUUCAGCAAUAUCCCUUUAACCUUUUCACUCAAGUCACUACCCCCCCCCCCCAAUUAACAAAUAUAUUCCCAGUUUCCCUUUCACUUCAAACCCCCCCCCUUUUUUUUUUCUCUACCCAAAUUCAGCUUACGUUCAAAAACCCAAAAUUGGUUUGCUAAAAAAACAUAAUUUUCAAACCCAAAGGUAACCUAAUUUUAAUCAGAAAAAAAAAAGAAGCAUUACCUGAAUUAGUGAAUGGAGUUUCUCUUGAAGACUUUAUUUUAAAAUUAUCUUAUACUAUUUGCUUUAAAUCGAUUUUUAUUAGUUAUUUGAAACUCGUUUUCAUGUACUAUUUAUUUUUUUAUCACUUAUUUAAAUUGUUUUACAUAUCUAUUUUUUAAACCCUAUUUUAUUAUAUUUUACUUAUUUUAACUUUUUUACAUAUUUCAUUAUAAAUAUUAUUAAUUAUCUAUAUUGAGUUUUUCAUUUAUGUAUUACUUAUUUAGAUAAAUAUAUACUAUUUUGUGUAUUACUUAUUUUGAUUUUCUUCUUAUACAAUAUUACUUUAAAAUUCAUUUAGAUAUUAUUAUUUCACAUAGUAUUUAUUUUUAUCUUCAUUUUUGAUCUAUUUCAAACUCAUAUAUAUUGUUUAUUUUGAAAUUUUAUGCACAUGAUUUAUUGUUUAUAUUGAUGAUUUUAAAUUUCCUUUCUUGUAUUUUUAUUUAUUUAUUUUAAAACUUGUUAUACUUUAUUUGUGUUAAUUUGCUUAGUUUUUCUUUCAAAAUUAACUUAUAAUUCAUUAGCUUUUAAUGUUAGUAUUUGCAUAAUAUGUGAUAUAAGAUUAUUGCUCUCAUGUAUUGCUUAUCUGUAUAUAUUGAUUAUUUGUCAUUCAUUAGUAUAUAUUUUGUUUUACGAAUUAUCACUUCUCGCGUUGUACAUUAUCAUUUCCAUCGCGUUUUAUUUGCUCAAAAAUUAUGUUUAAUAUGGCUUAAGUUUUGAAAUCAUUUUAUCCAAAAGCUUCCAAUAUAGCAUAACACUCGGUGUUUGGGAUUUUUGAAAAGAUCGUACUCUAACUUACGAGGUCUCGAUUUUUUGAUAAUUUCAAAUAUACGAACCUUUUUAAAAAAAAAAACAAGACACAUUUACUUAAAAAUUAUCUCAAGAAUCAAAAAAAGAUCGUGUCCCAACUUACCGGAUAUGAUUUAUUAUCUGAAACCGAUAUGAUCAAGAUUUUUAAAAAUAAAUAAAUUUUGGUGUUUAUUCUCGUUUCGGGAUUUAAGAUAUUGUGUCCUAACUCACGGGAUAUAAUUUUUUUCUCGAUUAACGAGAAAUACACCCUUCUUUAAAUUUUAACAAAAUGGUCAUUUUUUUAAAUUUCUUUUCGAAAUUUUAAUUUUUCGACAUUAAGACAUUAAUUAAUCGAUUAGGUACUAAUUUUGGGCAUGACGGGGUGCUAAUCCUUCCUCGCAUGUAACUGACUCUCGAACCCGUUUUUCUUAAAUUCCAUUGACCAAAAUCAUUGUUUUAAUAAAAUCAAAAUGUUUUAUCAAAACGAUUGAAUUGCAAGGUGAUCCAAUCACACAUAAAAAAAAUGUCGGUAGCGACUCCCUUUUUUUCAUUUUCAAAAUAAAAGUCAACACUAUUUUUGUUUUCAAAAAGUGGUUUCGACAAAAUUGUUUAAAUCUUACUUAUUAUUAUAUUUAAUUGUUUUUCAAAAUAUUUUAUAUAUCAUCAAUUUUACAAAUAAUUUAUAUUAAUUACUUAAAAGGUAUUUAAAAGUUAUAUUUCAUGUAUCAUUAUAUUAAAUUAUUUAAAUAUCAUAUAACUUGACUAAUUUUUUAAUUUCUACUAUCAUGUUUAAAAAGAACAUUUUAACUUUCAACUGCGAUUUUUAGUAGCAAUGAACAACACUAAAAACUAACAAACACACUUUUCAGCACCCCUUUUCAACAACACUUUUUUCUUAAAGUACUUUUGAACUAGUCCUUAGUCUAUCAUGCAUCGACUCUUCAUUUUUCUUUAACUACCCAUGUCCGACUUCAAACAUGGAUAUGGAGAUAUGACCAAGUCAGAGUGACAUAGUUUUUAGUUAUGGGGAAAAGGAUUCGAGUGUUGGACCUCCUUUUAGAUGCAUAGUGGGACUUUCAUCACAUUUUUCAAAUUUGUUGAUAAUCCUUCAUCUAAUCUGCCGGUGAAGUUUAUAGAUGGUCCUAAGUGUCUAUCACAAGAACCUAGAUAUUGUAAAUCCAAUAUCUUCCAAACAAUUCAACCAUGAUAUUAUUAAUAAUGAUGAAAGCAAGAUUAUCCACUAUCAAUGACAUAAAAUGAGCUGUAAAUGCUGACGAACAAACAUGCACUGUUUUUCCAACCUGUGGAUUGAAGAGCAUUGACAAGCUAACUUUGCAGACCAUUUGAAUCCAAUAAUAUACAUAAAAAUGCCAAAGGAGAAUAAUUCAUCUUGGAAAAAGAAUUACUAAUAUGCAAAAGCUUACCUUGUUUAACAAGAACACAGCAUAUACUGCUCUUGUCGUGUCUUGACCUUCUAAAAACAGCGGAAAUUCUGCCGGCUUUACAUUUGCUGAAACUGUUGUAUCCAAUGACAAAUCAGAAGAUGCAGGGUCUAUUGAAGCUGCAUGGUCAUUAAUAUAUGAGCGAGAACCACCCAAGCGCAGAAGAUAGCGCAAGGGAACUUGUAAAUAGGAUGCAAUUAGUGAAACAGCCUGCAAAUGAUGAAAUAGCAGGACAUUAGAAACAAUAAUAGGUAUGAUAAAAUUAUAGCCUAAGCAUGAGAAACAAACAAUCAAGAUGCAGCCCACUAUACCAUAUUACCAUCCUAGCAAUACCUGCAAAACUUUCAUCAAAACGGUAAUAACACUUUUGGACAAUGUGUCCUAUUUUACCACACAACUGGCAUUGGGGCCGAUUGUUUGAAAAACCACCCUCACGGCCUCAUCCUCGAUGGAAACCUCUAUUGCAUUGAAAACCACCUCUAUGUGCCUGUUUGUUCCCUUGAUAGCCACUGUUAUAAUCAUAACACUUGGUCCGAUCACCCUCAUCACAAUCUUGUUUACUAGCUAUGUUAGCUUGUUCGAGAACACUAUUCAAGAACUCAAGUUCUCGAGCUUCACAAUCAAGCAGCAUCUCAAUCAACAGACCAAGCGACACAGCAGUAGCUGAAGCUACUACCCGUACUGAUUCACACUCAACUGGCAACCUUGCAAGAAUGAUGCUAACCAUUUCUUGAUUUGAAAUCAAACAACUCGUUGCAACCAACAUAUCACACAUGGACUUGAUCUUAGACAAAUAUUCUUUAACAAACAGAUGACCCUUUUUCUGUGAAUACAACACAUGAUGCAUACUGGACAAUUUUACCGUCGACUUAGUCGCAAGCCUUUUUUUCAAUAGUUUCCCAAAUAUAAUAACUAGUACGAGCACUAGUAAGAUAGGCUAGAAUUUCAUCACUAUCAGUUGAAAGUAACCAAGAAGCCAAUAGCUUAUCUUGUUGCACAUGUAAAACAGAAUCAGAAUCUUCUACUAAUCUCCCAUAUUUAUCCACUACAAACUGUGCUAGUACACUAAUAGCACCCAAAACAAACUCAUGCAGACCGUAUCAUUCAAGGAUCAACAUAAUUUGGAGCUUCCAUAAAACAAAAUUAUACUCACCAAGCUUUAUUGUAUCGUGCUUAGGAAAUUGUUGAAGACAUCUACAACUGUUGAGGUGGGUUUUCUUUAAACAUACUCAUUCCAACAAAAAAAAAAUCUACGUUAGUAUGAUUAAUUAGAAAGUGAUUAAUUCAUUAUUUAGUUAGAAGUGAUGGCCUUAAGAAAAAAAAUGACAUUAUUUUAUUUGGCAUUGUUAAAAGUGUUAGUUACUGAAAUAAUUAAUGAGAUUAUAAAAGUGAAAGAAUCAAAUUAUGUCAAAAGUAAAGUAGAGGGUUUUAAUCCUAAAUUUGGGUAUAAUAAAGGGACUAACACCAAAUAAUUAUAAAAUUUUCAAAUAUUUUAAAAUUAAUUUUAAAUAUUAAUUAAAUACAAAUUAUAAAAAAAUAAAAUAAAAAUCCCCAGCGCAGUGAGGGACAUAUUCGAUAUCAAUAAUUAUAAAAUCUGUAGUUGUAAUAUUUAAUUGAUAUAAUAUAUAAAAUUUGAGGGUUAAAUUUGUUAUUAUACAAUUUUUUUAACUGCCGUGUCACUUUGCAAUUUUUUAUUUUAAGGAGUCAUCAAAAUAACUAAACUAUGUAAUGUGAGUGCUUAAAUUACAAAAUUUUUACUUUAAUGUGAGUGCUUAAAUUACAAAAUUUUUACUUUAAGUGUUUAAAUUUUUAAAAAAAAUUAUAAUUAAAUAACAAUCUAUAUGUAGUUUGCCCAAAAAUUUUAUAACCCAAACUACACAAUUUUAUGGCCAUCUCCCACUUUUGAUAUCUCUUUGGCCAUUAGUUAAGAUGGGAGGGGAAUGACUUAUUCAAGAUUAGUGUCAACAUUAGAUUUAAAACCUACGGAAGUCAUGUUUCAAUUUUUUUAUAUAAUAAUAUAACAUUUAAAAUUAUAUUAUAUCUAUAAAAGAACUCAUUGGAUUAGGGUUUUUUUUUUUAAUUAACUUUCCAUUUGUUAUUAGAAAACAAAACUAAAAAUGCAUCAAACAGGGCUCUGAUAAAAAAUUAAAAAAAAACCAAAAUGUUUAGGUUUGGUAUCGUUUUACUUUUACUUUAAAAUCAGUCUAAUCUGUAUCAUGCUCACACCAAACAUAUGAAGAAAAAAAAAAGUGAAAUAGUAAGGAUAUUAUUAAUUUCAUUCCAAGACAAAUUUUAGCAUACCCAAUUAGGUCCUUGGGUUAAUCUUAUGUUUUUUGUUUAGGCAUUCAGCAUUCUUGGCGUUUAGUUUAGUUAGAAUUUUAAAUUAUGAUAGAUCUGAAACUUUGGUAUUUUUGUGCAAAACUCAACCUCAAAGCUUUAUUUGUUGUCUAAAUUAUUUUAUUGAAGCCUAGGAAUUGUUGUUAUUGUUUCGGCUAAUUGACCUUAAAGCAUCAAAUGCCUUUUUUUGGAUGGUCAUAUUCCUUCCAAGGGCUGAAUUACUAAAAGCCCAUGAAGUAUCCUUCUUUUUCUUAAGUGAGCCUCUGUUUCAAUGCCGCCAAAAUUUUCUUUAUCCACAUGGAAGCUGACCUGCCAUGAUGAUGUGGUAAAAAAAUGAACAAUUUGUAUUUUUUGAAAAAUAUAACACUUAAGAACUUUCUUUCUUCUUGCCUCCCAAUUCUCACCACCAAUUCCUUAGCCCAAAUCAGUUUUGGCCUCCGACAUUGAUCAUAACAAAAGUAAACUUUCUAUUAGAAAUAAUUUCUUUUAUGUACAAAUUAAAGGGUAAGAUAUUGUUUGGGUACAAAAAAAGCAUAUGAGCUUACUUUAGAAAAGUGACAACGUUGGGCUCUUUUAGUAUUCUAUCCUCCCACCAACUUUGUCCAAUGUUUUUUGCCUUAUCACCAGACAGUAAAAGGGCCUUUGACCUUUUCAGGCUAAGCGCUGCCUGGUGCAUGUAGGGGGAAAAGGCCUUCUAAUUGAAGUUCUCUUUAAUAUCUCUUUAAUUGUUUCUUAAUUGUAACAAAGGGAUAAUAUCGAACUCUCUAUUUCUCAAUAUUUGAGUAUUCAACACCAGGCAUGGGAUCAUAUGGAAAUAUGCAUAUGGUUGACAAAAGAAAGAAAAUUUGGAAAUGUUUAUUUAAGUAGUAACUGCUGGUUUUCUUGGAUGCUUUCUUGUUAAUGACUACUGUUUGGGCAUGUUUAUUUAAGAAUUGCCCCCAAGUAGUUUCUUGAAUCAUCUAAAAUUGGAAAAAAUAGUCUUAUGGUAACUCAUUAAAGUAUUUGAAAGUAUGCACAAGCUAAUAACAUUUUAGAAAUUAAAAUUGAAGAUCGGUUUUUAGGGUAUCAUGUCCAUAUUAAGCAUCAUCUUUCCAGAUUACUGUUCUCUCUCUCUCUCCCUCUCUGUGUGAUAUAUUUCUCAAGUGAAAGGUAACCUUCUUCACUUGAUUUUGACUUAAUUUUGCAGUCACCACGAUUGUAUAAUGUGUACAAGCAAAUGGGAAUUGUAAAAUCUUUUCAGAAUAUUCUGGACAAUGUUUUCAUUCCACUAUUUGAAGUUACAGUUGAUCCGAAUUCUCAUCCUCAACUACACGUGUUCCUAAAAAUGGUGAGUUCUAUGUUCAUCGGAGAACAUACUGUGCUAUAAUAAGAGAUUUCGGAAAAUAUAGUUAAAAAAUGCUUCUUUAUUGGAAUGACCUGCAUUAUAGCAAGCUGAAUAAAUGAUGCCUUAACUUUAUUCAUUGUGUUCUCAUAAUUCUUUAAAACCAUUCGAAAAUUCUAUUGAGCCACAUUAUAUGGUUAAUUUUUGGGUCUGUACUGCAUACUGAACAUGUGUACAUCCUUGCGAUUUUAGAUGGAUGGAGUUGGACAGCAAAGCAAUUGAAAAAAACCCAAUUUAUGGUUUCUAAAUGUUAGAUCAUUUAUGGUUUCUAGUUUCAAUUUAAAAAAAAAAAAUCCAAAUCAGCCAACUAAUGAAAUUUUCAACGAUGUUAGUUAUUUUAACUAAUCCAUAACAUGUUUGCUUCUUCUUCUUUUUUUUAGCCUAGCAGCAAUGUUAGCCUCUGGACUAGUUACCGCCCUCCUUUUUCCCCUCCCUAUUAACCCUUUUUAUUUUUCUUCUCAUUCACUCCAUGAGUCUUCGUUCUUUUCAGUUUACAGAUUUAUUUUGUGAGUAUUUUUGUUGUCUUUACAAGUUGUAAUGGACAGUUGACAAUGGCUAUCAUCAUUGAAACACCACCGACCACCAACACUUUCUUUUAGAAAGUGGGUACCUCUUCGUUGACUACUUAAUUUGUUUAUAUUUUGAGAGUUUCAAAAUAAUAAAUGAUUUCAUGACUCGGUUUAGACUCAUGUUUUUUUUCCAUUGUUCAAUAAGUUUUUACUUUUAAAAGUUUUUUUCUACUCUUAUAGUAAGCUUUUUAGUCUUGCUUUUGCGAGUAAUUUUAGGGUUGGUUUUGUCGCCAUCCCCUCUAGUUUGGUGGAUGCUCAGUUCUUUUGCUGAUUUAUGCCCGCCGCUUUGGACCAUCCGGGGUUGAUUUUCUUACUAUAUUAAGUGCUUGUAAUCACUUCUGAUAUGUUGUGCUUGAGUUGUGAUAGAGCUGAUUUCAACAUGCCAUAAUGUUCUAUUAAUGUUGAAGCUAAAGCUUUUGUUAUAUUGAUGGAGCUUGUCCUUUAGCGAGUACAACAAGUGUUUGUUAUUUCCUCCCCCCCCCCGAAUUGUAUGGUAUUAUUCAUUGAAUAAAUUAAUGAAGUUGUCUUAAAAAAAACUAAUCCAUAACAUUAACAUUAAUAAGAGAACAAAAUAUAUCAAAUUAAAAAAGAAAAACUGAAUCUUUAAUUCAAUUGAGAAAUUAUAGGGAUUAAAACUAUAAAUUGAUCUAUAAUAAUUUCUCAGGCAUUAAUUGUAAGAUUAAUUCCAUAACCUAAAUUAUUGUAGGGGCUAUAUAAGCUCAAGGUUGACGCAAAAGUCAAUAGUCAGCGUCUGAAAGUUAAUGCAAUUAAUUAUGUCAUUGUUGAUAUAUUUAACGCAAAUAUAUUAUCAUAUGUGUAAUGUCAUACCAUCUUAUUAUUUCCAUAUGUUACUAAAAAUCUAGUUAACGGACUAAGGAUUGUCAUUUGUAUCAAGACUGAAAUUUUAAAUUUUGAAAAAUAUAGGUACUUAGAAUAAUCCAAUUAGAGAGUAUGGACUAAAUCAACAAUUAUACGCAUAAUAUAGGACUAGUAAUUGGUUUUAAUUAAAUUGAUUUAACUCUAUUGUUUGGAUCACAACUAAAAUUUUAAAAUUCAAAAUGUAUAGGGAUUAAAAUUGAUCAAAUUGAAGUAAAUAGACUAAAUUUACAACUUUCACAAAGAACAGUGACCAACAGCAGAAUUUAACCAAAUAAGCUCACCAAAGUCAAUAGUCAAUCUUUGAAAAGUAAUGCAAUUAAUUAUGUCAUUGUAGGAACGCUUUCCUGACAUAAAAUUCCACCAACUAAGCCUUUUGCGUAAAUAUUAGCUAUGAAAAUUCAACCAUUGAUAUUAAAUUCAAGACCCCACAAAUGACAGACAUAUAUGUUGGAAAAAUCUUUGUGUGAACAUUUCUUUCGGUCAUACUCAUGUCGUAUAAGUUAGAGGAGCACAAGUCUAGAUUCAUCCAAUUUUUGAGGAAUUAAUUAAUUAUAUAUUAGUUUAAAAUUAUAGUGAAUUAGUGAGACGCCAUAGGUCUUGCUUGCAUAUAAAUAAGAAGCUUAGGCUUCUUCAGAUUAUUUACAUAUAAAAGUUUAAAAAGUAACAUAUAGCUAAGAGAGAAGAGGAAAACAGAAAGAUGAUGAUGAUAAUGAUGGAGUGGAAAUGGUUAUGGUUUAUAAGGAUGGCAGUAAUGUUGUUGGUGUUAGAAGGGUGCAGGUGGUGUACUGCUGAUGCUUGUUUGGAGCAUGAGUCGCCUUCUUGCAUCUCAAACCUUUCUUCAAUUAUGAUAAUCAAUUGAAAAGUUGGAUUGAGGUGAAGGGUUCAGAUUGUUGUAAAUGGAAAAGAGUUGAGUGCAACACCAUCACUAGGAGAGUCAUACAACUCUCCCUUAAUCAUACAUCAUCCAAUAUAUAAAUGAAUUAAUGAAUUUACCUUUCAAAAGAGAAAAAAAGAAUUCAUAAAUUUUGAAAUACAAAAUGAACGUGUUUUGAUAUUUUUAGGGCAAUGGUUUAGUGGUUCAAAAUUUUGAUUUAAUAUGGUGAAUUUAAUUAUAAUUUUUUAUAUAUUAGAUAGUAGAAUAUAUUUUACCAUUUAUAAUUAAGUACAAUUAAGUUUAGGUUAAAAUAUUUUAUUAAAUUUUUGUACUUUUCACAAAUUUUAAAUUUAAUCUGUUUACUUUUAUUCUAGAAUUUAAUCUCUCUGCAUGUAAAGGAGGUUAUUAUGGCAAGGGGAAUUACCAUGGCAGAGGUAGCCGAGGCUGACGAAGAGAUGCUGGAUAUGCUGAAGAAAGAUAGAUGGCUGAGAAACAGAAAAACUUUAGGAACAAUAUUCAGUGUUAGAAGUAUGGGGAUGUGAAGGCAGAUUGUUGGAAAAGGGGAAACAAGCAAAUUUUGCGGAAGAUGAUGAAGAGAUUUAAAUUAUUUAUGAGCUGUCUAGAUGACACUAUAGCUUCAACUAACAUUUGGUUUCAAGGGCGUAUAUCUCAUGAUGAAGAGAUCGUCUCUCUUCUUUUUUCUCAUAACAUAUUACACGCCAUGAUAAUAAAUAUUGAUAUGCCUAUAAAUUUGAGUUUCUAUUAUUUGUAGUCAUGAUUUGGUUCACUCCAUAAGUUACAUAAAUUUAUUAUAAUAAUUCAAUUAAUUUUAGAUUAAUUUUACAUUUUUGCCCGAACUUUAGUUUUUAAUAAUUCAAUCAUCCCACCAUUAUAUUCAAUUAAAAGUGUAAUACGAUUUUGCGUCAUCCAACCAUUAUUCUUAGUGUAAUUUUUGGUAGUGAGCAUAGAAGGACAGCGAGAACAAAGAAAGAAUGUAUCCAAUAACCCACUCCCCUUAUAGUCAAUGCUUAAAAUGAAUAAGAAAAUAGAAAACAAACGUGGCAAUGCCAGCUAAUUUGUUAUUACUAUUCACCGUAUAACUAAGGACAUUACGCACCGUUUUAAUUAAAACAAACUCACCGUUUAAGACCGUUACUUCUAUGCAUCGUUUUAAUCAUAUGCGUCAGUUCGAACAAAUAGGUGAACAUGAAAGCUUUUCGCAAAGUUUAGAUGUGUGCUUAAAACUCAAACUUUGUGUUCUGUAAAAAUAUUGAUUUUGUUGUAAUUGUAGGUUGAACUUUGUGAGUCCAAUUACUUUCUUUGGCAUCGGAUAUUUCGUGGAACUUUCGUAUGAGAUAUUUACUUCAUAAAUAGAAGAUUACAAAAUUUGGAUAUUAAUAUAUUUUUCAUGAUUUAAUUUUCUUUUCCUUUUUUGGGCUAAAAUAAUUAAUAACGAAAACACGUCUUUUGCUAGCACCUAUAAAUGCCUUAAAAAUGUAAAUUAAUAUUCCACAAUAAUUAUUAAGAUGAAAAGAAUUUUAUAAUCUAAACUUACGAUUUCAUGUGAAUUUAAUGUUUAGUUAUAGUUUUAAUUACAAAGUUAAAUUGGUAUCUUUGUUAUUGCAAUAAUUAAAAAAAGAUGAGUCCAAAUGACGUUGAUUUUCUGUUUUUUAAAAGUGAAUGCAAGAUGGGACGGCUGGAAUUUUUUUUAUUAAACAGUAAGUAUGAAACAGUUAUGGUAAUUGCUUGCUCCAUCUCACUCCACUCCACUAUAUAAAAUUAUCAUUUCAUUCUUUUAUAUAUAGAAAAAAAUUAAAUAUUUUAUGAAAAUAAUCAUGUUUAAAUUUCCAAGAAUAAAAGCAAACUGAAGACUUAAAAUUUCCAUUAAUAAAACCAAAAUCAAAGAAGUAAAUUUCCCAUGAAUAAAACAAAAAAUGAAGAUCUAAAUUUUCCAUUAAUAAAGCCAAGUCAAGACUAAGUUUGUAUAAGUGUAAGAAGGGUAUAAAUGAAACUCACAAGAAAGCCACAUGAAGAAUUUUAUAACCCCAAACUACACGAUUUUAUGUCCACCUCUCACUUUUCAUAUUUUUUUGGCCAUUCGUUUUUCAAGAUUAACAUCAGCAUUCUUGUGGUCCGUUCAUCCUUUUCUAAUGAAUUUCCACCAAGAGUUUUAUUUUUCAAAAUGUUAAAUUAACUCAUGAUAUUAAUUAAAUCAAGAAAUUUUAUAAUAAUAGAGAUGAAAAAACUAAAUUUUCAAAAUCAAAACCUAAAAUGUGCAAGAAUAAAAGCAAACUGAAGACUUAAAAUCUCCAUUAAAAAAAUCAAAAUCAAAGAAGUAAAAUUUCCAUGAAUAAAACGAAAAAUGAAGACCUAAAAUUUCCAUUAAUAAAUCCAAGUCAAGACUAAGUUUGUAUAAGCGUAAGAAGGGUAUAAAUGAAACUCACAAGAAAGCCACAUUAAGAAUUUUAUAACCCCAACUACACGAUUUUAUGUCCACCUCUCACUUUUCAGUUUUUUUGGUCAUUAGUUAUUCUAAGAUUUAACAUCAACAUUUGAUUUCAAAUCAACGUUAAACCAUGUUUAAACUCUUUUUCUUAUAUAAUAAUUAUAUUAUAUUUAAAAUUGAAAAAACUAACCAGCCAAAUAUAUAUUAAUUAAUUAAUAGAAUUUUUUUUGCUCAUCGAUUAAAAUAAAUCAAGAAAGACGUUGGAACCACCAACCUCUCUUUAAGAACAACAGGAAUACAAGAACCUAUGCACAACAAGUACUAAAAUGUAUUAAGUAAAUUCAUCACCAGGCCUUAAAAAAAGAAGAUCUCGAUAUACCUGCUUUUGCCAAAGCAUCUGCCAUACCAUUACUUUGCCAGUGAAUAAUUCUGAACUGAAACUUAGCCAAUUGAGUGAUAUUAAUUAUAGAAAUGGUUCUUCUUGCAACCAUAGAUGAAACACCACUGAGACUAACAAACUUGGAGAAACUUGAUUAAAUCAAACUUAUGCAAAUUUCUUGAAUAUUUAAGUUAAGAGUUAACGUCAAAGUCAAGAGUUGAUAAGGAUUUUGUGGUCCAUUCAUAUCUUUAUUACAAUAUAUAUAUAUUCAAGAAAUUUGCAGCAAGUUGGAGUUUUGCAAUAAGGAAUUUCCACCAAGAGUUUUGGAAUAAGGAAUUUCCUCCAAGAAUUUUGCAGGAAUCAUAUCUCUAACAAAAGAAAGACCUUCAUUUGACUAAAUUUUUUAGUAUUUAUUUUAACUUCCAUUUUAUUAAAAAAAAACAGAGGUAAAAAAUAUGCCGAACAGGGUCUUUAGGUUACUUUUCUUAGAACUAUAUUAUGUUAUAGUACCGUAUAAGUUAGAGGAGCACAAGUUUAGAUUCAUCCAAUUUUUGAGGAAUUAAUUAAAUAUAUAUUAUUUUAAUAUUAUAGUAUACAGAGGCAAUGUUAGAAAAAAAUUUUGUGGAGUCGAAAUUAAAUUAUAGUUUUAAAAGCAUAUAUCUUUAUAAUUUUUAAAGAAUUAAAUCAAAUUUUUAUCAAUUUUAGGGGGUCAAUGUGCAAUUUUAUCUUUACUAAUUUAAAAUUUUAAAACAUUUAAAGGACCUAAAUAGGAAUUUUUCUAUUUUAGAGGCGUCUGAGACGCCUGUCUAGCUAUGCCCCUGAUAGUGAAUUAGUGGGAUGCCAUAGGUCCUGCUUGUAUAUAAAUAAGAAGGUUAGGCUUCUUCAGAUUAUAUACAUAUAGAAGUUAAAAAUUAACAGACAACUGAGAGAGAAGAGAAAACAGAAAGAUGAUGAUGAUGAUGAUGAUGAUGGAGUGGAAAUGGUUAUGGUUUAUUAGGAUGGCAGUAAUGUUGUUGGUGUUCGAAGGAUGCAGGUGGUGUACUAUUGAUGCUUGUUUGGAGCACGAGAGGAUUGCUCUCUUGCAUCUCAAACCUUUCUUCAAUUCUCGUGAUGAAUUGAAAAGUUGGGUUGAGGUGAAGGGUUCAGAUUGCUGUAAAUGGGAAAGAGUUGAGUGCAACACCACCACUAGGAGACUCAUACAACUUUCCCUUAAUUAUACACAAUGGGAAUUCAACGUGGAAUAUUGGUAUCUCAAUGCCUCUAUGUUUCUUCCCUUCGAGGAAUUGAGGAGUCUUUAUUUGUCAGAUAAUGCCAUAGCUGGUUGCAUUGAAAAUGAAGGUCGUGCCUUUAAUUUUCCCUCAGUUACAUCUUUUAUUAUUACACUAUUCUCACCCUUGUUAAUUUGCAAUUACUUAUAAUUUAUUUUAUUUUAUUGAAGAAAGGUCACUAAAUGUUUGUGUAUAUAUUUAAAAGAACACUCUUACAGGUUUUGGAAAGCUAUCAUCCACAUUGAGUAAUUUGGAGAUUCUUGACUUAAGUUACAAUUACUUGAAUGAUAGCAUUUUGUUAUCUUUGAGUGAGCUUUCAUCUCUCCGAUAUUUGGAUCUAUCAUACAACCGAUUUGAAAGAUCAAGUCAUCCAAGAGGUAAAUUAAGUUUAGUCUGGUGUUAGUUUUUAUUUGUAUUGGGGAGUUUGACAGUGGUUUUCCAUUGUUUUAUUCCCUCUAACUUAGUUUUUGCUUUUAUGGUUGAGAGGAAAAAGAAACAAACAAGUACUUACUCAAAUUAACUAAACAAUGGAUUAUUUUUUUUAUGUUUUGCAGUAACUAAUUCUAUGGUAUAUAAAUCAGGUUUUCAGUGGCUUUCAAGGCUCACUAAAUUGGAAACUCUUCAUCUAAGUGGGAAUUCUUUGAAGAAUAGCAUUUUUUUACAGAUGAGAAAUCUUUCAUCUUUGAAGACUUUAAGUUUGGGUGACAAUCAGUUGGGAGGAAAACUGCUUCAUAUUCAAGGUAGACUGAUUUUACACUUUUCUUGUUAACUUUAAAAUAAAUUCAGUAUGUGAUUUGAUUUUAUCAUAUCAUGAAUAUAACUGAUCAAUAUUUGAGAUUGAAUUUCAGAAUUGAAUCAUUUGGCAAACUUGAAGUACUUGGAUUUAAGUAGGAACAGAAUUGAAAGCAUCUCAAACAAAGGUAUAAGUAAUAAUUUGUGCAUGACUUUCCUGACAGACUUCAAAUGUAUUUUCUUUGUUUUUUUCCUUUUCAUAUGGUUGAGAGGAAAAAAGAUCCUUAUAAUCUUAAAGAGUUGAUAUUGAGAGUUGGUCAUGAGAGAAUGGGUCCUUAAAAUCCUUAAGACCAGGGAGUUUGUGUCCACAGUUGAGUAUUCCAUUUGAAAACUGAAAAUUAAAUAUUCUAUUGCUUUAUUUCUUUUAAAAGAAAGAUUGAGUUUGGAUCUCCGACUGCUUUAUUUUUUUCAAAGAAAGAAAUAUGUUUAUACUUUUGCGCAGAAGAUAUGAAGAAGUCUUAUUUUGUUCUCGCUUUUGUGCAAGUGAAACUUAGUUAUCUCAAAUAUAUAUAUAUAUAUAUAUAUUGUAGUUAUCAGUUCACUACACAAUAGCAUGUAAACCAGUUCCCCCUUUUCAAAUUUAUGAGUGGGAGUUGUCCAUGAUUUUCUUUGUGAUUUUCUUUUCACGUUUUAGGAUUUUCAUCUUCACUUCAAGUUUUAGAUUUACUUUUUUUCAUUUUUAUUUCAUUAACUUAAAAAAGGAAUGCUGGAUCAUAUUCAAGGUAGAUUGAUUUUACAUGUUUCUUUUUAACUUAAAAAAUCAAUAUAUGUUCAAGUUUAAGUGACAACAACAUUGAAAGCAUCUCAAACCAAGGUAUAAGUAUUUGUGCGUAGUAACUUUCUUGACUGACUAUUAUUCCAAAAGGCAAUGACAGACUUCAAAUGUAUUUUCUUUAGUGAAUUUUUAUUGCAAAAAUGGAGUAUUAUUAUUUAUUUAAGUUUUGUAGUAACUAAUUAUAUAAUAUAUAAAUGAGGUUUUCAAUGGCUCAUUAAAUUGGAAAUUAUUGAUAUAAGUUGGAAUUAUUUGAAGAAUAGCAUUCUUUAAAAUAAAUUCAUGUUGAAGGAAAAGUUGUUGCAAUAAGUCAUUUGAUUUUAUCAUAUCAUGAAUAUAUAUAACUAAUCAAUAUUUGGGAUUGAAUUUCAAAAUUGAGUAAUUUAAGUAGGAAGGUAUCUCAAACAAAGUAUUUAUAUAUUGAAUCAAUUCAUCGGAAAGCUUGUAAAUUGGCUCUUCCUUCUCAAACAAACAUUUUUCCUAACUAUUUAUAUAUUGAAUGAUGUUAACUAUACUAAUUACUUUCUUCCAAUGAUAGAUGGAACACAAUUGAGGCUAACAAACUUAGAGGAACUUGAUUUGAGUGGUAAUCUCUUUCGGAACAACACAAUUUCCUUUCCUCAAGGGCUUUCAAGCCUAAAGUCUUUGACUUUGUACAACAACCAUUUGCAAGGCUCAUUAGAUACUAAAGGUACUAAAGCUAUAACUUUGUUUUUCUUGAUAAUUCUUUCUAGAACCUUUUAAAAUUAAUUGUUUCAAUUUUGAACAUUCACAUUUCACGUUUGAGGAUUUUCAUCUUCACUUCAAGUUUUAGAUUUACUUUUUUUUUCAUUUUUAUUUCAUUAAAAUAUUAAGUAGAAAUUAAAAUUAUUAACAUAAUGAUUUUUUGAAUUGGACGUGGAUAUGUAUAGGAUUGAGCAAUUUAACAAAUUUGAAGAAACUCGAUUUAAGUGUGAAUCAGAUUGAAAGCUUUCAAUCCUUUAAAGGUAUGCAUUUAUAUUUAACCAAUUACCUAAAUUCUUACAUAUAAUUAAAUUUUAUGCCAAUUCAUUUCAGUGAUGAAAUUAUAUAAAUCUUUUGUAGAUGGUGGUAGAAAAUUGGAGUUGACCCACUUGGAAGAGCUUUAUUUAGAUUACAAUCAGUUCAAUACUAGUGUAUUUGCAUCCCUUAACAAGCUUUCAAAUUUGAAAUCUUUGAGCAUAUGGGACAAUGGAUUGAAAGGAUCAAUAGAUAUGAAAGGUAAAUAUAUUAGUUUUUUUAACUAGAAUAUAAUCAUGUUUGAAGAGAAUAUAAUGAAGUUGAUUUGUUGUUUUUGUUUUCCUAGAUUUGGAAGCAUUUAUCAACUUAAGGGAACUAGAUAUGAACUAUAAUGAAUUGAAAGAUUUGGUGAUCCACCAAGGUAUCAUUUAAUUAAACUUCCUUUUUUUUUUAAUUUAGAAAUUUAGUUUUGAUCUCAUAUAUUAUAAUAACGGUUAUUGUCAUAAAUAUUAAUAAAGUUAUAUCAUAUCAUACUUGAAAGUAAAAGUUUGGUGAAACAUUUUCUAAAUCAUCCAUUAUAAUGUGUUUGGACUUUGGUUUGAAACUAAAAUUCUUUAAAAUUUUCAUCAUUUUAAAAUAUUAAUGUUUAUAAUUAUUUUGUUUGUAUAAAUAUAUUUUUUAAAAUAAUUUAUUGAAUUUUUAUGAGAUAAAAAAUAAUUAUAACAAUAAAAAAUGAUAUUAUAAAUAAAUAAAAACAUAUAUUUAUGAGAAAAUAUGUAAUAUAACUAUAUUUUAAUUUCAUAUAUUUUUAAUAGUAUAAAACAUAAAAAUACAUAUUAGCGUUAAAUAAAUGGCAUUUUUUGGCAAAAAUAAAUAAAUGUCAAUUUUGAAUAAUUUAAAAAAAAUCUUUAAUUUUGUGAAAUUUAAACAUACAUUGAGAGGUGCUUAAACUUCCAUUGCAAUCUUUUUAUAAAUUUCAAAGUGCAUAUGUUUUUAACUUUUUGGUUUAAAAAAAUAUGAUAGGUCUACGUACUCUUUACUAAUUUGUAAUUUAAUUCUUAUACUUUUAUUUUCAAGAAUUUAAUCCCUGUUUUUUUAUAAAAAAAUCAAAAUCCUAGUUCAAUUGUUAAAAUUGUUAAAAUUUUAAAAUAGUUUGUUGGUGUGACAUUUUGAAAUAAAAAAAAACUUAGUAGUAAUGUAACUAAAAAAUGACGUAAUGAACAUGGAUUUAAUAAAAUAAUUUUAACAAUAUUAAUAAAAUAAUUUUGAAUUUUGAAUUUUAACUUAACUCUAUUUUUGGGCCAAGAUUUAAUGCUUUAAAAUUUUCAUUUAAUCCGCUGAGUUUACUUAUAAUUCUUUUGAGUUUUAUUUAUUGGUGAGUAAAAUACCUAUUUGAUUUUUUUAUAUACUAUUGGCAUCUUUAAAGGUAAUAUAAUAAUUUUAGUGUAGACGUGUUUUAUUUUAUAAAUAUUAUUUAUAGUGUAGACAUGUGAAUUUUGAAUAAUUUAAAAAUAUCUUCAAUUUUAUGAAAUUUAAACAUACAUUUAGUGUAGACAUGUUUUAUUUUAUAAAUAUUAUUUAUAGUGUUGUUGAUUGGAGUUUGAAAAUUAUACAACUUAGCUAUAUCAGUUAAUUACUUAUAUUAAAAAAUAAUAUAAGAAAAUACUAAAAAGAAAAAAAAUAGUAUAAUUAAUAAAAUGGAUGAAGAGUUAUAUUAAAGUUUCAACAUCUUCUCUCUAUCAAAAUUUAUCUCGGAUAAAUCAUGAAUAAUCUAACUCAUAAAAAAAUAUAUAUAUAUUUAUAUACUUCAUUUCAUUCACAGAAAAUAAAGCAUUCCACUUAAUAGAGGCUUUCUAUAAUGCCGUUAUCUAAUACCUCUUGACAUUGCUUAGAUUCAAAUGUGUCGAGCAGUUUGGAGGAAAUAUAUCUUGACUAUUCUACUCUCAACACCAACAUUUUGCAAAGCAUUGGAGUAUUCGCUUCUCUUAAAAUAUUGUCUUUAUCUAAUUGUGGACUUAUUGGUCCCUUACCUAAUCAAGGUAAACAAUUUUAUGGCUCAAUUUGAUUUCUUUAUGAACUUUCUGUAAUAUAUUAUCUCCUAUUCUGUUUUAUAAAGCAAAAUUUAAUUGAAACUUCUUCCAUGAAUUUAUUUAUAAAAUUUUCAGGAUGGUGUGAUCUAAGGAACCUUGAAGUGUUGGAUGUGAGUAGAAAUGCACUUGAGGGGAUGCUUCCUCAUUGUUUUAGUAACUUGACAUCUCUUCGUGAGUUAGAUAUUUCAAGAAACCAUUUUCAAAUUCCGCUGUCAUUUGCACCAUUUGCAAACCUUUCAAACCUCAAAGCCCUUUUGAUUAAUGAAAACAAGAUGGUAAUGGAACCUUCCUUUUAUACCUCAAUCCCAAAGUUCCAAUUGGAAGUCAUCAGUUUGUCAAAGUGCAUAACAUCUCAACAACUCAGUCUUAAACUUUGUACCUUCCUUUACUACCAAUAUGACUUGAGAUAUGUGGAUCUUUCGCAUAACAAUCUCAGUGGAACUGUACCAACUUGGUUGCUAGAAAACAACACAAAGUUAGAAGAUCUCAUCUUGAAGGGUAAUUCAUUUACAGGUCCUCUCUCACUUUCGUCGGCUCUUAUUUCUAAUGUAUCUACAAUUGACAUAUCUGAAAACAAAUUACAAGGUCAAAUUCCAACUGGUAUAUGUUCAACUUUUCCACAUUUGAGGCAGUUAUUCUUAUCCAAGAAUGCUUUUGAAGGUAAUAUCCCACUUUGUUUAAGUGGCAUGAAGGACUUAUCAUUUUUAGAUCUAUCAGACAAUCAUUUGUAUGGAAAAGUACCAGAAGAGUUGAUCACGAAAGGCUUACUAAUCAUUUUGAGACUAUCAAAUAACAACCUCAGUGGAAAUGUAGUUCCUGUGAUUCUCAGCGCAAAUGGGGUGCAGCAUUUAUAUUUGGAUGGAAAUAAUUUUUCAGGAGAGAUGACAAAUGUUGAUGUGUCUACUUUUGAGUUUCCAAAUUCACUAAGCGAAAUUGAUCUCAGUAACAACACUUUGCAUGGAAAGCUCCCAAGAUGGAUAGGGAAUGCAUCAUUUUUGGGGAGAUUAGAUUUGUCCAACAAUGGUUUUGAAGGUUCUAUUCCAAUGGAAUUUUGCAAGUUGAAUAGGUUGGAAUUUUUGGAUCUUUCUCAAAAUAAUUUAUCUGGCUCUAUACCGUCAUGUUUUAAUCCACCAUACAUACAGCAUGUCCACCUCCACGGGAAUAGACUGAGAGGCCCACUAUCACUUGCUUUUUAUAAUAGCUCUUCAAUAGUGACUUUAGAUCUUGGAGGAAACAAUUUGACGGGUAGUAUUCCAAAAUGGAUUUACACGCUUUCUUCUUUGAGUUUUUUUCUCUUGAAAGAUAAUCAUUUUCAUGGUAAAGUUCCUAUUGAGUUAUGCAAGUUGCAUUCUUUAAGCAUCAUAGAUCUUUCUCAAAAUAUGUUUUCUGGUCCUAUACCUUCUUGUUUGGGAAAUUUAUCUCUUCCAAUGCAAAGGAAGAAGAUUCUAGAACCUGGUUUCUAUGGGCCACCUAUAGAAGAGGAUGAAACAACACGCAGUACGAAACUAAAUUUGGGAAUGUAUUCUUACUAUCCUAAUAGCUACUUCGAAGAAGUAAUAGAGUUCACAACAAAGAGUGGGUUCUAUUCAUACAAGGGCUACAUCCUUUCAUAUAUGAAUGGGAUUGAUUUAUCUUGCAACAACUUAACUGGUCAUAUCCCACCAGAAUUAGGGAACUUGAGUGAAAUCCAUUCUUUAAACCUUUCACACAAUAAGUUGACCGGAGUUAUACCCUCGUCACUCUCAAAACUACAUCAAAUUGAGAGUUUGGACCUUUCUUACAACAACUUAAGUGGUGAAAUCCCCAAUCAAUUGGUAGAGUUAAACUCUUUGGAGGUUUUCAGCGUGGCAUUUAACAACUUGUCAGGUAGUAUUCCCGAACCAAAAGCUCAAUUUGGGACCUUUAUUGAAAAUAGUUAUCAGGGAAAUCCGUUUCUUUGUGGAGUUAUAUUGCAUAAAAGUUGUUCCAAAACCGAUUCACCAUCAACGAUAUCAAUUGUAUCAGAAGAUAAAGGAGAAGAUGGUUUGAUAGAUACUUAUGAUUUUUGUGUGAGCUUUUUGGUUUCUUAUGUAGUUGUGUUGUUGACAAUUUUUGUUGUCCUCUACAUAAAUCCAUACUGGCGAAGAGCUUGGUUUUCUCUUGUUGGGAAAUGCAUUACCACCUGUCGCUACUCAAAUGUGGGCAAUUUUCUUACUUAUCACAUUUUCAAGCGAUGUGUUUAGCUACUCAAAUUGUGAUUUGAUUUCCACACCUAAAUGUUUAAUUAUGCUAAGUUGAGCGAUAAUGAAUAUUUUGUUGAUUUUUGCAUUUUGAAUAAAAGCUCUUUUAUCUUAUGGUUUUAUCAUUUUCAACCAUCUAUUUCUUUUUUCUUCUAUGAAAUUUAAUAUAAAAUCAUAAUCCAUUAUUAUGUAUAUGCAAUAUCUCUUUAAAUUAAAUUAAAUUAAAUUAACUGCCAAGCGUUCACUAGUGCAUACUAAAAAGGAAAUCUAAUGUAAAAUUAAAUCAAACAUACUACAGAAUUGAAUCUAAAACUGGAAUAUUUUAAAACCUCACAAACAAUGCAAUUCUUUAUUCCUCUUUUCCUCUCAAGUUAUUUUGUAUCAUGUUAUAUUUUACAUAAUUAAUCGUAUCAUCAAAUUUUAAAAAAAUUUUAAUAUUUUGAUAUCAUGUUCAUAUUAUGCUUUAAUUCACAAUGUAUUUUGUAUAAUAUGUUAUAACAAUUCAAUUUAAAAAACAAACAAUUAUCUUAUUUUUGCAUACCGUAAUAUACAUUUACAUGUUAAUAAUUCUUUGUACAUAAAUUUUGACAUGUUCGUAUAUUCGAGUCAUUAUAAUUUUAUUAUUUGUAAUAUGACAUGUUUUACUUACCCUUAAUAUUGUGUCAUGAUAAUUAUAACUCGAUUGGCAGUGUACCAAAUAUUUUUCUAAUAAAAAAUAGUAUUUUAUUCUAUUUACCAAAUCUUUAUCAACUUUAUUUUCUCACCAACAAAACAUACAUUCAAAGUUCAAAUAAGUUCCACACCCAUUUUUUUACUGCAAUACUCAAGAAUAUGCUCAUCAUCAGAAAUCUGAAAUAUUCCACUCUAAUUAACAUUAUGAUUCUGUAAACAACAAAAAAGUGUGAUACUUUUUUAAAGCUCUUUUUUUUUCUUUAAUGAAAUGGGAUUGGUAAAAAAUCCGCACAUGUGUCGUGUGUGAAGGUGGUCAGGUUGUCUAUUCAUACUGUAAUAAGUAGCUAAUUAUAGUUGAUCCUACAAAAUCAAAAUUAAUUCAGGUAUCUAUAUAUUCUGAAGACUGGACAGACCUUAGAAGCUCCUUCAAAUUUGCAAGAACAUGUCGUGGUCCUAAACUCUUUACACCGAUGAAAUUCAAAAGUUGCUCUAUAUCCUGCAAUCACAGUAAAGAUUAUGCAAGCUUUUCAGAACGAAUAACAUAACAAGCAAAAGGCAAUCAAAAUACUGUGAUCUCGAUAAUGUUCUUUGCCGAAAAGGAACAUAAACAUAACCUGAAAACAUCAGUGAAGGCUCAUCAGAUUUGCUUAGCAACCUUACAUACACAUGUAAAAAGCUUUGCUUUUGGAUGUAUGGUGUGACUAUCAUCACAGUCUUUCCUAAUUAGCUGAUAACCCUAUAUCUAACAUUUAUCAGGGCUAAGCAAAUUAACAUACAUAAUGUAAAGGAAUUUGACCAUAAGAUCCAACAGAAAACUUAAUAAAAGAUAAUCAACAUAGAAAGUUAAAAGGCAAUGCAAACUUAUUACAAUGAUGCAAGUGGAUCAAAAGAAAGCACUCUAUAAGGAAUUUGUAUUUAAGGCAUUGUAAACAGAAAAAAAAUAAUAAAACUUUUCGGAAAGUAUUUUCAAAGAGGAGACAAAAACAGGGUAGAAAAAAUGUUUGGUCCUUCCUUUUUCUAUUUCUACUGUGGUGAAAAAGCCUUUUUGGGUUAAAAGUGUUUUUACACUGCAGAAGUGUUUUUCCACUGCAGAAGUGAUGAAGAACACAUAGCUUUGUAGUCAAAAACCUACUGCUUUUGGCUUUUGCAUUUCGAAGUGAAAAUUAUAAAAAUACUCUUAGAUUAAUUUAUAUUUUAUAUAUUAUUAUAUUAAAUUGUUAAAUCUUAUUUAUUAUUAUAUUUAAUUUUUUUCAAAAUAUUUUAUACAUCAUCAAUUUUACAAAUAAUUUAUAUUAAUUACUUUUAAAAGUUAUAUUUCAUGUAUCAUUAUAUUAAAUUAUUUAAAUAUCAUAUAACAUCACUAAUUUUCUACUUUCUACCAUCAUGUCUAAAAUAGACAUUUUAACUUUCAACCGCAAUUUUUGGCAGCAAUGAACAACACUAAAAACUAACAAACACACUUUUCCGCACCACAUUUCAAAAACACUUUUUUCUAAACGCACUUUUGAACUAGUCCUUAGUCUAUCAUGCAUCAACUCUUCAUUUUUCUUUAACUACCCAUGUCCGACUUCGAACAUGGAUAUGGAGAUAUGACCAAGUCACAGUGACAUAGUUUUUAGUUAUGGGGAAUGGGAUUCGAGUGCUGGACCUCCUUCUAGAUGCAUGGUGGGACUUCAUCACAUUUUUCAAAUUUGUUGAUAAUCCUUCACCUAAUCUGCCGGUGAAGUUUAUAGAUAGUUGUUGACACCAUUUUUUUGAUGAAAACGGGAUCGACUUGGAUUUUGAAAAAAGAAUGAAAACGGGAGUCGCCACCAAUCCUUUUUGACGAGGUGUGAUCGGGUCACCUCAAAAUGUGGUUGUUUUUAAUAAAUGAUUUAAUUUUAUUAAAACAACGAUUUUGGUCUACGAAAUUCAGAAAAAUGAGUUCGGGAGUCGGUUACACACGAGGAAGGAUUAGCACCCUCGAUACGCCCAAAAUUGGUACCUAGUUGAUUAAUUAGUGUCUUAGUGUCGAAAAUUGAAAAUUUGAAGAGUUUUAAAAAUACGAUCCUUAAAAGAAAUUCUGAUAACGUGAAUUGAAAUAUAAGAUUCUCUUGUUCCGAAGGAAUAUCACAUCCAGCACGUUAGGACACGAUACUCUAAACCAUCGAAACCAAGAUCAUCUUAUAGUUUAAUGAAACCACACUUUGAAGCUUUAAGAGGAUAUUUGGCUAUUUAGUCGAACGAGAAAUCGAAACCCAGCACGUUAGGGCACGUUUUCUCGAUUUUCCAAACGCGAAAUAUCGCCUUAUUUAGAAAAAUUUUCCUUUUGAUGUUUGGUGUUAAUGCUUGACAAAACAAUAACGAAUACGACAAGGUGAGCAAAGUAAAGUGAGUAACAACAAUACAAUAGGCAAAAUGAAAUGACGAGGCGAUUACAUAAACAAAGCAUACAAAUAAAUAAAUAGAACUAACAUUUAAAAAAAAGCAUAAGUGUACACGAAUAAAUAAACAAACACCAAAUAACAAUGAUGACAAUAAAUACAAUUAUGUAAAAAUGUAUAUACAUGUAUAAUUUUAAGCCAUGAAAUAAGAAACGCAUAUAAAUUAUAGAAUAUGAAAACAUAGAUAAAUAUAUACAUAUGUGUAAAAAAUAAUAUUAUAAAAAGGGUACGUAUAUAUGUAUAAAAAAAUAAAUGUAUUAACAAUGAAUAUAAUAAGGGUAAGAAAACAAGUAUAUACACAAUAUAUAUGUAACGUGGUACUAAGGAUAUAUAUAUACAAUACAGUAUUUAAAAUAAUAUUUACGUAAUAUAAAAUAUAAUAUUAAAAGGUAUAUGUACAUACGUAAUAUAUAAAUACAUAUAUAAUAUAAUGUUAAAAUAUUUACAUAAUACUAAAAUAUUUAGGUAAUAUAUGCGUAUAUUGAAAACUAGUAAUAAUAUUAUCGAGGUAUAUACAAAUAUAUCAAGUAUAUACACGUAUUAUAAAUAUAUAAAUAUAUGACAAAGCAUAAACUAAUAAAAAUAAUAAGAAUAAUAAUAAUGAUAACAUUGGAAUAUAAAAGAAACAAACAUAACAUUAAUAAAAUAUUAAAAUAAAGUGAAAUAAAAAUAUUAAAUAUGAGAAUAUAUAUAGGUAUACACGUACAUAAUAAAAAUAUAUACUAAUACAUAAUAAUAAUAAUGGUAAUACUAAUAAUACUAAUAAUAUAAAAAUAACAAGGAUAUUUAAUAAAGAUAUAAAAAUCAACAAAAAAGGACUAAAAUUGAAUUGAAAGCAAAGUUGUGGGGCCAAUUUGAAAUGAAAACAAAGAAAAAGGACUUAAUUGUAACACGCAUGCAACUUGGAGGGUCAAAAGCGCAAUAAACCCAAGUAUUAAAAACGCUGCGCAGCGUGGGGGACCAGAAUGAAUUCGGGGCAACACCAUGGAGCCAAAUUAAAAAUAAAAAAACCUUGAUUGUAAACUCCCAGAAAGGCGGAAGGGCUAAAAGUGCAAUUAGCCCUUCCAAAGAAAAAAACACGCGGAUCUUCCUUGGUGCAGGUCGGGUCGACCCGACCCGUGUUCAAAACGACGUCGUUUCAUUUAUUUAAACCGGGGGUCCAAAACGGUGCGUUUUGACCCCCUAUAAAAGUCAAAAAAACUUCAAAAAAAAAUCAUUUGUAACGCUGAGGGAAAAAAAAGAAAAGGGAGAGAGGAGAGGGGAGCCCGGAGCGAUUUCCGGCCAAGGGAGGGGUCACCGGACGGCCACCGGAGGCUCGCCGGCGUCAGCGCCGGCCACCGCACGCGGUGGCCGGAAAGGUAAAAUUUUUUAUAUUUUUUUUAUAUUUUUUUUGUUAUUUAUUCUUGGUCUUAGAAUGUAUAGAUUUUAGGUUUAUAUUAAUAAAAAAGGUAUAGAUAUGUAUAUAGAAAUCGAAAGAAAAUGGAUGAAAACAAAAAGGUAACCUUUUCCGUUUGCCUUUCCUUUUUCCCGAAUGCUUGCUAUCUCAGUACUGAGAUCUAUGUAUUUUUUUUAAAAUUUUAGCUUCUGUUUUUUUGUAUUAAAAUGCCAAAAAACAAACAAAAAGAAGAAAGAAAAAAAACCCCCUGAUACAAUUUUUGAUUCGGGUUUUUAUAACCCAUUUUCAUCUAAUUUCCUAUUGUUUCUGUUUUGUCUCUUUGCAUGGGAUGGGCACGAUGGAGGUGACAGAGGCAUGGUGGUACAGAGGAGCAGGUGGCCGACAUGGUGGCAUGGAGAGCUGGGCGUGGCAGACAAGGAGGCCACGCGAGGCAUGCGGCGCUAGGGUUUGGGGGGCAUCUUUCUUCCGAAAAUGUUAAUGUUGUCUGGGCUGGGUUUUUAAUUUUUGUUUCGGGCCAUGGGCUACAUUGGGCUUGUUAUUUUCCUUUGUAAUUGGACUGUUGUUUAUCUUGUUUUAAUAUUCGGGCCUGGGCAUAAAAUUGGGCCUUACAGCUGCCCCUCUUUGCUUGUUAUCGUGUAACGAGAACAGAGCAAAGACUAAAAAAGGCCAAUUUGGCCCGGGCUCACCGAGUUUUGACUUCUUUUGGUGCUUCCUUUCUUCAAGCCUCAUUCUAGUCCACUGCGUCUUAUGAUUCUUCGAUCUGCUCUACUGCAACUUCAGAUACGCCUUAUAGCUUCAAUCUACUCUGCUACGACUCCAUGGGGAUGAGAUUUGUGUUUUUAGUCUGCUUCACUACUACUUAGGGAGAUAAGACUGUGGUUUCGUCUGCUCCGCUACUGCUUAGGGAGAUAAGACUGUAAUCUCCGAUCUAUUCCACUGUCAAAUACAGGGAGAUAGAGUUAUCAGCUUCAAUGUACUCCACUGUAGUCACAGGGAGGUAAAAUCUGCCAUCUUUGAUCUUCAAUCUAUUCCACUGCCAAAUACAGGGAGAUAGAGUUAUCGGCUUCAAUGUACUCCACUGUAGUCAGGGAGGUAAAAUCUGCCAUCUUCGAUCUGUUUCGCUGCCAAAUACAGGAAGGCAAGAUCUGCAAUCUUCGAUCUACUUCACGCCAAUACAUGAAGAUAAGAUCUGCUUUCUUCGAUCUACUUUGCCACCAGUAUGGGAAGACAAGAUCUGCAUCGUCGAUCCACUUCCUACCAAUAUAGGAAGACAGGACCUGCUAUCUUCGAUCUACUUCACGCCAAUACAUGAAGACAAGAUCUGCUUUCUGCGAUCUACUUCGCCACCAAUAUGGGAAGACAAGAUCUGUAUCUUCGAUCCACUUUCUACCAAUAUAGGAAGAUAGGAUCUGCUACCUUCGAUCUACUUCACGCCAAUACAUGAAGACAAGAUCUGCUUUCUGCGAUCUACUUCGCCACCAAUAUAGGAAGACAAGAUCUGCAUCUUCGAUCCACUUCCUACCAAUAUAGGAAGAUAGGAUCUGUUAUCUUUGAUUUACUUCACGCCUAUACAUGAAGACAAGAUCUGCUCUCUGCGAUCUACUUCGCCACCAAUAUGGGAAGACAAGAUCUGCAUCUUUGAUCCACUUCCUACCAAUAUAGGAAGAUAGGACCUAUUUACGCCUAGUGUUUAGGAUGACAUGAUCAGAAUGAAUCAAAUGCUCCUAACUAGAUGCGUAUGUAUUAUAUUUGUAGAAUGUCAUGAGAAUGAUCCAUUUUUAAUGCUUAGGUUGUCAUUCUUCAUUGUUCAUCAAGGUUCUAUCACUGAUGCCUUCUUGUUCAGCCAGUACCUUUGACAGAAAACCUAAAGAAAUAGACGCUAUUUAGACUAUCAUUUCUCAAAUGUUUCCAACCCUUAGGUUUGGUUAGUUCUAAACAAUAGUCCUGUUUCAGGUCAUCGUAUUAUUUAGAAACUUUCAGAGUAAUAUGCAGAACUCCUUCUGCAUGUGUAUUGUCAGUCCAUUAAUCGUUAUUUCAAUGAAAAAUGCUUGAAAAAGAUUAUCAAAAUGGACAAAAUGGAAUUUUGUUGAGAGCAAAGCUCUAAACAAACAAAUCAAGAUAGCAAAUUUGCUGAGAUACGAGAUGAAUAAGAUGAAAAAGAUUAUCACAACGGAUAAGAUGAAAAUUUGCUGAGAGCAAAGCUCUGAAUGAACAAAUUAAUCAAGAUAGCAAAUGUUGCUAGAAUACAAAACGAGAAUAAAUUAAUCAAGAUGAUGUAUUUUGUCAAAAAUACAGAAAAUGAAUAAAAUGGAAAUAAGUGCCCCAGAUAUCGUAGCAUGAGCUUCUCUGCCCCAAACUUCUUAAGGACCCUUUUGAACUUGAUAUGUGUUUAGAAGUCCUAGAAGGCUUUGUUGAUGCCCCAUCUUUGAUCGAAAACUACUUUAUGCCUCAUCCUUGAUCGAAAAUUUGAAUUGCCCGUUCCUGGGUUUUCAAUUCAAAACCCCUUUGGUCUCAAGGUGCCCUUUGCGGGUUUUCGCCUUGGCCUCUCCUCUUUUUUUUUUUUAGGCAAAGUACCUCUUCACUGAAUCCGAAUUCACAGGAUUGGGCAAGCUUUUGCCAUCCAUCCUAGUUAAAAUUAAUGCCCCUCCUGAAAAGGCCUUUUUUACUACAUAAGGUCCCUCCCAGUUUGACAUCCACUUUCCUCUGAAGUCUUUUUGUAUGGGAAGGAUCUUCUUCAGUACCAAGUCCCCUUCAUGGAAGUUUCUAGGACGAACUUUCUUAUUGUAAGCUCGCAUCAUUCGUUUCUGGUAUAUUUGACCAUGACGGAUAGCUCUUAACCUCCUUUCCUCAAUCAAGUUCAGCUGAUCAUAUCGGGAUUAGACCCAUUCUGCUUCGUCUAACUUUAGUUCUGAAAAAACUCAGAGGGAGGGAAUUUCAACCUCAAUUGGUAGCACUGCCUCCAUUCCAUAAACCAAAGAGAAUGGUGUUGCCCCGGUAGAAGUCUUGACGGACGUUCGAUAAGCAUAGAGGGCGAAUGGCAACUUCUCGUGCCAAUCUCUAUAGGUCUCAGUCAUUUUCCCCACAAUCAUUUUGAUAUUUUUAUUGGCUGCCUCCACCGCACCAUUCAUCUUUGGACGGUAUGGCGAUGAGUUGUGGUGCUUGAUAUUGAAUUGACUACAAACUUCUGCUAUCGUGCUAUUAUUCAAAUUUAAUGCGUUGUCAGAUAUAAUCCUUUCGGGCAUUCCAUACCGACAUAUGAUUUCCUUCUUUAAAAACUUGCUGACAGCUGCCUUUGUGACGUUGGUGUAAGAAGUAGCCCCUACCCACUUAGUAAAGUAGUCAAUCACUACAAAAAUGAAACGAUGUUCGUUUGAAGCCUUUGGCGAUAUCGGCCCAAUGACGUCCAUGCCCCACAUGGAGAAAGGCCAUGGGGAAGUCAUGACGUGAAGAGGUGAUAGAGGCAUAUGGAUUUUGUCUCCGUAAAUCUGGCAUUUAUGGCACUUCUUAGCAUAUUUGAUGCAGUCUCCUUCCAUGGUAGACCAAUAAUAUCCAAAUCUCAUGAUUUGUCUGGCCAUUGUGAAACCGUUAGCGUGUGUUCCACAAAUACCAUCAUGGACUUCUUCCAAGAUCUGUUUGGCCUCCAUAGCGUCCACACAUCUUAACAGCACCUGAUCUUUUCCUCUUUUGUACAGGAUCUCUCCAUCUAAGACGUAAUCACUGGCCAGCCUCCUCAACAUUCUCUUGUCAUUCUCAGUUGCUUGGUUUGGGUAUUCACGAUUUUUUACGUAUCGCAAUAUAUCCUGAUACCAAGGGUUUUCGUCCUUUUCUUCUUCUUCGUCAAUGUUACAACAGUGGGCUGGAGCAUCAUAAAUGCUCAUUUGGAUAGGCUUCACAUCCUCUGGUCUAUUUACUUUGAUAAUGGAAGCCAAUGUAGCUAAAGCGUCGGCCAUCUGAUUCUCGUCUCGUGGAAGAUAACAAAAAGUGAUGUCGUCAAACUCCUCAAUCAAUUCUAGGACUAUCCUUCGGUAACUAAUCAACUUAGGUUCUCUUGUUUCCCAUUCGCCUUUGAGCUGAUAAAUUACCAAUGCCGAAUCCCCAUAUACCUCAAGUACCUUGAUUUUGCGUUCUAUAGCCGCGCGGAUUCCCAUGAUACAUGCUUCAUAUUCCGUCAUGUUAUUUGUGCAAUCAAAAUCUAGUUUACUGGUGAAAGGAUAAUGAUCACCGUUUGGAGAUACCAAGACUGCCCCAAUCCCGUUGCCCAUGGCAUUUGAGGCUCCGUCAAAAUUUAAUUUCCAAGUAUUGCCUUCUUGUGUGCUUGCUUCAGUAGUUGCCACAUACAUCAGAUCCUCAUUUGGAAAAUCAAAGUUCAAAGGCUCAUAAUCGUCCAGGGCUCUACUUGCUAGAAAAUCUGCUAUCGCGCUCCCUUUUACAGCCUUUCGAUUCACAUAGGUUAUGUCAAAUUCAGAUAGUAGAAUUUACCAUCGGGCCAUCCUUCCGUUUAGAGCAGUUGACUCCAUCAUGUAUUUCAGAGGGUCUACCUUUGAGAUUAACCAAGUCGUAUGGUACAACAUGUAUUGUCUCAAUCUUCGAGUAGUCCAAACCAAUGCGCAACAUAAUUUUUCAAUUGGCGAAUACCUCGUUUCGCAUUCAGUGAACUUUUUACUGAGAUAAUAGAUCGCUCUUUCCUUUCGUCCUGACUCAUCAUGUUGGCCGAGCACGCACCCCAUGGAAUUCUCAAAUACUGCCAAGUAUAGUAUCAAUGGUUUGUCAGGGCAAGGUGGUAUCAGUACUGGGGCGUUGGACAAGUAAUGUUUAACUCUUUCGAAAGUUUUCUGGCACUCUUCAUCCCAUACACCUGGAUUGUGUUUCCUAAGAAGACGGAAUAUGGGGUCACAUUUCUCGGUUAAUUGUGAAAUGAAUCGAGCGAUGUAAUUUAGUCUUCCUAGGAAACCCCGAACUUCUUUUUGAGUACUUGGCGGAGGUAAUUCUUAUAUGGCCUUAACUUUGUCUGGGUCAAUUUCAAUUCCCUUUUCGCUGACUAAAAAUCCUAGCAAUUUUCCUGAUCUAGCCCCGAAAGUACACUUGGCUGGGUUAAGUUUUAGCUGGAACUUCCUUAACCUCAGAAACAGUUUUCUCAGAACUUGCACGUGUUCCCUUUCUGUUCUGGAUUUUGCGAUCAUGUCAUCAACAUAAACUUCUAUCUCUUUAUGCAUCAUAUCAUGGAAUAAUGCUACCAUGGCUCUCUGAUACGUUGCUCCCGCAUUUUUCAAUCCAAAAGGCAUCACUUUAUAACAAAACGUCCCCCACAUCGUUAUGAAUGUGGUCUUCUCCCUGUCUUCAGAAAGCAUCUUAAUUUGGUUGUACCCGGAGAAACCAUCCAUGAAAGAGAGCAGUGAGUAUCCGGCCGUGUUGUCUACCAAGGUAUCGAUAUGAGGAAGUGGGAAAUUAUCUUUUGGGCUGGCUUUGUUCAAGUCUCUGUAGUCCACACACAUUCGCACCUUCCCAUCUUUCUUAGGAACAGGGACUAUAUUGGCUACCCAUUCUGAGUACUUGACCACCUGUAAGAAACCAGCAUCAAAUUGCUUCUUAACUUCUUACUUUAUUUUUAGCAAGACAUCAGGCCUCAUCCUUCGGAGCUUUUGUUGGACUGGUUUGCAUUCUUCCUUUAUAGGCAAUCGGUGUACCACGAUAUCAGUACUUAACCCUGGCAUAUCUUGGUAGGACCACGCGAAGACAUCUUUAAACUCUUGAAGCAACUCAACAAGGUCUUGCCUUGUUUCCUUGGCAAUGCAAGCGCCAAUUUUUACCUCUCUGCUCUCUUCUAAGGUCACAACUUCUACUGAUUCCUUAUAGGGUAUAAUUUGUUUUUCUUCUUCUUUCAUCAUUCUUAACAAAUUCGGAGAUAAAACGCUGUCUUGGUCACCUUUAAAAUCUUGAGGAUCAUCUAUACUCAUGUCUUGCUCAAAUAGAGACUCUGAAUUAGUAACAGAGUCGCUCAUCUCGUUGAUAUUUGAAGACCUGUUAUUGGAACAAAUGGAGGCCCAAAUAAAAGGAUCUAAGAAUACUUGUAUGCAUAUUAUGAUUAUAAAGGGAAUGAAAAGAAUGAAAGAAUACUUGCUCAAGAUGAAACUGAAUGAUAAGUUUUCACUGAAAUUAGAUUUUGAACAUGUGCAUUUUACAAAAGAUUCUUAUCACCCCCAGGCUUAGGGCAACAAGUGUUCUGAAUAUUACUCUGAAUUAGUUCUAAAUGUUACAGGGAUCUCUUCUGCAGUCCAGUUAUUCGGAACACUUCCAGGUUCGUAAGGACGAAUGCCCGAUAAAUUCCUUUCCACCCUUUCUUCCGCGGAUAUGGCAUUGAUGUCCAACCUCUCAAUCCUUCCUUCUGUAACCUCAUCCUUCUCUUCAGGGUGGACAAUUCCCCCUGAAACAAAAGUCUUAGAUAUAUGAGGAAAGGUUAUCGGUCCCCACUUGGCUUCUAUCCCGCCCAAAUGUGCUCUUCUCCUUUCUUGUCUUUUCUCCAUCUCCUUCCUCCUUUCCCUCGCAAUAGGCUUAUAUCCCAAACCAUAACGGUCCUGUUUGUUAACUAGGAUCGGUACUCCGACCCUUCCCUGGAGGUAUUUUCCAAAUCCUCUUCCAGGCAAUGCUCCCUUUCCCACCGUUAAGUUCAUUGACGUAGCUUUGGAUAUCUUAGGCUCUGGGAUUUUGCUCAUCUCAAUGACAAAUAUGGCAUUUACGAAUUCCAAUGAUCGGAAUGAACAUUCUAUCGCUUCACUAUCAGCCUCUAUGUAUGGCAUAUCAUCGGUGACUGAUGCAAUGAUGUCUUCUUCUGCACCUAUAGUCACCAAUCUACCCUCUACCACCAAUUUUAACUUUUGGUGAAGUGACGAUGGUACAGCCCCUGCAGAAUGGAUCCAAGGCCUCCCUAAUAGGCAAUUGUAAGAUGGUUUAAUAUCCAUUACCAAAAAGUCUACCUCGUAUGUAUUUGGACCAAUCAAUAGAGGUAUCUCGAUUCUUCCCAUCACUUUUCUCUCAGUGCCAUCAAAUGCUCUCACUAUAUUUUGGCAUAAUUUCAUGUGAGAACUAUCCACAGGUAGCCUGUUUAAUGUGGACAGGGGUAAAACAUUCAGGGCCGAUCCAUUGUCAACGAGUACCGCCGGUAGUAUACACCCCUUGCAACGGGCAGUGAUGUGCAAGGCCUUGGUAGAUCCCAUACCGCCUGGCGAGAUCUCAUCAUCGUUGAAGAAGAUGAAGUUAUCGGCAUUUAUAUUGUUAACCAGGCAAUCCAAUUUGUCCACUGAGAUAUCUUUAGCGACAUAAGUUUCAUUUAGCACUUUUACUAACGUAUUACGAUGUAUCUCUGAACUUAGAAGUAACUCGAGCACUGAGAUGCGAGCCGGUUACUUAUGCAGUUGUUCCACCACGCUAUACUCGCUAUGCUUCAAGAAUUUUAAGAAUUCUCUAGCCUCAUUUUCAGUCACCGGUGUAUUAAUAUGCGGUUCAAUUCCGGUCUUCGUUUUAUCUUGUUCAACCGCCAAGGCUUUUCCUUUUAUAGGCCCCCUUUUUGUAUUUCCCGGGUCGCAACGUUUUCCACUACGCGUAUAAAAGCCUGUGUCAUUACCCUCUUCUGAAGCAUUUAUCGGGUUCUCCUCUCCCGUGAUCAUCACAUUGCAGUCAUAAUUCUAAGGAACCUUUUUACUAUCCUUGUAAGGAAAGGCUACAGGUUUUUGGAUUAUGACCCUUGGCGCCAGUUGUAUUCCAGAUCCUGUGCUUGUUGGCCUUGAAAUAAUCACCACCGGGUGAUUUUGGGCCUUUCUCGUAGGCCCCUCCUCUGAGGCAUAAACUUCUCCUUUCUCAAGUCCUUUGAUCUCUUCAUAAAAUUCUAACUCUUUGUUGUUCAUCAGAUUUUGUAACAUGGCCUUGAAAUCAGUGCAAUUUUGAAUGUCAUGGUCUUCUUCAGCAUGAAACUCGCAGUACGUCUUCGUUCCUUCGGGCCUUUCUUUUGAAUCUUGUUUGAUGAGACCUCCUUCUAUCAUUUGUCUCCAAACCCAACUCAAUGGGGUUUUUAUCUCUGCAAUGUCGGUUUUGAUUCUCUUUCUCCCACCUUCGAUUAUUGCGUUUACCCCUUUAUCAGCAUGAUCGGGUAACGGAUUCGCUGCUACAUUUGGUCCUAAUGGGUUGUCAAACUUCACAAUCCCCAUCUUAAUGAACCUUUCCACCGCCUUUUUAAACCCAGUGCAGUUCUCAAUUGAGUGCCCCGGUAUCCCUGCAUGGUAUUCACAUUGGGCAUUCGCGUCAUACCAUUUGGGAUACGGAGGUUGCAUGGGCUCUAGAUAAAAUGGAGAUACUAUGUGUGCAUCAAAUAACUUCUGAUACAGUUCCCCGUAUGUUAUUGGAAUGGGCGUGAAUUAAAGUCUCUCUGUGUUAGUCCUUGUGUUAGGCCUCGUGUUGGGUUCCUGCCUUGAGGGGGCUUGGUGACUAGUGGUUAUCAUUUUUGGAGGGCCAACAGUAAUCAGUUUUGAAUGGCUCUUGCUAUAUGUGCAUACGUUGUUUACUUCGCCCUCUUUUUUUCUUCGGGCUGGUCUUUUGAAGUUUUCCCCAGUGUCAAUUUUACCGCUCCUUACCGCGUUCUCAAUCAUUUCACCAGACAUUACCAUAUCCGAGAAACUCUUGGUAGCACUCCCCAACAUGUGGUUGAUGAACAGGGCUUUCAAAGUGUUGAUAAACAACAUGGUGACCUCUUUUUCCAAAAGGGGUGGCUGGACUUGUGUUGCCACUUCUCUCCAUCGUUGGGCGUAUUGCCUGAAAUUCUCGCUAGGCUUUUUUUCCAUGUUUUGUAACGUAAUUCGAUCGGGUGUUAUAUCCAUUACAUGACUGUAUUGCUUCAUAAAAGCUUGCGCCAAGUCUCUCCAUGAACUAACUUUAGCACGACUCAGUUGGUUGUACCAUUUGGCUGCAGAUCCGAUCAAACUGUCCUGGAAGCAGUGGAUUAACAGCUGAUCAUUGUUGACGUAUCCUGUCAUUCUUCGACAGAACAUAGUUAUAUGAGCUUCAGGACAACUAGUCCCAUUAUAUUUUUCGAAUUCUGACAUUUUGAACUUAGGUGGGAGUACUAAACCAGGGACCAAACUCAGAUCAUUGACGUCAACCCCGCGAUGACAGUCGAUGUUCUCCAUGGCUCUAAAUUUUUCCUCUAACCAUCUACAUCGGUCCUCCAGUUGUUUUGGCAGGUUCAUUCUUGUUUUUUCUGUUUCUGCCACGUCAUCGAGGUCCGGGACCACCAGAUUAGUGGGAUUAUCCCCGGGAUUAAAACCCGAGCCCAUUUGAAAAUGCACUGGUACCGAGGUACCAGCCAGAUAUUGAGGUCCUAUGGUAACUGGUACCCUCUGUGGGUACACCUCUGGUUGUGCUUGGAUGUUAGUUGGGGUGAAACCUGGAGGAUAAACAGGGUCAUCGUGAUCCUCCCCAGCAUCAAUUACGGGGUCUUUUCCUUUGUUAUUCCCUCCAGCCAAUAACUGCUUUAAUUGGUUCAUCACGGUGUUCUGGGAUUCUAACAUGUCCUGCUGGAUUUUUUCCAGUCGUUCAUGCAUCUGAUCUUGCAUCUCUCGUUGCAACUGUUCCAAUCUUUCCAACCUUUGAUCCAUUGCUUUUGUUUGGCGACGAGUACCGUAGUGAUAUUUGAUUAGAUUUUUGUUGGUUUCCAGGGUAACUGUCAUAAUUUAAUUUUAUUAGGGUCAUUUUAUGAGAUGUAAUGCAAAUGUAUGAGAUGAAUGCAAAAAAAAGAGGCAUUGAUUCGAAUUCAAUUUCAUUAGAAAACUCAACUAGAAAGCAAAUUUCUUUACAUAAAAUAAAUUACAUAUACGGCUUCGCCUUUAUACCCAAAGCCUUAACCUUCCUAAGAAGCCAACUAAAUCUCGACCUCGGCUUGAUUCUGACUCAUAUUUUAAACUCAAUACAUCGGCCUGAAUUGCUAAUGUUUGCAGAUGAUCAGCCACUUCCCGCACUUGAGUCACAGCUUCGCCCAUAACGUAAUCUCUAUCUCUAAUCUGACUUUGAGAAUGAUGGAAUUGCUCUUGCCAUUGAUCAUUACUCCUCUCAAGAAGCUCCAUUCGUAGCUCAGAAUUGUGUAAUGCGUCCUCAAGCUCCUCUACCUUUCCUUUCAGUUCUUCGAUCUUAUUUAAGCUUGCUCUUAAUUCGAUCAUGGAGUUGCGACUACGGUACGAGUGAAGUGACUUUUCUAGCUCUGCCACCUUGGCCUUUAAUCCUGCCUUCUCAUUUCGGCACUCUAACAAACUCCUUUCCAAAGCGUUUUCUCGAGCUCAAGCAUCUUGAAAUUUCUUUUCCCACUGAUCGGCCCUAUUCUUUUCCUCAUUGAUCUCUUGUCGCCAUUGCUCUGACGUUUUACCCAGACCGACAGUUCUCAUUGACAAUCGCAGCUUCUUGUAAUCUAUUUUUAGACUAUCCAAAUCCUCUUCAGCCUUGUUCUUUCCCUUCUUUAAUUUCUCGGCUUCUAGCUUGUGGAUAUCGAUGUCUAAUCCCAAAUGCACUCUUUCUUCUUCUAGCUGUUCUAUCCUCUUUCCCAACUCAGAAUUUCUUUUCUCAAAGUCUCGUUUGAUGAUCUCUAAUUCUGACGGAACUACUUGUAGAUGCUCCUCUAUAGACUGAACGCAAUCUUCCCUCGGCUUAGGGAUGUUGUCAUUGACUCUUUUACUCCACCACCCAUAAUAUUCUGAAGUUGUCAUCGCUCCUACGGUAAAUCUUUUCAUUCGGUGAACCUGUUUCCAAGCGUUAGAUAUUUCUCGAGUUUUUCUCUUGUAGUUUUCAUCCUUAUAAGAAAACUCACAUUGAGCCAGCCCUUGUGUUGCUGGUAUGAACUGUCUCGAUCUAUAUUGUCUUAAUACGAGUAAAGGGGCAUAACCGACAGCUCCCCAAAUUUCGAGUAAAGGGACCCAGUCGAAAUCCCCACAUCGAUACAGGAUCUCGUCGGGUACCAUCCAAGGAGCUUUCCAUUCAACGUCAUCCUCCUGAAGAUUUUGGAGAAUCGUCAUCCACUUCUCUUCCGUGAUGUCGUCUCGUCUUGGUGUAGCAACUUGUUCCUUCAAUGGGGAAUAGUCUUCUGAGAAGACUCGAUAGGAGACAUUUUCCACCUUCCAAAAGUGACUAUGGAACCACACUAAUAGUAGCUGUGCGCAUCCGAUGAACCUUCCCUCCCCUGCUCUUCGACAUGCACUUAGAAAUCUGAAGGUUUCUGCUAAGAUUGCCGGGAUGGGCGUGACUCCUUUACUAAGCCGAUCGAACAAAUCAGAGACGGCCUCAUCUACGUGCCCUAAAGCUCUAGGGAAAAUUACCAAUCCAUAGAUACCUAGAGCGAAGACAUCCACUCUUUUCUUCACAUCAGGGUGUGCUAAUACUAAAUCUCGCAAGCUUUUCCAAGGAACGCAUUUACUGUCUCCUUUCUGUUGGAUUCGGGCAGCGACCCACUGUUCGCUCAUCCCUGUAAUGCUCAUCAAUUUUUUUAAUAAUGUCGGGACACUAGCAGCUCUAGAAUAGGCCUUGUCAAUUUGAAUCUUUGGACACCGAAGCAAGGUCGUAUAUUCUUCCAUGGUGGGCACCAAGUCCACUUUUCCAAAAGUGAAACAACUGUAAGCAGGAUUCUAAAACUGGGCUAGGGCUCGGAAUAAAUGCUUGUCCACUUUGACACCAAGUAGGUAAGGCAAGUCCCCGUAGUCACAGUAAAACAUCUGCUUGGUCCCAUCGUCCCAUUGAUCCCAUAUUUCCUUCAUUUCUCGAAGAUCAUUUUGGAUUACGCUGAUACGGGUGAAGUCCCAUAACUCUGAUACGUACCCUUCUGCAAGACUAUCGCCUUUCUCUCUCCACAUCGUCUCAGCCCACACUCGUACAGCUGCAUUGUCUUCUACUUUAUCAAGAAACCUCUUUUCCAUGAUAAGCUUUCUAUCUAUACUGAACGUGAAUCGACACCUUUUGAAAUGAAAAUGCCAUGCAAUCAUAAACAAAGCAAAUCAGAGCUAGGAUUUAAAGUAAACAAUAAUAAAUAAAGCAUCUAUUCGGUAAGCGCUAGGGUUUGGAAUAGCUCUAUCUCGGUGGGUUCUUACGGCUCGCUAUAUGUGGUUUAGUUCUAAAGUAAGGGUACCUGAACCAGCAGAUUCCUCGAUCCUCACCCAUUAUAGGCUCAUGGACCGAGUUCAGUUCAGGGGAAUACAUUUCCCUAUGGCCAUGCGGAGAUGAAAAUCUCACGAAGACAUAGGUACGGAUGUAUCCCGGAAGCGAUUCACUAUCCCAUGCGGAGGUGAAAACCUCACGAAGGCGUAGUUUCUCACUCCCACUUAAAAAGGUAUGACCAGCGAUCAUGCAAUUCAAUGUGCAGAGGUAUAAAAUAAAAUACAGAACACGAUAAAAAAUAUAACUCAAAACAAAAGAGAUGCAAUGAAAGGAUCGUAAAUUUAAAUCAAAUUUUCCACUUUCAACAAAAAGACAAGAAAUAAUCAACACGUGGCUUGACUCUCUUUCGUUCCCCAGUGGAGUCGCCAAGCUGUUGACACCAUUUUUUUGAUGAAAACGGGGUCGACUUGGAUUUUGAAAAAAGAAUGAAAACGGGAGUCGCCACCAAUCCUUUUUGACGAGGUGUGAUCGGGUCACCUCAAAAUGUGGUUGUUUUUAAUAAAUGAUUUAAUUUUAUUAAAACAACGAUUUUGGUCUACGAAAUUCAGAAAAAUGAGUUCGGGAGUCGGUUACGCACGAGGAAGGAUUAGCACCCUCGAUACGCCCAAAAUUGGUACCUAGUUGAUUAAUUAGUGUCUUAGUGUCGAAAAUUGAAAAUUUGAAGAGUUUUAAAAAUACGAUCCUUAAAAGAAAUUCUGAUAACGUGAAUUGAAAUAUAAGAUUCUCUUGUUCCGAAGGAAUAUCACAUCCAGCACGUUAGGACACGAUACUCUAAACCAUCGAAACCAAGAUCAUCUUAUAGUUUAAUGAAACCACACUUUGAAGCUUUAAGAGGAUAUUUGGCUAUUUAGUCGAACGAGAAAUCGAAACCCAGCACGUUAGGGCACGUUUUCUCGAUUUUCCAAACGCGAAAUAUCGCCUUAUUUAGAAAAAUUUUCCUUUUGAUGUUUGGUGUUAAUGCUUGACAAAACAAUAACGAAUACGACAAGGUGAGCAAAGUAAAGUGAGUAACAACAAUACAAUAGGCAAAAUGAAAUGACGAGGCGAUUACAUAAACAAAGCAUACAAAUAAAUAAAUAGAACUAACAUUUAAAAAAAAGCAUAAGUGUACACGAAUAAAUAAACAAACACCAAAUAACAAUGAUGACAAUAAAUACAAUUAUGUAAAAAUGUAUAUACAUGUAUAAUUUUAAGCCAUGAAAUAAGAAACGCAUAUAAAUUAUAGAAUAUGAAAACAUAGAUAAAUAUAUACAUAUGUGUAAAAAAUAAUAUUAUAAAAAGGGUACGUAUAUAUGUAUAAAAAAUAAAUGUAUUAACAAUGAAUAUAAUAAGGGUAAGAAAACAAGUAUAUACACAAUAUAUAUGUAACGUAGGUACUAAGGAUAUAUAUAUACAAUACAGUAUUUAAAAUAAUAUUUACGUAAUAUAAAAUAUAAUAUUAAAAGGUAUAUGUACAUACGUAAUAUAUAAAUACAUAUAUAAUAUAAUGUUAAAAUAUUUACAUAAUACUAAAAUAUUUAGGUAAUAUAUGCGUAUAUUGAAAACUAGUAAUAAUAUUACCGAGGUAUAUACAAAUAUAUCAAGUAUAUACACGUAUUAUAAAUAUAUAAAUAUAUGACAAAGCAUAAACUAAUAAAAAUAAUAAGAAUAAUAAUAAUGAUAACAUUGGAAUAUAAAAGAAACAAACAUAACAUUAAUAAAAUAUUAAAAUAAAGUGAAAUAAAAAUAUUAAAUAUGAGAAUAUAUAUAGGUAUACACGUACAUAAUAAAAAUAUAUACUAAUACAUAAUAAUAAUAAUGGUAAUACUAAUAAUACUAAUAAUAUAAAAAUAACAAGGAUAUUUAAUAAAGAUAUAAAAAUCAACAAAAAAGGACUAAAAUUGAAUUGAAAGCAAAGUUGUGGGGCCAAUUUGAAAUGAAAACAAAGAAAAAGGACUUAAUUGUAACACGCAUGCAACUUGGAGGGUCAAAAGUGCAAUAAACCCAAGUAUUAAAAACGCUGCGCAGCGUGGGGGACCAGAAUGAAUUCGGGGCAACACCAUGGAGCCAAAUUAAAAAUAAAAAAACCUUGAUUGUAAACUCCCAGAAAGGCGGAAGGGCUAAAAGUGCAAUUAGCCCUUCCAAAGAAAAAAACACGCGGAUCUUCCUUGGUGCAGGUCGGGUCGACCCGACCCGUGUUCAAAACGACGUCGUUUCAUUUAUUUAAACCGGGGGUCCAAAACGGUGCGUUUUGACCCCCUAUAAAAGUCAAAAAAACUUCAAAAAAAAAUCAUUUGUAACGCUGAGGGAAAAAAAAGAAAAGGGAGAGAGGAGAGGGGAGCCCGGAGCGAUUUCCGGCCAAGGGAGGGGUCACCGGACGGCCACCGGAGGCUCGCCGGCGUCAGCGCCGGCCACCGCACGCCGUGGCCGGAAAGGUAAAAUUUUUUAUAUUUUUUUUAUAUUUUUUUGUUAUUUAUUCUUGGUCUUAGAAUGUAUAGAUUUUAGGUUUAUAUUAAUAAAAAAGGUAUAGAUAUGUAUAUAGAAAUCGAAAGAAAAUGGAUGAAAACAAAAAGGUAACCUUUUCCGUUUGCCUUUUCUUUUUCCCGAAUGCUUGCUAUCUCAGUACUGAGAUCUAUGUAUUUUUUUUAAAAUUCUAGCUUCUGUUUUUUUGUAUUAAAAUGCCAAAAAACAAACAAAAAGAAGAAAGAAAAAAAACCCCUGACACAAUUUUUUAUUCGGGUUUUUAUAACCCAUUUUCAUCUAAUUUCCUAUUGUUUCUGUUUUGUCUCUUUGCAUGGGAUGGGCACGAUGGAGGUGACAGAGGCAUGGUGGUACAGAGGAGCAGGUGGCCGACAUGGUGGCAUGGAGAGCUGGGCGUGGCAGACGAGGAGGCCACGCGAGGCAUGCAGCGCUAGGGCUUGGGGGGCAUCUUUCUGCCGAAAAUGUUAAUGUUGUCUGGGCUGGGUUUUUGAUUUUUGUUUCGGGCCAUGGGCUACAUUGGGCUUGUUAUUUUCCUUUGUAAUUGGACUGUUGUUUAUCUUGUUUUAAUAUUCGGGCCUGGGCAUAAAAUUGGGCCUUACAAUAGUCUUAAGUGUCUAUCACAAGAACCUAGAUAUUGUAAAUCCAAUAUCUUCCAAACAAUUCAACCAUGAUAUUAAUGAUGAUGGAAGCAAGAUUAUCCACUAUCAAUGACAUAAAAUGAGCUGUAAAUGCUGACGAACAAACAUGCACUGUUUUUCCAACCUGUGGAUUGAAGAGCAUUGACAAGCUAACUUUGCAGACCAUUUGAAUCCAAUACUAUACAUAAAAAUGCCAAAGGAGAAUAAUUCAUCUUGGAAAAAGAAUUACUAAUAUGCAAAAGCUUACCUUGUUUAACAAGAACACAGCAUAUGCUGCUCUUGUCGUGUCUUGACCUUCUAAAAACAGCGGAAAUUCUGCCAGCUUUACAUUUGCUGAAAGUGUUGUAUCCAAUGACAAAUCAGAAGAUGCAGGGUCUAUUGAAGACGCAUGGUCAUUAAUAUAUGAGCGAGAACCACCCAAGCGCAGAGGAUAACGCAAGGGAACUUGUAAAUAGGAUGCAAUUAGUGAAACAGCCUGCAAAUGAUGAAAUAACAGGAAACAAGAAACAAUAAUAGGUAUGAUUAAAAUUAUAGCCUCAGCAUGAGAAACAAGCAAUCAAGAUGCAGCCCACUAUACCAUAUUACCAUCCUAGCAAUUAAAAAUUACUACAGCAUCUUCAAGCAACAAGGGAUUGUAGGUGGUAGGUCAAAAAACUUGAUAUCCACAGCUUGAUAUUAUCAGAAAAAACAAAUUCAGUAAUAAAUGAUAACUUCACAGAAGAAAUAGAACGCACAUGUGCAACAUAUCCCAAGGCAGUUGCAGAUCUCUGAACCUCCUUUUUGUCAGUGAAAAAACUCAUCUUUGUAAAAGGAAGCAAGGUGAGAUUCAGACCUAAAAUUGUCAACGAUCCUUGAUUGACGGGCUUUGAUGCAGAAGGAUUCCCUAGUGAAGACAGGAACAAAGGAACUUCAUAUCAAUACAUCACCAGACACCACCUCUUUGUGAAAGUCAAAACAAAAUUCAAAAAAAUAUAAUCAUGAAAGUAAGAGAUAUGUAAAAAGUUCAUAAUAUUCAAGAGCAAAAAAAAAUUGUUUUGAUAUGAGGAGAAUUGAAUAGUAGAUUGCUAAAAGAGGAAUAACUGAAUACAGCCAUCAUAACCAAAAGAAGAGUCAAGUGAUAGGUAAUGGUACUCCCUAAGCUGUUUAGGAAUCAUAAAAGACUUGUCCAGUUGACAAAAAUAACUCAUUUUAUUCUCCCCUAGUAAAACAUCAUAUUGGACCAACCAUAUUUGAUAUCAAAGGAUAUGGAUAUCCAGGCAUGCCAUUUAUAGAUAUUCCCAGUGUUGCAAGAAGGAAUUGUUCAAGAGAAAGAAGCUGCUAUUGUUGGUAAAGUUUUCCUCAAACCAUUUUGAACAUCCAAAAUCUCAAGAACAAAAAAGAAAACGUAGGAGGAAAUAUAACAAGCAUCACAACGGGUUCUCGAUGAUAUAAGUGAGAGGAUAAAUGUUAAUUAAGAUUAUAAAAAUAAACCACAAACUAAACAGGAAAGACAUGGAUUUCAAAACGAGGAGACUGGCUGCUAAUUAAAACCAUAUGCGGUGUUGUCUAGGGCGCAAGGCGCAUUCUAGGUGCUAACCUUUAUAUUGCCUCAAGCACAAGGCACAAAAGGAAGCGCUAGCCUGAGUGCAGUAAAGCGCAAUACAUAUAUGUGAGAGUUUUUGCAAGUCUGUGUGUCUACAACAUAAAAGUUUUAAGAUAUAUAGUAAACUCUAAAGUGUGGUCUGGUUUAUCCACAAAACUUGCAAAAUUUUUAUAGGUGAAUGCUCAAAUAUUGAGAAUUAUAGAGUUUGAUAUUAUCCCUUUCUUAUUAGUAAAGGUGUAUCAAAUGAAAACAGUAAAAAAUAAAAUAAAAUAUUGAGAAAUUCAACAAGGCAGGCUUUUUCUAAUGCCCAUUGCCUUACAAAAAAAGUGUGCCUAGGUGCACCAGGCAUACGCUUGAUCAAAUGGACCUCACCUGGAAGGGUCCAAGGCGUUUGGUUGUAUAAAACUAAGGCGUAGGCAUGCCUAGGCGCAUGCCUUGACGACACUGACCAUAUGUUGGCUUUAUUGCAAAGCAUUAGCAAUCCAAAACUACUAGCACAUUACCUAAUCUACUACUGCUAGAAUAGGACUCAAGUUCUUGCUCCUGUGCAGGUCCAACCAAGAUCUUUACAGGAUACAAUAAUGAAACUUGUGAUAUCAUAUAUUGUUGCCUUGCUCGAAGCUUCCUUUGCACAUUUUUAAGUUUAACACAACCCCUUUCUUCAGUGAGUAAUCUAUUUGCUUCCUGUGAUAAAAACAACAUAUAAUCAAUCAUGCCACGCAUGCAAGACUACCAACCAACUAUCUAACAAAAGAUACAAAGAAGUAGGAGAGCAAGAAGGGGAUAACCCUUGACUAUGCAAAGGAAUUCAUAGAAUGAGAAUCAUCUCAUCUAAGCCCCUCAACCACCUUCACAGGGGGUGGAGGUGCAAAGAGAGAGGUCUUAUUGAUCCGAGAGGAGAAUAUAUAACAUCUAAAGCUGAAUAAGAAGAAACCUUGAAAUAUAUCAUAAAUUCAGAAUUCAUGAUAAUAUAAAAAUGAAAUUCCAAAGCUAAUUUAAGCUAGAAUAAAAAUGCUUCACCUGUAAUCACUUCCUUGCUACAGAAAGAGAGGUACCAGCAACCAACAAUGAUCUUACUUCAGUACUAAGCAUUUCCUCCUGUUUUUUAGCAUCCUCUGUUGCAACUUUGCAAUGAGUUGACAUGUUUGCCAUAACUACUUUCCUUGCCUCGAGUCUCUCACGCAUUUCCUCAAGCUCGUUCAGUUUAUUCAAAGACUCAUUUUUUACCUGCACAGCAUGUUCCCACCCAUUAAUCAGUGGGCCAAUUAAUUAGGUCACAGAAGACAAAACUAAAUUAUCACUCACCAGGUCCCCUUGAAGUGUCAUAUGGCUUUAACAAUUCAACGUGCAAUAUCUAGUAAAAGUAAAAUAAACAUAGAAGAAUGCAAAUGCAAUUCUUAAACGCCUUUAAAUGGACAACAUGAAACACUUUAAGAGCCCUAUAAAACAGAAAACUGGAAAAAAAAUCUGAAAAGGAAAAAAAAAUGAAUUGAAACAAUAAAUCCAUCUGGUACAAACAGCAACAAAUCUCGAAAUAAGCUUUGGCUUUAGCCCAUUAAAGCCCGGGCAUCCGGCCAAAUAAACAGUGACUGCCAUGUCAACUUUUUGAGACGGUAGAAAAGAGCUCAAAAAUCUCAAUUUCCAAAAAUAAGGACAUAAGAAGGAAAACAAUUUACUUAUUCUUACAGUAGAAGAGCAAAAUGAAACUAAAUGAAGGAUAAGGGAACUGAUGCGAAUUGACAUUGUUAUUUUUGGGACUAAAAAGAAUACGCAGAUUGAAUAUUUAAGAUUUUGUAAGGGAAAAGUUCCAUUCACCGACACAAUUAUCAUCGCCCUUUAUCCCAGUAAAGCUUAAUUGACAAUUUUUCUGUCUCGUGUUCUUGCUAAAGCAUUUGAGCAACCCAACAGAAAUCAUUAUAUUUCAAACUGAAAUGAUUGGCUUUAACAAUUUCACAACCUAUACCGCCCAACCUAGUAAGUAAUUUAGGUGCAGACACCAGAAAUCUAUUUUCUUUGCACUCUACAACUAAAUAGCAUACCACUUAUCAAUCAAACACAGCUGAAAACUUCAGUGAGGGAACAUUAUGUAAAAUGAAAAAACUAUAACUUCAACUUGAUUCAUAGCUCGGCAAGUUCAGGGAAUUGGGACUUCUACCACGAUGAUCCAGUUCAAUGUGAAACAGUGAUCCAUAUCAUGCAUAUCGGUUCCCGGAACAAGAGGUAAAACCAGCAAAUUAGGUAAACAAUAAUCCUACUAUAUUUCAGAAUAGCAACAUUGAGCAUGAAAGCUAAAAUUAUAGCAUAUUACGGGUCCUUGCUCUCUACAACUACAUAUAAAAUUAGUAAACAAUAUUACUACAUUAAGGAUCCAGAAAAACUUUGUUUCAAUUGUUGAUCACUUGAUCCAACUAUUUUAGAAAGUUUAUUCUUCUUUUUCCUUUCCCUUAUUUUCUAAAUCAGGAAAAACAGUAGCAUAUAAAUUGGAUUACUACUCCAAGUUUCUGAAAUUUCAACAAUAUCCCUUUUACCUUUUCACUCAAGUCAUUACCCCCCAAUUAACAAAUAUAUUCCCAGUUUCCCUUUCCCUUCAAACACCCCUUUUUUUUUCCUCUACCCAAAUUCAGCUUAUGUUCAAAAACCCAAAAUUGGUUUGCUAAAAUAACAUAAUUUUCAAACACAAAGAUAACCUAAUUUUAAUCAGAAAAAAAAAGCAUUACCUGAAUUAGUGACUGGAGUUUCUCUUGAAGACUUUGUUUCUUCUCAUUAGCUUCCUUAAGGGCAGAAGUUAAACUCCACAAUCUAGCUAGCUCGUUGUCGAAAUCUUCCCAUUCAAUUAGUUGCACAUUUUCAUGUGCAGCAUUGAUUUUCUUCGGGUCGGUAAUUAGGGUUUUGACUCGGGCUUGUUCUCGAUUUUCCAUGAAAUAAUUGAAGAGGAAAGCUUUCGAUUCUGUAAGUUUAAAAAGGGAUCAUAGAUCGACCUCAUGGUACUGGAUCUCGCCCGGUUAGAGUGUUCUUUUUCACGCCGAUCGAAUCAUUUUCUCGGGAAACUUUGCUAGCUAGGGGUAAUUUUCUCGGGAAAAUGGAGGGAAAAACAGAUUCGGGAGUUUUUAUUUGGGGGAGUCUAAGGUAUAACGGAGAAUGACAGGUGGCGGUUAACGGAGGAAUCUCACGAUUCAUGUCAUUUUCACUUUUUCGAUUUAGAAAUUGCUUAAAUACUUUUAAAAAUAGAUAAUAAGAUAAACUUUCUUUUUGAAUAAGAUAAAACUUUCAUUGAAAAUAAAUAAAUAAAUUAAAAAAUAUUUGAUGAUUUUUAAGUUGGUAAUUUUUUUUUAUAAAAAUUUGGUAACUUCUUUGAAAGUUGAUAUAAAAUGUAUCACGACCCGACUUGAGAUUUAAUUUGUCCUCGUCAGAAGUCCGACCCAAACAAGGGAAUAUGACUUGCCACUCACCAAUUUUUUAACCUUCCAACUUGCCAGCUUUAUGGAGUAACUCGGCACCUUGCGACACUACCUAACAUACCGUGAGAUUUAAGUACAAAUAUCUCUAAGGGUAUGUGUCAAGCUUAAGAGAAAUAACAUAUUAUUAUACAUAUUAUUUAGUUACCCCUAACAUGUCACGUCAAAAAAUCAUACUAUAAAAAAUAGUCCUCACAAGAUAGGAUAGAAAAAAAAAGUCAUCAACAAAAGUAAUUAAGUAACCUUUUUAUAAAACAAAAAGAUUUAUUUUAUUUUGAAAUAAAUUAAUUCUCUAACUUAUAUAAGAAAUUAAGUAAAAUCUUUUUAAAUAAUAAGACAUAAUUUCUCGAAAAAAAAUAAUCAAAUGAGAGCUAAUCAAAAUAAUUUAUUUUUUUAGGCCAAACAAUUUUACUUCAACUAUUUAUAAACACUUUUUAAUCAAUUUUAUUUUAACUCCCAUUAUAAAUUUUAUAAAAAGGAUAAUAUAUUAAAAAUACCCUUAAAUUAUUAGAUUUUGUAUAAAUAAACUCUUAUUUUUUUUAGUUAAAUAAACUCCUAAAUUAUUAAUUUAGUCAUGAAAAUGUUGAUAUAAAAGUAUGAGAAUAAUUUAUUAAAUAAAAAAUUAAUUAUUUUAAAAUAUUUAAAAUAUUUAUAUACAUAAUAAACUUAAUUAAAUUCUCUAGAAAAAAAAUUUAUAUUCUUUUAAAUUUUAUGUUGAUAUAUUAUUUCUAUUUGUCUAAUAAAGUGCAUAACGAGGCAAUAACUAUUUUUUAUGUAUAAAUUAAACAAUACUACAACUUCCGAAGUUAAUAAGAUUAUAUCUAUACUCACCAUCACAAUUAGAGACAGGGGUGAGUAUUCGAUCGAAUUGAGUUAAAAAAUUUUGAAUUAGUCGAGUUAACAAAUCUUAUUUUAGCAAUCGAAAUCAAUUUAAAUUUUUUUAAAUCAAAUCGAAUCGAGUCAAAAAAUUUCAAGUCGAAUUAACGAAUCCUAUUAUUUAUACUCAAUAUUGCGUUUAUAUGGGCUGAUUAUUUAACUGGUAGACGAAGUACAAGAUUAUUUAACUAUAUAAACAAUAUAAUGGUUUUGCAUUGUAACUUAAUAGGUAAACAUUUAUCAAAACGAAAUAAUUUUACCUUUUAAGUUAAUGGUUUUGACUUUUAACUUUUAACUUUAAAAAAUAUAAACAUUUAUCAAUACGACGUAAAUUUACAUUUUCGUAUUCGGAUUUUCGAAUAACUCGAAACGUGUAAUUCAUAUUCGAGUUAAACUAAAAAUUUUAAUUUUUUUAUUUGAGUUAAUCUGAAUAACUUGAUUAAAUCGAAUAACUCGAAUUGUUUAAUUUGAAAUUUGAUUUUUUUAUCGAAUUUUUCAAAUCAAAUCAAAAUUUACUCACCCUUAAUUAGUCAUCAUAACUAAAUUAAAGUUGCCCCAUUAUGCAAUUGCAAGUCUUCAAAGCCUAAAAGUUGUAACAAUUCAAAAUUUCAAUGGAAAUUAAAAUUAAUAUUUUUAUCAUAUAUUAGUCAAAGUUUAUUGCAUCAACAAUAAGUUAAGAUAAAAACCUCAAAUUUUAAAAUAUUUUUACCUCAAUAUAAAAUUUAAGAGCUUUCAUGUAUAAAAACUAAAGGUUAGAGCUUUCAUGUUUAAGGGCUUAUUUAUACUUCAUCUUUAUAAAAAAACACUUAAAUAGUAGUUUAAAUUAUAUAGUUAAUCACUCAAUUUUAGUAAAUUUUCAUUUUAGUCACUCGUUGUUAAUUUGGCUAAUGUAAAUAUUACAUUACACUGAUUUUAGUCACCUAAUUUUCAUAAGAUAGAAUUAAUUUUAUUUUUCGGUAAAAAAGAAAAGAAAAACUCAAAAUUUUACAAGCAAGUACCUAGGUUUUUAUAGAAAAAACUUGGAGUUUUAUAUGAAAAACCUACGUUUUUAUUGGAAUAGUCAUAUUAUCUUUUUUUAUUUCAUUUAUUUUUUUCAUUUAUAAAAUUAAUUUUAGCUUUUUCAAUGAAAAGAAAACCUAAUUUUUUACUAAGAAAAUCAUUUUAUCUUUUUAAUUUCUUUUACUUUCAUAUUUAGAAUUAAUUUUAAUUUUUUUUCCAAUAACAAUGAAAAAAAACUUGGAUUUUUACAAUGAGUUUGUUGGGUUUCCACGAGAAUUGCUUGAGUUUUAUGAAUAACUCAAUUCCUUAAAAAAUUCUAAAAAAAAUUAGAAAAAUAAGAUUAAUUAAAAAAAAUGGAGCAAAAUGAAAAUUUACUAAAAUUAGAUGGCUAAAAUGAAUAUACAAUUGCAUUUUCGUUAGCCAAAUUAACAUGUGAUCAAAAUGAAAUAUUAUUAAAAUUGAGUGAUUAAAAUGAAAAAACUAUUUGAUUUAUUUACACCCUGAUUUUAUGAGCAAAUUCCCCAGCACAAAGCCUAUUUUGACAAUAACAGUUCAAAUGAAAAGUCUUCGCUUACUCUUUGAACGAAACUCUUCUCCCGCUAAAACCACCUCUUCUUCCUCCAAAUUCAAACGCCCAAAGCUUUCUUCCAUCUCUAAUGGCUCUGAUUCAUCACAAUCAUCAUCAUCUCAAGAUCCCCUUAAAACCCAUUUCUCCUCUCUCAUCAAAUCCUCCGAAACCACCCUACAACUCCGGCAAAUCCACGCUCAAAUCCUGCGCCGCCACCUCUCUUCCAGUGCCAAUCUCACCACCCUCUUAAUCUCCGUUUCUUCUUCCUUCAAAUCCAUACCUUACGCGCUCUCUAUUUUCAACUAUUCUCACCACAAAAGCUUAUUCCUUUUCAAUGCUUUGAUUCGUGGCUUGACGGAGAAUUCCCAUUUCCAAUCCUCAGUUUCACAUUUUCUUCUCAUGUUGAGACAUAGAGUUCGCCCUGAUUAACUUACAUACCCUUUCGUGCUCAAGUCUAUUGCGGGAUUGGGUCUUCAUUUCCUUGGUCUGAUCCUUCAUGGGAGAAUCAUAAAAUCUGGGGUUGAGUUCGAUUCGUUCGUUCGGGUUUCGUUAGUGGAAAUGUAUGUGAAGCUCGAGGAAAUGGGUUUUGCGUUGCAAGUGUUUGAUGAAAGUCCUGAGAGAAACAAGAGUGAGAGUAUAUUGUUGUGGAAUGUGUUGAUUAAUGGGUGUUGUAAAGUGGGGGAUUUGGAGAAAGCUAUGGAGUUUUUCGAGGCUAUGCCUGAAAGGAAUAUUGGGUCUUGGAAUAGUUUUAUAAAUGGGCUAAUGAAAAAUGGGGAUUUGAACAAAGCAAUGCAGCUUUUUGAUGAAAUGAAGGAGAAGGAUGUGGUUUCUUGGACUACAAUUGUUAAUGGGCUUUCACAGAAUGGAGAUCAUCAGAAGGCGUUAUCCAUGUUCUUUAAGAUGUUGGAGGUCGGUUUAAGGUCGAAUGAUCUUACUCUUGUUUCAGCUCUUUUCGCUUGCGCUAAAAUUGGUGCACUUGAAGUUGGAGUCCAUAUCCAUAACUAUUUUGUGGAAAAUGGGCUUCGGUUGAAUAAAGCAACUGCUGCUGCUUUGGUUGAUAUGUAUGCAAAGUGUGGGAAUAUCCUAUCUGCUAGUAAGGUUUUUGAAGUAACUGUUGCGCGGAAGCGUGUGAAAGAGUAAAAUUAUUGUACUGAAAAAUCACACUAAGUUCAAUUCCCAGGAAAGAGAGGUGGAUCACGAGGAUCGCUUACAUACCAGAUCUUUCCUAGCCAGAAUAUCCCUCUAUCGUAAUUUAAUAGCACAAUAAAUCACUACAAUGACACUUGCAAAAUAUGCAGAACAAAAAAUAAAGAACACUAGAAUUUUAACGAGGUUCAGCAAAUUUUGCCUACGUCCUCGGGCACUACCAAAUAUAUUUCACUCCAAAAAAUACAAGUGAAAGUUUACAAAUAGGGAGAGAGAACAAUUGCCUUAAGUAGAGAUUGGCAAGUGUGGGAUGAAGAAAGUAAGAAAUGGUUAGGCCUAUUUAUAGUUGAGGUUCAAGGAUCAACUUGCAAUGUCCCUAUACAAUUAGGGACCAAAAUUGCAAUUAUCUCAUGCCAACUUUUAACCCAACUUGCCAACCAAUUUUACUUUCUACUUUCGGUGACCACCCUUUUUGACUUUUCAAACAAUGGGUGGGUUCCAAUAAUCUCCACCUUGAAGAUUUGAUUAGGCUAAUCUUAUCUUCACACAAUUCUUUCUGCCUUUGACAACAAUACUUGAUAGUGCCUUCUUCAACUGUUAAACUUGCAGGAUAUUAAUCAAGUUCAAACAAUGUUCGAACUUGGUUGAUGUUACCACCUUGCUCAUCAUAUCUGCGGGAUUAUCUGCAGUCUUGAUCUUCUGAAGACAAAUUUUCCCCUCUUCAAUAAUUUCCCGCACAAAAUGGAAUCGUACGUCGAUAUGUUUUGUACGUGCAUGAUAGACUUGAUUCUUUGCUAAAUGAAUAGCACUUUGACUAUCACGAUACACGUUAAUAUGCUCCUGAACCAACCCCAAGGUUUUAGCCAUACCUUGUAACCAAAUAGCCUCCUUUACAGCCUCUGUUACAGCCAUGUACUCGGCUUCUGUGGUUGACAAUGCAACUGUAGACUGUAGUGUAGACUUCCAACUUAUUGGUCAUCCAGCAAGUGUAAACACAUAACCAGUGGUUGAUCUUCGAUUGUCCAAAUCACCGGCAUAGUCAGAAUCAACGUACCCAAUAACACCUUUACCAAGUGUAUUAUCCUGCUUGAACAGUAAUCCAACAUCCACGGUCUUCUGAAUAUACCGUAGAAUCCAUUUCACAGCUUGCCAAUGUCCUUUUCCAGGAUUAUGCAUAUACCUGCUCACUAUACUAACUGCCUGUGAAAUGUCAGGUCUUGUACACACCAUUGCAUACAUCAAGCUACCCACUGCAUUAGAAUACGGAACUUGCAACAUGUAUUCUCGUUCCGUAUUCGUCGAAGGAGAUAGUUGUGUAAAAAGCUUGAAAUGAGAAGCCAACGGGGUACUUACAGGUUUUGUCUGCUCGUUCAUGCCAAACUGCUGUAGUACCUUUUUCAAAUACUGCUUCUGAGACAAGCUAACUCUAUCAUGAGCUCUAUCUCUCCAUAUUUCCAUGCCGAGAAUCCUUUUAGCUUCUCCUAGAUCUUUCAUCUCAAACUCGAGAUUGAGUUGAGUCUUCAAUCUUUCAAUUUCAACUUUGCUCUUAGAUGCUAUUAGCAUAUCAUCAACAUAUAAGAGCAAGUAUAUGAAAGUUCCUUCUUGUAGCUUCUGAAAAUACACGCAAUGAUCAAAUUUACUUCUUGUGUACCUUUACCCUUUCAUAAACUGAUCAAAUCGCUUGUACCACUGCCUCGGAGAUUGCUUCAAUCCAUAAAGCGACUUUGUCAGUUUGCAAACCCAAUUUUCUUUUCCAGCAACCUUGAAUCCAUCUGGCUGAGUCAUAUAGAUUUCCUCUUCCAAAUCACCGUGUAAAAACGCGGUCUUCACAUCAAGCUGAACUAGUUCAAGAUCAUAUUGCGCAACCAAGGCUAGCAAAAUCUGAAUAGACGAAUGCUUCACAACUGGAGAAAACACUUCAUUGUAGUCUAUUCCUUCUUUCUGAGCGUAACCCUUUGUUACUAAUCUAGCCUUGUAUCGAAUUUCAUUUUUAUCAGGAAAUCCUUCCUUCUUUGCAUAUACCCAUUUGCAUCCAAUUGCCUUCUUUCCCUUGGGUAGUGUCACCAACUCCCAGGUCUUAUUUUUCUGAAGAGACUGCAUUUCUUCAUUCAUUGCUUGCUUCCACUUUACACCAUCAGGGUUACUUAUUACUUCUGUGUAAGUAGAAGGAACAUCAUCAUCUGUAUUUGGAAAUGCAUAGGCCACUAUAUCAUCAAAGCGAGCAGGCUUACGAAUCUCUCUUCUUGGCCUUCUAUAUGCAAUUGAAUCUUGUUGCUGUAGAGAUUCUUGGGUAGGAACCUCUUCAUCAUUUGUCCCUUCAAUAUUAGCUGGAUCAUCGUUAACCUUUUCAAGCUCCACAUGCUGCAAAGUACUAACGGUUUUGUCAUCCUUUUGUGAAUCCUUGUACUUCAACAUGGUUGAUUCAUCAAAAGUCACAUCUCUACUGAAAACAAUCUUCAUUGUAUCAGAACACCAGAGACGAUAUCCUUUUACUCCAUCAGUUAUACCCAAGAAUAAUGCUUUCUUUGCUCUUGGGUCUAACUUAGAUUCUUUUACAUGAUAAUAUGCAGUGGAACCAAAUACAUGCAAAGAAUCAUAAUCAGUAGCAGAUUUACCAGUCCACAUCUCUAUAGGAGUUUUUCCAUUUAUUGCAGCUGAUGGCAAACGGUUAAUUAGAUGGCACGCAUAUGUAACUGCCUCAGCCCAAAAUUCUUUGCCCAAUCCAGCAUUGGACAACAUACAUCGAACUUUCUCCAGUAUAGUUCGAUUCAUUCGUUCUGCCACCCCAUUUUGCUGUGGUGUAUCCCGAACAGUGAAGUGUCGCACAAUGCCCUCAUCUUGGCAUACUUGUAGAAAUGGAUCGUUUUUGUACUCAGUACCAUUAUCUGAUCGAAGUCGUUUGACCUUUCGACCAGUCUGAGUCUCCACCAUCUUCUUCCAUUUCAGAAAUGCAUCCAAAACUUCACUUUUUCUUUUCAUUAGAUACACCCAUACUUUUCUUGAAUAAUCAUCAACAAAAGUAACAAAAUAGUGCAUACCUCCCAAAGAAGCUACUUUGGUAGGUCCCCACACAUCACUGUGAACGUAGUCCAGAAUUCCUUUCGUAUUGUGAAUUGCUGGACCAAAUUUUACCCUCUUCUGCUUGCCCAGAACACAAUGUUCACAGAAUUCCAUUUUGCAAGAAUUUGCACUUUUCAAUAAGCCUUGCUUCACCAAUGUCUGCAAAGCUUUUUCACCAGCAUGUCCCAAUCGCAUAUGCCAUAAUCUGGUAGCCUCUGAAUCUACAUCUUUUGUAGAAACUGUUGAUGUUGAUCCAAUAACUGUACUUCCAUUUAAAAAAUACAAGUUAUUUCUUCUUGUGCCUUUCAUCACCGUCAGUUGCCCAGCUACUACUUUUAGUAAUCCAUCUCUCAAAGUGAUUGUGAGCCCUUUAGAUUCUAGGGCACCUAAUAAGAUGAGAUUUUUCUUCAGGCUAGGUACGUAGCAAACAUCUGUCAAGACUUGGAUUGAGCCGUCGUGAUUCUUCAAUUGGACUGUACCCACUCCCAUUGUCUUACAAGCACUAUCAUUGCCCAUAAGAACAAUUCCACCUUCUAGCUCUUUAAGACUAGAAAACCAGUCCUUAUUAGGACACAUAUGGUAAGUACAUCCUGAAUCCAAAAUCCACUCAUCCGUUUGACAUGCCAUUGCCAUGCCAACCAAGCUAAAGUCUGACUCCUCAUCAUGCUCCGCUACACAUGCAUUAGAAAUAGCCUUGCCCUUUUGUAGCUUAGGACAAUUCUUUUUCCAAUGCCCUUUUUCACGGCAAAAGGCACAUUUAUCUUUGGCGGGUCUCCCUUUGGACUUUCCUCUUCUACCAGAUUUGCUGCUGUGUGAACGACCUCUUACUGUUAAGACUUCUGCGGUUGUAUCUCUGUGAUCUCUUUUAUCUUUCUUUCGAGUCUCAGAUCUAUACAACGCACUACAGACUGCAUCAAAUGUGAUCGUGUCCUUCCCAUGAAGCAAUGUGGUGGUAAGAUGAUCAUAUUCAUCAGGAAGGGAAUUCAACAACAAUAAUGCAUUGUCUUCAUCUUCAAAUUUCUCAUCCAAAUUUAGCAAGUCUGCUAAAAUUUUAUUGAAUGAGUUCACAUGGUCAUUCAUCGACAUACCGGGUGCAUACGUGAAUCGAUAAAGUUUCUUUUUCAUAUAAAGCCUAUUUUCAAGACUUUUCGUUAGAAACUUUUCUUCCAGUGUAUCCCAUAACUUCUUCGCUGAUGUCUCCCUCAUGACAGAGUACUUCUGCUCUUUGGCCAAACAUAGGCGGAUUGUACCACACGCCUGUCUAUUGAUUUUGGCCCACUCCAUGUCAUCCAUCUUGUCAGGUUUUUCUUCAAAUGCUAUAUCUAGCUCUUGCUGACAUAAGACAUCCAGGAUCUCACAUUGCCACAUACCAAAAUUAUUGGUACCGUCAAAUUUCUCUACUUCAAAUUUUGCAUUUGUCACAGUAGUCCUUGCUGAUGACGAUGCUGCUGCCAUUUUUCUCCUCAAUCCCAACUACUGUAUACGUGAACAGUACUGUAUACGUGAAUAGUACCGUAUACGUGAAUAGUGCCGUAUACGUGAAUAGUACUGUAUAUGUAAAUAGUACCGUAUACGUGAAUAGUGCCGUAUACGUGAAUAGUACUGUAAACGGUCGUAUUCCCCAAGUACGAACCUGGCUCUGAUACCAAUUGUUGCGCGGAAGCGUGUGAAAGAGUAAAAUUAUUGUACUAAAAAAUCACACUAAGUUCAAUUCCCAAGAAAGAGAGGUGGAUCACGAGGAUCGCUUACAUACCAGAUCUUUCCUAGCCAGAAUAUCCCUAUAUCGUAAUUUAAUAGCACAAUAAAUCACUACAAUGACACUUGCAAAAUAUGCAGAACAAAAAAUAAAGAACACUAGAAUUUUAACGAGGUUCAGCAAAUUUUGCCUACGUCCUCGGGCACUACCAAAUAUAUUUCACUCCAAAAAAUACAAGUGAAAGUUUACAAAUAGGGAGAGAGAACAAUUGCCUUAAGUAGAGAAUGGCAAGUGUGGGAUGAAGAAAGUAAGAAAUGGUUAGGCCUAUUUAUAGUUGAGGUUCAAGGAUCAACUUGCAAUGUCCCUAUACAAUUAGGGACCAAAAUUGCAAUUAUCCCAUGCCAACUUUUAACCCAACUUGCCAACCAAUUUUACUUUCUACUUUCGGUGCCCACCCUUUUUGACUUUUCAAACAAUGAGUGGGUUCCAAUAGUAACAAAAGAGAAGGACAUUCGUACCUGGAGUGUCAUGAUAUGGGGUUGGGCAACCCAUGGGUUUUAUGGACAAGCUAUCCGAUGCUUCAAAAAGAUGAUGUUUUCAGGUGUGGACUUAGUAGUUUUCAUUGAGCUCAACCCUUUAUUCUAAUCUUUCUGAAUAAACUCAAGUUUGUCGUAUUUGCAGGAAUAAAACCCGAUGCGGUGGUCUUUCUUACCCUCCUGACUGCAUGCUCACAUUCUGGACAAGUAGAUCUUGGGCUUAACUUCUUUGAUAGCAUGAGGUUUGAUUACUCCAUUGAGCCAACCAUGAAGCAUUAUACGUUGGUCGUUGAUUUGUUAGGCAGGGCAGGCCGACUGGAUGAAGCAAUGAAGUUCAUACAAAGGAUGCCUAUAAGUCCUGAUUUUGUGGCAUGGGGAGCACUUUUUGUGCUUGCAGAGCUCACAAAAAUAUUAAAAUGGCAGAACUAGUGUCAGAAAAGCUCCUUCAGCUUGAACCUAAACAUCCUGGGAGCUAUGUUUUCUUGUCAAAUGUUUAUGCAGCAGUUGGUAGAUGGGAAGAUGUGGAGAGGGUAAGAAUGUUGAUGCAGAAUCAAGCUGUUGGCAAAGAUCCGGAGUGGAGUUAUAUUGAAGUCAAUGGACAAGUGCAUAGUUUUGUAGCUGGUGAUCAUGAUCAUAAGCGUGCAAGAGAAAUAUACUUGAAAUUAGAGGAAAUAGUGUCUGGUGCAAGAGAGCAAGGAUAUAUGCCUGAAACUGGGUGGGUUCUUCAUAAUAUUGAGGAAGAAGAGAAGGAAGAUGCAUUAGGAAGUCACAGUGAGAAAUUGGCGCUUGCCUUUGCCUUAAUGAACACUCCUCCGGGGACAACUAUUAGGAUAGUGAAGAACUUAAGAGUAUGUGGAGAUUGCCAUUCUUUGAUGAAAUGUGCUAGUAAGAUGAGCCAAAGAGAAAUCAUAUUGAGAGAUAUAAAGAGAUUCCACCAUUUCAAGUAUGGGGUCUGCUCAUGUGGAGAUUAUUGGUAAAAUGGUAAGUAACAGCAACAUUAAUUUGCUUUGCUGUUAAUAGCACAUGAUUAGUGCUUCUACUUGGUUUAUUUAGAAUAAUGCUUUUAGUUAAAACAUGGAUGUAGCUACAGCAACACAAGUUUUUUUGUUUGAUAAUUGGUAGCAAGUACAUUAAAUUUCUCCAAUGGACCUUUCUGCACAUAUAUAUUAAACUUGAAACUCAUUAGUUAAGUUUGUACUUUAUUUAGGUAUCUAAUUAACGUUGUUAGAUUUUUUCAAUUUCAACUUAUCAUCUUGUGCCACUUCUUUCUCUUCCCUUUAGUGAAAUUUAGCACUUUAAAAGAUGGGUUGCAUUUUGCUCCCUCUGUCAAAAAAAAUGGACAGAUUAAGCUAUACACGUUAGAUCAAAGAGCAAAUAGGUCUUUUUGUUUAAAAAUCCAUCAAUUUUUGUUGUUAAAAAUCAAUCCAUUUACAUCAACAUAAAAUAUAUAACUGUUUGGGUAUCUCAUCAUCCAUGUUAGUUUUUAGCAAUACAAAUGGAUAGAAUUUUUAACAAAAAAAACCAGUUUAUUGUUUGAUCUAACAUACAAUGACUAAUUUGUCAAUUUUUUAAGUAAAUAAAGCAUAAUGCUAAUUGACUCUUAGUAUAAUAUCUCUAUGGUACUUUUAUCAAUACUAUCUCUAUUUAUGAAAUUAAAAAUACUUAAAUAAUUAGAUUUAUUGUAUAUUGUGAUAAAAAAUUAUGUAAGAAAUGCAUUUAUUAAAAAUCCAUAUAAAAUCUAAAUGAUGAUUGUAAAGUUAAAUGUUCUGGUGCAAGAGAGCAAGGAUAUAUGCCUGAAACUGGGUGGGUUCUUCAUAAUAUUGAGGAAGAAGAGAAGGAAGAUGCAUUAGGAAGUCACAGUGAGAAAUUGGCGCUUGCCUUUGCCUUAAUGAACACUUCUCCGGGGACAACUAUCAGGAUAGUGAAGAACUUAAGAGUAUGUGGAGAUUGCCAUUCUUUGAUGAAAUGUGCUAGUAAGAUGAGCCAAAGGGAGAUCAUAUUGAGAGAUAUAAAGAGAUUCCACCAUUUUAGGUAUGGGGUCUGCUCAUGUGGAGAUUAUUGGUAAAAUGGUAAGUAACAACAACAUUAAUUUGCUUUGCUGUUAAUAACACAUGAUUAGUGUUUCUACUUGGUUUAUUUAGAAUAAUGCUUUUAGUUAAAACAUGGAUGUAGCUACAGCAACACAAGUUUUUUUGUUUGAAAAUUGGUAGCAAGUACAUUAAAUUUCUCCAAUGGACCUUUCUGCACAAAUGAUAUAUGUCCCCAUAAAGAACUUGGUGCUCACGGUAUUGCAUGACAGGUAGCCAUAGGUUAUUCGCUCUCUUGAUUGGUAUCUUACAUUCCUCAAGGUCCAAAAGUUGUUCCUUCUUUUUGUCUGAAGUCCAAACCUAAGAAAAGCAUUGAUGGGCCUUUAAAACUUUGCUCAUUUCACUACAUGAACUAUUGGAUGUUUUGUGUUCAAAUUAGUUUAUGCCAGUAGUGAAAGUACAUCUCUUUCUCCUUAUCCAGUUAUUCUUUUCAGUUGUCAUCAUCUUUCUGUGUCUUGCCUUCUGAAGUGUUUAGAUGACUGCAUUUCUCAAUAUAAUUUUCAUUUGACCUAAAUAGUUGAAAUUAAAGUCCCUUAUCAUGCCAUUCAUUACUUUGCUUCUAUAUGGUAGUUAUUCUUCAAUGUCCAUGAAUUGACAUAUAUCACUGGAAGCAUAAUCUUACUUCUAAGCAUGGGAUUGACCUUCUUUAAUGCAGGUUCUUCUGUAAGACUCAAACCAUAGAUGGGCAAGGCUUGAGAAAAUAAAGUUGUAAGUGUUGAACCAGGAAGGACGAUGUUGGCCAUGUUAUAAACAUUCCUCCAGAAUGACUAAACAUCGAGGAAAAGGUUCAACCAUGAGUGGUCCACUGAAACGUGCUUGGUCGAACACGUGCCAAUUAUCAGCUACGUAUCAAAUCCCACAAUUAUAAAUGUAGAUUGGGUUCCAUGCUCUGGUUAAUCCAUUAGAUGACACGGUCCAUUGAAAAGGUACUAAAUUACUGAUGUUUGGUCCAUAUAUGAAUCUGUUUAUUUAAUGGCCAGCAUUAAUUGUUAAUUCUCUUGUUUGCGGGUGACUUUUCCUCUAGCAUGCCUUAUGGAAAGAAGUGUCAGUGACAACCUUUUAAUCAACAGCAACUUACCCUACUAAUGAGCAUUUGGAGCAUUUCAUAGCUCGUUCAGUUUAUUCAAAGACUCAUUUUUACCUGCACAGCAUGUUCCCGCCCAGUAAUCAGUGGGCCAAUUAAUGAAGGAGAGGAUAGUUUGCUAGACACAUGUUUUUUGUGUGAGCUUUCUGGUCUUUUAUGUAGUUGUGGUGUUGACAAUUUUUGUUGUUCUUUACAUAAAUUCUUAUUGGCUAAGCGCUUGGUUUUCUUUUAUUGGAAAGUGCAUCACAACCUGUCGUUACUCAACAAUGGCCAAUUUUCUUGCAUAUCACAUCUUCAGGCAAUGUGAUUAUGUUGAAAAUUGGCCUACCAUGCUUGCUGUAAUACUUCCGGAUGAAGUACGUGCUAGCAAUUGUUCAUGCUGCAGCACGUAUGCUUGCUGUAACAGCAAGAUUUUUGUUUUAGUUUCACUGUAAUCAGCCUAGUUGGAAAUGAACAAGCUGAUGACAGCUUGAUAUGUUUAGGUGUUGAAUGACUAAUUUAGGUGGCUUGUUUCUGUGUACAAGCAAUGUUUUUAAAGUUAGUAGGCUACUUAGUGGUAGUAGGUAGUAAUAACUGAUGUAGUUGGCUAUAAAUGUAUUGUUUUUUUAUUGAAAAAUUAAGCAUAUCAGUGGUUAAAACAGAUUGCUUCCUUGCUGCACGUUUGUGAGCAAGUAAAUUAUUCUUGCAGCUUGCUUCAUUGUCUUGUUCUGUUCUCUGUUUUCUUCCUCUGCUGUCAAAAAACCCAACAGAUUAGCUAUCGUGAAGAUUUCAACAAAGUCGGUUCGUGUUGAUUCAAGGAAAAAAAGAUAUUACGAUUUGAUUUCCUCACCUAAUUGUUUUACUAUGCGAAGUUGGAUUGUGAGGAAUAUUUUGUUGAUUUCUGCAUUUUGAAUAAAGAGCUCUUAGGUUUGUGUGGCCGACGUUUAUAGUUUUAUCUUUCGAUUUUAUCUUUUUUUUUGUAUGAAAUUUAAAGUUUAAUCAAAACUAAUUGUUAUGUGUAUGUAAUAGCUAUUUGAAUUAAAUUAAAUUGACAAAUCAACGUACACUAGUGCAUACUAAAAAAAAUGUAAUAUAAAAUUAAACCAAAAUUGAAUCUAAAACUUAAAUAUUUUAAAACCUCAAACAUAUGGCAACUCUUCACUCCUCUUUCCCUCUGAAGUUAUUUUAAUUUAAAAUAUAUUUUGUAUAAUGUGUUAUAACAAUUCAACUAAACAAAGUGAUUCUCUUUGCAUAACAUAUUAUAUGCUUAUAUAAACUUUUACACAAUUUGUUAUAGAUACAUUUUUAAUAAUUGAAUGAUGACUCCAUUAAAAAUGCAAUAUCAUAAUAAUUCUACAUUUCUUGCAUUAAUAUAAAAUUUUCCUUUUUUUUUCCUCCAAGCCUUGUUUAUUAUCUUUUGUUUUGCCAAAUGGCAGUGCCAGCUUUCAGGCUAGCUAUCGCCCGCCUUUUUCUCCCUCCCAUUAAUCCUUUUUUUCUUUUUUCUUCUCAUUCACUCCACAUGUCUUCUUUCUUUUCAGUUUGUAGAUCUAUUUUAUGAGAAUCUUUAUUUUCUUCACAAGUUGUGAUAGACAGAUGACGACGCCUAUGUUCGUUAAAACUUCAUCGGCCACCAAUAAUUUUUCAGAAUAAUAAAUAAUUUCAUGAGUCGAUUUGGAUUCUUGUUAUCAUAAGUUUUAUAUAUUUUUUAGUUUGUUUUUCAUUGUUUAAUAGGUUUUUAGUUUUAGAAGUUUUUGUCUACUCUUGUAACACGUUUUUUAGUCUUGCUUAUGCAUGUAACCUUAGUUUUACAAGUGAUUUUAGAGAUGGUUUUGUUACCGUCUUCUCUAGUUUGGUGAAUGCUCAAUUCUUUUGUCCAUUUUUGCUCGUCACUUUGGACCAUUCGAGGCUGAUUUUCUUUAUCGCAUUAAGUGCUUGCGAUCACUCCAAAUAUAUCGUGCUUAAGUUGUGAUAAAGCCUGUACAAGCCCAAUUUUUAUGCCCGGGCCCAAUUGACCCAACAAAACCGAACGGCCCAACAGACUAAGGCCCAAACCCAACAAAGACUAGGGUUUCAGAACCCUAGCCCCUCCAUCAGCGCCGCAUGCUAGGGUCUCUGACUUCUGCCCCGUCGGCGCAAACGGCGCACCUACCCCGUCCGUGUCACGUCUCCUCCAUCGCCCUACACCUGCAAACAAUAAAGAGAGAAGCAGACAACACAAAACAGGGGAAAGAUUGAAUCUUUUUUUUUUGUUCUUUCGGUUAUAAAGCCGAACGUAUCAAAUAAGAAAAAGGGGGGAUUUUUUGCAAAAAAAGAAAAUCACAUCAGAAAUAAGAAAAGGAACAAAGGUUGCUGUGUUCUUCAUUUUAUUCUUUUUUGAUUCGUUUACUUUCAUUUAUUUUUAAACAAAUCCGUUAAAAAAUAUAUCAAUAAAAAGGAAAAGAAAAAAAGGAGCGCACCUGAAUCGCUCUCUGGCUCCGUCGACGGAGGUUCUCUCGCCGUUGUCGGCCCGGAUCUGAAGGAGGGAUUCAGAGCCCUUGUCUCGGCGCUCGUAGGGGUUCAAGGACCCGAUUUUCAAAUCGCCCGAAGGCCAGGCUUUUUAAAAACCCUUUGUUGCGCUUCGUUGGCCGCCGUUUCGGUGGCGGUGCGACGGACAGACGGACGAUGGUGAAAAGCCAAUCGUCGGAGGGCAUGAAGAGAGAGUGGGGGAAAGAGUUCUGAAUUUUUUUUUUUAAAAGAGGGAUGAAAUGAUUUUUUUAGGGGUUUUGAUUUAUAUAAGGAUCCAAAACGGCGCCGUUUUGGAAGGGUCAGAAAGCCCCUAAAACGACGCCGUUUUUGCAUAAGACCCGAGACCCAACCCGUCUGCCUUAGGGGAUCCGCGUGUUUUUUACGGAAGGGCUAAUUUCACGUUUAAUCCUUCCGCUUUUUAAUUAUUUUAAAAUUAGGUUCUUUUGAUCUUUUUAAUUUUACCCGGAAAUUGUUUUCGUUUUCAAUUUGAUCCUUACCCAAACUACGUCGUUUUAAAGAAAGGGCCAUUUCUUUGUUGGUCCCUCCAUGUUUUAUGCUUGUUUAGAGCAGUCCUUCCCUUUUCGUUUAUUUGCGUUUUGAACCCCCCGAAUUUUGUUUUAAUGUUUAAUCUAAUCCUUCUGCUAUUUUGUUUAUUUUCUUAACAAAUUUAUUAUUAUUAUUAUUAUUACAUAUUCAUUUAUAACAUCUAAUUUUAGAUUUAAUCAUAUAUAUAAAUAUACGUCCAUGAUAUAUACCUACUUUUUAUAUAUACUUUAUAAUUUAUAUAUACAUAUACACAUUUUAAUUUAUGUACAUAUCUACACAUAUUUUUCAUACUUUACUCAUAUAUAUAUACAUGUACUUAUACAUAUUCUUUAUAUCUUAAAAUCCAUAUUUUUCUUAUGUAUAUAUUUUAUAUUUUAUAUUUUAUAUAUAUGUGUUUAUAUAUUCUACGAUAUAUAUUUAUAUGCAUAAUAAAUACAUAUCUAUAUACGUUUCGAUUUUUAUAAACACAUAUAUAUGUAUGCAUACCUUUAUAUUUCUUAUAUUAAAUACAUAUAUAUAUAUUUAUAUAUCCCUUUAUACUUCUAAAAUCAUAUAUUUUGUAUAUAUUCUUUAUAUUUUAUGAUUCCUAUAUGUACCCACAUAUAUACUUUUUGUAUUGUAUGAUUGUUAUUUACGUAUAUGUACGUACAUACAUACUUACACCUAUUUUCAUGUAUAAUAGCCUUAUAAUAUGUGUACAUACAUGUAUUUUUCAUAUUUCCAUAUACAUACACAUAUAUCUUUUUAUUUUAUAUAAUCUUACUCAUUUUAUUUAUUUAUUUAUUUACAUGUCUAUUAUUAUUAUGCUCUAGUUUUUAUUUAUUUAUUUAUUAUUUGUUAUUGUGCUUGCUUGAUCCUUUUAUAUAUUAAUCUUAUUUUUUAUUUUUAUUUUGAUCAUGUCAUUUUACUUACAUUAUCAUCAUCAUUCCGUUACACUCAUUUUUUUGUUUAGAUUUCAAAAAAAAAAAGAAGAAAUUUUAAAAAUAAGUAACACUCGGUAUUUUGGAUCUUCGAGAGAAUCGAGUCCUAACGUAUUGGGUUCCGACUUUCUUCGUUGAAUUUAAAUAAUCGAGAUUACUCUUUUAAAAAUGAUAAAAAAGCUCGUUAUCGAGAAUUCAAUACGUUGUGUCCCAACGGAUUGGACGUAACACGGUGUUUUCUCGAGACGAGGAUUUUUCGAAAUAAACGUAAUAUUCAAUGUUUAAUCUUUUGAGAAAUUGUGCCCUAACGUAUUGGGUUGUGAUUUCUUCAUUUGAUUUAAACAAUUGAAUAUCCUUUUAAACUUUAUUACAUGGAUCUUUUCAAACUCAAGUUUUAAACAACCUCGGGAAUUAAAAGAGGAUCGUGUCCUAACUUACUGGUCGUAAUCCCUUUUUUAAUUCGAGAUCGUUAAAUAUCUUUUAAAUAAGCUUUUUUCAUUCGCGUAUUGGGAAUUCGACAUAUUGUGUCUUAACUUGCUAGAUAUGAUAUUCUGUCUCGAAUAACGUGAAAUAUGCCCCUUUUCCUGAAAAUUUUCAACGUUUUAAUACAAGGAUCGUAUUUUUAAAAUUCUUCUAAGUUAUCAAUUUUCGACACUAAGACAUUAACUAAUCAACUAGGUACCAAUUUUGGGCGUAUCGAGGGUGCUAAUCCUUCCUCGUGCGUAACCGACUCCCGAACCCGUUUUUCUGAAUUUCGUAGACCAGACUUGUUGUUUUAAUAAAAUUAAAUUGUUUAUUAAAAACAACCACUUUUCGAGGUGAUCCAAUCACCCCUCAUAAAAAAGGAUUGGUGGCGACUCCCGUUUUUUUAUUUUCGUCAAAACCCAAGUCGACCCCGUUUUUCAUCCAAAAAAAUGGUGUCAACAAAGCCAAUUGUCAACAUGUCAUAACGUUCUAUUUAUGCUAAGGCUAAAGCCUUCGUUGGGUUGUUGGAGCUUGUCAUUUACCAUCUACGACGAGUGCUUAUUUUUUUCCCUGAAUUGUAUGAUUCCAUUCAUUGAAUGAAUUAACGAAUUUACCUUUCAAAAGAAAAAAAAUUCAUAAAUUUUGAAAUACAAAAUGAAUGUGUUUUGAUAUUUUUAGGGCAAUGGUUUAGUGGUUUAAAUUUUUUUAUUUAAUAUGGUGAAUUUAAUUAUAAUUUUUUAUUUAUUAGAUAGUAGAAUAUCUCUUACCAUUUAUAAUUAAGUUUAGGUUAAAAUAUUUUAUUAAAUUUUUGGACUUUUCACAAAUUUUAAAUUUAAUCUGUUUACUUUUAUUCAAGAAUUUAAUCUCUCUGCAUAUAAAGGAGGUAAUUAUGGCAAGGGGAAUUACCAUGGCAGAGGUAGCGGAGGCUGAGGAAGAGAUGCUGGAUAUGCUGAAGAAAGAUAGAUGGCUGAGAAACAGAAAAACUUUAGGAACAAUAUUCAGUGUUAGAAGUAUGGGGAUGUGAAGGCAGAUUGUUGGAAAAGGGGAAAACAAGCAAAUUAUGCGGAAGAUGAUGAAGAGAUUUAAGUUAUUUAUGAGCUGUCUAGAUGACACCAUAGCUUCAACUAACAUUUGGCUUCAAGGGCGUAUAUCUCAUGAUGAAGAGAUUGUCUCUCUUCUUUUUUCUCAUAACAUAUUAUACGCCAUGAUAAUAAAUUUUGAUAUGCCUAUAAAUUUGAGUCUCUAUUAUUUGUAAUAUGACAUGUUUUAAUUAUUUUUUAUAUUAUGCCAUGAUUUGGUUCACUCCAUAAGUUAUAUAAAUUUAUUAUAAUAAUUCAAUUAAUUUAAUUUAGAUUAAUUUUACAUUUUUGUCCUAACUUUAGUUUUUAAUAAUUGAAUCAUCCCACCAUUAUAUUCAAUUACAAGUGUAAUACGAUUUUGCGUCAUCCCGCACCAUUAUUCUCAGUGUAAUUUUUGGUAGUGAGCAUUGAAGGGGAGAGAGAGAGAGAACAAAGAAAGAACUUACUGUAAUUUUUGGUGUAUGUAAUCGAUAACCCUCAAUGCUUAAAAUGAAAAAGAAAAUAGAAAACAAAGGUGGCAAAGUUAGUUACAAUGCCAGCUAAUUCGUUAUUGCUAUCCACAUGAAGAAUUUUAUAACCCCAACUACACGAUUUUAUGUCUACCAGCUCUCACUUUUCAUAUUUUUUGGCCAUUAGUUAUUCUAAGAUUUAACAUCACCGUUAAGCCAUGUUUAAACUCUUUUUCUUAUAUAAUAAUUAUAUUAUAUUUAAAAUUGAAAAAACUAACCAACCAAAUAUAUAUUAAUUAAUUAAUAGAAGUUUUUUGGUCAUCGAUUAAAAUAAAUCAAGAAAGACGUUGGAACCACCAACUUCUCUUUAAGAACAACACGAAUACAAGAAUCUAUGCACAACAAGUUCUAAAAUGUAUUAAGUAAAUUCAUCAUCAUGCCUUAAAAAAAGAAGAUCUCGAUAUAUCUGCUUUUGCCAAAGCAUCCGCCAUACCAUUACUUUGCCAGUGAAUAAUUGUGAACUGAAACUUAGCCAAUUGAGUGAUAUUAAUUAUAGAAAUGAUUCUUCUUGCAACCAUAGAUGAAACACCACUGAGACUAACAAACUUGGAGAAACUUGAUUUGAGUUUUAACAUCUUCAGGAACAACACAAUUUCGUUUCUUGAAGGACUUUCAAACUUAAAUUAGUCCUUGGAUAUGCAUAAUAACACUCUGCAAGGCUCAUUAAUAGAUAUUAAAGGUACUGAAGCUAUAACUUUUUUUUCUUGAUAAUUCUUUUUAAAAUAUUUCAUAAUUAAUUGUUCUGAAUUUGUACAUUCACUUCUCACAUUUCUGGGUUUUUUUUGUCCUCAACUAAAUUAAACUUAUGCAAAUUUCUUGAAUAUUUAAGUUAAGAGUUAACGUCAAAGUCAAGAGUUGAUAAGUAUUUUGUGGUCCAUUCAUAUCUUUAUUACAAAAAAAAAAUAUUCAAGAAAUUUGCAGCUAGUUGGAGUUUUGCAAUAAGGAAUUUCCACCAAGAGUUUUGGAGGAAUCAUAUCUCUAACAAAAGAAAGACCUUCAUUUGACUAAAUUUUUUAGUAUUUAUUUUAACUUCCAUUUUUAUUAAAAAAAAGGUAAAAAAAUAUGCCAAACAGGGUCUUUAGGUUACUUUUUUUAGAACUAUAUUAUGUUAUAGUACCAUAUAAGUUAGAGGAGCACAAGUUUAGAUUCAUCCAAUUUUUGAGGAAUUAAUUAAAUAUAUAUUAUUUUAAUAUUAUAGUGUAUAGGGGCAAAGUUAGAAAAAAAUUUUUGUGGAGUCGAAAUUAAAUUAUAGUUUUUACAAUAGUUAAAAAAAAUAAUUUCACUAUUUUAAAAGCAUAUAUGUUGUAAGCACUAAAUUUUUGUCCGACUAGAGUUUGUGUUUAAUUUUCAAAAUUUCAAAAAAAAAUUUUAAAAAUAAAAAUUGCAUUUUGACCCCUAAAUUUUUCCUAAAUUUCAUUUUGACCCUUAAACUUUCAUUAAAUUUCACUUAGACCCCUAAACUUUCAUUAAAUUUCAUUUUAAUCCUAAAUUUUCUAAAAAUUACAUUUAGCCCCAGAAGUUUUGCUGUAUUUGUGAUUUGGUCCUUCAGACACGUUACGUGAUUUGGGGCACCCACUUCCCAGAUUUUCAGGCCACAAUCACCCACUACCUGCAAACAAUGAGAAAGAGGACAAAAUUUGGAGCUUUUAAAAAGAAAAAAAGAGAAGAGGAAGAAAAAAAGGAGAGAAAAAAACAAGCAGAAUUUUUAGAGAAAAAUAAAAAAAGAAGCUCUCAAUCCGGCCGAUUGCCUCCACCGCCACCACGUCCGUUGCGCCACCACCAUUGUCAUCUCACCAUCGAGUCCUAAACGCAAACAAAACAAAAACAAAGAAAAAAGCAAGCAAAAGAGAAAAGGAGAAAGUGCAAAGAAGAAAAAGAAAAAGGAAAAGGGGAGAGAGCAUACCUCCGUGCACGCCAUUGUCGGCCGUCGCACCAGGCGGAGGGACAUCACCGGCGAGACAAAGGAGGUGCUGCUGAUCGGGGAGAAAGAAAGGAAGAAAAAGAAGAAGGAAAGAAGAAAAGGGGAAGAAGAAAGAAAGAAAAAAGAAAAAAAAACUAAAAAAAAUAGCAGGCCAUUUUGGUGGACCAGAUUCAGCCCAACAAGAAGCAGCCCAAACCAGUCCUUUGGCAGCCAAUAGCAACAGCCCAACAGCAAAAAAAAUAAUAAAAGGGGAGGCCCAAAAUUUAAGCCCAUAACUUUGGGCUUUUGGGUAAUUUUUUUUCUUUUUUUCUUUUUAAUCUAUUUUAUUUUAUUUUAUUUAUUUAAAUGGUGUUUUAUUUAAUUUAAAUUAGUAUGCUUUAAAACAGUUUUCAUAAAUAUUAUUAUGUCAUUUAAUUGCAUAUUUUUUUUAAAAAAUAAUAAUAUUUUAAUGCAUAAGGCAACGAACCGAUUUAGCAUCGAGUCAUCGAAUUCAUCGCUAUGUUGGAUGGAUAUCGAUAGCUCGUGUUAAAUUCGGGACACCCUUUUAAAAAUAAAAAUAUUCAAAAAUCCUCGUAUUUUAAUAAAAAUUCUCGUGUUUUAUUAGAAUCCCGAUUAAAUAUUAAAUUGAAUUGAGUUAACAUUAAUUCGAUGGUUUCAUCGCCAUAUCGGGAUGAAUAUCAUCGAUUCGUGUUAAAUACGGUAUUUUUUAAAGAAAAAUUGUGUUUCAAAAAUUUUCAUGUCUUCAAAAUUUCUCGUGUUUCGUAUUUUAUCAAAAAAUUUAUGUUUUCAAAAACAAAUUUUCUGUUUUAAAAAUUUUCGUGUUUCAAAAAGAAGAUUCGUGUUUUCAAAAAUAAAAAUAAAAAAUCUCGUGUUUUAAAUUCUUCGUGUUUUUUAAAAAAAAAUUUUGUGUUUCUAAAAUUCUUGUAUUUUAAAAUUUUCGUGUUUUCAAAAAAGAAAAAGUUGUUGCGCUUUAAAAUUCUCGUGUUCAAUCGGAUCACGACUAAUAUUAAAUUGAACUCGUAUUUUUGAAAAUGAAGACAAUGCGCGUUUAACGAGAUACCAAUUUUGGGCGUUGCGAGGGUGCUAAUACCUUCCUCGCGCGUAACCGACUCCCGGACCCUAAUUUUCUCUGGAUUUUUACGUGGACCUAAAAUUACCUCUUUUUUAGAAAAGUUUAAAAAUAAAUUUUUCUUCUAAAAAGAGAAUUUUAUAGGUGUCCGAUCACACCUAGAAAAAAUAUCGGUGGCGACUCCUUUUUCAAAUAAAAUCGAGAUUCAGUUUUCAAAUUUACAAUAAUUACUUCGACUAGCGCCCGUGCCGAAAUUUUUAGGUCGCUACAGCUGGCGACUCCGCUGGGGAACCUUUUUGAGAGUCGAGUCGAAUUAAACUCGCGUUGUCAAAAUUUUCAAAGUUUCUUGUUCAAAUUAACAUUUAGUCGUGAUCCUUAAAUUUUUUGUUUUCAAAAAAAUCAUGCAUUUGCAUCGUGUUGUAUAUAUUCUAACUUGUUUUAUCAGGUUGUUUUUCAGCUUUAAAUUUUUGCGGUUUUAGUUUUGGUUUAGUUUUUCUAAAUAAAACGUAAAGGUUUACAAGUUUCUCCCCACACACCGUGCACGUGCAUUUAUGUUGCAUAACAUGAGCUCUAUACCCGGGCUCUGUCCCUGUUAAGAGAAAGUAAAUGCUACGCCUUCGUGAGUUAACUCGUUCCUCCGCACAGGCUAGUGAAUACUUUCGGGUUACAUAUGACUUAUGCUUUCGUGAGUUAACUUGUCCCUCCGCAUAGGCAUAAGUAAAUGUAAUCCCUCGAAUUGAUCUCGUAAGCCUAUGAUGGGCCAUGACCGAGGCUCUGUACUAAUCUUAGUAGAUGACAGUGCAGACGAUUCGAGUACCCACCUAGAACCAAAACCGCAUAUAGUGAACCAUACGAGCUAUCCAAUUAGAGUCAUGCCGAACCUCUGUCCGCUUAUAGUCAUCAAAAUAAGUACACGGGGAAAAUGCCUUUUGCCUUUCAUUUACACUGUUUAUGCAAAAUAAUUGGAUUGGGUAGUUUAAUUUGUUUUUCAAAUUAUAUUUGUUGUGUUUACUAACCAAGUUUGUUUGUUUUUACUUUUAUUUUCAUCAUGCAUCAUAGGCAUCAUAUUAGGAAGGUGUUGAUUAAAAGUUGGUUGCCAAAAAACGGGUUUCUGAUGGAAGAGUCAAUUACACAAAUAACCGAGAAGAAUGCCGUGGUUCGGGACUGGUCUCUAAAAAUUCAGAGAGAAAAGAGGGAUAGUCUAGUGGAAGGGUGUGUCACUAAUUUGCCCGAACAUAUAACUGUAAAUGUUCGCCAAAAUAACUUUGAGGAUUUGGUUCAAAUUUGGAAUCAGUGGGAUUCAGACACUAGAGACAUUUUCACUCAGAGGUAUGGAGAUAUAGCUCACCUGAUCAUCAUCCAUGUAGACGAACAGUUGAUUCAAGCCAUGGUUCGGUUCUGGGACCCAGCUUAUCAGUGUUUCACCUUCAAUCAAGAAGACAUGACUCCAACCAUAGAAGAGUAUGCUGCUUUACUCCGCAUCGACAAUGUACAAUUCGGCAAAAUAUAUGUGAAGGAGCCUAAACCGAUGACCUUCAAGAAAAAGUUAGUGAGACUGACAGACAUGACUGAUGCAUGGGCCGAAAAACAGAUAAAGAAGAAGAAUGAAACCAUUUGCAUUCCAUGGUCCUCCCUACGAGAUUUGGCUCUGAACCAUCCCAACAUGCUGAAAAGGGUAAAUCUAUUCGCUUUGGCCAUUUACGGUUUGGUCAUUUUCCCAAAAGUUCUCGGACAUCUCGAAGUUGCAGUAGUUGAUUUCUUCGAAAGGUUAAAACAAGGAAUCAACCCUGUCCCGACCAUCCUAGCCGAGACCUUCAGGUCCCUGAGUAGUUGUCGAAAAAAAGGGGAGGGACGAUUUAUCAGAUGCGCGCAGUUGCUCAAUGUUUGGAUUUUGAGUCACUUCUGGAAGGUAGAGCGCACUCCGUUCCAUAUGUUUUCUAAAACAUUCUCCCCGCUAGAAGCUUACCUCAAUAAAGAAUGGCCGAAGGAAGUCACCGAGCAACAUUGGGUAUCAGUUUUUCAAAAUCUUCGCACCGAGAAUAUAACAUGGAGAGCACCCUGGAUCCGUCCUUCAGUUCUGCUAUACAAAUGUGGAAGCCAAGAUUGGGUACCUCUACUCGGGUUUUGGGGAGGAGUUGGAUAUGCUCCGCUAUUAGUCCAAAGGCAAUUUUCUUCGCGACAAUUCCUCCCCGCAACUGGAGGAUUAGCACAGUUCGAGUUCGCUUUUGCGGGUGAAGGAUAUAUGAAGAGAGUCCGAGACACUGCAAAGUAUUGGAAGGAAAUUCAUUUCAUGGAAUUAGCUUUGUAUGUUGAUACCCUUACCCAAGAUUACGACAUAUGGAGGAAGCAACGGGUAAAUAGUCAGCAAAUCUCAUCAACAAACUACACCAUCCAGAAUCCUUUCUCGGAGAAAACGCCGUCUGAGCUAGAAAUGGCAAGACAAGAAUUCGAACGAGAAAAGGCCAAGAUGUCUCGGGACCUUAGUGCCCUUCAAGAAGAAAACUAUCAACUGAAGAUUGAAGUUCAGGUUGAAAGGUCCAGGACUGAAAAGUACAAAAAGAAGCCGAGAUUGUGAGAAACGACUUAAGGGACCUUCAUUUGGAAAACAAGAAAUUAAGAAACACUAUAAAGAAUAGCGGGUUGGGUAAGUCGACAGCAGAAUGGAAGGAAGAAAUUAGCAAUAUCAAGGGAGGAAUGGAGUUUUGGAAGGGAAAAGUAAAGAAAGAGGAGGAAAAGGCUGCGCGCGCUGUGAUAGAGUUAAGAAGGAAGAACGACGAGUAUGAAAUAGUGACUGCAAAAUUUGCGAAUAGUCAGUCUGAAUAUCAAGAAUUAAAAAGGAAAGCACGAGAUCUAGAAAAUAUGCUGCAAUCUCGUCAACAACAAUUAGAUAACCUCCUGAAGGCUCUAGAGGAAAAGCAUGAUCAGUACGAUAGGGACAUUCAGGCGUAUGAAGGAACUCUCAAAGAAAAAGAAAUGCAACUCGACUUCUUGAUCAAUGAAAUUCGUAAAGCGGCUAUGCAAGUUGUUCAAUUAUCAGAUGAAGCCGAAGUUAUCAGUUGCCAAUUCCCUCCGAGCCAAAGAUCGAGCAUAUCAGAGUUUUUAGAGCAAGUGAAUAAACAAGGCAAUGUGGCUAGGAAAUUUGUGUAACUGUUGGAAAAAUGAGAACUUUGUGUAAUAGACUAUGUUGAUAAAUGAAAUGCCUAAAUAUGGGGCUAUCUUGAAAUCAACACCAAAUUCUUGCAUGUUUACUCAUAACUAACAUUUAUGCAUCAUUUAUUCUUUGGACAUUCAUCCAUUCAUAUACUCAUUCAUUCAUUCAUCACGAGUACAUAUCACCAUAAUCAUCCACCGAAACUAAAGAACCGUAUAAUCCGCAGUUGCAAGAUUUCAAAUCUGGAACCACGCAAUUCCUAUAAAACGCGCCGACAAGCUAGAGUAAUGGAGGAUGAAUUCAAUGAGAGAAUUGAAAGGAUGGAAAGGGCUCAAAAGGAAUUACAAGAGUAACUGGCCAAAUCGCAGCAAGAGACGAGAGACCUAAUGGUGAGAUCUCGAGAGGAAUCACUCGAGCAAAGAGAUCAGAUGGCUAAAAUGAUGGAGAUGAUGACAACUUUGGUCAAAGGAAAAGGACCCAUGCAGAACUCCGAUGUUAUGGAACCUCGGUCAAGAAUUCACCAUGAUCAGGAUCCACUUUAUCCCCCAGGAUUUACUCCACCUCAUGUCCACGCAAUACAACGAGGAUACCCCCAAAGGGAACCUACAGGCCUAGAACAACAUCUUGCUCCGCCCACUAAUUUGGGGCAAGGAAUGUUAGCGUCGAACCUUGGGGCUAGUCCUGCUAAUCCACUAGUUCCAGAUCUGGAUGACCUAGCAGAGGCAGCCAAGUUGAAAUUGGAUAACCAUGACGCAAAAUAUAGGAGUCUAGAGGAAAGACUCAAAGCAAUAGAAGGCACUGAAGUCUUCUCCGCACUAGGUGCCAAGGAACUCAGUUUGGUACCUGAUCUAAUUUUGCCUCCGAAGUUCAAAGUGCCUGAUUUUGAGAAAUAUGAUGGGACAAGGUGCCCAAAAGCACAUCUCAUUAUGUUCUGUCAAAAAAUAACCGGUUAUGUGAACGAGGAUAAGCUACUCAUACAUUGCUUUCAAGAUAGUCUAACAGGGUCAGCUCUUCGGUGGUACAAUCAACUUAGUAGAGAAAAGAUUCGAUCCUGGAAGGACUUGGCGUCAGCAUUUUGCGAACAGUACAAGCAUGUAUCGGAUAUGGUGCCAGACCGUAUGACCUUGCAAAUGAUGGAGAAAAAGCCAUCAGAGACCUUUAGACAGUAUGCGCAGAGAUGGAGAGACGUCUCAGCUCAAGUGGAACCCCCACUAACAAAAACGGAGAUAACCGUUCUCUUUAUCAAUACUUUAAAGGCACCGUUUUAUGACAAAUUAGUGGGAAGUGCCACGAAAGAUUUCGCGGAUAUUGUAAUAUCCGGUGAACUCAUAGAGAACGCCGUCAAGAGCGGUAGAAUGGAAGGAUCAGAAGGCUCAAGAAAAGCAGCACCCUUAAGGAAGAAAGAGCCAGAAGCCCUCAUGGUGGGAACUGGGAGUCGUUACAUUCCCAAUUCAUAUCCUAAUCAACCCCGACCUCGAGAUUAUCCACCCUCGAGUUUCCAUUAUCCCCCUCAAACCCCUUGCUACCAAGCACCACAUCCGUCCUGCCCCGUAUACGCUACGAACAACCAAAGACCCGUCACCACUUUCCCACAAAACACGGUACCCACCCAAAGCCAACCCAGAAACGAACCAAGACCAUCAAGGCAUAAUCCUGAGAGACCGCAAUUUACCCCCAUCCCUGUGUCGUAUGGGGAAUUGUACCCAAAACUUUUAGAAAAAUAGCUAAUUUCUCCCCAUUACAUGGCACCCCUUAAACCUCCAUACCCAAAGUGGUACGAUCCAAACGCUAGUUGUGCAUACCACGCAGGGAACCAAGGGCACUCUACUGAGAACUGUCUCACUUUCAAAAGGAGAGUUCAAGGACUCAUUGAUGCGGGUAUCCUACGAUUCGAUAGUGCUAGUAAAGCCACGGAGAACCCGUUCCCUAACCAUACCGAAGGGAAUGUGAGCACAGUGGGGAAAGAGGAUGAAUGGAAGGUCAGAAGAUGUGUAUCAGAAAUAAGGACGCCUCUGCAGAAAAUCUGGGAGGUAUUGGUUAAGAAAGGAUUGCUCUGUCACUCUGAUAGAAUUUUUGGAGAAGAAGGUCAAAGUUUUUGCAAUUUUCAUGGGAUUGUUGGGCACGACAUUCAGUCGUGCGAGGACUUUAAAAGGUUACUUCAAGACUGGAUGAAUAAUAAAGAGAUCAAGGUCCUUAACAAGAGUGAAGAUGCCAACGAAAGAGAAGUAUGUGUCUCUGAUAGCCAAUCACCAGGUCCCCCUUAUAGUGCUGAUCGACCGUUGGUAAUUUAUUACGACGCGAUGAGAGAGCCCUUGAAACCACAGAUGGUAAUUGAAGUACCAUCUCCUUUCCCGUAUAAGGACAACAAAACAGUACCGUGGAGAUAUGAUGUUAAUAUCGUUACACCGGAAGUUGAAAAGUCCAAAGCCAUAAUUGAAGAUGUUGGGGAGGUAGGUCAUUUUACUCGAAGUGGACGAUGUUAUUCUAAAGAAGUUGAAUCGGUAAAGAAAAGUAGCGACUCGAAGCAAAAAGGAAAAGCAGUGAUGCACAAGGUCGAAGUCGAGCAAGAAAUUCCACCCGUGCAAGAAACUAAAAAGCUUGUGAAUGAGGAAGAAGCUCAAGAAUUCUUGAAAUUUAUUAAGCACAGUGAAUAUAGUGUGGUGGAACAAUUGAGCAAGCAGCCAGCACGAAUCUCAGUUCUAUCUCUACUGUUAAAUUCAGAGCCACACCAGAACGCUUUAUUGAAGGUGUUAAAUCAAGCUUACGUGGCCAACAACAUAUCUGUCGAAAAGCUUGAUAGGUGGGUAAACAAUCUGAAUGCGGACAACUUCAUCUCUUUUAGUGAUGAUGAGAUACCGCUAAAUGGUAGAGGUUCGGUGAAAGCGCUGCAUAUCACGACCCGCUGCAAGGGCUACAUAAUACCGAACGUACUCAUCGAUAAUGGGUCAGCGUUAAAUGUUAUGCCAUUGGCUACACUUUCCAAAAUACCGAUGGAUUUGUCCUACUUAAAGCCCUGUCAUUCCAUGGUAAGGGCAUUCGACGGGACGAAGUGCAAAGUCAUGGGAAAGAUCGAAAUCCCUUUGGAAGUGGGCCCCUACAUCUAUGAGGUCGAAUUUCAAGUUAUGGACAUUACACCCUCUUAUAACUGCCUUUUGGGAAGACCUUGGAUUCAUUCUGCAGCAGCAGUCCCAUCAUCCCUCCAUCAAAAAGUGAAAUUCAUCAUGGAUGGCUGUUUGGUCACAGUCGAGGGCGAAGAAGACAUUAUCGCAUCUAUCUCUGUUGAUGCGCCAUACCUGGAAGUAAGCAAGGACGUAGUGGAAUGUUCCUUUCGAUCCCUUGAAUUCAUCAAUGCCACUUUCGUCGCUGAGGGAAAUAGAAUUUCGAUGUCAAAACUGUCGAGAAAUACCAGAAUGGGUGUCAAGUUGACCGUAGGAAGGGGAGCUUGUGCGAGAAGAGGUUUAGGGAGACAUAUGCAAGGAAUAGUGAGGGCUUUAAAGCCAGUGCACCACAAGGCCUGAUACGGUUUGGGGUUCCAGCCUGACAUGCGCCAAAGAAGAAGACAGUGGAAGAAGGAUCAAGAAAGAAGAAUUGCAAGAACUUUGGGCCGAGAACCAGAAUGGGAACCAAUAGAGUACCCUCCUUUGUCAAAAACAUUUACAUCUGCGGGAAUGAUGUACCCUGGACAAGAGGAUCCACGAAACAUGCUGGGAUUAAUUGAAAAGGAUUUUCAGAAUGUUAGUAUAAAUGUCAUUGACAAAGAAGCUGGUGCAAGUAAAGAUGUCUCGAGGAUACGCCAUUGCCCUCCUGGUUUCAUGUUGAACAAUUGGAUAGCUGAGGAGCUUCUUGUAGUUUAUAAGCCUUCAGAGUAAUGCUAAACAUCAACCUUCUAUUGUGUCCUUAGAUAUAAUAGAGUUCUUUUGUAAGAGUUUGCAUUCGCUCUUUAUCAUUUAAAUGAAUAUCAAUGAAGAUGCAUUUUGUCACGAUUUUUCGCAUUAUCACUAAUUUCAUAAUCAUUUUCUCAUUUCAUAGCCUAUCCUUACAUUUGCCUCAUUGCCAUGACAUAAAAUUUUGUUUGUUGUUUCCAAUACUUGGAUGUCCCCCGAUAGCUUCCUUUUCCAUUCAACUUUCAGGUGCUCAGAUAUUGACGACAUGAAUAAGCCCGUUACGAAUCUUGAAAUUGAUUUUGAGAAGGCUGUUUGCUUAGGAGAAUUUGAAGCCGAAGAAAAUGCUGAAGAUUAUGUCUCGUCUCUUGAAUUGUUAAGAAUGGUGGAACAAGAGGAUAAACAGGUUCUGCCUCAUGAAGAAUCUGUAGAAACAAUAAAUUUGGGCACUGAAGAGAGGAAACAAGAAGUGAAGAUUGGGACUUCUAUUUCAGAAAGUACCAGACGUAGUUUGAUCACUUUACUCCGCGAAUACAAAGAUGUUUUCGCGUGGUCAUACCAGGACAUGCCAGGGCUAGAUGAAGAUUUAGUGGUCCAUAAGCUCCCAUUAAAGCCAGAAUGCAAGCCCAUCCAGCAAAAAUUAAGACGGAUGAGGCCCGAAAUCCUGUUGAAAAUAAAAGAGGAAGUCAAGAAGCAAUUUGACGCUGGCUUCCUACAAGCCUCCAAAUAUCCAGAAUGGGUGGCUAACAUAGUCCCGGUACCAAAGAAAGAUGGAAAAGUACGAAUGUGCGUGGAUUACCGUGACCUGAAUCGAGCAAGCCCAAAAGAUAAUUUUCCCUUGCCACAUAUUGACACGUUGGUGGACAACACAGCAAAACAUUCAUUGUUUUCUUUCAUGGAUGGAUUCUCGGGGUAUAAUCAGAUCAAGAUGGCUCCUGAGGAUAUGGAGAAAACUACCUUCAUAACAAUGUGGGGAACGUUCUGCUACAAGGUGAUGCCAUUCGGGUUAAAGAAUGCUGGGGCAACAUAUCAGAGGGCUAUGGUGACAUUAUUCCAUGACAUGAUGCAUAAGGAAAUAGAGGUCUACGUCGAUGAUAUGAUUGCUAAAUCUCGAGGAGAAGAAGAGCAUGUAAUGAACCUCAAGAAGUUGUUCGAAAGGCUGAGAAAGUUUCAGCUAAAGCUUAAUCCAGCCAAAUGUACAUUCGGGGCUACCUCGGGAAAGUUGCUAGGCUUCAUUGUCAGUGAAAGAGGUAUCGAAGUUGAUCCAGAUAAAAUAAAAGGCAUCCAAGAAUUACCACAUCCGCCACGCAAAAGGAAGUUAGAGGAUUUUUAGGGAGAUUAAAUUACAUCGCCCGAUUUAUCGCUCAACUUACCAACCAAUGCGACCCAAUCUUUCGGCUUCUUCGAAAACAUAGCCCGGGAGAAUGGAACGAGGAAUGCCAAGUGACCUUUGAUAAGAUAAAACAAUAUUUGUCCAGUCCUCCAGUGCUAGUACCGCCAACUCCGGGAAGACCAUUAAUUUUGUAUCUGACAGUGUUCGAAAGUUCAAUGGGUUACGUACUGGGACAACAUGACGAGUCAGGAAAGAAAGAAAAGGCGAUCUACUACCUCAGCAAAAAGUUCACUGAAUAUGAGGCAAAAUAUUCGUCCGUUGAGAAAUAUUGUUGCGCUCUGGUUUGGGUAGCUCGGAGACUCAAACAAUAUAUGUUGUAUCACACGACAUGGCUAAUUUCAAAGCUGGACCCAAUAAAAUACAUGAUGGAAUCGCCGGCACUAUCAGGAAGAAUGGCACGAUGGUAGCUCCUCCUUUCGAAAUAUGACAUUGCCUAUGUAAGUCAGAAGUCAAUAAAAGGGAGCGCAAUAGCUGACUUCUUAACAACUCGAACGACAGAGGAAUAUGAGCCUUUAAGAUUCGAUUUCCCAGACGAAGACUUAAUGUGCAUCACAGAAAUAGAAUCCGAGUCAUCAAAAGAGAAGUCAUGGAAGAUGUUCUUUGAUGGUGCGUCAAAUGCUUUAGGGCAUGGAAUUGGAGCAAUCCUGGUAUCACCAGACGGGAAUCAUUAUCCGUUCACUGCAAGACUGAACUUCUUCUGUACCAAUAAUAUCGCAGAAUAUGAGGCCUGUAUCAUGGGGUUUCGUGCAGCUAUCGAACGAAACAUCGAGAUCUUAGAGGUGUACGGGGACUCAGCCCUAGUGAUUUACCAAAUCCGUGGAGAAUGGGAAGUGAGGGACUCAAAAUUGAUUAAGUACAGCGAUUUAGUGGCUGGAUUGAUCAAGGAAUUCAAAGAAAUAACUUUUCAUUACUUCCCACGAGAAGAGAACCAACUGGCUGAUGCCCUAGCCACUUUGGCUUCAAUGUUCAAAGCAAGUAGAGAAGCAGAAAUAAUGCCCCUCAAAAUGAGCAUAUACGAGGUCCCUGCACACUGUUGUAGCAUUAAGAAAGAAGUAGACGGACGGCCUUGGUUUCAUGAUAUCUUAGAAUAUAUCAAGAAUCAAAGGUAUCCCGAACAAGUAAAUGAGAACGAUAAAAGAACAAUUAGAAGAAUGGCAGCGGGAUUUGUUCUUGAUGGGGAUAUCCUGUAUAAAAGAGGAAAGGAUCAGAUGCUUUUGAGAUGUGUGGAUGAUGUUGAAGCCAGAAAAAUACUUGAAGAGGUCCAUGAGGGAGUUUGCGGAACGCAUGCCAAUGGUUUCAAUAUGGCCAGAAAGAUCAUGAGACUCGGUUAUUAUUGGCUGACAAUGGAAAGUGACUGCAUCAAUUUUGCCAGAAAAUGCCACAAAUGUCAAAUCUACGGCGAUAAAAUUCAUGUAGCCCCUUCACCCCUUCAUGUCAUGACUUCUCCGUGGCCUUUUUCUAUGUGGGGCAUGGAUGUCAUAGGGCCAAUUUCUCCAAAAGCUUCAAAUGGACAUCGAUUCAUUUUUGUGGUUAUCGAUUACUUCACAAAAUGGAUUGAAGCCGCUUCAUUUGCCAAUGUGACGAAGACUGCAGUGUGCAAGUUUUUGAAAAAGGAAAUCAUUUACCGAUAUGGUUUGCCUGAAAGAAUCAUCUCAGAUAAUGCCACGAAUCUGAACAAUAAGAUGAUGAAAGAAGUGUGUGAGCAGUUUCAAAUAAAGCAUCAUAAUUCCUCGCCCUAUCGCCCAAAGAUGAACGGGGCUGUUGAAGCAGCUAACAAGAACAUUAAGAGGAUCAUUGGGAAAAUGACUGAGACAUAUAAAGAUUGGCACGAGAAACUUCCAUUUGCUUUGUUUGCAUAUCGUACAUCUGUGCGAACAUCUACGGGAGCAACUCCUUUCUCUCUAGUCUAUGGAAUGGAAGCUGUGCUACCUAUCGAGGUUGAGAUCCCCUCUCUGUGAGUAUUGAUGGAAUCAAAGUUAGAAGAAGCAGAAUGGGUUCGAGCUCGAUAUGAUCAGUUGAACCUCAUUGAAGAAAAACGUCUAAGGGCAAUUUGUCAUGGGCAAAUGUACCAAAAGAGAAUGAUCGCAGCCCAUGACAAGAAGGUACGACAAAGAGAGUUCCAUGAAGGAGAACUCGUUCUGAGAAAGAUUCUCCCAAUACAAAAAGACCUGCGAGGAAAAUGGGCACCAAAUUGGGAAGGACCAUACGUUGUAAAAAAGGCAUUCUCGGGAGGAGCUUUAAUCCUUACCAAGAUGGAUGGGAAGGAGUUACCGAAUCUGGUGAAUUCGGAUGCGGUGAAGAAAUAUUAUGCUUAAGAUGAAAACCCGAAAAGGGCAUCUUAAAAAAAAAGGGUGAAAACCCGAAAAAGGUGUCUUGAUUAGUACAAAAAGAUUAGGAUGAAAACCCGAGAGGGCGUCCUAAUGAAACAAACCUGGCGGUCAAACGAUAGGUCAAGUAGUGAGACUACAGUAUUUGAAGCACUUCUGAAAGCUCGAAAUUUUCUACGCAAGAAGCCAUGCUCGAAAAGAUAAUUGAUUGAGGAACGUAGAAGAGUUCAUGUGUUGAAUAUCUAGAGCAUUAGUAUCCGUUGAAUACGACCUUUUCUUUCUUUUUGACAUUUUUACUCUCAUUGGUUAACUUUCUUUGUUUGCCACACUUGAAAUAAAGGAAUAUGAGAUAUCCUUUGUGUCCCUACCUGACCAUUUUCAUGCAUCUCAUUAUGUGUUUAUUUAAUGAUAAAUAGUGAAAUGACAUACUCUAAACAAAAGAAAUGUCAAGCAUUACCCGGAUAAGAAUUUGAUAAGUGCAAGAUCUUCAAAGCAAGAACAAAGUUUAACCAAGGGCAAAAGGGUGAUAUCUGAGAAACGUCGAUUACUCGUAAAGCUCGAAGACAGGUAUGAGGCCUGAAGAGAAGGUCGAGAAUCAAAGCAAUGAACGCAGAUCCUCAAAAAUCAUGGCAAAAAUGACAUACGACCAAUAUGCUUAAGGAGCACUGCAUAAUCAUGUAGGCAUAAAGGCAUUUAAGACAAACAUGUGCAUAUCAUGAUGACUUCAUGCAUGGCAUAUACAGGUAAUCCAGUAAAGCAAGAAAUCUUGAAUCGCACAGAAUCAAAGGAAAAGAUACCCGAGUUCUACCAAAGGACUGGUUUUGGUAUUUUGAUGUUUAAUAUUCAUGCUUUCCAAGGAAAAUCAACUCAUAUUGCGAGAAAUGAGUUGAGCCUCAAGACACGUUGAGCUAUUUUUAAUUUUUUUAAAAAUCAACUCAUAUUGCGAGAAGUGAGUUGAGCCUCGGGGCACGCCGAGGUAUUUUUAGUUUAUGUUUUAAAUUGACUCAUAUUGCGAGAGGUGAGUUAAGCCUUUUAAUUUUUGUUUCUCAAAAUUCAACUCAUAUUGCGAGAAAUGAGUUGAGCCUCAAGACACGUUGAGGUAAUUUCAAUUUUUGUUUUCAAAAUUCAACUCAUAUUGCGAGAAAUGAGUUGAGCCUCAAGACACGUUGAGGUAAUUUCAAUUUUUGUUUUCAAAAUUCAACUCAUAUUGCGAGAAAUGAGUUGAGCCUCAAGACACAUUGAGGUAUUUUCAAUUUUUGCUUUUCAAAAUUCAACUCAUAUUGCGAGAAAUGAGUUGAGCCUUAAGACACGUUGAGGUAAUUUCAAUUUUUGUUUUCAAAAUUCAACUCAUAUUGCGAGAAAUGAGUUGAGCCUCAAGACACGUUGAGGUAAUUUCAAUUUUUGUUUUCAAAAUUCAACUCAUAUUCCGAGAAAUGAGUUGAGCCUCAAGACACGUUGAGGUAAUUUCAAUUUUUGUUUUCAAAAUUCAACUCAUAUUGCGAGAAAUGAGUUGAGCCUCAAGACACAUUGAGGUAUUUUCAAUUUUUGCUUUUCAAAAUUCAACUCAUAUUGCGAGAAAUGAGUUGAGCCUCAAGACACGUUAAGGUAAUUUCAAUUUCUGUUUUUAAAAUUCAACUCAUAUUGCGAGAAAUGAGUUGAGCCUCAAGACACGUUGAGGUAAUUUUCAAUUUCUGCUUCUCAAAAUUCAACUCAUAUUGCGAGAAAUGAGUUGAGCCUCAAGACACGUUGAGGUAAUUUCAAUUUUUGUUUUCAAAAUUCAACUCAUAUUGCGAGAAAUGAGUUGAGCCUCAAGACACGUUGAGGUAAUUUCAAUUUUUGUUUUCAAAAUUCAACUCAUAUUGCGAGAAAUGAGUUGAGCCUCAAGACACGUUGAGGUAAUUUCAAUUUUUGUUUUCAAAAUUCAACUCAUAUUGCGAGAAAUGAGUUGAGCCUCAAGACACAUUGAGGUAUUUCCAAUUUUUGCUUUUCAAAAUUCAACUCAUAUUGCGAGAAAUGAGUUGAGCCUCAAGACACGUUGAGGUAAUUUCAAUUUCUGUUUUCAAAAUUCAACUCAUAUUGCGAGAAAUGAGUUGAGCCUCAAGACACGUUGAGGUAUUUUCAAUUUCUGCUUCUCAAAAUUCAAUUCAUAUUGCGAGAAAUGAGUUGAGCUUCAAGACACGCUGAGGUAAUUUCAAUUUCUGUUGUUAAAAAAAAAUCAACUCAUAUUGCGAGAAAUUAGUUGAGCCUCAGGACAUGCUGAGGUAAUUUCAAUUUCUGUUUUCAAAAUUCAACUCAUAUUGCGAGAAAUGAGUUGAGCCUCAAGACACGUUGAGGUAUUUUCAAUUUCUGCUUUUCAAAAUUCAACUCAUAUUGUGAGAAAUGAGUUGAGCCUCAAGACACGUUGAGGUAUUUUCAAUUUCUGUUUUUCAAAAAUCAACUCAUAUUGCGAGAGGUGAGUUGAGACUUUUAAUUUCUAUUUUUCUAAAACCAACUCAUAUUGCGAGAGGUGAGUUGAGCCUUUUUCUGUUUUUCAAAAAUCAACUCAUAUUGCGAGAGGUGAGUUGAGCCUUUUAAUUUCUGAUUUUCAAAAAUCAACUCAUAUUGCGAGAGGUGAGUUGAGCCUUUUAAUUUCUGUUUUUCAAAAAUUAACUCAUAUUGCGAGAGGUGAGUUGAGCCUUUUAAUUUCUAUUUUUCAAAAACCAACUCAUAUUGCGAGAGGUGAGUUGAGCCUUUUUCUAUUUUUCAAAAAUCAACUCAUAUUGCGAGAGGUAAGUUGUGCCUUUUGCAAAUUCUGUUUUCAAAAAUCAACUCAUAUUGCGAGAAGUGAGUUGAGCCUUGGCUCACGUGCUGAGCUAUUUUCAAUUUCUAUUUUUAAUGUCUAGUUUUAANNNNNNNNNNNNNNNNNNNNNNNNNNNNNNNNNNNNNNNNNNNNNNNNNNNNNNNNNNNNNNNNNNNNNNNNNNNNNNNNNNNNNNNNNNNNNNNNNNNNNNNNNNNNNNNNNNNNNNNNNNNNNNNNNNNNNNNNNNNNNNNNNNNNNNNNNNNNNNNNNNNNNNNNNNNNNNNNNNNNNNNNNNNNNNNNNNNNNNNNNNNNNNNNNNNNNNNNNNNNNNNNNNNNNNNNNNNNNNNNNNNNNNNNNNNNNNNNNNNNNNNNNNNNNNNNNNNNNNNNNNNNNNNNNNNNNNNNNNNNNNNNNNNNNNNNNNNNNNNNNNNNNNNNNNNNNNNNNNNNNNNNNNNNNNNNNNNNNNNNNNNNNNNNNNNNNNNNNNNNNNNNNNNNNNNNNNNNNNNNNNNNNNNNNNNNNNNNNNNNNNNNNNNNNNNNNNNNNNNNNNNNNNNNNNNNNNNNNNNNNNNNNNNNNNNNNNNNNNNNNNNNNNNNNNNNNNNNNNNNUAGAUAAUGUGAAUGUAUUUAGAGGUGCUUAUAUAGUAUUCAAAACUAUCAUAUAAAUUCAAUUUUCAACCAUAUAUAAUUGACAUUAUGGGAGUUGGAAAAUGAUAGGGGGCACUAUAGCAAAUGUUAUAGUUGUAUAAAAUUAGGACUUUGUGAUGGAAUAGUUUAGGGCAUAUUGUUUGAAUAUUCCAUAAACAUUAAAAAAAAAACCAAAUUUGUAAUGGAAUAUAAGAUUGGGUUUUCUUUUAUUAUCAAUUUAAAGCCAUGAGAAUCUUUAUUAUUUAAAAAUUAAUGUAAUUGUUAAAUUGAAAUUGCAGGGGAAUUUCAAAUAGGAGAAAAUAUAAAAGAAAUGGAUCCAAAAACAGUGGGAAGUAGUGUUGUAAAAUAUGGGAGGUGGAGAUUUGGAAUGACAAAGAAAGCAAUGGGGCAUUCAUUAGUUUAUAGCCAACUUUAUCCAUUUAAAGGCCUCCAAAAUUAUACCUCUGGAAUUAUUCACCAUGUUCGCCUCACUGGUAUUUCUCACCAUUUCUUCCCUUAUUUAUCUUCUGCAAAUUUGUUUUCUUACCAUUUCUUUCGCAUUAAUACUAACUUUUUUAAUUUACAAUAUGGUAGCCAAUACUGUUUCGGUAUUAGUAAUAUUAGUCGAUACAUAUCACUUUUAAGGGUGAGUUUAAAGGGAUAGGAACAAUUCCGUGUGUUGACUUAAUAGUCAGGGUGUUCACCGUUCUAGGUAUGGUUUGAGUUCAAGUUAAGUUGUGCUAGUCACGUUACUGUUAGGGUUUUGCCCUUCUCUUGUAAUUCAGCAAAAAGAAAUUAAUAUAUGGUGAAAUUGCACUUUAACUCCUCCAAAAAUGAAAAUAUUUAUAUUUAAUUCCUUCAACAAUAAUGAAAUCGUAAGUUAAUGCAAGAUAAAUGACACUUUAACUUAACAAUCUCCGCUCCCCUUAAAAAAAAAAUCCUAACUUCACCCUUAAUCAUCUUGAUUUUAGAUUGGUACCAAGUAGAUUAAAUUUUGUUCUUAUUAAAACAUUGGUGUGUUUCCUUCUGUUUCAGCUAAUACCAACUUAUACCGAUAUGUACCAAACAAUAUUGGUAGGACUGAGAAAGAAAUCAAAAAAUUGAACUAAUUUUUAUUUAUAAUUUUAUUUAUAAUUUAAAAAUAAAAAUAUAUUUAAACAGUGACAAUAACUCAAAUUUUAUAUAAAAACUAUUUAAAAAUAUUAUCAUAUAAGAGUUAUUAAUUUAUUUGAAAAUUAGUUUCUUUUAAAAAUAUUUAUGAAUAUUUUUAAAAAUUUUACAAAAUAAUAUCCAAAAUUCAUAGAAUAAUUUAUCAAGAUAAGUUCAAACACCCAAAAUUAAUAGAUCUUGAACCAAAUAAAUCCAACUAAAAUAAACCCAAAAUUAAUAGACCGAGAAUCAAAUUAUCAUAGAAGAUAUACCAUACACACUAAUACCCAUAAUUACCCAAUAAUUCUUCUCACACUUUGCAGGUUUAAAACCCAACACCUUCUAUUACUAUCAAUGUGGAGACCCUUCAAUCCCAGCAAUGAGCGAUGUUCAUUAUUCACCAUGUUCGCCUCACUGGUAUUUCUCACCAUUUCUUCUCUUAUUUAUCUUCUGCUAAUUUGUUUUCUUACCAUUUCUUUCGCAUUAAUACUAACUUUUUUAAUUUACAAUAUGCUAGUCAAUACUGUUUCGGUAUUAGUAAUAUUAGUCGAUACAUAUCACUUUUAAGGGUGAAUUUAAAGGGAUAGGAAUAAUUUCGUGCGUUGGCUUGAUAGUUAGGGUGUUCACCGUCCUAGGUGUGGUUUGAGUUCAAGUUGUGCUAUUGUAAUUCACCAAAAAGAAGUUAAUAUAUAGUGAAAUUGCACUUUAACUCCUCCAAAAAUGAAAAUAUGUAUAUUUAGUUUUCUUCAACAAUAAUGAAAUCGUAAGUUAAUGCAAGAUAAAGGACACUUUAACUUAACAAGCUACGCUCCCCUUAAAAAAAAUCCUAACUUCACCCUUAACCAUCUUGAUUUUAGAUUGGUACCAAGUAGAUUAAGUUUUGUUCUUAUUAAAACAUCAGUGUGUUUCCUUCUGUUUCAACUAAUACCAAUUUAUACUGAUAUGUACCGAAUAAUAUUGGUAGGACUGAGAAAGAAAUCAAGAAAUUGAACUAAUUUUUAUUUAUAAUUUUAUUUGUAAUUUAAAAAUAAAAAUAUAUUUAAAUAGUGACAAUAACUCAAAUUUUAUAUAAAAAUUAUUUCAAAAUAUUAUCAUAUAAGAGUUAUUAAUUUAUUUGAAAAUUAGUUUCUUUUAAAAAUAUUUAUGAAUAUUUUUAAAAACUUUACAAAAUAAUAUCCAAAAUUCGUAAAAUAAUUUAUCAAGAUAAGUUCAAAAACCCAAAAUUAAUAGAUCUUGAACCAAAUAAAUCCAACUAAAAUAAACCCAAAAUUAAUAGACCGAGAAUCAAAUUAUCAUAGAAGAUAUUUACCAAACACACUAAUACCCAUAAUUACCCAAUAAUUCUUCUCACACUUUGCAGGUUUAAAACCCAACACCUUCUAUUACUAUCAAUGUGGAGACCCUUCAAUCCCAGCAAUGAGCGAUGUUCAUUAUUUCCGAACAAUGCCGGCCUCCGGUCCAAGGAGUUAUCCGGGAAGAAUUGCAAUCAUCGGAGACUUGGGGCUCACGUAUAACACAACUUCAACAAUUGAUCACCUUAUGAGCAAUCACCCGAACCUGGUGCUGUUAAUCGGCGAUGCAAGCUAUGCCAACUUGUAUCUCACCAAUGGCACCGGUGCCGAUUGCUACUCUUGCGCUUUCUCCGACACUCCUAUUCACGAAACGUAUCAGCCUCGUUGGGAUUAUUGGGGAAGGUAAAUUUUAACGAUGUUUCAUGGAUUUAAAUAGCGGUCACAACAUGACAUUACGAUAGUAUUUGUUAUAAAUGUGCAGGUUUAUGCAGCCUUUGGUGUCCAAGGUUCCCUUGAUGAUGAUAGAAGGGAACCAUGAAAAAGAAGAACAGAUUGAGAAGAAGACAUUUGCGGCUUAUAGUGCUCGAUUUGCAUUUCCAUCGGAGGAGAGCGGAUCAUCGUCGACAUUCUAUUAUUCUUUUAAUGCAGGUGGCAUUCAUUUCGUGAUGCUCGGUGGUUACACCGACUAUAACAAAUCAGGGGAUCAAUACCAGUGGUUGAAGAAGGACCUUGCAAAAGUUGAUAGAAAAGUGACUCCAUGGUUGGUUGCAACAUGGCAUCCUCCAUGGUACAGUACAUAUACUGCACAUUAUAGAGAAGCUGAAUGUAUGAGGGUAGAAAUGGAAGAUUUAUUAUACAAAUACGGAGUUGAUAUAGUCUUCAAUGGACAUGUAAGUCGUGCUUUAUAAUGAAUUAAUUCAAUUACAUUCACUCGAAGAGCUGAUGGUCGUGUUCAUUUGGUGAUAAUCAAUAGGUUCAUGCCUACGAGAGGUCGAACCGAGUGUAUAACUACAACUUGGAUCCUUGCGGUCCUGUUCAUAUUACGAUUGGUGAUGGUGGCAACCGAGAGAAAAUGGCAAUUACACAUGCUGAUGAACCCGGAAAUUGCCCCAAACCAUCGACAACUCUGGAUAAAUUUAUGGGUGGGUUCUGUGCAUUUAACUUCACAUCAGGGCCGGCAAGUGGUAAAUUCUGCUGGGAUAGGCAGCCUGAUUAUAGUGCAUAUAGAGAAAGCAGCUUUGGACAUGGAAUCCUUGAGGUAUAUUAUGCAGAUAUUUCAUUAAGAUUAAUUUCUAUGGACCGUAAAAAGGACACAAAGGGUACUUUAAUUAUACAAAAAAAACAUUAACAGCAAGUGUUUUGCAGGUGAAAAAUGAGACUCAUGCACUGUGGACAUGGUACGGUAAUCAAGAUGCUUAUGGGACUACUGGUGAUGUGGUUUAUAUAGUUAGGCAACCUGAUAGAUGCCCUGUUGAACCCGACGUAAUUAAUUAAGAGUAAACUCCAAAGCUUAAUUAAGUUGAUUCAUCUGCAGUCACCAUUAAAAAGUGAUGCCAAGAAAGUUUAGGUUUGAAUCUCGGCAUCUGUCCUCAGACUAUGAUUUCUUUUGUACCAGUAAAUAUCUUUCAAAGCUAUAAAUACAUAUUAAACAUCAAAAUCAGACAGCUGAUAAAUCACAAAGGGAUUAUGUACGUAUGUAUGCAUGCAUGUAUGUUGGCUUCUAAAGAUUGAAAAGUAAAUAAUUAAGGAUUCAAAAGGAACAUUAUUGUGAUAUGAUUUGCAGGUUCGUAAUUUUAAUUAAAUGAAAUAAGUUUGAUGUAACUAUGCAAGUAGUACUUAGAAUCCUAAAAGUUUGAAAUAAAUAUUUGUAACUUUGUUGAAUGUUUUCAUGAGAGUUCCUUUCUCAUGGAGGUCAAUUUCUUUGUUAUAAGAUACGGUCCCAUGGUUUGACAUACUAAGAUUAAAUAGGCUCUUAUGUAGGCUAACACGUAUCCUACUUUAGGGUCAACACGUGUCUCUUGAGUAUGGGUUUGCCUGCAUGGUGGUGUGAACCCAUUAGGUGCGGACUUAUACAGACGAACUAUAUGGUUUGGUUAACUAUAUCCGAAAUAAAAGGGGUCAGAUCGGUCUUAAUCAGAAAACAAAUAAUUUAUGGCGGACACUACAACAAACUUAAUAAUCACAUUUGUUAAUAACAAAUAAUUAAUUUGUUUUGAUAACGUAAUUACAAGACAUAAUUUGAAAAUAAUAUAUGCUUGCUUAGAUACCAUUAUUCUCAGUACUCCAAGUAACAUAAAUAUUGAAAUGAAUUUGUGAGAGAGCUAAGAUGGUUGUAUUCUAAUAGAGAGAUUUCUAUUGCUGGUAAAGAAGACUUUAGCUCCACUAUCGUGCGGCCGUGACAUUAGCUUAAGCUCCUCAUUAAGCUAAUUAAAUGUGAUCUCUAGAUUAACCAACAAUGUCUUCAUAAAGUAGACAACUAAAUGAUCGAUACCACCAGCAUCCUUCCAUAAAUAGCUGCGAAAUAGGGCUUCAACUUCUAACAAAAACGCCUCUUCCUAUCAUUGGGGUCAUGCAUCAAGGUUUAAAAAGUUCCAUAUUGGAUGCAAAAUAAAUGAUAGAACAAGUAAGAGCAGGAUAGACAUUGAGCUUGUGUUGAGUGUACUAUCAAAUGAAGCUCUAGAGAGAAAUGGAGGGCUGAAUCCAGGGUAAUUGAGCCCCGGACCGCCACCUCCGCCAUUGAUCGGUGUGGUUGUCGUAGUUGGCACAUUCGGAUUGUUCCACGACCCUGUUUUUGGCAUAGCUGUCCCUCCGGAUGUGCUGGAAAUUUCAUAACUUAAGCUUUUAAAAUCAAUAAAAUAACAGUGACAAAAACUACAAAUAAUGAUGGAAUCCAAUUUGGUUGGUAAUUUUCAAAAAAUAGGCGAAAGGAGCUAUUAUUAGCUUUUGCUGGAACCCAAUAGAGGUGCUCAUGGGCCGGGCCGGGCCGGGCCCAGAAAAAAUUUCGGCCAGUGUCCUAGACCCUGGCCUGGCCGAGGCUGAAAUAUGAGCCUAAAAUUUUAUCUAGGCCAGGCCUGAAAAAAAAUUCAUAAGCCCGAGCCCAGCCCGGCCCAUUUUUUAAAUAAACACCAAAAAAAAUUUAAAAAUAAAAAAAUUUAUUUUAAAAAUAUUUUAAAAAAUAAAAAUAAAAAAUAUUUUAAAAAUAAAAAAAUAAAUAGAUUUAUUAUAUUUGGGUCGGGUCGGGCCGGGCCAAAAAAUGUUAUGUGAGGCCCGGUCCAUUUUUUAAAUGGGCCUUUUUUUUUGUCUAAUGUCAUAUUUCGGGCCUAUUUUUUACUUAAACCCUCCCAUAUUUUGGGCAGGCCAUUGGGCCGAGCCGGGCCGCCCGGCCCAUGAAGACCUCUAGAACCCAGCAAUGCGCCCAUGGAUAGAGAUGACAACAAGGUGAGACGGGACGAGUUUUUGCUCGCCUCAAUUUCGACUCGAUUUUUAUAUCCUCUACUUCGAUUUAUUCUGAGCUCGAUUUUAUUUAAAAAUGUAAAAAUAAUUAUAAAAUUAAAAAAAAAGUGUUUUAGUAAGUAAAUCAAGGCAGACAAAUCGAAUUUUCAUCUAAAUCUAAACUCGAAUUGAUCUUGAACUACCCAUGUAUGACUCCAGUAUCCAAAUAUCUAGAGUGUUUUUUGACCGUUGGAUGUCUUUCAAGAAAAGAGUACCCAUCCAACGGUUGAAAAAGUCUCACCUAAACAAGACGGUAGGAAAACAUUACAAGUAAAGAAGUGGCCAACAGACAUAAAUAAGCCUGGAAACGUAAAAGGUGUAAACCUUCACAAAGUGACGACUGCAUGUAGGAUACGAAAAUGGACGGUUAGAGAUCAUGCCGAGAAACACGUGUCAGACAUCUACUCAAUUACAGCAUCACCAUGAAAGGCUCACACCCACUUGAGAAUCAAAGGAUUAUGCAAAGUUGAUUCAUGUUAGUUAAUUAGGAUUUAAACAAUAUCUUAUUUUGCGCCUUUUUGUUUUUCUGUCUUUGAUCCUCUUACAAGCCACAAGGGUUUCAAUAAUAAAUUACACCCAACUUCAAAAAGUUAUUAAAUGAGCAAUAAAUUAUUCAAAUUUUUUUAUUUAAGUCACUAAACUAUUUAAAAGUUUUUAUUUAAUUUACUGGGCUGUUAAAUUUUUUUUUUAAAAAGGAGGUUCAGCUAGUGAACUCCAAGCAACAAUUUAACAAUCGGUAUGGUGGAUAAAUACCCGCUGACGAGUAGAUCCAAGUUGAUCUAACGGUUAGUGUCGGAGAUCGGAGAAUGAAGAGAAAAACUGUUUGGAUUUUAGUUUAUAGAUUUGUGACGUUAAAAGUUAUUUCAUAAAAAAAAAUUAAACUGUAAAAGAGAAGGGAAAUUAAAGCUUUUGAGUGUUGCAAGCAAUGCAGACAAAGAAAGCCGUACAACAGUAAUUUUAACAACCCGAUGACUUAAAUGAAAAUUUUCGAGUAGUUCAAUGAAAGAAAAUACAAAAAAUUCUCUCUGCUGCGUUGUUUUCGUCUUCUUUGCAGGUAAGGAGGCUAGCUGGCGUAAGGAGGUGGUGGAUGUGGCACAGCACACGCGGGGAAGGCCUUGGUGGCUGCGGCGCCGGAAGGAGGGCUGUUGCAGCUAGGGUUUUCUGAUUUUUUUUUUGUUUUGGGCUAGGGUUGUGUUGAUAGUUGUAUUGGGCUAGGUUUUUGGGCUGGGUGUAGUUGGACUAGAUGCAUCUGACUUUGGGUUUGUACCGGGUCACUGUAAAUGGGUUUGGUUUUUAUUGUUAUUGGGCUGUGAACUAUUUGAGUUUUAAUUAAUUUUUAUUUAUUUGGUUUUUUAUUGUGGGCUGGGCAAAUUGGGUAUUACAAUCAGCUAAUUAGGAAAGACUGUGAUGAUAGUCACACCUUACAUCCAAAAGCAAAGCUUUUUACAUGUGUAUGUGAGGUUGCUAAGCAAAUCUGAUGAGCCUUCACUGAUGUUUUAAGGUUAAGUUAAUGUUCCUUUUCGGCAAAGAACAUUAUCGAGAUCACGGUAUUUUGAUCGCCUUUUGCUUGUUAUGUUAUUUGUUCUGAAACGAUUGCAUAAUCUUUACUGUGAUUGCAGGAUAUAGAGCAACUUCUGAAUUUCAUUGGUGUAAAGAGUUGAGGACCACGACAUGUUCUUGCAAAUUUGAAGGAGCUUCUAAGGUCUGUCCGGUCUUCAGAAUAUAUAGAUACCUGAAUUAAUUUUGAUUUUGUAGGAUCAACUAUAAUUAGCUACUUAUUACACUAUGAAUAGACAACCUCACCUUCUUCACACACUACACGUGCGGAUUUUUUACCAAUCCCAUUUCAAAGGAUCACACUUUUUUGUUGUUUACAGAAUCAUAAUUAAUGUUAAUUAAAGUGGAAUAUUUCAGAUUUCUGAUGAUGAGCAUAUUCUUGAGUAUUGCAGUAAAAAAAUGGGUGUGGAACUUAUUUGAACUUUGAAUGUAUGUUCUGUUGGUGAGAAUAUAAAGUUGAUAAAGAUUUGGUAAAUAGAAUAAAAUAUUAUUUUUAUUAGAAAAAUUAUUUGGUAGACUGCCAAUCGAGUUAUAAUUAUCAUGACGUAAAACAUGUCAUAUUACAAAUAAUAAAAUUAUAAUGACUCAAAUAUACGAACAUGUCAAAAUUUACGUAAAACGAAUUAUUAACAUGUCAAUGUAUAAUACGGUACGCAAAAAUAGGAUAAUUGCUUGUUUUUUAAAUUGAAUUGUUAUAACAUAUUAUACAAAAUACAUUGUGAAUUAAAGCAUAAUAUGAACAUGAUAUCAAAAUAUUAAAUAUUUUUUAAAAUUUGAUGAUACGAAUAAUUAUGUAAAAUAUAACAUGAUACAAAAUAACUUGAGAGGAAAAGAGGAAUAAAGAAUUGCAUUGUUUGUGAGGUUUUAAAAUAUUCCAGUUUUAGAUUCAAUUUUCUAGUAUGUUUGGUUUAAUUUUACAUUAGAUUUCCUUUUUAGUAUGCACUAGUGAACGCUUGGCAGUUAAUUUAAUUUAAUUUAAUUUAAAGAGAUAUUGCAUAUACAUAAUAAUGGAUUAUGAUUUUACAUUAAACUUCAUAGAAGAAAAAAGAAAUAGACGGUUGAAAAUGAUAAAACCAUAAGAUAAAAGAGCUUUUAUUUAAAAUGCAAAAAUCAACAAAAUAUGCAUUAUCGCUCAACUUAGCAUAAUUAAACAUUUAGGUGUGGAAAUCAAAUCACAAUUUGAGUAGCUAAACAUAUCGCUUGAAAAUGUGAUAAGUAAGAAAAUUGCCCACAUUUGAGUAGCGACAGGUGGUAAUGCAUUUCCCAACAAGAGAAAACCAAGCUCUUCGCCAGUAUGGAUUUAUGUAGAGGACAACAAAAAUUGUUAACAACACAACUACAUAAGAAACCAAAAAGCUCACACAAAAAUCAUAACUAUCUAUCAAACCAUCUUCUCCUUUAUCUUCUGAUACAGUUGAUAUUGUUGAUGGUGAAUCGGUUUUGGAACAACUUUUAUGCAGUAUAGGUCCACAAAGAAAAGGGUUUCCUUCAUAACUGUUUUCAAUAAAGGUCUCAAAUUGAGCUUUUGGUUCGGGAAUACUACCUGACAAGUUGUUAAAUGCCACGCUGAAAACCUCCAAAGAGUUUAACUCUACCAAUUGAUUGGGGAUUUCACCACUUAAGUUGUUGUAAGAAAGGUCCAAACUCUCAAUUUGAUGUAGUUUUGAGAGUGACGAGGGUAUAACUCCGGUCAACUUAUUGUGUGAAAGGUUUAAAGAAUGGAUUUCACUCAAGUUCCCUAAUUCUGGUGGGAUAUGACCAGUUAAGUUGUUGCAAGAUAAAUCAAUCCCAGUCAUAUAUGAAAGGAUGUCGCCCUUGUAUGAAUAGAACCCACUCUUUGUUGUGAACUCUAUUACUUCUUCUAAGUAGCUACUAGGAUAGUAAGAAUCCAUUCCCAAAUUUAGUAUCAUACUGCGUGUUGUUUCAUCCUCUUCUAUAGAUGGCCCAUAGAACCAAGUUUCUAGAAUCUUCUUCGUUUGCAUUGGAAGAGAUAAAUUUCCCAAACAAGAAGGUAUAGGACCAGAAAACAUAUUUUGAGAAAGAUCUAUGAUGCUUAAAGAAUGCAACUUGCAUAACUCAAUAGGAACUUUACCAUGAAAAUGAUUAUCUUUCAAGAGAAGAACACUCAAAGAAGAAAGCGUGUAAAUCCAUUUUGGAAUACUACCUGUCAAAUUGUUUCCUCUAAGAUCUAAAGUCACUAUUGAAGAGCUAUUAUAAAAAGCAAGUGAUAGUGGGCCUCUCAGUCUAUUCCCGUGGAGGUGGACAUGCUCUAUGUAUGGUGGAUUAAAACAUGACGGUAUAGAGCCAGAUAAAUUAUUUUGAGAAAGAUCCAAAAAUUCCAACCUAUUCAACUUGCAAAAUUCCAUUGGAAUGGAACCUUCAAAACCAUUGUUGGACAUAGCUAAUCUCUGCAAAAACGAUGCAUUCCCUAUCCAUCUUGGGAGCUUUCCAUGCAACUUGUUGUUACUGAGAUCAAUUUCGCUUAGUGAAUUUGGAAACUCAAAAGUAGACACAUCAACAUUUGUCAUCUCUCCUGAAAAAUUAUUUCCAUCCAAAUAUAAAUGCUGCACCCCAUUUGCGCUGAGAAUCACAGGAACUACAUUUCCACUGAGGUUGUUAUUUGAUAGUCUCAAAAUGGUCAGUGAGCCUUUCGUGAUCAACUCUUCUGGUACUUUUCCAUACAAAUGAUUGUCUAAUAGAUCUAAAAAUGAUAAGUCCUUCAUGCCACUUAAACAAAGUGGGAUAUUAUCUUCAAAAGCAUUCUUGGAUAAGAAUAACCGACUCAAAUGUGGAAAAGUUGAACAUAUACCAGUUGGAAUUUGACCUUGUAAUUUGUUUUCAGAUAUGUCAAUUGAAGAUACAUCAGAAAUAAGAGCCGACGAAAGUGAGAGAGGACCUGUAAAUGAAUUACCCUUCAAGAUGAGAUCUUCUAACUUUGUGUUGUUUUCUAGCAACCAAGUUGGUACAGUUCCACUGAGAUUGUUAUGAGAAAGAUCCACAUAUCUCAAGUCAUAUUGGUAGUAAAGGAAGGUAGGAAAUUUACGAUUGAGUUGUUGAGAUGCUAUGCACUUUGGCAAUCUGAUGACUUCCAAUUGGAACUUUGGGAUUGAGGUAUAAAAGGAAGAUUCCAUUACCAUCUUGUUUUCAUUAAUCGAAAGGGCUUUGAGGUUUGAAAGGUUUGCAAAUGGUGCAAAUGACAGCGGAAUUUGAAAAUGGUUUCUUGAAACAUCUAACACACGAAGAGAUGUCAAGUUACUAAAACAACGAGGAAGCAUCCCCUCAAGUGCAUUGUUGCUCACAUCCAAUACUUCAAGGUUCUUUAGAUCACACCAUCCUGAAAAAUUUAUAAAUUCAUGGAAGAAAUUUUAAUUAAAUUUGGUCCUAUUAAAUAGAAUAGGAGAUAUUAUAUUACAAAAGCUAGUAAAGAAAUCAAUUUGAGCCAUAAAAUUAUUUACCUUGAUUAGGUAAGGGACCAAUAAGUCCACAAUGAUAUAAAGACAAUGUUUUAAGAGAAGCGAAUACUCCAAUGCUUUGCAAAAUGUUGGUGUUGAGAGUAGAAUAGUCAAGAUAUAUUUCCUCCAAACUGCUCGACACAUUUGAAUCUAAGCAAUGUCAAGAGGUAUUAGAUAACGGUAUUAUAGAAAGCCUCUACUAAGUAGAAUGCUUUAUUUUCUGUGAAUGAAAUGAAGUAUAUAAAUAUAUAUAUAUAUUUUUUAUGAGUUAGAUUAUUCAUGAUUUAUCUGAGAUAAAUUUUGAUAGAGAGAAGAUGUUGAAACUUUAAUAUAACUCUUCAUCCAUUUUAUUAAUUAUACUAUUUUUUUUCUUUUUAGUAUUUUCUUAUAUUAUUUUUUAAUAUAAGUAAUUAACUGAUAUAGCUAAGUUGUAUAAUUUUCAAACUCCAAUCAACAACACUAUAAAUAAUAUUUAUAAAAUAAAACAUGUCUACACUAAAUGUAUGUUUAAAUUUCAUAAAAUUGAAGAUAUUUUUAAAUUAUUCAAAAUUCACAUGUCUACACUAUAAAUAAUAUUUAUAAAAUAAAACAUGUCUACACUAAAAUUAUUAUAUUACCUUUAAAGAUGCCAAUAGUAUAUAAAAAAAUCAAAUAGGUAUUUUACUCAACAAUAAAUAAAACUCAAAAGAAUUAUAAGUAAACUCAGCGGAUUAAAUGAAAAUUUUAAAGCAUUAAAUCUUGGCCCAAAAAUAGAGUUAAGUUAAAAUUCAAAAUUCAAAAUUAUUUUAUUAAUAUUGUUAAAAUUAUUUUAUUAAAUCCAUGUUCAUUACGUCAUUUUUUUAGUUACAUUACUACUAAGUUUUUUUUUUAUUUCAAAAUGUCACACCAACAAGCUAUUUUAAAAUUUUAACAAUUUUAACAAUUUAACUAGGAUUUUGAUUUUUUUUUAUAAAAAAAACAGGGAUUAAAUUCUUGAAAAUAAAAGUAUAAGAAUUAAAUUACAAAUUAGUAAAGAGUACAUAGACCUAUCAUAUUUUUUAAAACCAAAAAGUUAAAAACAUAUGCACUUUGAAAUUUAUAAAAAGAUUGCAAUGGAAGUUUAAGCACCUCUCAAUGUAUGUUUAAAUUUCACAAAAUUAAAGUUUUUUUUUAAAUUAUUCAAAAUUGACAUUUAUUUAUUUUUGCCAAAAAAUGCCAUUUAUUUAACGCUAAUAUGUAUUUUUAUGUUUUAUACUAUUAAAAAUAUAUGAAAUUAAAAUAUAGUUAUAUUACAUAUUUUCUCAUAAAUAUAUGUUUUUAUUUAUUUAUAAUAUCAUUUUUUAUUGUUAUAAUUAUUUUUUAUCUCAUAAAAAUUCAAUAAAUUAUUUUAAAAAAUAUAUUUAUACAAACAAAAUAAUUAUAAACAUUAAUAUUUUAAAAUGAUGAAAAUUUUAAAGAAUUUUAGUUUCAAACCAAAGUCCAAACACAUUAUAAUGGAUGAUUUAGAAAAUGUUUCACCAAACCCAUAUUUUACUUUCAAGUAUGAUAUGAUAUAACUUUAUUAAUAUUUAUGACAAUAACCGUUAUUAUAAUAUUUGACAUCAAAACUAAAUUUCUAAAUUAAAAAAAAAAAGGAAGUUUAAUUAAAUGAUACCUUGGUGGAUCACCAAAUCUUUCAAUUCAUUAUAGCUCAUAUCUAGUUUCCUUAAGUUGAUAAAUGCUUCCAAAUCUAGGAAAACAAAAACAACAAAUCAACUUCAUUAUAUUCUCUUAAAACAUUAUUAUAUUCUUGUUAAAAAACUAAUACUUUUACCUUUCAUAUCUAUUGAUCCUUUCAAUUCAUUGCCUCUUAUGCUCAAAGAUUUCAAAUUUGAAAGCUUGUUAAGGGAUGCAAAUACACUAGUAUUGAAGUGAUUUCCAUCUAAAUUAAGCUCUUCCAAGUGGGUCAAUUCCAAUUUUCUACCAUCAUCUACAAAAGAUUUAUAUAAUUUCAUCAUCUACCAUCACUAAUUUCAUCUACCAAUUUGUUAAAUUGCUCAAUCCUAUACAUAUCCACGUACAAUUCAAAAAAUCAUUAUGUUAAUAAUUUUAAUUUCUACUUAAUAUUUUAAUGAAAUAAAAAUGAAAAAAAAAAGUAAAUCUAAAACUUGAAUUGAAGAUAAAAAUCCUCAAACGUGAAAUGUGAAUGUUCAAAUUUGAAACAAUUAAUUUUAAAAGGCUCUAGAAAGAAUUAUCAAGAAAAACAAAGUUAUAGCUUUAGUACCUUUAGUAUCUAAUGAGCCUUGCAAACGGUUGUUGAACAAAGUCAAAGACUUUAGGCUUGAAAGCCCUUGAGGAAAGGAAAUUGUGUUGUUCCGAAAGAGAUUACCACUCAAAUAAAGUUCCUCUAAGUUUGUUAGCCUCAAUUGUGUUCCAUCUAUCAUUGGAAGAAAGUAAUUAGUAUAGUUAACAUCAUUCAAGAUAUAAAUAGUUAGGAAAAAUGUUUGUUUGAGAAGGAAGAGCCAAUUUACAAGCUUUCCGAUGAAUUGAUUCAAUAUAUAAAUACUUUGUUUGAGAUACCUUCCUACUUAAAUUACUCAAUUUUGAAAUUUAAUCCCAAAUAUUGAUUACUUAUAUAUAUUCAUGAUAUGAUAAAAUCAAAUGACUUAUUGCAACAACUUUUCCUUCAACAUGAAUUUAUUUUAAAGAAUGCUAUUCUUCAAAUAAUUCCAACUUAUAUCAAUAAUUUCCAAUUUAAUGAGCCAUUGAAAACCUCAUUUAUAUAUUAUAUAAUUAGUUACUACAAAACUUAAAUAAAUAAUAAUACUCCAUUUUUGCAAUAAAAAUUCACUAAAGAAAAUACAUUUGAAGUCUGUCAUUGCCUUUUGGAAUAAGAGUCGGUCAAGAAAGUUACUAUGCAGAAAUACUUAUACCUUUGUUUGAGAUGCUUUCAAUGUCGUUCCAACUUAAAUCCAAGUACUUCAAAUUUGUCAAAUUAUUCAAUCCUGAAAUUCAAUCCCAAAUAUUGAUCAGUUAUAUAUAUAUAUUCAUGAUAUGAUAAAAGCAAAGACAUAUUGCAACAUUAACUGUCCCUUAAACAAAAAUUGGUUUUAAAGUAAAAAAGAAACAUAUAAAACCAGUCUACCUUUAAUAUGAAUUGACAUAUAAAUACUGUACUUAUACCUUUGUUUGAGAUGCUUUCAAUUCUGUUCCAACUUAAAUCCAAGUAUUUCAAGUUUGACAAAUUAUUCAAUCCUGAAAUUCAAUCCCAAAUAUUGAUUAGUUAUAUAUAUUCAUCGUAUGAUAAAAUCAAACUUGAACAUACAUUGAUUUUUAAAUCAAGGAUGAAAGAUUUCUCAUAUGAAACAAAAUGCUAUUCUUCAAAGAAUUCCCACUUAAAUCAAGAGUUUCCAAGUUAUUGAGUCUUGAAAGCAAUUGAAAACCUGAUAUAUAUAUUUACUUGUUAAUUGUUUUUUCUUUCUUAGCCAUAUGAAAAUUUUACUAAAGCAAAAGUGGAAUUACGACGGAUAAAAAGAAUGGAAAACUAGGUACCAAGCCUAGAAGACCAUCCUCAAACUCCACUAUACAAAUAAAAACUAACAGCAGACCAAACUUAAUUUACCUCUUUGAUGACCUGAUCCUUCAAAUUUGUUGAUUGAUAGAUCUAAAUACCGGAGAGAUGAAAGCUCACUCAAAGAUAACAAAAUGCUAUCAUUCAAGUAAUUGAAACUUAAGUCAAGGAUCUCCAAAUUACUCAAUGUGGAUGAUAGUUUUCCAAAGCCUAUAGAAAUAUUCUUUUAAAUAUAUACAAGUUAGUGACUUUUCUUCCAUAAAAUAAAAUAAAAUAUAAGUAAUUGCAAAUUAACGAUGGUAAGAGUAGUGGGAUAAUAAAAGAUGUAAUUAAGGAAAAACUAGAGGCACGACCUUCAUUUUCAAGGUUACCACUUAUGGCAUUCCCCCGCAAAUAAAGACUCUUCAAUUCCUCAAAGGGAAGAAACAUAGAGGUAUUGAGAUACCAGGCAUUGAGAUUCCUAUUAUCCGUUUUGUAUCCCAUACUGUCAAACCAUCUUGUAGAAUUAAGGGAGAGUUGUAUGAGUCUCCUAGUGGUGGUGUUACACUCAACUCUUUCCCAUUUACAACAAUCUGAACCCUUCACCUCAACCCAACUUUGCAAUUGAUUUUGAUAAUUGAAGAAAGGCUUGAGAUGCAAGAGAGCGAUUCUCUCAUGCUCCAAACAAGCAUCAGUAGUACACCAUCUGCAUCCUUCUAACACCAACAACAUUACUGCCAUCCUAAUAAGCCUUAACCAUUUCCACUCCAUCAUCAUCAUCUCUCUGUUUUCACUUCUCUCUCAGUUAUAUGUUACUUUUUGUUAACUUCUAUAUGUAAAUAAUCUAAAGCAGCCUAACCUUCUUAUUUAUAUACAAGCAGAACAUACUGGAUCCCACUAAUUCACUAUAAUGUAAAAAUAAUAUAUAAUUAAUUAAUUCCUCAAAAAUUGGAUCAAAAUCUAGGCUUUUUAUUUACGUAAAUUCCUUAUUGCAAAAACUCCUGGUGGAAAUUCGUUAGGAAAGGAUGAAUGGACCACAAGAAUGUUGAUGUUAAUCUUGAAAAACGAAUGGCCAAAAAAAUAUGAAAAGUGAGAGGUGGACAUAAAAUCUUGUGGUUGGGGUUGCAAAAGUCUUCAUGUGGCUUUCUUGUGAGCUUCAUUUAUACCCUUCUUACACAUAUACAAACUUAGUCUUGACUUGGCUUUAUUAAUGGAAAAUUUAGGUCUUCAUUUUUGGUUUCAUUCAUGGAAAUUUUACUUCUUUGAUUUUGAUUUUGCUUUUAUUCUUGCACAUUUUAGGUUUUGAUUUUGAAAAUUUAGUUUUUUUCAUCUCUAUUAUUAUAAAAUUUCUUGAUUUAAUUAAUAUCAUGAGUUAAUUUAAUAUUUUAAAAAAUAAAAUAUUACAUUCACUAUUUUUAAAAAAAUAGGAGUAACUAUAAAAUUUAAUUAUUUAUAUAAUAUUUUUAUAAAAAAACUAUUUAUUUCUACUAGACCACUACUUUAAAACUAUCAAUUAUCAUAUAACUUCUCUUUAAUAAUUCACUAUUCUUUGAACAUUCAUUAGUUUUUGAAACAUAAAAUUUAUAAAUAAUUAUUUUUAAAAUGACUUGAGUUUUACUUGAAUCAUUUUUGUAAUUAGUUAAUUAAAUUGGGUUAUUUUUAAAAAAAAUCCUCUUAACUAAUAGCAAAAAAAAAAAAAGAAAAAAAAAAGCCAUCAUGUAGAAAAUUCUGGUUUGUUGGAAAGAUAAAGACUUGCACCAUUACUUUAAAUUUUGAAAUGUUCAACUUGAUAUUGACAUCUGAUAAUAUGUACAAAUUUCUCAUUGUUUUGAAUUUUAGUGAUAUUACACAUAUGAUAAUAUGUUUGUCACACCAAAUUUUGAAAUAGUAGAACUUAAUGAAUUUAACAAAUACUUAAUGAAUUUAAGAAAUAUCUAAAAUAUCAAAUUAAAGUCUAGGAAUUAAAUCUACAACUUCAGUAAAGUACAAGAACUAUUGUAGAAUUAAACCUUUAUAUAAUAAUUUCCUUCUAUGAACCACAAUUCAAGUGCACCCCACAAGCAACAUUAAAAAAUUGGCAUGUGUCUAUUUUUUUAAAAAUAUUUAUUUUUUUAAUAUUAUAUACUACACCUCUAUAGGAUACGUGUCAAUCCUUUAACUCUCCUUAUGGAAUUUAAAAACUCCACUAACAAUGUACCAAAUAUUAAUCCUAAUUAUUAUACUAUUCAUGGAUAAAGAUAAAAUAUAAUAUUUGCUUAAAAAUCUCAAUUAUAUAUAUUUGGUCACCCAUUGUGAUGUAAUAUAGCACCGUCUACAAAAUAGUUGGAGGAAAGUGUUAAGAAAAUAUCAUUACAUAUAUCAACAUUCGCAUAAUUCAUUGCAUUAACUUUCAAAUGUUAACUAUUGACUUCUGCGUCAACUUUGAGCUUAUAUAGGUCCCCCUCAUGGAAAUUGAGAAAAACAAAUUAAUAUGUAUAUUCUUGUGGGUGGAAAUUUAGUGGAGAUGCCCAUCAUCUUUCCUAAUUAAUAAAAAUGAAGACUUAGAAAAUGUGCAAUCAUAAUCCUAGUCGUCGUUAUGGCCCCAAGAAUAGUUAUCUUAAUUUGUCUCUCUUCAGGAUUAAAGAUAAAAAAUAAAUUUUAUAAAGUUAGAACUAUAAUUUUAUAAUUAUAUUAACAUAUAAUUUCAUAAAAUUUUAAAAAUGUAUCUUUUAAUUUUUUAAUUAAAUUGAUAAUUCGUUAACUCAUAAUAUUAUUUUAUUUUUCAAAAUAUUUACGAGAACGAGUUCGUAUUCUAUUGUGUGGAAAAUUUUAGUACAGAUUAUUAAGUUAUUGGAGAAGCCAAAUCCAACUUGUUUGACCAAGAAAGUUUUUGUCGCGUGGAAAAUGGACAUUACCAUUUCCUUGAAUGACCUUCAAUUUAAUGUAUUCACACCAAAUUUCAUUAAUGAGUAAAACAAAUAAUGAAUAAUAAUGAAAAUUGGAGGAAAUUGUUAAGAAAUUAUUAUUACAUAUAUCAACAGUCACAUAAUUCAUUGUAUUAACUUUCAAAUGUUGACUAUUGACUUUUACAUCAACCUUGAGCUUAUAUAGGCCCCCCUCACGGAAAUAAUCUCAUAAUUAAUGCCUGAAAAAUUAUUAUACAUCAAUUUACAGUUUUAAUCCCUAGACUUACUCAAUUGAAUUAAAAUUUUAGUUUUUAUUAUUUAAUUUGAACUAUUACUUUAGAUUUUGAAAUGUUCAACUUGAUAUUACAAAUUUCUCAUUCUUUUGAAUUUUAGUGAUAUUACACCUAUGAUAAUAUGUUUGCCACACCAAAUUUAGAAAUAGUAGGACUUAAUGAAUUUAAUAAAUAUCUAAAAUAUCAAAUUAAAGUCUAGAAAUUAAAUCUACAACUUCAGUAAAGUACAAGAACUAUGGUAGAAUUAAACCUUUAUAUAAUAAUUUUCUUCUAUGAACCACAAUUCAAGUGCAUCCCACAAGCAACAUUAAAAAAUUAAAAUGUGUCUAUUUUUUUAAAAUAUAUUUUUUUUAAUAUUAUAUACUACACAUAUAUAGUAUACGUGUCAAUCCUCUAACUCUACUUAUGGGAUUUAAAAAAUCCAGCAACAAUGUACGAAAUAUUAAUCCUAAUUAUUAUACUGUUCAUGGAUAAAGAUAAACUAUAAUAUUUGCUUAAAAACCUCAAUUAUAUACAUUUGGUGACCCAUUGUGACGUAAUAUAGCACCAUCUACAAAGUAGUUGGAGGAAAUUGUUAAGAAAAUAUCAUUACAUAUAUCCAACAGUCACAUAAUUCAUUGCAUUAACUUUCAAAUGUUGACUAUUGACUUCACGUCAACUUUGAGCUUAUAUAGGCCCCCUCCUCAUGGAAAUAAUGUCACAAUUAAUGCUUGAGAAAUUAUUAUACAUCAAUUUAUAGUUUUAAACCCUAUACUUACUCAUUUGAAUUAAAAUUUUAGUUUCAAUUUGAUAUAUUUUGUUCCUCUUAUUAAUAUUAAUGUUAUAGAUUUAUUAAAAUAACUAACAUUAUUAAUUCUCUAACAUUUAAAAAUUAAAAUUAUGUGGUUAUUAAAAUUAUGAUGCUAAAUUGAGAAUUAAAAAUUAUCAAGUUUUAAAUGAUCUCGGGAAUUAAGAAGAGAUCGUGUCCUAACUUAUUGGGCAUGAUCCUUUUUUUUCUCAAGUUUUAAAUGAUCUCAGGAAUUAAGAAAAGAUCGUGUCCUAACUUACUGGGCAUGAUCCUUUUUUUUUUAAAAUCUAAGAUAGCUAAAUAUUUUUUAAAUAAGUAAAUUUUUGGCAUUCAUUCGCGCAUCGGGAAUUCAAGACAUUGUGUCCUAACUUACUGGAUAUAAUUCUCUUUCUCGAUUAAUGUGAAUUAUGGCUUUUUCCCGAAAAUUUUCAACAUUUCAAUAAAGGAUCGUAUUUUAAAUCUCUUUAAAGUUUUCAAUCUUCGAUACUAAGACAUUAAUUAAUCAACUAGGUACCAAUUUUGGGCGUAACGAGGGUGCUAAUCUUUCCUCGUACGUAACCGACUCCCAAACCUGUUUUUCUGAAUUUCGUGGACCAAAAUUAUUAUUUUAUUAAAAUUAAAUUGUUUAUUAAAAAUAACCACUUUUCAAGGUGGCCCGAUCACACCUUAUCAAAAAGGAUUGGUGGCGACUUCCAUAUUCGUUUUCAUUUUUUAAAAUCCAAGUCGACCCCGUUUUCACAAAAAAAAAAAGUGUCAACAAUUAUAUUAAUAUAUAAUUUCAUAAAUUCUUUAAAAAAAAUUGUAUCUUUUAAUUUUUUAAAUUAAUUUAGUAAUUCAUUAACUCAUAAUAUUAAAUUUUUUAUUUUUCAAAAUAUUUACGAGAACGAGUUCGUAUUCUAUUGUGUCGAAACUUUUAGUACAGAUUAUUAAGUUAUUGGUGAAGCCAAAUCCAACUUGUUUGACCAAGAAAGUUUCAGUCGUGUGGAAAAUUUUAGUUUUGUGGAAAAUAUAGAUUAACUUCUAUAUAUGUAUGUAAUCUAAAGAAGCCUAAGCUUCUUAUUUAAUUAUAUACAAGCAGAAGAUAUUGCAUCCCACUAAUUCACUAUAAUAUAAAAAUAAUAUAUGAUUAAUUAAUUCCUCAAAAAUUGGAUCAAUCUAGGCUUCUUAUUUACGUAAAUUCCUUAUUGCAAAAACUCUCGAUGGAAAUUCGUUAAGAAAGGAUGAAUGGACCACAAAAAUGCUUAUCAACUCUUGACUUUGGCGUUCAAUGCUAAGUUCAUUUUAAAAUUCUUUCAUGGAGAGAAGAUGGGAUGACAAGAAUGAUAAGUUUUAAGUCAUUUAAGUUUACACAAAAUUUUAAUCACUCACAAAAAAUCAGUCUUGAUAUUCUAUUAAAAAAUUUAAACAUGGCUUAACGUUGAUUUUAAAUCUAAUGUCGAUGUCAAUCUUGAAAAACGAAUGGCCAAAAAAAUAUGAAAAGUGAGAGGUGGACAUAAAAUCGUGUAGUUGGGGUUAUAAAAUUCUUCAUGUGGACAUAAUAUAUUUUUUAUGCCCUUCUUACACUUAUAUAAAGUUAGUCUUGAUUUCGCUUUAUUAAUGGAAAUUUUAGUUCUUCAUUUUUUGUUUUAUUCAUGGACAUAAUAUUUAUUUUUAUUUUUUAUUUUUGUGUUAUGGUCUAUGUUCGAGGUUUAUGGCUAUCCCCUUUCAACAACGUCGUCUCAACGGUUCAAACAUACACUUGCAGGUAAAAUAAUACUUUUUAAAAUCACAAAUAUUUGAAAUAAUAUAUUGCAGCUAUAUAAAUGCUUUCUUGUUUAAGAUACUAAUAAAGUAAUUAACAAAGUAAUUAUUAUACCUAUAAUAAUUCAAAAUGCCACUUGUUAUCUAAUGAAGUAUAGGGGUGCAAAUGAGACAUCCGUACCCGCAAGCUAUUCGAAUUCGGCUCAAAAAAUUUUGAAUUUGAUUCGGUAAUUAUUGCGCCGAGCUAUAGGUCGAUCCGGAUUCAAGCUUAGUAAUACUUGACUCGAGUAGUUUGGGAGCCUUAUUGAACUUUUCAUAUUUUUAUAUUAUUAGAUUACAUUAUUGCCUUUAAUAUAUAUUGUUAACCCUAAGUUUAAUUAUUGAGGCGAGCUCGAACUCGAGUACAAAAAUUGAUAAACAGAUUUAAUUUCGAGCUUAAAAAUAUAUGUUCAAUCGAGUAUCAAGCUUUGAAUUUCAAAUUAAACUUGAGUUUAACCGUAUUGAGUUCGAAUAGAUUCAAUUACACCCUACAAUAAAAUAUACCAACAAAACCUACAUUCCAUAUUUGCUUAAAAACUUUGCUGUAAAUUUUAUAUAUGUGUGUGUUUAACGUGAGUUCCAUCUAUGUCCAACUUGAUGACGAUGAAAGUUCCUAUGGUGUAAAAAGUUUUAGUUAUGUGGAAAAAUAAGGUCUUCUCUUCACACGUUUAAUAUGCUUACUUGUGACGGUCAUUUCGGGCUUGACAUCAAUUUUCAAAAUGUUCUAAUUGGUGGAAAACUUACGUCUGCUUUUAUGAUUCUUUCAAGUCAAUUGGAGAAUGCCUCUGUUACACUUCAAAAGAAGUAGAUUUUGAACUCAACAUGAACCUGUGAGAUUUGAUGCCUAAAAUAUAGGUAUAAGGUUUCAAUUCAAGGAAAUGUUGGAAGUCCAGGAAAUUUCUUAGUCUCCUCUCUUUGGAUGUUUUUGAACAAAAAUGUUUUAAGUCUCUUCCGAUGCUAAACUUCUGAUUGGUCGUCGGUUCACUGACCCUUUGGUACACAGCAAUAUGAAGCAUUGGCCAUUCAAGGCCAUUGCUGGUCCUGGUGAUAAGCCAAUGAUUGUACUACUAUAGAUUUGAAAUGAUUGUACACAUCUGAUCGGCUCUUUGUAAAUUUAAAUCUUACAAAUUCGGAUAAUAUUCGAAUUUAAAUAUUUCAAUUACUAUCUGCAAUAGAUUAAAAACAAACGUGAUUAUCAAUCCUUGGAUAUCCACAUACAGAUUAUGCAAUACAAUCUCUUAAGGCAUAUAGAAUUUGGGUCUUAACCAAGCUAUGUUGCUUAAAAGCUUGCUAAAAGCACCCCUAACAAAGGGGUAAAUAAAUAAAAUAUCAAGCACCAGUUAUCAAAGCAGAUUGACCACCUUAUAUCUAUGUAUGCUACUACAAAACUUGCACCAUUAAAAUCUCAAGCUGGUAAUUGGAGCUUCAUGUUAUUCUUGCAGCUGCAGGCAUAAUAAUCAAAUAAGUUGCAAUCAUUCACAUAGGUACUAUGAAGUGCUUUCCAGAGCGUGAGAAACCUCUGGAAGUAAUAGUAGAAGAAAUCAGCAUAAAGCAAUGUCUGGACAAGACCGCAAAUCCAAGCUGAUCAAAGGCAUCAAUCAUGUAAACUAGGUGUUAGAAAUAACAAAUAUAGCAUAGAAUAUAACAAAUAAUGAAUAACAAUGAAUAGUACACGUUACCAUUUCCUUGAAUGACCUUCAAUUUCUCCAUUGAGAUAUAGUAAGAGGGAGUGGAAUAGAUGUAAGGUAAUAUUUGAUGUAUUCGGUAAAUGAAUAAUAACACCACAUUCCAUUAAUGAGUAAAACAGAUAAUGAAUAAUAAUGGAAGUUUUAUAAAAUAAAAAUAAAUUAAAUCAUAUACAUAUAAUGUAUUAAAUCUUAUUCGUGAAGUUCACAAUGAACAAAAUACUAAUCCAUAAUGGAGAAAAAUAACCUAAACUUUAAACAUUUGUUCAUUACUAUAAACAUAUGUACAACUUUUUAAAGGUUUUAUAUAAACUAUUAAAAGGUAUAAACACUCUCAUAAAAAUAUAUUAUUAAGUACGUCUUCUUUUACUAGGAAAGUUCCUAUCCUGUAGAAAAAUGUAGUUUUGUGAAAAAAGGUCUUCUAUGCACUAAUUUGUGGCAAUCACAUGGGGUUUGGGAAUUUCAAUUUUGAUAGCCAACCGAGAUUCACUAAAUUUAAAUUUUAUUAUGAUUAAUUACGCUCUUCGUUUUGGAGAAAUAGGUAAUCACAACAACUAAUUUAAUUAAAUGUAAUUUAAUAAUUAAUUUUUUUAUAAUUUAAUUACAUUAACUAUAUUUAAAUUUAAUAUUUAGUAUUUAUAUUUUAAUUUAACAUAAUUUAAUUCACUUACUUUUAUAAUAUUAUUAGUUCGUCUAAAUAGUUGACACCUUUAAUUAAUUCUUAUUAAAAUGUUAAAAAUGUUUAUACUUAUUUUCCAUGUUAAAAUAUAUAUUUUUUUGUGCUUUUAAAAACAAAAUUUCACAAUAUCAUUUCCCGAUAUAAAAAUUAAAUCUCAAAUUAAUUUAUAUUUUUGUAUUUUUUUAUAACUAAUGUUAUCAAGAACUCUUAAUAGUGCAACUGAUUCCACCAUAAUAUUUAUAUUCUUUAAAUAUGAUUUACAAUUUAUGUUUGGAGUUCGUGACUGUCAUUCUUAAUAAUGUCAUUUCUAAUGUUCGAACAUGCAUCUCCCCUUGAGAAUGCAAUAUUCAUUACUAUUGCACCUAAUUAUUUUGAUAAUUUAAUUUUAAAUAUUGACAUAAAAAUAUUUUUAAAUAUAUUAUUAAUAAAUUUAAUUAAGAUUAUAAAACUUGAGGUUUUUUUUAAUUCUUCAAAAAUGUCAUUUAUUUAUUUUUGGCCAAAAAAUGCCAUUUAUUUAACUCUAAUAUGUGCUUUUAUGUUUUAUUUUAAAAAUAUAUGAAAUUCUAAUGAUAGUUAUAUUACAUAUUUUUUAAUUUUAAAUAUCAUUGUUCUUUUAUAAUUUGUUUCAAGUAUGAAAUGAUAUAAUUUUUUUUAGUAUCUAUCACAAUAACCUUUACUAAGAAUUGAAACUAAAUUUCUAAAUUUUGAACAAAAAUGAAAGUUUAAUUAAAUGAUACAUUGGUGGAUUCAUUACCCCUCAUAUCUAGUUCCCUUAAGUUGAUAAAUGUUUCCAAAUCUAGGAAAACAAAAAACAACAAAAUCAACUUCAUUAUAUUCUCUUCCAACAUUAUUAUAUUCUUGUUAAAAAUCUAAUAUUUUUACCUUUCAAUCCAUUGCCCCAUAUGCUCAAAGAUUUCAAAUUUGAAAGCUUCUUAAGGGAUGCAAAUACACUAGUAUUGAACUGAUUUCCAUCUAAAUAAAGCUCUUCCAAGUGGGUCAACUCUAAUUUUCGACCACCAUCAAUAAAAGAUUUAUAUAAUUUCAUCACUAAAAUGAAUUGGCAUAAACUUUUAUUAUAUAUAAGAAUUUAGGUAAUUGGUUAAAUAUAAAUGCAUACCAUUUAAGGAUUGAAAGCUUUCAAUUUCAUUCCAACUUAAAUCGAGUUUCUUCAAAUUUGUUAAAUUGCUCAAUCCUAUACAUAUCCUCAUCCAAUUCAAAAUCUGAAAUUAGUAAAGAUAAAAUUGCACAUUGACCCCCUAAAAUUGAUAAAAAUUUAAUUUAAUUCUUUAAAAAUUAUAAACAUAUGUAGCGACCUAAAAAUUUCGGCACGGGCGCUAGUCGAAGUAAUUAUUGUAAAUUUGAAAACUGAAUCUCGAUUUUAUUUGAAAAAGGAGUCGCCACCGAUAUUUUUUCUAGGUGUGAUCGGACACCUACAAAAUUCUCUUUUUAGAAGAAAAAAUUAUUUUUAAACUUUUCUAAAAAAGAGGUAAUUUUAGGUCCACGUAAAAAUCCAGAGAAAAUUAGGGUCCGGGAGUCGGUUACGCGCGAGGAAGGUAUUAGCACCCUCGCAACGCCCAAAAUUGGUAUCUCGUUAAACGCGUGUUGUCUUCAUUUUCAAAAAUACGAGUUCAAUUUAAUAUUAGUCGUGAUCCGAUUGAACACGAGAAUUUUAAAGCGCAACAACUUUUUCUUUUUUGAAAACACGAAAAUUUUAAAAUACAAGAAUUUUAGAAACACAAAACUUUUUUUUUAAAAAAAACACGAAGAAUUUAAAACACGAGAUUUUUUAUUUUUAUUUUUGAAAACACGAUUCUUCUUUUUGAAACACGAAAAUUUUUAAAACAGAAAAUUUGUUUUUGAAAACAUAAAUUUUUUGAUAAAAUACGAAACACGAGAAAUUUUGAAGACAUGAAAAUUUUUGAAACACAAUUUUUCUUUAAAAAAUACCGUAUUUAACACGAAUCGAUGAUAUUCAUCCCGAUAUGGCGAUGAAACCAUCGAAUUAGUGUUAACUCAAUUCAAUUUAAUAUUUAAUCGGGAUUCUAAUAAAACACGAGAAUUUUUAUUAAAAUACGAGGAUUUUUGAAUAUUUUUAUUUUUAAAAGGGUGUCCCGAAUUUAACACGAGCUAUCGAUAUCCACCCAACAUAGCGAUGAAUUCGAUGACUUGAUGCUAAAUCGGUUCGUUGCCUUAUGCAUUAAAAUAUUAUUAUUUUUAAAAAAAAUAUGCAAUUAAAAUGACAUAAUAAUAUUUAUGAAAACUGUUUUAAAGCAUACUAAUUUAAAUUAAAUAAAACACCAUUUAAAUAAAUAAAAUAAAAUAAAAUAGAUUAAAAAGAAAAAAAGAAAAAAAUUACCCAAAAGCCCAAAGUUAUGGGCUUAAAUUUUGGGCCUCCCCUUUUAUUAUUUUUUUUGCUGUUGGGCUNNNNNNNNNNNNNNNNNNNNNNNNNNNNNNNNNNNNNNNNNNNNNNNNNNNNNNNNNNNNNNNNNNNNNNNNNNNNNNNNNNNNNNNNNNNNNNNNNNNNNNNNNNNNNNNNNNNNNNNNNNNNNNNNNNNNNNNNNNNNNNNNNNNNNNNNNNNNNNNNNNNNNNNNNNNNNNNNNNNNNNNNNNNNNNNNNNNNNNNNNNNNNNNNNNNNNNNNNNNNNNNNNNNNNNNNNNNNNNNNNNNNNNNNNNNNNNNNNNNNNNNNNNNNNNNNNNNNNNNNNNNNNNNNNNNNNNNNNNNNNNNNNNNNNNNNNNNNNNNNNNNNNNNNNNNNNNNNNNNNNNNNNNNNNNNNNNNNNNNNNNNNNNNNNNNNNNNNNNNNNNNNNNNNNNNNNNNNNNNNNNNNNNNNNNNNNNNNNNNNNNNNNNNNNNNNNNNNNNNNNNNNNNNNNNNNNNNNNNNNNNNNNNNNNNNNNNNNNNNNNNNNNNNNNNNNNNNNNNNNCUCUUUUUACUUAAUUAUUUAUCAAUUUACACUAGUUCGAGUUUUUGUAACAGUAUCAUGGAGACUUAUGUACUAGGAGUUAGAUUGUAUUUUGCCUCUUUUACUCAAAAAAUGAGUAAAUUAAUCCUUGUACGUUAAAUCAAUGAGCAAACUAGUCCUUUUAGUUAACAUUUUCAUUCAUUUUUACUAUUAAAAAUUGGAGUGACUAACGAAAUAACCAGAUAGUUACACAUUACAUGCCAAGGGUGAAGCCAGAAAAUUCUUUUAGGGGGCCGAAAUUAAAUUUUAAUUUUUAAUAGCUUAUAUCUUUAUAAUUUUUAAAUGAUUAAAUCAAAUUUUUAUCAUUUUUAGGAGGGGACUAAAGUGUAAUUUUAUCUUUACUAGUUUAAAUUUCUAAAAUUUCUAAAAAGCCUAAAUGGAUAAUUUUCAAUUUUAGAGGGGUCAGGGCCCUUGCCAGCCUCCCUAGAUACGCCACUGUGGCAUGCCACAUGUACCUCAUGUCAGCAUACAUGAACCCGUUUUUAACAGUUAAAAUGGAUGAAUUUUUUAGUAGAAGGAUUAAUUUUCUCAUUUUUUGAGUAGAGGAAAGAAAAUGCAAUCCAAUGCCUAAUACAAGGGCCUCUAUGUCUUUCAUUAUUACUCAAUUAUUUGUCAUCAAAAGUUGUAUAUGUUCAAAUAUAAAUACAAUAAAACACAUAUGUAGUUAUUAAACAUAUCAUGCUAAUGUCAUUGUUUCUUCUUUAUCCAAAAUUAUUGGACUUAUAAAAUUCUUGAGAAUAAGAAAACCCCAUUAAACUUCCUUUUAAGUAAAACGUGUGUUCAAAAUCUUGAACUAGGUUUAUGCAGCAAUAGAAAUUCACAAGCUGUUUUUUUUAUACAUGAGAUGUGAAUCUCAAAAUUUUAGGGUUUCUGAUCUCAUAUAUUUUGGGUCCAGAUUUAAUGCUAAGGAUUUGUUGAGAAAGUUGAAAGGGAAGAAAAUGAUGUUCAUUGGGGAUUCACUAAGCUUGAAUCAAUGGCAGUCUCUAACAUGCAUGUUGCAUGCAUUUUUGCCACAAUCAAACUACACUGUUCACAGAGAAGGGAACCUUUCGACCUUUUAUUUGCCUGUGAGUUGCCAAAUCUAGUAGCUAUUUUAUUUCCUUCUUAUAAUUAAAACUUUUCAAUGUCACCUUUAGAAGGUAGCUGCAUGAAUCAAAUGAGUUAAAUCAAAUAGACUAAUUACUAUUGUUUGGCAAAAAUACCGAGUAGACCUUUUUAAAAAUAGUUAUUAUACUUUUAUUACAACAAAAUAAGCAGGGGUGAACCUAAAAUUUUUUUUAGCAGGAUAGAAAUUUAAUUAUAAUUUUUUCAUAGAUCAAAAUAUAAAUUUAUUAUGAAUUAAUUUAUAAUUUUAUCAUUUUUAAAGGGAUUAAACAGAAAUCAUUUCAUUUUUAUGGGGGUUAAAGUGUAAUUUUACUAUAUAUUAAUUUAUAAUUUCUUUAUUUAUAAGACUAGAAAAAAUUUUCAUGGGGGCCAAAGUACAAUUUUACUAUAUAUUAAUUUAUAAUUUCUCUAGUUAUAAAAGAACUAAAUUAAAAACUUUUCAUUUUUUAGGGGGGCCAAGGCCCUGCCUACCCCUUUCAGAUUAUUCGCCUCUGAUAAUAAGCCAUUAAACUUUAAUUUAUAACCGUUACCAUUAAUUUUUAACUUAUAUCCAAAUAACCCCUUACCAUUUUAUUUAUACUCAAAAUAAAAUUUAACAUAAAUAAAGGUGAGAGAGGGGCCUUGGCCUAUUGGUUAAAAUAGAAAAUUUUCAUUUAGGUCCAAAGGUAAAGCCAAAAAAUCAUUUUAGGGGGUUGGAAAUGAAUAAUAAAUUUUUGGGGAGACUAAUAUUGCAAUUUUAUCAUUAUAUCAACUUAUAAUUUCAUAAAUUUUGAAAAGAUUAAAAGACAAAUUUAUCAAUUUUUGGGGUUGUCUACUCUCCUGAGUUGGUCUCUAUUGAAAAUUAAUAAUUCCAUAAAAUAUAGCUUUCCUAAAUUUAUAAUUUUAGCUCGACCCUAAAUAUAAAAUUCUUUGCUUUACCCCUGAUAUUAAAUCAAAAGAUAGAAACUUAUUAUGUUACUAUAAGAAUAUAGGGAUUUAUUUAGCAAAAGCAAACUAUUUCAAGGACUUUUUUGGUAGUUUGCACUUAUAGUUGGUAUUAGUUAGAAUUAAGUGCCAAGAUUAAGUUUCCUUUGAGAUAUAUAGUUGGUUAAGCAAUUUAAUAUAAGUGGAAAUUUAGACCCCUAAGUUAUACCCUUCAUGCAUUUGGACAACUGUGUUGAGCCAAAAAAAAAAUUGCAGGAGUAUGAAGUUUCGUUGAUGCUAUCACGCAAUGCAUUUCUUGUGGAUAUUGUCCAAGAAAAGAUUGGCACCGUUCUGAAGCUUGAUUACAUUAAAAACGGCGAAUCAUGGAAAGGAUAUGACUUUCUCAUCUUCAAUACCUGGCAUUGGUGGCUCCACACUGGAAGAAAACAACCGUAAGCAAAACAUAAUUUCAGCAAUUAAAACCCGAUUUUUUAAUUGCAUCCCGAGUAGAUUUGUAAACAAAUACAACACUCGAAUUGGGUUGGGUUUGAACCGGAAUAUCAUUCCUAUAGUUUUGAUUAGACCUGUAGUUUAAAAGUUAAUUAUUUAUUUAAGUUUGAAAAUUCGUUUGAAAUUUAGAAGAAUAUUUAGAUAAAAAUAUUAGACUUCAUAAAUGAGCUUGAGUAAAAAAAUUAAACCCGUUUUUAAUAUGGGUUAAGCUUAAGCUCAAAAAAGUUAAGGAUCCAGACAUGUUGAUGAACUUAAAAUGAAUUUGCGAUAACUAUUUACAAAUAUUAGUAUGUUGGAGCAAAAUUUUAAGCCAUUGUUUGGUCCAACUAAAUUUAGGCAAAUAUAAAGUGCGUUAAUAUCAUGCUUAAAAUUGAUUCAAACUGAUCCCAACCCAUAACCACUUCUAAUUCUGAUUAGUUUGACUCAACCUUUUUAUUCUUUUAAAUACUUAUAAAAUCUCUUAUCCAAUUAUAUUUAUAUUUGAGCAAAAAAUGAUGUAUGUAUGUAUGUAUGUAUGUAUGUAACUUGAAAAAUGAAUUGGAUAUUAGAUGGGAUUUCAUUGAAUCAAGAGGAAAGGUGAAGAAAGACAUGGAUCGUAUGGCUGCAUAUAGAGAGGCACUAAGAACAUGGUCAAAAUGGGUGGAUUCCAAUGUUAACACUACAACUACCCAAGUGUUUUUUCAAGGCAUUUCUCCGACUCAUUUCAAGUAAGCUUUAGCUCUUCUCUUCUCUUCUCUUACCAUUUGCAUUAACUUCCUUGUUCUUAUUUUACUUAAAAGAAAUGGAAUUAUGAAAAAAAUUGAAAGCCAUUUUUUUUCCAAUAGAACUUAAUUCAUUUUAAUCCCAUCAGAUUUGGUUCAAAUUAGAGGUGUUUAUAAGUUGGUGAGUCAAUCGGCUUAGUUCGCUUUAGACUGCACUUGAAGUUAAGUUUUCAAGUUUCGAGCCAGAUUAGCCUUACUUGUUUUAUUAGUCGAAGAAAACUAUUUUUAAUUGUUUUAUAAACAAUGAAAAUGGACCAUUUAGGUAAGCUUAAGUUUGGAAAAUUUUUGAAAUUGGGCUUAAACUUGACUUGGAAAAUGAACACUUAUAGUUGAAAGAAACUCAUUUGUCAUAAAGCACAAAUACUUUUAUGAUUAGAGACGUUAAUGGGCUUGAACUUAAAUUUUCUUUUUGGUUUAAGCUUGGUUCGAGUUGAAAACUCGUAUUGUUUAAAAUAUUUCUAAUAUAUUAUUGUUUAAAAUAUUUCAUAAAUAUUUUCAAAAUGAAAUAUGUGUAAGAAUCAUAAAUUCAAGCUGUAGUGUUUCCUCAUAUAAAUUAUGAAUCACUCUAAAUAUCUCAAAGAGAAAAUGACAGUUCAUUGACAUCUAUAUAAAGAUUUUUUUUUUUAAAAUAAAAAUCAACAAGUCUCUUACGUUAUCCAUAUAUAAUAUGUGGAUGUACAAUUAUAAACUUCACCUCAAACAAUUUGGUAUUUUGAUCCACAAUUUUGACAGUGGCAAAGAAUGGAAUGGUACCAAAUCAACAACUUGCACACAUCAAAUCAGACCGGCUACCGAUUUAACGUACGAAAGUGAUCCACCUCCGGAAGUGACGAUCGUAAAGGAAGUGCUAAAAAACAUGUCGACGCCGGUGGUUUUGCUCGACAUAACCAGAUUAUCACAGCUGAGGAAAGAUGGUCACCCAUCAAUUUAUACUGGUCUAAAAGGAAAUGAUUGUAGUCAUUGGUGCCUAGCUGGUGUUCCUGAUACAUGGAAUGAAAUCUUAUAUGCAAUUCUUACAAGUAGGAAAACUUAAUUCAAGAUUAUAAUUUUUUUUUCAAUUUAAUGUAUUUAGUUAAUAAAAAUUAAUUUCCCAUUAAUAGAUGAAGAAUUUUAAAUUUAAUAACAUAGGUGUAGCCAUCAAUUUAAUGUAUUUUUUACCCGAACCCAAAUUAAGUCAAGCUCAAACCAAUGGAAAACCUACAAUAUUAUUCAUAAUAAUAUUGAAACUUUAGAUUUUUUUAUUAGUAUUAUAUAUUUUAAUAAUUAAUUUUAAAUAUUUUUAUUAAUAAAUAGUAUUCAGGUCGCGCCAGCCCAAUUUAAAAGAUAUUUAACUCAAUAUAAAUUCAACAUAUUAAAUGAAUAAUUCAAAUGUCAAAAUGAGCAAAGGAAAAUCUAGAGUUGUAAGCUUUGCAACUUUAAAUUGGACAUGAGAGUUUCUUUUAUUGGAUACAUGCCACAUUAUUUUUUAACAAAAUUCCUUUAUUUUAUCAAUUGAAUUUAAAUUAUUAUAUUAAUAAAAUUAUUUAAUUAUUUAAUUGUGUUUCAACCUUUUACAUAAAAUAAAAUUUUCUCUUUUAACUUUUUCAUCAUUUAAUUUUUCACUUUUUAAAAUCACCCUCAAUUUCAAAUAUAAAUUUACUUGUGUAAAAAAAAAUCUAAAUCUGUUAAUUGCAUCUAGAACUUUUCAGAGUUGGUCUUGUCAAAAUUUUAAGUCUAUUUGCUAGGCCCAAGUUUGGCCUAAAAAAUAGACUUAAAAUUUUGUCUAAAUUUAACCCGGAUAAAAUAUUAAAAUCAGGCUCGACUCAACUCACCUGAAUUAAUUUUUCUAUAAAAAUAUUAAAAAUAAUAGGUCAAAAUACUAAAAAUAUUAAAAUAAAUAUUUUUUAAUAAUUUAAAAAUAAAUUUAAAAAUAUUUAUACUUAGAUAAAAUUAACAAUAAAAUAAUUUUUUAAUGUUUAUUAAAAAAUGGGCCGGACCGGGCUCGGGCUUAUGAUAUUUUUCCCGGGCCGGGCCUGGAAAAAUAUCAGGCCCAUAUUUCGAGCCGGGCCAAAAAAAAUUUCUGGGCCCGACCCGGCCCAUGGACAGGUCUAAUCUUAGACCUUUUCAGUGUUGGUCUUGUCAAAAUUUUAAGUCUGUUUGCUAGGCCCAGGUUUGGCCUAAAAAAUAGACUUAAAAUUUUGUCUAAUUUUGACCCGAAUAAAAUGUUAAAACCAGACUUAGACUCAACCCACUUGAAUUAAUUUUUUAUAUAAAAAUAUUAAAAAUAAUACGUCAAAAUAUUAAAAAUAUUAAAAUAAAUGUUUCCUAAUAAUUUAAAAAUAAAUUUAAAAAUAUUUAUACUUAGAUAAAAUUAACAAUAAAAUAAGAGUUAUAUAAUAUAUAAAUAAUAAUAAAAUAAUAGUAACAACAAGAAAAUAGUAAUUUUUUGUCUUUUUGUUAAUUCAUAUCGGACCGGGCUUAACCCGGUUGAGAACGGUACUUAUAUUUGUACAAAAAAAAAAUCAAAAAAAAAUGUGAACGGUACUUAACCCGGUUGAGUCGGAGCUCCAUGACCCGAACAGCAAUUUAUUUUUCAAUUCUUCUUCGUUACGCAAAAAGGAAAAAAAAAAAAACAGCUCAUGAAAAUGGCAUGGUCAAAUACUCUGCUUCAGAUUCACAUCAAAUCCCCUUCGAUCCCUUCUCUCCAUUUCCCACAUUCCCUCCCAAAAAGCUCCCCAUUCCUUCUUAAUCCUAACCCUAUAAAUCCCAUUCCCAGAUCCCUCAGAAUGCAAUUCCUUCACAGACCCAACGCUGUCCCACUCGUAUCAAGAGCCAUGGACAUCAUCCAAUCGUCUCCUCCCACGUGGCAAUCCGCAGUCCUCAGUAACCUCUUGAUCUUCGUCGUCGGCACCCCACUUUUAGUGGCGGGGCUUUCUCUCUCCGGAAUUUGUGCUGCGUUCUUGCUUGGCACUCUCACUUGGCGCGCUUUUGGCUCCCCUGGGUUUCUCCUCGUUGCUUCGUACUUCGUUAUUGUGAGUUGCUAAUAAUAUAUUAUGAAUUGUAGCUGAAUUAUGGGAAUUAAGUUAAAUUUUGGAAAUUGGGUUUUGAUUUUGUAUCCAUCUGGUAUUAAAAGUUGCUUGCUUUGGAGAAUUAGCUGUCAUUGUUUGGUAGUAUGGCAAGGAAAAUAAACUUAAUUUAUGUCGAAAGGUUACUUUUUAAUUAGUUAGCUAUUCAAGUUUGAUUAGUUGUAUUUAGAGAAAUUGAUUGUACUAGGUGAAAUGAGAUCAAAAGAUUAACAAAAGUUACUUGAUGGUUUCUAGCUUUUUAGCUGAAAUAAAGUCCUGUAUGAAAUGAUAUAAUAUUUUAGUUUUCUAUUAUGGCUUGUUUUCCUUGCAAAGUAUGAAUCUUGAAUUAGUUCCUGCCUCCCUCUUCUAAUUCUCCUUACCCAUUUCUAGUUGAAAGUUAAUUGAAAUUCCAUGUGAUUUUGUGUUAUAAUUCCAGUUCAUAAUCUGAAUGGAGACAAUAAAUUUGGAUGAAGGAGCUUUAAGCAGUGGGAAAAAUCCAUAAUAAUUUGUAAUUCUCUAAAUCUCUAAACAAUCUUACAUCUCUUUGUCAUGCCUUUCAAACAUAGUUGGUAUAACUAUGUUCAAUUGUCUUAGCUAUUGUUUAAUCAUUUUUAAUUUUUCAUUCCCCCUGCUCCCCCAAAAAAAAAUGUUUGUCUGAGCAAUGAGUCUUUCUCAAAAUCAAUUUCCAAGGCCAUUUUAUUUGAUUAUGACUUUGUGAGUAAAACAUGUUUGUAUUUGUUAGGGAACCGCAGUAACAAAAGUGAAAAUGGCUCAAAAGGAGGCCCAAGGGAUUGCUGAGAAGAGGAAAGGAAGAAGAGGACCUGGGAGUGUAAUUGGGUCCAGUGCUGCUGGUUGUGUAUGUGCUGUUCUAACAAUAUAUGGAGUUGGAGGAGAGGCAUUUACACGUCUUUGGCAACUUGGUUUUAUUGCUAGUUUCUGUACUAAGUUGAGUGAUACAGUGUCCAGUGAGAUUGGGAAAGCAUAUGGCAAAACAACGUAAGUAGUGCAUCUCUGUUUGUUAAUGUAUAGGCGCUUUAGAUUAACUGUAUUAAUAAUUCUCCUUAGUUCAUUCUAAAGAAAGGAUAUUUCAAAUCAAGUGGAAUUUAGAUCCCUUAUGGUUCUUGCUAUAUUCGAGCUCUAUUAUUGUCAUAUAUGCUGGUGAUAAAGGUCGCUUUGACAUCCUAUAUAGAAACAAAAUUUGUGAGUGUUAAUAUUGCCUCAAAUCUUUUUUUUUUUCUUCAAAGGUUUAUGUCAAUUGCUACUCUCUUUUUUUUUUACUGUUAAACUACACUUUAGAAUUGCAAAUAUAAAGUGUGUGAUGUGCCAAAAUGAACAGGUACCUGGUGACAAACUUUCAGAUUGUUCCUAGGGGAACAGAAGGAGCUGUCAGUGUUGAAGGAACUGUUGCUGGACUUCUAGCAUCUAUACUGCUUGCCACUAUUGGUUGUCUAUUGGGUGAGGUAGUACUUGCUAUGUACUCAUACUAUGUGAAUAAUUUGUUCUGCCAUUCAUGAUACCAUUUUUUUUUAAUAACAAGCAUUAUUGUGAUCAUUACAAAAUGUUUACACCUUGUAAGAACCUGGAAUUUUUUCUAGUCUCUGCAACAAUAGACUAAUUGGUGGGGUGGUGCCUAGAUGGAAUGAUUUUGCAGAUAUAAUUUGUUGAAGGUGUUUUUCAAAGGGAACUCUUAGCAAAAUAGCAGAUCAUGAUAUAUUUAUAAAUUGAUUUUGACAUCUCAGUUUAGGCGUGUACGACCUUUGUGAGCAUUAUUUUGCUGGGAACUUAAAUUUCAAUUUAAUAUAGUUCAGGUAUUACAAUUUGGUAAAUUGGAUAAUAUUUUCAAGGGGAAGGAGAAUUAAAUUAGUUGAAACCGAUUUUUAUUGUUAGUGGUUUUUUGUAUGUGAGUGGAUGAGGUUGUCUCUCUAGCCUUGCUGCAUCUUUAGCUAGGAUUUUCUCAAAAAUCUUGUAUAUAUCCCUAAGGUUAUGGUGUUGUUCAUAGUAUUGACGCCAUAACCUCUAUACACUUUCAAACUGAAUAUGAUCAACAGCUUCUAGAGAAUGCAUAAAUGAAAUAUGGGUAUUUGAAUUUAUAGAGAUGUUCUAAGCUUCUGUUUUUUGCUUUUUCAUUUAUCUUUGCAAGCAGAUAAAUGUACCUGAGGUAUUGAUAUGUGUAAUAGCAUCCCAGAUUGCUAAUCUUGGUGAGAGCAUAAUUGGUGCUGCAUUCCAAGGGAAAGAAGGAUUUCGUUGGGUAAGGAAUCAUUUGAAUAAUAGGAUGGUUUCUGUCAUCCUGUUUUCUUAACCAUUUUUUCUUAAAUUUAGUGCCUAUGUAUCUUCUAGAUUUUAGUGUUACCGAUGAAUCAGGCUUGAUUCUAUAUGAAUGUAUGGUUUGAUGUGGUAUAUCGAUGAGAUGAUUACAUGUAUAUCAUUUUGUGGACUCUCAUCAUGUUUGGAUCUGGCUGCACUCCUAAAGCUGUAGUGAGGAAGAAUUAUAUACCCACUGUUUUGGGGUAAAGAAGAUCGAAGAGUAAAUUUAGAGAGAUCAGCCUGUUAUAAAACUGCCUGCUAAGGAUUAAUUCUAGUCUUAAUUUUCAUUCGAUGAAAUCACGGUAUUGUGCAUGUAAAAGGCUGUUAUGUUGGUCUGAUUCUUCUUUUUGCUUUGAAGUAUCCAUGUUCAACAUAUAGUCACACAAGAAAUAUGGAGAUAUGACCUUCAAGAUACAUGAUAAACUUUAGCACAAAUCUCUAUCAGACACUUACCUGAAUUUGAGCGAAAUAUCUGGGUUGGCCAUAUAUAAAUCUGCCUAGGAUCUAUCAUCUUAGCAUGUUUAUAUGCUUUUCAUUAUAAGGCUGAAACUUGGAUUCUUUUACCAUAUUGAUUUUGGUUUUCAUCUUGCAGCUGAACAAUGAUGCUGUUAAUGUCAUCAACAUAUCCAUAGGCUGCAUUUUGGCAGUCUUAAUGCAACAACUACUCCAAAACUGGCAAAUGUAAGUUCACCCCAUCAUCUCUUUUGCGAUGUCAGGUAAUUAUUGCAGAGUUCAUCGACACUGCAAUCGACAUAUUGCAAUGUGGGGAAAGAAAAGAAGAAGAAGAAAGAGAAAGUCUUCAAUGUAAUGCAAGAGAUGAGCACAAAGGUGCAACAAUUAUAGCAAUGAUUUUGCUAACCUUGAAAGAUACUCAAAUGAUAUGGAAAAUCAUUAGCAUAACCAUUUGUUCCAUGAGUAUAUUUUAAAAAGGCUUCUCUCUUUUAUAGUCUUGGUAUUCAAAGAUGUAUUCCUUUUAUCAAUCUCCAGUUAGAAAUGAAUUAGAUGCUUUUUAAAUUGCAUUUCUUAACCAAAAUUAUUGGCUUUUUUUUUAUUGUUGUUGAGCCGCACUGGAUUUAUGGGUGUAAUUGAAGCACAAGCUUGACUUGGAACUUUUAUGUUCAAAGUUCGGCCCGGGCCCAAGCUUGAGUUCAAUUAAGCCAUUUGUGAAUAUAUCAACCAAUUGUUCCUUUGUAAAGACAUGUCUAGUUUGGACUAAACCAUCUUGGAUUUUUUUUACAAGGUGAGAGUCAAUCUCUAUAUGUUUCGUUCUCUCGUAGUAUUCAGGGUUGGUUGCAAUCUGAAUUGCUGCUUGACUAUCAUAGAAUAAUAUGAUUGGUUCUACUCGUUUAAAUCCAAGUUCCUUCAGUAGUCCAGUCAACCAAACUAACUCAGCCAUAGUUCUAUACUUUGCCUUUGCUGAAGAUCGUGAUACUGCAUUUUGUUUUGUUUUGUUUUUUCCAAGAGAUGAGACUUAAAACUUCUGGAGGAUGGUCAGGAUGGGUGUUUGGUUUACAAGGUAAAGAAAACGGUGAAGGUGGAGUUUGUGAGGUUUUCUUUUUACCUUUCCCUUUGGAGGAGGAUGAAGGUUGGAUCAUGAAAUUUUCUGGAAGUUUUUCUGGUGGUCUAGAAAGAAUGUCUGCAAGAACAUUGGUUUUCCCUUUUAUGUGGAGGACAUUCUGUCACUAAUCGCUUUGACAUUGGACUUGAAGCCCAAUUCGAAUCACAAUAUGCUACAAGUUAUGGAGAACCAACUACAGCACAGAAUAAACCUUGUCCUGGAUCCUUUUUAAUGUAUCUGACUAUUCUAAGAGCAGCUUUAUAAUGCGACUUCUUGGGUCGUUGCAUAAACUGACUGGAUGUUGUACCACAAACGUCAUAUCUAGCCUUGUAUGAGUCAAGUACAAAAGCCUUCUAAUAAGCCUUUGAUAUAAUGAAACAUCUGUCAAUACCUCAUCAUCAUGAUUCAUUUGCACCAUCUCAUCUUACUGGAGAUGUCAAGUUUUGAUUUUGUUCUAAAGGAGUGACAACUAUCUUUCCUCCCCCUUACCUCGUGUCUGAAAUUAAUUCAAGAGCAUAUUUGCGUUGAUUCAGUACAAUUUCAAACUGUGAUCUUGUGAUUUCAAUGCCAAGAAAAUACUUUGAGAUCACCUAAAUCUUUCAUUUUGAAAUUUUGAUGCACAGUUCCUUUAAGCUCAUUUAUAAGCUUGGUAUCAUUUCCAGAAAUCAACAAAUCGUUAACAUAUAUCAACAUGACAACCAGCUUAUAACCUUUCUUCUUGAUAAAACGAGAAUAAUCGUACUUACUUUGUGAAUAACCAUUUAGAAGAAUAGCUUUAGUAAGCUUUAGAUUCCACUGUCAGACUUAGCAAUUGACAUACUCUAGUCUCUCUUUGAUUGCGAAAAUCGUCUGGAAGAGUCAUAUAAACCUUCUCAUGUAAAUCUCCUUGCAUUAUAGGCAUCCAUUUGAAACAAGGGCCAACCAAACUAUACAGCAAGAGCAAUGACCGUGCAAAUUGUGACUUGCUUCGCAACAGGGGAAAGUGUCAUGAAAAUAAAAAACCUGCCUGCUGAGUAUAACCCUUCCUAACAAGUCUGGCUUUAAAUCUUUCAACCGAGCCAUCAGAGCUGUACUUGACCUUGUAGACCCAUAUGCAACCAAUGGGCGUUUUACUAGGAGGUAAAGGAACUACCUCCCACGUGACAUUUGAUUCCAAUGCUUGAAUUUCUUGAUCCAUGGCCUUUAUCCAAUGUUUAUCCUUAAUUGCUUCACUUUAGGUUUAAGGUUCAAUAAUAUGGGAAAUGGAGGCAGCAAAAAAUUGUGUAUGCAAAGGUAAAUGAGCAUCAGCUAUACAAUUAGAUAUAGGGUACUAACCUUUAUGGAGUGAAGAAGAUAAAGAAGAGCAAUUUAAAUCUUUCAUCCAUGUAGGAUCCUUAAAAGAACGAGUAGUGCGAUGUAAAGACAGCUGGUAAGGUAGUAGACUACGAAGGUAAUAAGGACUGGUUGGGAAAUGGAGCUGAAGAACGACAAGGAGCUAAGGAUGAACAUUUCAAAUGGGAUUUUUCCAAUUCAAAGCUGAAGUAGGUAAUCUGUUAACAAUAUAACAAGCAGCAAGGAUACACUCGCCCCAAAAUUUGGUAGGUACAUUAGACUGAACUUUGAAAGCACAUGCUAUUUCUAACAAAUGUCGAUGCACACAAGAACUUUGAUGUAUUAUGCCUAAGAAGAAAAAAAAGGAGUAUAUUCAGAGUUAAAGAACUCAGUACUUAUGACUUCCAAAAGUUUUAACAACAGUUGAAAAUUGCGUGUGAACCAAGGCUAUAAACUGUUUCAAAAUGACAAUAGUGUCGGUUUUAAGCUUAAACAGAUGAACCAAAGAAAAAGGAGAAUCCGCUCGAGAAUAACUAAUAGGAAAUGGCAAUCGUGUUUGUUUAGUAAGAGGACGAACAUGGCAUGGACUAAUAUAGUCACUGUUCCAAAAUGAAAGAAACAUGGCCAAGUCCGGCAUGCCAAAGGAAAGACUGAUCAUGAGAUGUCAAAAAGGAAGAAAUGGGAGAAGAUACAAAAGAUGGCAAUUGAGGCUGUUGAUGCACCAGAAUGUAAAGAUCAUUCUGUUCUUUACCAAUCCCCUUCACUUGUCCACUGCAAAGUUGCCGUAAAAGGCAAAAAUCGGGAUAAAAGGAUACAAAACAAUGUAAGUCUCGAGUUAACUUGAAAACGAAAAUUAAAUUGAAAUGAAAGUCUGGGACAUGAAGGGCAUUGGUUAACUUGAUAGAGGAGGACAAGACAUAGGAACCCAUGUGAGUAAUAGGGACGGAUUUACCAGUGGGAAAUUGGACAAAUGAAGAAUGAAAAGUAAAAGGAACAAGAGAAUCCAAAUAUUGGCAAUCAGAUAUCAUGUGGUUGGUGGCCCUCGUCUCCAAAAUCCAUUGGAAAGAUGCAGGCCAAGAAACCAUACCUGCCAUGUGAGCAGCUACUCCAACAGUUGAAGUGAACUCAAGACUGAGUAAAUUCAAGAUCAGUAGAUACUGUGCCUGAAUAAACACAGGUGCAAAUACUAUGGUAGCAUUGUUAGUCAUAGUUGACCUUUGUUUUGUAAAUUUAAAAUCAACAGGAUACCCAAUAAGCUUCUAACAAGUUUCCCGUUUGUGACCUUUAAUCUUUCAAUGGUCACACACAUCUUUCAAUGGUCACAGAAUACAAUGUUGUAGGUUCAGAAGGAAAAGAUAUGCCAGAAGAAUGUUGUCUUUGAGCUUCCUCUUGAACAAGCACGGAAUUAGCUUAAUUAACAGAAGGUAAGGGUUCCAUUAACAAAACCUGACUUCCAACAACAGCAUAAGAAUCAUUCAGGCCCAUCAGAAACUGAAAUAACCACUGUUGUUGAAUAAGUUGUUGAUUCAUGCGGGAAUUUUCACAAGAAAAAGAACCAAAGCAUCGUAAUCCCACAAAAGCUUCAAUCGUGUAAACAAAACUGAAACAGAGUAAGUACCUUGAGCAUGGGAAGCAAUCUCACCAUGAAGAACCAUCGACUUUCUCAUAUCGUUCUUGAAGUUCUUUCCAUGUUGACAAAAAUAAACUGUGCGGUAUAAUUAUAUAAUUAACGUCGCUCAAAAUUAACAUAAAAUUUCAAUAUUUGUAAAUUCGAAUAAAGAAGGUGAAAUUCAAUUAUAUUACUUUAUAUACUCAGUGCUUUCUAUGUAAAUUAUUUUCAUUAUUUUAAAUAUAAAAUGUUUAUAUUAACAUGAUAAAAAAUAAAUUAAAUUAUAAAUUAAAUAAAAAAUAAAAUUCAGUUUUAGUUACAUUCAAAUACUCGAUUUUUGGGGUUUUCUGCGCCCUAAUAGUAGGAAAAGAAAAUUCUCAUCAAACCCUAAAGCCCAUAAAAGAAAAAGUGAGAAGUUUAGUUGAUCUAUCAGAAUCUCAAGCACUCACCCUUAAUUUGCAGUAAGUUGCGAGUCUGCAAUUCUUUAGACCCCUUUUCUCAAUUGAUUUUCUUCUUUAACCAAUCGUUUCUCUCGCGCUCUGUUUCUUUUAGGAUGGCCGAUGAACAUAUUUCCACAGUCCUGGAGCAGCUACGACGAAUCAUGGCCGACGAAAGAUUUCGGAACUCGGAGUUUCAGAUAAACUUGCUUGUAUGGAGACUCGAAGCUUUUCAAUCUAUGAUUCUUUAACAUGGGGACGGGCUAUUUUCGGUUCGGCUAUUGGAGCGUGGGAUUACUGUUCAUGCACUCGAUCAAGUGCUAUAUAACAUAGAAGAUGUAAUUAACGACGUCUUACAUUUAGGAGUAUCUACUGAAUUAGCAGCAGCAGGCCUUGAGAAGUUUGCUUCUACUCAAUCAAAAGCAGCAUCAGCAGAAACAGCCACUCUUUACAUCUUGCGCAAGAGGUUGGAAGAAUUGGAGGAGGUAUUGAUUGGUAAUCCGCAUGAAUCGCAUCCCUUGCACUCUAAACGAUCUUUUUUUGUAAAAUUGUCAAAGUUAUAUGGUCUAGAUGUGGUUAAGAAAGAUAUAAUAAAUGUAAUUUUGGGUGAAAGUUUCAGGGAUAGUAGCGACAGCAUUAAAACCAUCAUUAUUGUUGGCAUGGAAGGAACGGGGAAAACAUAUCUUGCGCGGUGCAUUUGUACUGAUUGUCAAGUUCUGGAAAUUUUUGACAACAUAAUUUGGGUGAAUGUUUCGGAUGAUUUUGAUUUAGGUAAAAUUGCAAGAAAAAUUAUUCUGUCUCUUGAAGGUUUGGAGCAUGACUCUUUGCGUCUCCUAACAUUAGUUCCAUUGCAAAGUCUGUUAGAUAGAAUUCAGCGAAAGAUUGUUAACAAGAAAUCACUUCUUGUUUUAGAUGGUGUGGGGAGAUAUGAUUGUGAUGAUUGGGAAGCACUUAGAGCUGUUUUUCAACAUGGCAUGUCGGGGAGUGGGAUUCUAGUGACUACUCAUGAGCACUCGGUUGCAGGAGCAAUGGAAUCAUCUUAUAAAUUUUGUUUGGGAAAGCUGUCUGAUGAGUUGUGUUGGAUGAUACUUCGUGAAGUUGGAUUGAAUGAUGAUACUCUUGAAUAUGCGGUAGAGGAUAUAGGAAGGGAACUUGCAAGGAGGUGUGAAGGACUACCCUUUGCUGCAAAGGUUUUGGGAGAUGCUAUACGACAUUAUGACUUUGGAAUAAGAGGAUGGGAUGUUUUUCUGAGAAAUUGUAUCUGGAAAUCUCCUAGAAUACCCAAAUAUAUGUCUAAAAUUCUAUCACUAUCUUAUUGCAAUCUACCUUUGUCUGUAAGACGGUGCUUAUCGUAUUGGGCUAUCUUCCCCAAAAGCUUUGAGAUUUCAAAAACUCUUUUGGUGCAACACUGGAUGGCACAAGGUUGUCUGUACUCAUCUGAUAAUUUAGAAAUGGAACUAAAAGGUGAAGAGUACUUUAAAUGCUUAGAAGCUCAUUCAUGUUUCCAAUAUUGUACCAGAGAUGGUGGUAUGCUUACUUGUAAGAUGCAUAGCUUAGUACAUGAUUGUGUCCAAUCUUUGUCCCCAUAUGAUUUAAUGAUGAGGUUCGAGUCUGUUAAACAGCUGACCUUGAAUUUAUCUUCUUGGACGGAGGAGGUCAAAGUUGUUGGCACUCAUCAUUUGGUAAUGAUGAUUGCUCAAGGAGCUGGUUUUCCCAUGGACAUUAGUGGUGCAGAGAAAUUGAGGACCCUUGUUGCUGUUACUCAAGGGUGUUUGAUAACUAGUCAAGCAUUAUCUAACUUAUUUAAACAAUCCAAACAUCUGAGGUUAUUGGAUUUGAGCUUGACUAGUGGGUGGCAUAAUUGUUUUGGGCCAUCCGGACAAGGUAAUAUACUAGAUGAAAUUCCGGUGGAAAUCUGCAGAUUGAUUAAUUUGAGGUACCUUAGCUUGGCUGGCAGCAAAGUAUUGAAGAUAUUACCAGAAACAUUGUGUGACUUGCAUAAUUUGCAAUCCUUGGAUCUUACUGGUUGUAGUAGUCUUAGAAAAUUGCCAGAUGGAAUGGGGAAAUUAAUGAACUUGAGGUAUUUUUAUACCUGGUGUUGCUCUAGUAUAACUUCCUAUCCAAAAGGGAUUAGCUGCUUAACUUCUCUUUGAGAAUUAACCAAUGUCAUUGCUAGAGCUGAUCACAAUGAUGCAAAGGAAUUCACUCUUGGAGAUUUUGAAAAGUUGAACAACCUUUGUGGACAUGUUCGUGUGAAACUGGUAGGGAAUGCGAUGGAUGCAGAUGAGGCUAUUAGAGCUAACCUUUGGAACAAGAAGGAUCUUGACCGUAUCAGAAUAAAUCUGGAUGGGGAUAUAGGGAAAGAAAGCCAAGACGUUAUAAAGAAAGCAUUAAACCCGCCUUCCGACUUGAAUAUAGAGUUCGUAGGUUGGUGGUUCUAGUCCAGAAAUGUAAGGAUGCUGCAAAGCAACAGGUAGUCUCUCUGUCUCAUUUUCUCUUUUGUUGUAGCUUUGAUGGUUCAAAUUCAGUAUUUACUCCUAUGAUUCAUUCAAACCCAAAUUUCAGUUGUGUUAUAGUAGUUCUAGUUUCUGUUGUUAUCAUCUGAUUAGAUGGAAUAUUAUGAAAUCUCUUAUAACAUUACAAUGACAAAGAUAUCGGCUUGUCUAUCACAUGAAAUUUCUCUCUUGCUAAAGCAUGCUCUGAAUGAAUCACUUUAAAACGGCAAGAUAACUUAGAUUAUCCUUAUUUUCUUUUGCUGGACAUACAUAUCCCGUGAGAGACAUUGUCGUUAUCGGUGGUACUGUAGUUAAAGUUGGAGUAUAUUUUUAGUAUUUUAGUUUUUAUAUUAGGAUUUAAUCAGUUAUUAAGAUGGAUUUUUUCUGGAAAAAACAUGGAUACUUUUUUCUAAAAUUUUUUAUUAACUCUUUUGAAAUUUGUUAAAUUUUUAAUUAUUUUUAUUAGUUUUUGAAUUUUUAUGAAUUAUAGGUAGGCUACCACACGAAUUGAUCACGUCAAUAUUGUUAAAAUUUUAAUAAUCUUUUUAAUUCAAAAGAAAGUAAUAUAACUAAAUUGUAAAGGUUAAGUGUAAAAGUCAAAAUGACAAAAUAAGUCAACAUUAAAAGAUUAAAUUUAUCACGAUGCCUUUUUUAUAUACUCAUAAUUAAUUAUAAUAAAAAGUUAACUUUAUUCAGAUAUAUUUGUUAUUUUAAAUAAAUAUUCAGAAUACAACUUGAAAAUAAUCUCAUGUUUAUAAUUAUAACACGAAAACUUUACUUACUAUAUAAUGGAAGAGUAUUUGGUAUAUUAACAGUGUGCCUUUUUUUAUUGCACAAGUAUGUGUAAAAGAUUGAUAUAUGUCUUUAUUUUUUAAUAUUUUAUUAUACUUUCUAAGACACUUGUCAAUCUUUUAACUUUGCUUAUAAAAUUUAAAAAUUCCACUAAUAAUCUCACCUAGCAAAAUGGAUUAAAAACAUUUAAAGUAAUUUAGUUGAAUUAUGAUAAAAGGUCAAUGUAUUCUAAAAUGCUAAAUGGCAUAAAUUUGAGUUUGUCAAAUUCUCUAGCAUUGGGAGGUAAGUCAAAUUGCAAACUAAGUUGAAUAUUUUUUGGCUUUUCAGUAAUCAUAUUCAUGCUAAUAUUUUUAGAUUUAAUUCUCACUUUCAAUAUUAAAAGAGGGUUCAAAUGCAACUUGGAGUCAACAUGAACAUGAUACUUUGAAAACCCUAAAGGGCACUUGCACUCUUGUUUUGGAGGUGAGGUUAAGAAGACCUACAACAAGUUUUAAUAGAAUUUGAUAUAGUUGAAAAAGAUUCAGAGGAAAAUGGUACCAAAAUCUACAGUCGUGGAAUACGAUGACUGUAUUAAAAUAUAUGAAAUUGGUUGAUGGUUUUAUUUAUUGUCUCUUAAUAUUUUAACUAAUCAAUUAAGUAGUAAUGAGAAGGACAUGACACUUAAUCAUUAUAGUUUCUAGUUAAAGUUUAGGAAGAUGCAUUGACAUCAAUUCACUAAUUUUUUAUGAAAAAUGUUUUUAACCGGUUCAUAUCCCCAAUACCAUUGAACGUUGAAUCAAAUGGUUUUGUUGAUUAGAGAAAGACACUAAGAAAUGUAGAGGAACAUGUAUGCGUAAGAGAGAAUUUGAGGCACAUUUAAUAAGUUAACUUUGGAAAUUUUAUAUGUGGAUAAUAGCAACGAAGAAAGAGACUGUUGAGAAUGAUCAAACUUGGAGCAUAUGUUUAGAUCCAUGUGGAGGUACCUAUUAGGUAAGUGAAACAAGCAAUUGAAAUGAUGGAGAGUUUAGUACACCGGUAUCGUACUAUGAUAAUUUAUGGUCAUUUUUAAUUAAUACAAGUCAAAAAUAAUAAUAUUUAAUAAACCUAAAAUUAAUGGGCAAAUAGUGAUGAGUUAUCCUAAAAUAGAAUUGAAGAGGAUAAGGUCCUACAAUUAAUAAUAAGAAAAGUGAAGACUCUUUGAAAAGAUUAAGGAUGUACUUUGAUUAAGAGUGGUUAUAAAAAAAAAAAUUGGGGGGAAGGGAUAGAGUGGAGUAAGGAAAGUGGUGUGAUUGCCCAUUAACAUAAGUAAGAAAUAUGCGAAUGAUUGCCCAUUAACAUAUAGAGUAGGUAAAAUUGACUUGUUUUUCUAGAAAGACAAUAGAUAAGCCUAAAAAGUUAUAAAAAGUAAUUGUUAAAAUAGUUAAAAUGAGAGGAAAAAAUAAGAUAUUUUUGUUUAUGAGAAUUAAGUGUCGUGAGUCGGGACGAAAAGAUUAAUCAUUGUUACGACAGUAAAUACCUUGAUUACAACGAAAAAGAUAAAAUACCAUUUUACUUUAUAGAAAAUUCUCAUGAUUUUAUAAAAUAUACCAUGAAUAUAUUAAAUCAUAUAAAAAGCGUAAUUCUAUAACUCAUACCUAAUUUAAAUACAGGAUGGUAUUUAGAAUGAUUAUAAGAAAAUGCUUGUUCAUGAAUGUUGUGAGUUUUCCGAAUCUUGGGGACAAUGUACCCUCUGGCUCCCGUCAGGAUUCACCUGGUAAUUUAUAAAAAGGAAUAAACAAUCACUUGGUAACUCACAACUCACAAGGCAUAAAAUAUAAUCACGUCAAGCAGCAAAACACAAACCUUUUUUAAUAUUCCAAUCUAAUACAAGUGAUAAUAUCAACUCUUAGAGCCCUAACUCUUAAAGUAUCAGCACAUAAUUUUAACCACUUACUUUUAAUAAAUACCACCAUCACUACCAUUAUCACCAUCGACAGAGCCUCUCAAUUCAUAUGUCCUGCAAAAAAUGGUGUCAACACUAACAAAAAAACCAAAAUUAUAUCAUUAAAAUAUAUUUGUAUUUCUUAAAAGGCAGAUCAUUCAGUUUUUCUGGACAAGUUUCCCUAUGCAAUCUAAUACAAGUGAUAAUAUCAACUCUUAGGGUCUGUUUGAUUGACGGAAUUGAUUUUCCGGAAAAUCAUUUCCAACUUUUCCAGCGUUUGAUUGGCGGAAAACAUUUUCCAUUUGGAAAAUGAACUCCAAAACAAGGGAAAAUGAGUUACAUUUUAGGGAAAAUGUCUUACUCUUUCAAUUUCUAUAAUUUUAGGCUUUUCCCACCUACCUCUAAUUACACAAAAUAUUUUCAGAUUUAAUUUACUAAUUUUGGCUUUUACAAGGUCAAGAUUUGACUAUCCCAUCAAAUGUCCCAAAUUUAUAAUUUGGUCCCUCUUCUCUUUUCCAUGCUUCAAUCUAACCCCUUCUUUGCUUGUUUUUGAUUUAAAGUGCCCGAAUUUUGUUCCUGUCAAUAUUUAAACACAAAACGCACCAAUUACCAGGGAUUAAUUUGAGAAUAAGUCGAGUUGAACACGUAAAUUAUGCAAAAUGAACAAGUUAUCAUUGACCAUUAGUGCUACGUCAGCACAAACAAACGGUGUUAGUGCAGAGAUACCAACCUAGGUGACAGAAUAUAAAUUCAGGUACCAAUUAGAUAAAAAAAAAUCAUACACCAAAUAAAUACUUUUGAAUAAGUUCGAAAAUAGACGACAAAUUAUCCUUUCUUUUCUCUUUUUAUCUACCUGUAAUAUUUGAAUAUGAAAAGAAGUUACACAACUUUUCAAUUUCAAUAGUAGUUAUUUAACUUUGCCUAGUUGAGUUUUACAUAAAAUUUCUUUCUUUCGUUGAACAUGCUCUCAAUGAAUCACUUCAAACCCCCAAGAUCCUAAUAUUUUGCAGAACAUAUCAAUUGAGAGGCUCUAUCGAUGGUGGUGGUGGUGUUAGAAUCCGUUUAUGCUGGUGGUAGCAUUUUGUAUUUUUUUUUAUCGUAUUUAUUAAAAAUAAGUGGUUAAAAUUACGUGUUGAAAAUUUAAGAUUUAGAGCAUAUCGCCACUCGUAUUAAAUUGUAAUAUAAGCAUCGAUUGUAAAAAGAAAAGUUUGUGUUUUGCUUGUACUGUCUCAUAAAAGACAUUAAGUAAUUUCGUUGUCGUGUUUAUAUUUUAUGCCUUAUGAGUUACCAAAUGGUUGUUCAUUCCUUUUUAUAAAUUACUAGCCGAAUCCUCUUCAGUGAAGGAGCUUGAAAAUUUUUUGGGAGGGUCGGAAUUAAAUUGUAUAUUUGUAUGAUGGUAAAAAUAGAAUUUUAUAAUUUUAAUAGCUUAUAUCUUUAUAAUUUUUAAAAGGUUAAAUCAAAAUUGUAUCAUUUUAAGAGGUCAAAGUAUAGUUUUACUAUUACUAAUUUAAAAUUUUAUAAAUUAUAAAGGGCCUAAAUUAAAAUUUACUAUUUUAAGGGGGCUAUGGCGCCUUGGGUCUCCACUACAUUAUGCCACUGAUCCUCAUGGAAGACAGAGGCUACCUUGACCCCCAAGAUUUAGAAAAUUGCCAUUUGACCUUUUUAAUUUUAUAAAAUUUUUAAUUUAGUUUAUUAAAAUUCUGUAAAUUUUCAUUAAACAAUUUUUAAAACUUUUAAUUAGAUCUCUCAAAUUCUUUUUGGAAAUUCUUAUUUUCUCAAUUAAUUUUUUAAUUAAACUAUUCAGAAUUUUUGAUAAUUCUCAUUAAACCUUUUUAAAAUUCUCGAAAUUUUAAUUAAAUUGGUAAAAUUUGAAAAAUUUUAGUGAAGGGAAUCCCUCCCACAUAUUGAUCAAGAAAGCUUUGAAAAAAUAUUAAUUAAUUAUAUGUUUGAGAGAUUAAUAAUGUACUAUUUGGCUCCCAACAAUAAUAAUUCACUCUUAAUUUUGCUUCUUUUCCCUUUUUCUUUUACUUGUUUUUGUGAAAGAUAUCAUAAUAUAUGUUUUAAAUAAUUAAUGUAAUAAUAGAAAUAUUAAAAAAUAUAGUUAAUAGUAACAAUAUUUUAUACAAGCACAAUGACUUAUUCAAUUCUCCAAUUUUACAAAAAGAGACCAAUAAGUGAUUAGAUGUAAUGACAGGUCACAUUGCAUUCCCAAAAGAACUGCCUAAGUUCGAACAUCAUAAGUAAUAUAAAAACUUAAACAAAGUCAUGUAACAACCCAUAUAUCAAGUAUCACCAAAUACCAUUUCAUUCUUAUUCCAUUGUUUAGUUUCUAUUUUCAAUCAACUGAAUAUCGUCCGAUGGAACUAUAGCAAAACGGGCUCAAAUACACGGGAAUAAGUUGGUCACACAAGUUGACAGUAUAUUAGGGCUGCUCAGACAAGUUGACAUUACAACAGAAUUGCUCACAUAAACUGAUAUUAUAUCAAGGUUAUUCAUCUGGGCUAAACCUUCAAUAUGUAUAACCCGAGAAUUUGAGACAAGCCCAAGAACUCAUCCUAUGUAAAAGGGGUGCCAAACCCUAGUGCAUAGUAGGGUAUGUUGCCGCCCCUUAGUGUUUUGAAUAAAGGGGAACUGUAGUAUCAUAUUAAAACAAUACUAUUUAAUUACUCAUUAUUCAAGUAAAACUUUUGUACUAUUUUCCUAAAAUAGGAUCUAUGAAAUGAUUUAAUUACACCUAUCGCUGUUAUUUUAUCAUAAAAUAGUGGUAAUUUGUUUAUAAGAAUAAAUUCUAUAUUCUGAAAAGCUCAAAGUUUUCGAUUUCUAUAUAGAGAAUUAACUUUCUCACUAAAAGUUCAUGAAAGAUUGGUUGAACUGGGCAAAAAAAUUGGUCGAAUUAGAUGCGAUUGAACUGGUUGAACUAAAAUAUUUUAAUAUAUUUUUAUUUUUUAUGAAUUUUUUAUGAUUUAUUUAAUUGAAUUAGACUAAUCAAUCAAACCAAUUGAAUCAAUUGGAUCAACAAACUAGUAACCUUAUUGGUUUGAUCAUCGAUUUAGUUUUUAAAACCUUAGAUUUCGUCAUACCGUUUCAAUUAUUAUACCUUAUAAAUAAAAUAUAAAGUAAACCAGUGGUGAAAUUAGGGGGAUUGGCAAGGGCCCUGGCCCUCCCUAAAAUGAUUUUUUUUUUCAUAUGGACCCUCUAAAAAAAUUAAAAUUUUAAAUUAAUAAAAAUAAAAUUAUACUUUGGCUCCCCUAAAAUAUAAAAAUUUGAUUUAAUCUAUUAAAAAUUAUAAAGAUGUAGUCUAUUAAAAUGGUGAAAUUGUAUUUUUCUAUCGUAAAAAUUACAAUUUAAUUUUAGCCCAUAAUUUUUUUUUUCUAAUUUCGCACCUGAAAUAAGCUAUAUUUGAUUAAAUUUAUUAUUUUACCUUACAUACAAAACACAAAAUAAACAUUUAACUAUACAAAAUUAAUUGAUGAAUUGUUUUACUCAGUUGAAAGUAGAACAAAUAAUUGAUCCAAGAGGAAAGUGAAAUUUAUCCUUUUAUACGUCGAACAUUAGCGAAAAGGACAAAAAAGAAAUUUUGGGUUAUUUGGCUUUUGUUUCCUGCUGCUCUCCUCAAUCCAUUGACGCUGUUUCACCCCCUUUCUCUCGAUUUCUCAAUGUUUCUUUUCCUGUAAUUUGUUGUGAUUUGAAGUAUAAAUCAGGGAGAAGUAAAAGCUAUCAUAAAAAUGGCGGAGGCAAUUCUUACGGUAGUCUUGCGACAGAUAACAACAAUCUUGAGUGACCAAGCGGUAAAAGAGAUGACGAUGUGGGGAGACCGCGAGGCUGCUCUCAAAAAUCUUGAAACAUAUCUGAAAUCCAUCCGAUCCGUUCUCAAAGAUGCAGAGGACCUUCAAAUUACAGACGAUGCAAUCAAACUGUUGCUAGAAGAUCUGAAAAUUGUAAUUUAUGAAAUCGAGGAUGUGUUGAAUUUAUGGAGCUGUAAAGUACGGAAGGCAGAAUCUGUUCGUGCCAAGGUAAAUUGUCUACUUGAAUUCAUUGCAUAUCGUCGUAGUUCUGAUAGAAUAAAGAAGAUUUGUGAAAAACUGAGUCCAUUUGAGCUGAAAAACAAGCUGGAUCUGGGCAAGAGUAAAAUUAUAUCUCCUCUGCGGAACAAAGAAAGUACUAGCUAUUGUGAUCUAUCAAAAAUUAUUGGUCGAAGCGGAAUAAAAACUGAGUUAGUGUUCCGUUUAGUUUNNNNNNNNNNNNNNNNNNNNNNNNNNNNNNNNNNNNNNNNNNNNNNNNNNNNNNNNNNNNNNNNNNNNNNNNNNNNNNNNNNNNNNNNNNNNNNNNNNNNNNNNNNNNNNNNNNNNNNNNNNNNNNNNNNNNNNNNNNNNNNNNNNNNNNNNNNNNNNNNNNNNNNNNNNNNNNNNNNNNNNNNNNNNNNNNNNNNNNNNNNNNNNNNNNNNNNNNNNNNNNNNNNNNNNNNNNNNNNNNNNNNNNNNNNNNNNNNNNNNNNNNNNNNNNNNNNNNNNNNNNNNNNNNNNNNNNNNNNNNNNNNNNNNNNNNNNNNNNNNNNNNNNNNNNNNNNNNNNNNNNNNNNNNNNNNNNNNNNNNNNNNNNNNNNNNNNNNNNNNNNNNNNNNNNNNNNNNNNNNNNNNNNNNNNNNNNNNNNNNNNNNNNNNNNNNNNNNNNNNNNNNNNNNNNNNNNNNNNNNNNNNNNNNNNNNNNNNNNNNNNNNNNNNNNNNNNNNNNNNGCAUCUUUCUAACACCAACAACAUUACUGCCAUCCUAAUAAACCAUAAGUACCAUUUCCACUCCAUCAUCAUCAUCAUCUUUCUGUUUUCACUUCUCUCUCAGCUAUAUGUUACUUUUUGUUAACUUCUAUAUGUAUAUAAUCUAAAGAAGCCUAAGCUUCUUAUUUAUAUACAAGCAGAACAUUUUGCAUCCCACUUAUUCAAUAUAAUAUAAAAAUAAUAUAUAAUUAAUUAAUUCCUCAAAAAUUGGAUCAAUCUAGGCUUCUUAUUUACGUAAAUUCCUUAUUGCAAAAACUCUUGGUAGAAAUUCGUUAGGAAAGGAUGAAUGGACCACAAGAAUGCUUAUCAACUCUUGACUUUGGCGUCCAAUGCUAAAUUUAUUUUAAAAUUUCUUCAUGGAGACAAGAUGGGAUGACAAGAAUGAUAAGUUUUAAGUCAUUUAAGUUUACACAAUUUUAAUCACUCAUAAAAACAAGUAUUGACAUUCUAUUAAAGAAUUUAAACAUGGCUUAACGUUGAUUUUAAAUCUAAUGUUGAUGUUAAUCUUGAAAAAAGAAUGGCCAAAAAAAAUAUGAAAAGUGAGAGGUGGACAUAAAAUAGUGUAGUUGGGGUUAUAAAAUUCUUCAUGUAGACAUAAUAUUUUUUUUAUGCCUUUUUUACACUUAUAUAGAGUUAGUCUUGACUUUGCUUUAUUAAUAGAAAUUUUAGGUCUUCAUUUUUUGUUUUAUUCAUGGACAUAAUAUUUUCUUAUUUUUAUUUUAUGGUCUAUGAUCGAGGUUUAUGACUAUCCCCUUUCAACAACGUCGUCUCAACUGUUCAAACAUACACUUGCAGGUAAAAUAAUACUUUUUAAAAUCACAAAUAUUUAAAAUAAUACAUUGCAGCUAUAUAAAUGCUUUCUUGUUUAAGAUACUAAUAAAGUAAUUAACAAAGUAAUUAUUAUACCUAUAAUAAUUCAAAAUGCCACUUGUUAUCUAAUGAAGUAUAGGGGUGUAAAUGAGACAUCCGUACCCGCAAGCUAUUCGAAUUUGGCUCAAAAAAUUUUGAAAUUGAUUCGGUAAUUAUUGAGCCGAGCUAUAGGUCGAUCCGGAUUCGAGCUUAGUAAUACUUGACUCGAGUAGUUUGAGAGCCUUAUUGAACUUUUUAUAUUUUUAUAUUAUUAGAUUACAUUAUUGCUAUUAAUAUAUAUUAUUAACCCUAAGUUUAAUUAUUGAGGCGAGCUCAAACUCGAGUACAAAAAUUGAUAAACAUAUUUAAUUUCGAGCUUAAAAAUAUAUGUUCGAUCGAGCAUCAAGCUUUGAAUUUCAAAUUAAACUUGAGUUUAACAGUAUUGAGUUCAAAUAGAUUCAAUUACACCCUACAAUAAAAUAUACCAACAAAACCUACAUUCCAUCUUUGCUAUAAAUUUUAUGUAUGUGUGUGUUUAACGUGAGUUCCAUCUAUGUCCAACUUGAUGACGAUGAAAGUUCCUAUGGUGUAAAAAGUUUUAGUUAUGUGGAAAAAUAAGGCCUUCUCUUCACACGUUUAAUAUGCUUACUUGUGUCGGUCAUUUCGAUCUUCACAUCAAUUUUCAAAAAGUUGGAAAACUUAUGUCUGCUUUUAUGAUUCUUUUAUGUGUGUGUUUAACGUGACUUCCUUGUGAGUUCCAUCUAUGUCCAACUUGAUGACAAUGAAAGUUCCUAUGGUGUAAAAAGUUUUAGUUAUGUGGAAAAUUGGUGGAAAACUUACGUCUUUUUCACUUGCUUUUAUGAUUCUUUUUACAUGAUAUUACUAUAUAAUUAAAUUGAAAUACUGAUAAAUUUGAACCCAUAUGAUGUAAGUCUAGGCAUCAUCUAAUUUAUUGAUAUUUAAUUAAUUAAUAUAUAUACUUUCAAUUAUAAGAAUUGAAACAUAACUUUCAAGUCAAUUGGAGUAUGCCCCUGUUACACGUCAAAAGAAGUAGAUUUUGAACUCAACAUGAACCUGUGAGAUUUGAUGCCUAAAAUAUAGGUAUAAGGUUUCAAUUCAUGGAAAUGUUGGAAAUCUUGGAAAUUUCUUAGUCUCCUCUCUUUGGAUGUUUUUGAACAAAAAUGUUUUAAGUCUCUUCCGAUGCUAAACUUCUGAUUGGUCGUCGGUUCACUGACCCUUUGGUACACAGCAAUAUGAAGCAUUGGCCAUUCAAGGCCAUUGCUGGUCCUGGUGAUAAGCCAAUGAUUGUACUACUAUAGAUUUGAAUAUUUGUACACAUUUGAUCGGCUCUUCGUAAAUUUAAAUCUUACAAAUUCGGAUAAUAUUUGAACUUUGAAUGUAUGUUUUGUUGGUGAGAAUAUAAAGUUGAUAAAGAUUUGGUAAAUAGAGUAAAAUAUUAUUUUUAUUAGAAAAAUUAUUUGGUACACUGCCAAUCGAGGUAAUUAAAACAUGUCAUUAUAAAUAAUAAAAUUAUGAUGACUCAAAUAUACGAACACGUCAAAAUUUAUGUACAACGAAUUAUUAACAUGUAAAUGUAUAAUACGGUACGCAAAAAUAAGAUAAUUGCUUGUUUUUUUAAUUGAAUUGUUAUAACAUAUUAUACAAAAUACAUUGUGACUUAAAGCAUAAAAUGAACUUGAUAUCAAAAUAUUAAAUUUUUUUUAAAAUUCAAUGAUACGAAUAAUUAUGUAAAAUAUAACAUGAUGCAAAAUAUCUUGAGAGGAAAAGAGGAAUAAAGAAUUGCAUUAUUUGUGAGGUUUUAAAAUAUUCCAGUUUUAGAUUCAAUUUUCUAGUAUGUUUGGUUUAAUUUUACAUUAGAUUUCCUUUUCAGUAUGCACUAGUGAACGCUUAGCAGUCAGUUUAAUUUAAUUCAAAGAGAUAUUGCAUAUACAUAAUAAUGGAUUAUGAUUUUACAUUAAAUUUCAUAGAAGAAAAAGAAAUAGAUGGUUGAAAAUGAUAAAACCAUAAGAUAAAAGAGCUUUUAUUCAAAAUGCAAAAAUCAACAAAAUAUUCAUUAUCGCUCAACUUAGCAUAAUUAAACAUUUAGGUGUGGAAACAAGUCACAAUUUGAGUAGCUAAACACAUUGCUUGAAAAUGUGAUAAGUAAGAAAAUUGCCCACAUUUGAGUAGCGACAUGUGGUGAAGCAUUUCCCAACGAGAGAAAACUAAGCUCUUCACCAGUAUGGAUUUAUGUAGAGGACAACAAAAAUUGUCAACAACACAACUACAUAAGAAACCAAAAAGCUCACAAAAAAAUCAUAAGUAUCUAUCAAACCAUCUUCUCCUUUAUCUUCUGAUACAAUUGAUAUCGCUGAUGGUGAAUCGGUUUUGGAACAACUUUUAUGCAAUAUAUCUCCACAACGAAAAGGAUUUCCCUCAUAACUGUUUUCAAUAAAGGUCCCAAAUUGAGCUUUUGGUUCGGGAAUACUACCUGACAAAUUGUUAUAUGCCACGCUGAAAACCUCCAAAGAGUUCAACUCUACCAAUUGAUUGGGGAUUUCACCACACUCAAGUUGUUGUAAGAAAGGUCCAAACUCUCAAUGUGCUGAAGUUUUGAGAAUGAUGAGGGUAUAACUCUGGUCAACUUAUUGUGUGACAAGUUUAAAGAAUGGAUUUCACUCAAGUUCCCUAAUUUUGGUGGGAUAUGACCAGUUAAGUUUUUGCAAGAUAAAUCAAUCCCAAUAAUAUAUGAAAGGAUGUUGCCCUUGUACGAAUAGAACCCACUCUUUGUUGUGAACUCUAUUACUUCUUCUAAGUAGCUGUCAGGGUUGUAAGGAUUUAUACCCCUUUCCCAUUUUCUCAUCACAAUGGAUGUUGAUUCAUCCUUUUCUAUAAAUGGAAGAUAGAACCCAGUUGCUAGACUCUCUUUCUCUUUCAGUGGAAGAGAUAAAUUUCCCAAACAAGAAGGUAUAGGACUAGAAAACAUAUUUUGAGAAAGAUCUAUGAUGCUUAAAGAAUGCAACUUGCAUAACUCAAUAGGAACUUUAUCAUGAAAAUGAUUAUCUUUCAGGAGAAGAACACUCAAAGAAGAAAGCGUGUAAAUCCAUUUUGGAAUACUACCUGUCAAAUUGUUUCCUCUAAGAUCUAAAGUCACUAUUGAAGAGUUAUUAUAAAAAAGCAAGUGAUAGUGUGCCUCUCAGUCUAUUCCCGUGGAGGUGGACAUGCUCUAUGUAUGGUGGAUUAAAACAUGACGGUAUAGAGCCAGAUAAAUUAUUUUGAGAAAGAUCCAAAAAUUCCAACCUAUUCAACUUUCAAAAUUCCAUUGGAAUAGAACCUUCAAAACCAUUGUUGGACAAAUUUAAUCUCCACAAAAAUGAUGCAUUCCCUAUCCAUCUUGGGAGCUUUCCAUGCAACUUGUUACUGAGAUCAAUUUCGCUUAGUGAAUUUGGAAACUCAAAAAGAAAUGUUCACACAAAGUUUUUUCCAACAUAUGUCUGUCAUUUGUGGGGUCUUGAAUUUAAUAUCAAUGGUUGAAUUUUCAUAGCUAAUAUGUGCGCAAAAGGCCUAGUGGGUGGAAUUUUAUGUCAGGAAAGCGUUUCUACAAUGACAUAAUUAAUUGCAUUACUUUUCAAAGAUUGACUAUUGACUUUGGUGAGCUUAUUAGGUUAAAUUCUGCUGCUGGUCACUGUUCUUUGUGAAAGUUGUAAAUUUAGUCUAUUUACUUCAAUUUGAUCAAUUUUAAUCCCUAUACAUUUUGAUUUUUAAAAUUUUAGUUGUGACCCAAACAAUAGAGUUAAAUCAAUUUAAUUAAAACCAAUUACUAGUCCUAUAUUAUGUGUACAAUUGUUGAUUUAGUCCAUACUCUCCAAUUGGAUCAUUCUAAGUACCUAUAUUUUUCAAAUUUUAAAAUUUCAGUCUUGAUGCAAAUGACAAUCCUUAGUCCGUUAACUAGAUUUUUAGUAACAUAUGAAAAUAAUAAGAUGAUAUGACAUUACAAAUAUGAUAAUAUUUUUGCGUUAAAUAUGUCAACAAUGACAUAAUUAAUUGCAUUAACUUUCAGACGUUGACCAUUGACUUUUGCUUCAACCUUGAGCUUAUAUAGCCCCUACAAUAAUUUAGGUUAUGGAAAUAAUCUUACAAUUAAUGCCUGAGAAAUUAUUAUAGAUCAAUUUAUAGUUUUAAUCCCUAUAAUUACUCAAUUGAAUUGAAGAUUCAGAUUUUCUUAUUUAAUUUGAUAUAUUUUCUUCUCUUAUUAAUGUUAAUGUUAUGGAUUAGUUUUUUUAAGACAACAUUAUUUUAUUCAAUGAAUAAUAUCAUACAAUUCGAGGAGAAAAUAACAAACACUCGUUGUACUCGUUAAAGGACAAGUUCCAUCAACACAACAAAACCUUUAACUUCAACAUUAAUAGAACAUUAUGGCAUGUUGAAAUCGGCUCUGUCACAACUCAAGCACAACAUAUCAGGAGUGAUUACAAGCACUUAAUAUGGUAAGAAAAUUAACCCCGGAUGGUCCAAAGCGGUGGGCAUAAAUCAGCAAAAGAACUGAGCAUCCACCAAACUAGAGGGGAUGCGGCGACAAAACUAACCCUAAAAUUACUCUCAAAAGCAAGACUAAAAAGCGUACUACAAGAGUAGACAAAAACUUCGAAAAGUAAAGACUUAUUAAACAAUGGAAAAAUAAACAAAAAAAACAUAUAAAACUUAAGAUAACAUGAGUCUAAACCGAGUCAUGAAAUUAUUUAUUAUUUUGAAACUCUCAAAACAUAAACAAAUUAAGAAGUCAACGAAGAGGUACCCACUUUCUAAAAGAAAGUGUUGGUGGUCGGUGGUGUUUCAAUGAUGAUAGGCAUUGUCACCUGUUCAUCACAACUUGUAAAGAUAACAAAAAUACCCACAAAAUAAAUCUGUAAAUUGAAAAGAACGAAGACUCAUGGAGUGAAUGAGAAGAAGAAAAAUAAAAAGGGUUAAUAGAGACAAAGCAGGGCGGUAACUAGUUCAGAGGCUAACACCGCUGCUAGGCUAAAAAAAGAAGAAGAAGCAAACAUGUUAUGGAUUAGUUAAAAUAACUAACAUCAUUGAAAAUUUCAUUACUUGGCUGAUUUGGAUUUUUUUUUUUAAAAAAUUGAAACUAGAAACCAUAAAUGAUCUAACAUUUAGAAACCAUAAAUUGGGUUCAAUUGCUUUGCUGUCCAACUCCAUCCAUCUAAAAUCGCAAGGAUGUACCCAUGUUCAAUAUGCAGUACAGACCCAAAAAUUGACCAUAUAAUGUGGCUCAAGAGAAUUUUCGAAUGGUUUUAAAGAAUUAUGAGAACACAAUGAAUAAAGUUAAGGCAUCAUUUAUUCAGCUUGCUAUAAUGCAGGUCAUUCCAAUAAAGAAGCAUUUUUUAACUAUAUUUUCCGUUACCCCAAUAACAAUGGCACAGAAUGUUCUCCGAUGAACAUAGAACUCACCAUUUUUAGGAACACGUGUAGUUGAGGAUGAGAAUUCGGAUCAACUGUAACUUCAAAUGGUGGAAUGAAAACAUUGUCCAGAAUAUUCUGAAAAGAUUUUUCAAUUCCCAUUUGCUUGUACACAUUAUACAAUCGUGGUGACUGCAGAAUUAAGUCAAAAUCAAGUGAAGAAGGUUACCUUUGACUUGAGAAAUAUAUCACAGAGAGAGAGAAAGAGAAAACAGUAAUCUGGAAAGAUGAUGCUUAAUAUGGACAUGAUACCCUAGAAACCGAUCGAUCUUAAAUUUUAAUUUCUAAAAUAUUAUUAGCUUGUGCAUACUUUCAAAUACUUUUCAUUAGAGUUACCAUAAGACUAAUUUUUCCAAUUUUAGAUGAUUCAAGAAACUAUUUGGGGGCAAUUCUUAAAUAAACAUGUCCAAACAGUAGUCAUUAACAAGAAAGCAUCCAAGAAAACCAGCAGUUAAUACUUAAAUUAACAUUAUCAAAUGGAGAUGUAAAGAAGAAAGAAUCCUACUGCAAAGCUAGAUAGCAGGAGAAUCACUAGAAUGAAGAGAAAUACUAUUGGCACUAUACCUGGAUUAACCAAACAGUAGUCUCACUAUAAAUUUCAUUGUUAAUAAACCAACUUGCCAAACUGGUCCCAUUCACUUUGUUUCCUUCCAUAUAUGGACACCCUGUACUCUGCCAUCUAGAAAAUAUAUAUAUUAUUCAGUGUAGUCAGAGGCGCAAGGAGCACUCUAGGUGCUAGAAUCCUUUUAUUGUACAAGGCACAUGGCGCACAAAAAAAAAAAAAAACUUGCUUAUGUUAAGGCACAUGUAUGCGUGUUUUGGUAUGUCCAUGUCUGUAUAUAUAUAAGCCGAAGAUAUAUAAUUAUAAUAAUAAACUAUAAAAGUGCUCCAGUCUGAAGUACAGAACAUGCCAAAUUUUCUUUCUUUUGUCAACCAUAUGCAUAUUUCCAUAUGAUGCCAUGCCUGGUGUUGAAUACUCAAAUAUUGAGAAGUUGAGAGUUCGAUAUUAUCCCUUUGUUACAAUUAAGAAACAAUUAAAGAGAUAGUAAAGAGAACUUCAAUUAGAAGGCCUUUUCCCCCUACAUGCACCAGGCAGGCGCUUAGCCUGAAAAGGUCAAAGGCCCUUUUACUGUCUGGUGAUAAGGCAAAAAACAUUGGACAAAGUUGGUGGGAGGAUAGAAUACUAAAAGAGCCCAAUGUUGUCACUUUUCUAAAGUAAGCUCAUAUGCCUUUUUUGUACCCAAACAAUAUCUUACCCUUUAAUUUGUACCUAAAGAAAUUAUUUCUAAUAGAAAGUUUACUUUUGUUAUGAUCAAUGCUGGAGGCCAAAACUGAUUUGGGCUAAGGAAUUGGUGGUGAGAGUUGGAAGGCAAGAAGAAAGAAAGUUCUUUUGAGUGUUAUAUUUUUCAAAAAAUACAAAUUGUUCAUUUUUUUUACCACAUCAUCAUGCCAGGUCAGCUUCCAUGUGGAUAAAGAAAAUUUUGGCGGCAUUGAAACAGAGGCUUCAUGGGCUUUUAGUAAUUUAGCCCUUGGAAGGAAUAUGACCAUCCAAAAAAAGGCAGUUGAUGCUUUAAGGUCAAUUAGCCGAAACAAUAACAACAAUUCCUAGGCUUCAAUAAAAUAAUUUAGACAACAAAUAAAGCUUGAAGGUUGAGUUUUGCACUGCAGCAGCAUUGGGCUUUACAAGGUGAAAACCCACAUUGCACAAAAAUAUCAAAGUUUCAGAUCUAUCAUAAUUUAAAAUUCUAACUAAACUAAACGCCAAGAAUGCUGAAUGCCUAAUCAAAAAACAUAAGAUUAACCCAAGGACCUAAUUGGGUAUGCUAAAAUUUGUCUUGGAAUGAAAUUAAUAAUAUCCUUACUAUUUCACUUUUUUUUUCUUCAUAUGUUUGGUGUGAGCAUGAUACAGAUUAGACUGAUUUUAAAGUAAAAGUAAAACGAUACCAAACCUAAACAUUUUGGUUUUUUUUUAAUUUUUUAUCAGAGCCCUGUUUGAUGCAUUUUUAGUUUUGUUUUCUAAUAACAAAUGGAAAGUUAAUUAAAAAAAAACCCUAAUCCAAUGAGUUCUUUUAUAGAUAUAAGAUAAGUCCUGCAAAGUUUUUGUUUUUUAGAAAUAAAAUUUUAUUUUUGUUUUUUAAUUCUUCAUACCUAUUUUAAUAUCUAAGUUCCGGAUUCCUAACUGCCCUUUCAAUUAUAUAGUAUUCAAGAUUUGAACUUAUAUUUUUCUAUAAAAAUAUAAUGUAUUUUAUUAUUGUAUCCUACAUUCAUUAAUACUUAGUAGAAAUAACCUAAUAAAAUGAUUUUUUUCAUAUAUUAAUAGAGAUAAGAUUCGUGCAAAAUUGUUGGUUGAAAAUUCAUUAGGAAAGGAUGAUUGUACGAAUGUACCAUCAUUAUAAGUGAGCUCAACGAUAAGCCUCCUAUCAAUCACCAGUGUGCAGAAAACAUUUGAAAUCGAAACACCCGUUCAUACAUCAUACAUCAUCAUAAGUGAGCUCAACGAUAAGCCUCCAAUCAAUCACCAGUCUACAGAAAACAUUUGAAAUCGAAACACCCCGGACAUCUCCAACAAAUCUGCCAUAACGUUAGCAUCUCUUCCAUUUUUUCUAAACAAAACCUCACUAAGCUCAUCAAAUGUGCCAAUAUUUCCAAGGCCUAGAUUUCUCAUUGAUACACCAAGAAAGCUCGACUAUGGAGUCGGAUUCAACCAUAAGCUUUCAGUCUAUAAUCCACUAGGAAUCCAAAAAGAAACACUCUCGAACACCUAAAGAACCUGAAACAUAGCAAUGACAUGACCCUUUGAAUUUCUAAGAACCUCACCUCACCACGUCGAGCUAAGAUUACCUAAUGUCGAACCUUCACGGUUAAACUUUUACCAGCCUUCACCUUACUCUUGAUAUGAUGAUUAUGGAUACUCCCUUCACAAUCCCACAAACACUCCCACCAAAUUGACUCAACAAAAUUUGCACCUAUAGGUUUUCUGUUUAUAUUUGAUUUUGUUCACACAUUGCCUAAAACUACUCAUGAUCCCUCUCCAACCUAUAAAUACGAGGAUAAUGCGCUUCAACGCGCUCAAACCCACGUCCUCCUACAUUAGCAACAAUACUCAUGUCAAUCGAGUUAAAACACAAUCAAUAGAUUUUUUUUAAAAAAAAUCUUUAAAUGUUAUAUUAUUAUAUAAGAAUUUGAAACAUGACUUCCGUAGGUUUUAAAUCUAAUGUUGACACUAAUCUUGAAUAAGUCAUUCCACUCCCAUCUUAACUAAUGGCCAAAGAGAUAUCAAAAGUGGGAGAUGGCCAUAAAAUUGUGUAGUUUGGGUUAUAAAAUUUUUGGGCAAACUACAUAUAUUAUCAUUUAAUUAUAUAUUUUUUUCAAUUUAAACACUUAAAGUAAAAAAUUUAUAAUUUAAGCACCCACAUUAUAUAGUUUAGUUAUUUUGAUCACUCCAGUUAAAAUAAAAAAUGGCAAACUGAAGCGACAAUUAAAAAAAUGUAUAAUAACAAAUUUAACCCUCAAAUUUUAUAUAUUAUAUCAAUUACAUAUUACAACUAAUUUUAUAAUUAUUGAUAUUGAAUAUGUCCCUCACUACGUUAGGGAUUUUUUUUAUAAUUUGUAUUUAAUUAAUAUUUAAAAUUAAUUUCAAAAUAUGUGAAAAUUUUAUAAUUAUUUGGUGUUAGUCCCUUUAUUAUACCCAAAUUUAGGAUUAAGCCCCUAUAUUUUAAUUUUGACAUAAUUUGUUUCUUUCACUUUUAUAAUCUCAUUAAUUAUUUCAAGUAACUAACACUUUUAACAAUAUUGCCAAAUAAAAUAAUGUCAUAUUUUUUUUUCUUAAAGCCAUCACUUCUAACUAAAUCAUGACUUAAUCACUUUCUAAUUAAUCAUACUAACUUAGAUUUUUCUUUUGUUGGAAUCAGUACGUUUAAGGAAAACCCACCUUAACAUUUGUAGAUGUCUUCAACAAUUUCCUAAGCACGAUACAAUAAAGCUUGGUGUGUAUAAUUUUGUUUUAUGGAAGCUCCAAAUUAUGUUGAUUCUUGAAUGAUACGGUCUGCAUGGGUUUGUUUUGGGUGCUAUUAGUGUACUAGCACAGUUUGUAGAGGAUAAAUAUGGGAGAUUAGUAGAAAAUUCUGAUUAUGUUUUACAUGUGCAACAAGAUAAGCUAUUGGCUUCUUGGUUACUUUCAACUGUUAGUGAUGAAAUCCUAGCCUAUCUUACUAGUGCUCGUACUAGUUAUUAUAUGUGGGAAACUAUUGAAAAGAAGGGUUGCGACUAAGUCCACGGUAAAAUUGUCCAGUCAUGUGUUGUAUUCACAGAAAAAGGGUCAUUUGUUUGUUAAAGAAUAUUUGUCUAAGAUCAAGUCCAUGUGUGAUAUGUUGGUUGCAACGGGUUGUUUGAUUUCAAAUCAAGAAAUGGUUAGCAUCAUUCUUGCAAGGUUGCCAGUUGAGUGUGAAUCAGUACGGGUAGUAGCUUCAGCUACUGGUGUGUCACUUGAUCUGUUGAUUGAGAUGCUGCUUGAUUGUGAAGCUCGAAAAUUGAGUUCUUGAAUAGUGUUCUCGUACAACCUAACAUAGCUAGUAAACAAGAUUGUGAUGAGGGUGAUCGGACCAAGGGUUCUGAUUAUAACAGUGGCUAUCAAGGGAACAAACAGACAUAUAUAGGUGGUUUUCAAUGCAAUAGAGGUUCCAUCGAGGUUGAGGCCGUGAGGGUUGUUUUUCUAACAAUCGGCCCCAAUGCCAGUUGUGUGGUAAAAUUGGACACAUUGUCCAAAAGUGUUAUUACCGUUUUGAUGAAAAGUUUUGCAGGUAUUGCUAGGAUGGUAAUAUGGUAUAGUGGGCUGCAUCUUGAUUGUUUGUUUCUCAUGCUGAGGCUAUAAUUUUAAUCAUACCUAUUAUUGUUUCUUGUGUCCUGCAAUUUCAUCAUUUGCAGGCUGUUUCACUAAUUGCAUCCUAUUUACAAGUUCCCUUGUGUUAUCCUCUGCGCUUGGGUGGUUCUCGCUCAUAUAUUAAUGACCAUGCGUCUUCAAUAGACCAUGCAUCUUCUGAUUUGUCAUUGGAUACAACACUUUCAGCAAAUGUAAAGCCGGUAGAAUUUCCGCUGUUUUUAGAAGGUCAAGACACGACAAGAGCAGCAUAUGCUGUGUUCUUGUUAAACAAGGUAAGCUUUUGCAUAUUAGUAAUUUUUUUUUCCAAGAUGAAUUAUUCUCCUUUGGCAUUUUAUAUUAUAUAAUUAGUCACUACAAAACAUAAAUAAAUAAUAAUACUCCAUUUUUACAAUAAAAAUUCACUAAAGAAAAUACAUUUGAAGUCUAUCAUUGCUUUUUCGAAUAAGAGUCGGUCAAGAAAGUUAUGCGCAAAUACUUAUAUCUUUAUUUCAGAUGCUUUCAAUUCUAUUGUCACUUAAAUCCAAGUACUUUAAAUUUGUCAAAUUAUUCAAUUUUGAAAUUCAAUCCCAAAUAUUGAUCAAUUAUAUAUAUUCAUGAUAUGAUAAAAGCAAAGACAUCUUUCAACAUUAACUUUCCCUUAAACAAAAAUUGGUUUUAAAGUAAAAAAGAAACAUAUAAAACCAGUCUAGCUUGAAUAUGAAUCAAUAUAUAAACACUAUACUUAUACCUUGGUUUGAGAUGCUUUCAAUAUUGUUGUCGCUUAAAUACAAGUAUUUCAAGUUUGUCAAAUUAUUCAAUCCCAAAUAUUGGUUAGUUAUAUAUGAUAUGAUAAAAUCAAACUUGAACAUACAUUGAUUUUUAAAGUUGAAAAUUACUUGUUAAUUUUUUUUCUUUCUUACCUAUAUGAAAAUUUUACUAAAGUAAAAGUUGAAUUACAACGGAUAAAAAGAAUGGAAAACUAGGUACCAAGCCUAGAAGACCAUCCUCAAACUCCACUAUACAAAUAAAAACUACUCAAACUCCACUAUACAAAUAAAAACUAACACCGGACCAAACUUAAUUUACCUCUUAGAUGACUUGAUCCUUCAAACUGGUUGUAUGAUAGAUCUAAAUACCGGAGAGAUGAAAGCUCACUCAAAGAUAACAAAAUGCUAUCAUUCAAGUAAUUGUAACUUAAGUCAAGGAUCUCCAAAUUACUCAAUGUGAAUGAUAGCUUUCCAAAGCCUGUAGAAGUGUUCUUUUAAACAUAUACAAGCAGUUAGUGACUUUUCUUCCAUAAAAUAAAAUAUAAGUAAUUGUAAAUUAACAAUGGUGAGAAUAGUGGAAUAGUAAAAGAUAUAAUUAAGGAAAAAAAAUAAAGGCACGACCUUCAUUUUCAAGGUUACCACCUAUGGCAUUUCCCGACAAAUAAAGUCUCUUCAAUUCCUCAAAAGGAAGAAACAUAGAGGCAUUGAGAUACCAGACAAUGAGAUUCCUAUUAUCCAUGCCGUAUUCCCAAUUGUCUUCCCAUUUUGUAGAAAUAAGGGAGAGUUGUAUGAGUCUCCUAGUGGUGGUGUUACACUCAAAUCCUUCCCAUUUACAACAAUCUGAACCCUUCACCUCAACCCAACUUUGCAAUGGAUUACGAUAAACGAAGAAAGGCUUGAGAUGCAAGAGAGCGAUUCUCUCAUGCUCCAAACAAGCAUCAGUAGUACACCAUCUGCAUCCUUCUAACACCAACAACAUUAUUGCCAUCCUAAUAAACUAUAACCAUUUCCACUCCAUCAUCAUCAUCUCUCUGUUUUGUAUACAUAUGGACUACAAUUCAAGUUUCAUGCUUAUAAUUAUACCAAAUCAAAGUUCAUGUAUCAAAUUGCACAUUAAAUCAAAAUUUAUGUAUACAUUUGAUAUUUAUCUCAUUUAUGGGAGAUUAACUUUCUAAUGGUAUUGUUUUGUUUACAUUAAUCCAAAUAAUAGGAAAUGAUGAAUUAGUUUAACGCAAAUUGUAAUUCUAUUAAUGUUUCUUCUCAAACUUUUGGUUGCUCUUAUUUACAUGUUUUAUUAAUUGAUAGAUUUAAAUUCUUGGAAUAUAUUCGGUUAGAAUGAAGUGCCCCGAAUCCUUAUUUAAAUAAAAUACAGUGUUAAAAUAAAAGAAAAGUAAAAUCCCUACAGAAUUAUACUUCUUUUAUUUUAUUUUAGAAUAAGGCUUUUUAAAUCUUAUUAAACUCCAUCUAUUUGAUAUUGAUUAGAAUAAAGAGUUUCACUCCUAUUAGAAUAAAGUUUUACAAGCCUAUAAAUAGACAUAGUCUACUCCUCUUGUAAUUAAUUCAAAUUCGACAUAGUGAAUUUUCUUCUCCUCUGCCCGUGGUUUUUUCCCGAAAGGGUUUCCACGUAAAAUUUGUGUGUUCUUUAUUUUUCUAUUUCUAUUUUCUUUGUGAUAUAUUAUCAUUACCGACAUUUAUUUUCACAAAUUGGUAUCCGAGCUUCUGGGUUGUUCAUCGCAAUCACUGUAAUGACGUCUUUGAAGUAUGAAAUUCUACUGUUGGAUCGCAACACCAGAUUCGCAUUUUGGCAGAUAAAGAUGCAGGCAGUUCUUGCACAGAUGGACUUAGAGAAAGCCCUGCUAAGGUUAGAUAAGAUGCCUUCAACAUUGAUGGAGGAAGAGAAGAAGCACAAGGAUUGAAAGGCGUUAACACAAUUACAUCUGCAUUUGUCUAACGAAAUUUUGCAGGAUGUGAUAAAGGAGAAUACCGCCGCUAGAUUAUGGAAGACGUUGGAACAACUAUGUAUGUCGAAAACUCUAACUAGUAAGCUGCAUAUGAAGCAGCGUCUUUAUGCUCAUUGUUUGGAGGAAGGUGCGUCUAUGCAUGAACACUUGACAGUGUUUAAAGAAAUUCUCUCAAAUUUGGAGGCCAUGGAGGUUCAGUAUGAUAAGGAAGAUUUAGGGUUGAUUCUACUUUGUUCGUUGCCCCCGUCUUAUUUAACCUUUAGAGAUACAAUUUUAUAUAAUCGCGAGUCUUUCACAGUUGAUGAGAUUUAUAAUUCUUUAACCUCGUAUGAUAAGAUGAUGCAUCUUAUGGUUAAAACUGACUCUCAAUGAGAGGGUCUCAUUAUUCGUGAGAGAUAAGAUCAGAAUAUUGAUGAUGAUCAUGGAAGGACACAAGAACGGAAUCCUCGUGGUAAAUCUAAAGGUAGAUCGAAGUUUUCAAACAGAGGUAAAACUUGUAACUUCUGCAAGAAGAAAGGGCACAUUAAAUCUAAGUGCUAUAAGCUACAGAAUAAGAUCAAAAGGGAGACUGUGAAUCAAAAUGGAAAACAACCAGAAAAUUUUGGUAAGGCUAAUGUUGUAGAAUACUACAGUGAUUGUGAACUUCUAGUCGCUUCUGUCAAUAAUUUUAAAGUGAGCGAGGAGUGGAUCCUUGAUUCGGGUUGCACCUUCCACAUGAGUCCCAAUAGUUAUUGGUUUACAACUUACGAAAUAGUGUCUGAAGGUGUUGUUUUAAUGGGAAAUAAUACUUCAUGUAGAAUUGCAGGUGUUGGAACAAUUAAAGUUAAGAUGCUUGAUGGAGUUGUCAGAACACUUAGUGACAUAUGACAUGUUCCAAAAUUGAAGAGAAAUUUAAUUUCAUUGAGUACUCUUGAUUCAAAAGGGUACAAAUACACAGCUAAAAGUGGUGUUUUGAAUAUUUCUAAAGGUUCCCUCAUUGUGAUGAAAGGAUAGAGAAAGACUACCAAGUUUUAUGUUUUGCAAGGUUCUAUUGUUACUGGUGAUGCAGCUGUCGUAUCCUCUUCCUUGUCAGAUGAUGAUAUUACUAAACUUUGGCAUAUGCGCCUAGGGCAUAUGAGUGAGAAUGGCAUGGCAGAAUUGAGCAAAAGUGGACUUCUUGAUAGGCAAUGAAUUUGCAAACUGAAGUUCUGUGAGCACUACAUUUUUGGGAAGCAAAAGAGAGUUUGAUUCACCAGAGGAAUCCAUAACACAAAGGGAACGUUUGAGUAUAUUCAUUCUGAUCUGUGGGGGCCAUCCAGAGUACUUUCGAGAGGUGGAGCUAAUUAUAUGCUAACUUUUAUUUAUGAUUUUUCCAAAAAAGUGUGGGCGUUCUUCCUGAAGCAGAAAAACGAUGUGUUUUUUGUAUUUAAGUCUUGAAAAACCAUGAUUGAAAAACAAACGGGAAAGUAAAUAAAACACCUCCGCACAGACAAUGGCUCAGAGUUCUGUUUUGAUAAGUUUAAUAAAUUGUGCAAGUCAGAAGGGUUCAUGAAACACUUGAUAGUUCAUCAUACUCCACAGGAAAACGGCGUUACAGAAUAAAUGAACAGAACGAUCAUGGAGAAGGUUCGAUGUAUGUUGUCAAAUACCAACUUACCAAAGUCAUUUUGGGCUGAAGCAGCCUCUACUGCAUGAUUUUUAAUCAACCGAUCUCUAUCCAUUGCCAUUGAGAAAAAGACUCCACAAGAGGUAUGGUCUUGUAAUCCUGCUGACUAUUCUGAUUUAAAGAUUUUUGGUUGUCAUGUGUGUGUGCAUGUUGAUAAUGGAAAAUUGGAAUUGAGAUCCAUUAAAUGUGUUUUUCUUGGUUAUAAAGCUGAUGUAAAAGGGUAUAAGUUAUGAUAUCCUAAAAAUAGAAAAGUUGUGAUUAGCAGAUAUGUUAUUUUUUAUGAAACUGCUAUGCUACCUAACUUAUCUCUUAAAGAAUCUCUCAAUAAAGAAAAUCAAAAGUAGGUGGAGCAUCAGAUUAAUACAGAAUCUACAACAGAGUCGACUACUGAAGCCAGUACAAAAAUUCAAAAUAGAGUUGCUCCUUCACCAUAAUACUCUAUCGCCAAAAAUAGAACUAGAAGAGAAAUUAGACCUCCAAAGAAGUAUGUCAAGUCUGAUCUAGUUGCUUAUGCUUUAAAUGUGGCUAAAGAUAUAGAUGUAAAAUAAGAGCCAUCUAAUUAUUCUGAGGCGAUUAGUUGUGAAGACUCAGAAAAGUGGAUGUUUGCUAUGCAAAAGGAGAUGGAAUCACUCCACAAAAAUAAAAUAUGGGAUCUUGUGAAACUUCCUAAAUGUAAAAAGAUUAUUCGUUGUAAAUGGGUGUUUAAAAAGAAAGAAUGGACUCCAAGAGUUGAAGAACCCAGAUAUAAAGCAAAGUUUGUUGCAAAUGGUUACAGUCAAAUUCCAGGAGUGGACUUCACAGAUGUGUUCUCUCCAGUUGUGAAGCAUAGUUUGAUUCAAGCUUUACUUGGUAUUGUGGCCAUACAUGAUUUGGAGCUUGAACAGUUAGAUGUAAAAAAUGCUUUUUUGCAUAGAGAAGUUAAGGAGGAUAUUUACAUGCAACAACCAGAGGGUUUUACAGUCUCAGAAAAAAGGACUAUGUUUGCUUGCUGAAAAAGUCUCUUUACAGUUUGAAACAGUCACCAAGACAGUGGUACAAGAGGUUUGAUUCAUUUAUGACUUCUCAUGAUUUUAAAAGAAGUAGCUUUGACAGUUGUGCUUACUUUAAGAAAAACAAUGAUGGUUCUUUUGUGUAUCCACUCUUUUAUGGUGAUGAAAUGUUGAUAGCAGUGAAAGAUAAAUGAGGGAUAAGAAAGGUCAAAGCCCAACUAAGUGAAGAAUUUGAGAUGAAAGAUUUGGGACCAGCAAAGAAGAUACUUGGUAUGGAGAUUCUCAAAGAUAGAAAAGUAAGUAAAUUGUACCUAAGUCAAAAGGGGUACAUUGAGAAAGUUCUUUGCAGAUUCAAUAUGCAGAAUGCUAAGCCUGUUAGUACUCCUUUAGCAGCCCAUUUUAGACUUUUAUCGGCUUUGUCUCCACAAUCAGAUGAUGAGAUUAAGUACAUGUCACAUGUUCCAUACUCUAGUACAGUGGGAUCUCUCAUGUAUACUAUGGUUUGUUCACGUCCAGAUUUAUCAUAUGUAGUUAGUGAAGUUAGCAGAUACUUGGUGAAUCCCGAUAAAGAACAUUGGAAAGUAGUUCAGUGGAUUUUAAGAUACUUACGAGGUACUACUGAUGUUUCCUUACAGUUUGGAAGAACUAGAGAUGAAGUCAUUGGGUAUGUUGAUGCUAAUUUUGCUGGAGACUUUGAUAGAAGAAGAUCUCUCACAGGUUAUGUCUUUAUAAUCGGAGGUUGUGCAAUCAGUUGGAAAGCCACUUUGCAAACUACAGUUGCUUUGUCCACCACUGAAGAUGAGUACAUGGCGAUUACUGAGGCUUGUAAAGAAGCUAUUUGGUUGAAGGGACUCUUUAGUGAACUCAAUAAAGGCUUUCAAAUCAAUACAGUAUUUUGCGACAGUCAGAGUGCUAUCUUCUUUACAAAAGAUCAAAUGUUUCAUGAGAGAACAAAACACAUUGAUAUUCGGUAUCAUUUUGUUCGUGAUAUUAUUGCUUGUGGUGAUAUUGUUAUGAGCAAAAUUAGUACUCAUGAAAAUCCUGCAGAUAUGAUGACUAAGUCACUUCCUAUAACCAAGUUUGAGCAUUGCUUAGACUUGGUUAGUGUUCAUUGUUGAAGUUAAACCCUUAAGGGGUUUUAUGGAAUAGGUGGAAAACUUGAUCGUUGAGAGUUCGCGAUGAAGAACUUGUUCAUUAAGAAUUCGUGUCAAUGUGGAGAUUGUUAGAAUUAAGUGACCCGAAUCCUUAUUUAAAUAAAAUACAGUGGUAAAAUAAAAUAAAAGUAAAAUCCCUAUAGAAUUAUACUUCUUUUAUUUUAUUUUAGAAUAAUAUUUUUUAAAUCUUAUUAAACUCCAUCUAUUUGAUAUUGAUUAGAAUAAAGAGUUUCACUCCUAUUAGAAUAAGGUUUUACAAGCCUAUAAAUAGACAUAGUCUACUCCUCUUGUAAUUAAUUCGAAUUCGACAUGGUGAAUUAUCUUCUUCUCUGCCCGUGGUUUUUUCCCGAAAGGGUUUCCACGUAAAAUCUGUGUGUUCUUUAUUUUUUCUAUUUUUAUUUUCUUUACGAUAUAUUGCUAUUAUCGACAUUUAUUUUCACAUAUUCUAAUUAAUUAGAUAUUUCCUUCCUUCCAAAAGCCUUUCAAAAUAGGUUUAGUUUGACCAAGAUACUCUUGUAGAAAAUUUUAGUUUUGUGGGAAAACGAAAAACUAGAUUUAUUUUUUAUUCUAAUUGGUUUCAUAUGCAAGGUAUAUAAACUUUUGUGUCGCUGCAAUUUUUUUCCAACAUAUGUAUGUGAUUUGUGGGGUUUCAAUUUUGAAUUUUUUUUAUAAUUUAAUUAAAUUGUGAAAGUAUUUGAAAGUUUUUAAGUUGAUACAAUGUUUAGAACUACCCCAACACCCACCCAACCCUUAAAUAGGAGGAUAAACAUGCUUCAGCACGCUCAAACUCACAUUCUCCUACAUCUAUGAUAAUACUAAUGCCAACCGAGUUAAGACUCAACUAGCCUUGAAUUUUGAAUUUUACUUCUGAUAUAUUUUGAAUUUUGAAAUUUUAAUUUUGACCCAAACAGUAGCAGUUAAUUUAAUUUGAUUAAAUUUAAUUACUAGACCUAUAUUAUGCGUACGAUUAUUGAUUAGUCUAUACUCUCAAAUUGGGCAAUUCUAAGUACCUAUACUUUCUGAAUUUUGAAAUUUCAGUCUUGAUGCAAAUGACAAUUGUUAAUCUAUUAAUUAGAUUUUUAGCGAGUAAUAUGUAAAAAUAACAAACUGGCAUAACAUUACACAUAUGAUAAUAUGUUUAUUGCACCGCAUUUGAAAAUAGCCGAAUUUAACAAAUAUCGUUAGUGAGGAUUGGAAAUUAGAGUCUAGGGAUUAAAUCCACAAGUUCAGUAAAUUACAAGAACUAAUGGUAGAAUUUAACCUUUAUAUAACCUUUAAAUUCUAACCGUGGUUUGCACACUACUCAGCCGACCAUUGGCUGUGGUGGGAACACAAACUGUUUGAAUUUGACAUCAGUGAUUGAAUUUUCAUAGCUAAUAUGUACGUUCCUUCAAUUUCUCCAUAGGAGGGAGUGGAAUACAUUAUAUAAGGUAAUAUUUGAUAUAUUCGGUAAAUGAAUAAUUGCAAGAUAUCUCAUUAUCUAGUAAAAUAAAUAAUGAAAAUUUUAUAAAUAAAUAUUAAUAAAAUAUUAUUACAUAUAUCAACAAUGACAUAGUAAGUUGCAUUAACUUUUAGAUGUUGACUAUUGACUUUUGCAUCAACCUUGAACUUACAUAGGCCCCUACAAUAAUUUAGGUUAUGGAAAUAAUCUUGCAAAUAAUGCUUGAGACAUCAUUAUACAUCAAUUUAUAGUUUUAAUUCUUGUACUUACUCAAUUGGAAUAAAGAUUUAGUUUUUUAUUUUCUUUUGAUACAAUGUCUAGAAUUAUCCAUAGCCCUUUUCCAACCCUUAAAUAAAUGAAUAAUGUGCUUCAGCGUACUCGAACUCACAUCUUCUUACAUUGACAAAUUGCUGAUGCCAAUUAGUUAAUGUUAAUGCUAUACUUUAGUUAAAAAUAACUAACAUUAUUAAAAAAUUCAUUAGUUGGCUCAUGUGGAUUUUUUUUCAAAAAAAUUGAAAUUAAGAACCAUAAAUUCUUUAAGACUUAAAAAUUAAAAUUAUGUGGUUAUUAAAAAAGAUUUAUUUUUUAUUAAAUUAUUAUUUAAAAUAAAUUUAUCUCAUCAUAAUGAUAUGAUUUUUUUCUUUAAAAAAUCCACAUUAACCAACUAAUAGAAUUGUAUAAAGCUGCCACCAAUCUCUUAGCAUGAUGGCAAAAGAUUCAGAGGCAGCCAGAAAAUCUUUUGAGGGGCGUGAAUAAAGUUAUAUAUUUUUAUAAUAGCAAAAGUGAAAUUUUAUUAUUAUAAUAGUUUAUAUCUUUAAUUUUUAAAAUAUUAAAUAAUUUUUUUCUUAUUUUUGAGGGGAUAAAGUAUAAGUUUAUCAUAUACUAAUUUUAAAAUUAUAAAAAGACUAAAUGUGAAAUUUUUCAUUUUAAGGGGUGGGGCCCUGUCAGGUCUCCUUGGCUUCACCUUGAUAAAAGUAUUAUGUAAUACGUAUAAAGUUUGAGUUUAAUCCCAAACAAUCUCAUUUCUUAUCCCUCAUUAUAAAAUAAUAAAAUAAAUAGAGCAAUUGAUAUGAGGAGACAAGUAUAAUAGGGCAAUUUUAACCUGGGCCAGAUUUCAAAACAAAACCCAAACCAAAUAAUAAAAGAGUCCAAAAUAAUUAAAACAAUCCAUCCAUUUUACAAACAAACCCAAAUUAGCAGCCCAAAUACAAAUUAAAACUCAAUAACCCAAAACUAACUAUAGCCCAAUUAGCUAAACACUUAAACGCAACAAAAAAAACCCUAUCCCCCUAAGCCUCCAACGCUGCAUGACCACCUACGCCGCACGUCGUCGCUGCCGCUCGAGGCUCGCCUAUCUUCGACCAUCCACGCAUCUGACACUUGCAAAACCAAGGCAACACGCAACAACAAAGGCCAAAUAGAGGAAACAACAAGGAAACAGACAAAAAAGGAAGAAACAAACAGUUUUGAUUCGGCUAUAAAAGCCCGAAUCUCACCCUUGUAAUUUUUUUGCGAACAUUAGAAAAUAAAAAAACAAAAACAACACUUUCAAGGUGAAUUUCUACUUUUAUUUCUGUUUUAAAUACUUAUUUGAUUCUAUAUUCAUAUUUUUAUUUUAUUUUUUAUAUAUAUACGAAAAUAAUAAAAUAAAAAAAGGAAGAAAGGGCUCACCGGAGACGCCCCGUGAUCGUGCCGUCAGAAGGCUCUUCUCCGUUGUUGCCAUCGGAUCCGAGAGGGGGUCGAGAGUCUUCCUCUUUCGCUUUUUUGGGUCGAGAGGGCUGGGCUUCCAAGGGAGCUGCGAAACGGGGGCUAAAAAUGCCCUUUUGCGCAACACCGACCACCGGCCACGACAGCACUACGACGGCGACCAUGGCCGGCCAAGGGGUGGGCUGAGAGAGAGACCAAGAGAUACUGAGAGAGUUCUCUGUUUUUUUAGAAAAAUGAAAGUUGAACCGUUUUUUUCUUCUUUUUUUUUGCUAUUUAUAUAGGGUAUAAUACGACGCCGUUUUGGACUUAAGCAUCAGUGGCCAAAACAAUGCCGUUUUGCAUCAGACCUGAAAAUCGACUCGAAUGCGGCCAGGAUCUGCGCGUUUUAGCUUUGAGGAGCUAUUUGCAUAUUCAGCCCUUCCGCUUUUGUAGUAUAGUGCAAUCUGGUCCUCGUUGUUUUUAUAUUUUGGCCGCAUAAUUUUUUGAUUGUUUUACUUUGGUCCGAGCUGAAACGCUGCGCAUAGGGGCUAGGAAUAUUGCCCAGUCGGUCCCUCAUUCCUUAAGCGCGCUCUAUUUCAGUCCCUAGCAACCCUUUUUUUUAUUUGUAAUUUAAACCCCAAAUUCUGGGUCGAUUUUAGUAUCAUCCUUAGUCCAUUUAAUUUAUUUGUUCACUAUUUUUUAUUUAAAAAACUCUUUUAUUAUUAUUUGUUUUAAGUUUUUUUAUUUAUCAUUUAUUUUAAAUUGUUUUACAUACUAUUUAUUUAAAUUUUUUAUAUAUUAGUCAUUUUAAACCAUUAUAUGUACAUUAUCUUUUAAAUUUUUAUAUACAUAUAUUUUUUUUAAAAAAAACUGUUGUAUGUUUCUUAUUUAUUUAUUUUAAACUGUUAUUAUUAUUCAUUUUAAGUUUUUAUAUACUGUUUAUUUGAAGCCGGUUAUUAUUUAUUUUUGAAUUGUUCUUAUAAAUUAUUUACUUUAAAUUAUUAUUUACUUUGAAAUUUUUUUGCAUAUUAUUUUGUUUUGUUUUUUUUAUUGUUAAUAUUAGUAUAAAAAUUAUAUACAUUGUGUGAUUAUUACCGCCAUGUGUACUAUAAUUAGUUUCUUCGUGUUUUCAUAUUAUUAUCACUCAUUAACAUAACAUUUUUUUCAUAAAUUGUUAUUUUAUGUUCUAUGUUAUCAUUCCAUUUCACUUCAUCACUUCGAAAGUUGCAUUCAAUUUGUAUUUACCCAUAAUAAACCGUUCUAUUUUGUCACAAAUAAAACAAAUGCACCUCGUUCAAGCAUUGUACUCACAAUUAUUCAAAACGGGGAAAAGUUUUAAAAUAAGACAAUAUUUCGCAUUUUGGAGAUUUGAGAAAUUGUACCCUAACUUACGGGGUUUCAAUUUUCUCGUUGAACCUAAAUAGCAAAAUAUCCUUCUAAUUUUCAAAAUUUACGAAAUUCCAAUAAAGUUAAAGGCUAGCUUAUUCUCAAGGGUUCUAAGUGUCGUGUCCUAACUUACGGGAUGUGACAUUUAUUAUCUCGAGACGAGAGGAUCUUUGACAUUCGUUUCAAUUUAUUCAAGCAAAUUCUUUUAAAUUAAAAUAGCGUUAACAAAAGGGGGAUCGUGUUUUAAAUUCUUUCGAAGUUUUUCAAUUUUUAACAUUUAGACAUUAAUUAAUCAAUUGAAUACCAAUUUUGGGCGUGACGAGGGUGCUAAUCCUUCCUCGCAUGUAACUGACUCCCGAAUCCGUUUUCUCAAAUUUCAUAGACCAAAAUCACUGUUUUGAUAAAUUAAAAUAUUUUAUUAAAACAACUAAAUUAUGAGGUGACCUAAUCACACCUCAUAAAAAAAAGAUUGGUGGCAACUCUCGUUUUAAUUUCCAUUUUCAAACCAACGUCGACCCUUUUAAAAAAAUGGUUUCAAUAUUAAGUUAUAAGUUGAAUGAAUUAAAAAUAUGUGAAAAGUGUAAAUAGAGACUCUUCAAUCUCAUUUCCUCUAAUGCUCUUUUUUUAAAUUUUUUUUUAAAUUUUUUAUGUACCUUUUAAAUAGUUAAUGAAAAUAAAAAUAUUUUGAUAAUUUUCACUUCGAAAUGCAAAAGCCAACAACAGUUUUUGACUACAAAAGCGGUGUGUUCUUCAUCACUUCUCAGUGGAAAAACACUUCUGCAAUGUAACAACACUUUUAACCCAAAACGGCUUUUUCACCACAAUAGAGAAUGCACCCUAAAAUUGUAAAUAGAAAAAAGAAGGAUCAAACAUUGUUUCUACCCUGUUUUUGUCUCCUCUUUGAAAAUACUUUCCAAAAAGUUUUAUCAUUUUUUUUUCUGUUUACAAAUUCCUUAUAGAAGUGCUUUCUUUUGAUCCACUUGCAUCAUUGUAAUAAGUUUGCAUUGCCUUCUAACUUUCUAUGUUGAUUACAGUUUAUUAAGUUUUCUGUUGGAUCUUAUAGUCAAAUUCCUUUACAUCAUGUAUGUUAAUUUGCUUAGCCCUGAUAAAUGUUAGAUAUAGGGUUAUCAGUGUCGAAACCACUUUUUUGGCGAACAAAAAUUAGUUGUUGACUUUAAAAACGAAAGUUGGAGUCGCCAUCGAUCCUUUAUUGGGGUGUGAUCGGCUCACCUUAAAAACGAUUUUGGUCUGCAAAAUUUGAGAAAACAGGUUCGGGAGUCGGUUACGCAUGAGAAAGAGUUAGCACCCUCUUAACGCCCAAAAUUGGUACCGAAUUAAUUAAUUAAGGUCUUAAUGCCGAAUAUCGAAAAUCUGUGAAGAAUUUAAAAAUACGAUCCUCCCUUUUUGUUAAUGUUAAUUUUAUAAAAGAUGCUUGGAUAAAUCGAAGCGAAUGCUAAAGACCUUUUUGUCUUGGAAUAAUAAAAUGUCACACCCAAUACGUUAGGACAUGACAUUUUAGUCCUCGAGAAUAAGCUUGUCUUUUGAUUUUCAAAGCUCGUGCGGUGAAGUUUAAAAAGGAUAUUCAAUUGCUUUAACUCAGAUGAAAAAUCGGAGCCCAAUACGUUAGGGCACAAUUUCUCAAAAUUCCGAGCAUUGAAUAUUGCCCUUAUUAUUAUUAUUUUUAAAAUCUUCAUCUCGAGAAAAUGACAUGUCAUAUCCAAUAUGUUAGGACACGACGUAUCGAAUUUUCGAGAAUGAGCUUUUUAUUUAUGCUUUAAUUAAAAAAGGAUACCCGGUUUCUUAGAUUCAACGAGGAAGAUUGGAAUCCAAUAAGUUAGGACACAAUCUUUUCGAGGAUCCUAAAUUCCGAGUGUCGCGUUAUUUUUGAAAAAAAACUUUUUGAAUAAAAAUGCUCUCGAUACUUGAAUGAUAUUAAACGUAACCUUUUAACAACGAAUAAAAUGCGACGGGACGAUAAUGUAUAACGCGGAAUGACGAUUUGUAAACAAAAUAUACUCUAACGAAUGACAAAUAAUCAAUAAAAACAAAUAAACAUUAUCAUACAUAUAAGAGCAAUAAUCACAUGUAAAUAUUAACAUCAACAUUUGAAAGCUAAUGACCUAAAAGCCUAUCGCAAAUACAACAAAUUUAAAAUAACUAAAAAAAAAGCAUGAGAGAAAAGAAAUUUGAAAUUAUCAACAUAUAUACACAAAAUACACGUAUAUAAAAAUUUAAAAGAAAUAAUUAAUAGGAAGACUUGAAAUAAUUUAAAAAUAGAAUUAAAAAUGAAUAAUAAUAUCUAAAUGAAUUUUAAAAUAAAUAUUAUAAGAAGAAAGUCAAAAUAAAUAAAACCCAAAAUAAUACACAUAUAUUAAUCUAAAUAGGUAAUAGAUAUAAAUUACGUAUUAUAAAAGAAAACUAUUUAAAAAGGGUAAAUUCUAUUGGAUUAACAUAAAAAUAUAAAAUAAUUUAUUAUGAAAUUAAAUAAUAAUAUAUGAUAAUAAUAUAAAAAAACUUAAAAUAAUAGUGCAUAAUAGAAUAAAAUAAUGAAUAUAAAAAGGUUAGAUAAAUUGAUAAAAAAUAAUACUAAUAAUAAUAAUAGUAGCAGUAAUAAUAAUAAUAAUAAUAAUAAUAAUAAUAAUAGUAAUAAUAGUAAUAAUGAUAAAUUAAUAUUAAAGUAAUUAAUUUGAUAGCAAAAAUAACAAAACAGAUUACUAAUUUGGAAUUAAAACAGAAAUUUAGGGGUAAGACGUGCAAUAAAAUGAAAUGAAAAGGACCUAAUUGAAAUUAAUUUAAAAUCAGACUGACUAGCAAAGAAAUUAAACGCACAAGUCUCACCUGGCAAUCAAGUCAGAUCAUCAGAAACGGCGUCGUUUCGAACGUUUGUCUCCUCAACUGACAGAAGGACGAAAUUGAAAGAAAUAUCGAAUUAUGUGGCAAAAUUAAAAAAGACAAAGAAGGAUUAAAAUGAAGUAAAUAAAAAACAGAAGGACCAAACAGGAGAAUAAGCCAUUGAAACAAAACACGCGGAUCCUCCCCGGGUCAAAUCGGAUCAUCGGGUCAACCAACACGGAGACGUUUUGAAGCCAUUAAAUCGGGCUUAAACGGCACCGUUUUAUUAUCGUUAAAAACCUAAAAAAAUAAAACCCUAAUAAUUUGUUUUGCCAUCCUAAAACAGAUCAAGAGCCUAGCCUUCUCCCCACCGGUCUCCACUCACGAACCCAAUCUGACUCCGAUUCAGACGGAGCAAACCAGAUUCCAAUGGCGUCUGCUCUGGUAAGACGCUUCUUCUCUCCCUCUUUUUUUUUCGUUUGGUGCCAAAGAAGAAAACAAAGAAUCAAAGAAAUAAAAGAGAAAAAAAAACGAAGAAAAUCACCUUUCGAAAAAACUUUCUGUUUUGAUUUUUUGUUUGUAUUCAAUAUGCGUAAAAAAGGAUUACAAUGGCCUUCUCCCUCUUUAUAGCCGAAUAUUCGAAAUAAAAUGAAAGAAAAUACAAAAAAUUCUCUCUGCUGCGUUGUUUUCGUCUUCUUUGCAGGUAAGGAGGCUAGCUGGCGUAAGGAGGUGGUGGACGUGGCACAGCACACUCGGGGAAGGCCCUGGUGGCUGCGGCGCUGGAAGGAGGGCUGUUGCAGCUAGGGUUUUCUGAUUUUUUUUUGGGCUAGGGUUGGGUUGAUAGUUGUAUUGGGCUAGGUAUUUGGGCUGGGUGUAGUUGGACUAGAUGUAUCUGACUUUGGGUUUGUACCGGGUCACUGUAAAUGGGUUUGGUUUUUGUUGUUAUUGGGCUGUGAACUAUUUGAGUUUUAAUUAAUUUUUAUUUAUUUGGUUUUUUAUUGUGGGCUGGGCAAAUUGGGUAUUACAAUCAGCUAAUUAGGAAAGACUGUGAUGAUAGUCACACCUUACAUCCAAAAGCAAAGCUUUUUUUACAUGUGUAUGUAAGGUUGCUAAGCAAAUCUGGUGAGCCUUCACUGCUGUUUUAAGGUUAAGUUAAUGUUCCUUUUCGGCAAAGAACAUUAUCGAGAUCACGGUAUUUUGAUCGCCUUUUGCUUCUUGUUAUUCGUUCUGAAACGAUUGCAUAAUCUUUACUGUGAUUGCAGGAUAUAGAGCAACUUUUGAAUUUCAUCGCUGUAAAGUGUUUAGGACCACGACAUGUUCUUGCAAAUUUGAAGAAGCUUCUAAGGUCUGUCCAGUCUUCAGAAUAUAUAGAUACCUGAAUUAAUUUUGAUUUUGUAGGAUCAACUAUAAUUAGCUACUUAUUAGAGUAUGAAUAGACAACCUCACCUUCUUCACACACUGACACGUGCGGAUUUUUUGCCAAUCCCAUUUCAAAGGAUCACACUUUUUUGUUGUUUACAGAAUCAUAAUUAAUGUUAAUUAAAGUGGAAUAUUUCAGAUUUCUGAUGAUGAGCAUAUUCUUGAGUAUUGCAGUAAAAAAAUGGGUGCGGAACUUAUUUGAACUUUGAAUGUAUGUUUUGUUGGUGAGAAUAUAAAGUUGAUAAAGAUUUGGUAAAUAGAAUAAAAUACUAUUUUUUAUUAGAAAAAUUAUUUGGUAGACUGCCAAUCGAUUUAUAAUUAUCAUGACGCAAUAUUAAGGGUAAUUAAAACAUGUCAUAUUACAAAUAAUAAAAUUAUAAUGACUCAAAUAUACGAACAUGUCAAAAUUUAUGUACAACGAAUUAUUAACAUGUCAAUGUAUAGUAUAAUAUGGUACGCAAAAAUAAGAUAAUUGCUUGUCUUUAAUUGAAUUGUUAUAACACAUUAUACAAAAUACAUUGUGAAUUAAAGCAUAAUAUAAUCAUGAUAUCAAUAUAUUAAAUUUUUUAAAAAUUCGAUGAUACGAAUAAUUAUGUAAAAUAUCACAUGAUACAAAAUGACUUGAGAGGAAAAGAGGAACAAAGACUUGCNNNNNNNNNNNNNNNNNNNNNNNNNNNNNNNNNNNNNNNNNNNNNNNNNNNNNNNNNNNNNNNNNNNNNNNNNNNNNNNNNNNNNNNNNNNNNNNNNNNNNNNNNNNNNNNNNNNNNNNNNNNNNNNNNNNNNNNNNNNNNNNNNNNNNNNNNNNNNNNNNNNNNNNNNNNNNNNNNNNNNNNNNNNNNNNNNNNNNNNNNNNNNNNNNNNNNNNNNNNNNNNNNNNNNNNNNNNNNNNNNNNNNNNNNNNNNNNNNNNNNNNNNNNNNNNNNNNNNNNNNNNNNNNNNNNNNNNNNNNNNNNNNNNNNNNNNNNNNNNNNNNNNNNNNNNNNNNNNNNNNNNNNNNNNNNNNNNNNNNNNNNNNNNNNNNNNNNNNNNNNNNNNNNNNNNNNNNNNNNNNNNNNNNNNNNNNNNNNNNNNNNNNNNNNNNNNNNNNNNNNNNNNNNNNNNNNNNNNNNNNNNNNNNNNNNNNNNNNNNNNNNNNNNNNNNNNNNNNNNNAUGGUCUUCUAGGCUUGGUACCUAGUUUUCCAUUCUUUUUAUCCGUUCUAAUUCCACUUUUGCUUUAGUAAAAUUUUCUUAUAGCUAAGAAAGAAAAAAAAAACUAUUAACAAGUAAUUAUAUAUAUAUAUCAGGUUUUCAAUUGCUUUCAAGACUCAAUAACUUGGAAACUCUCGAUUUAAGUCGGAAUUCUUUUAAGAAUAGCAUUUUGUUCCAUAUGAGAAAUCUUUCAUCCUUGAAGACUUUAAGAUUGAGCGGUAAUCAGUUGAAAGGAAGGCUGGAUCAUAUUCAAGGUAGACUAAUUUUACCUGUUUCUUUUUAACUUUAAAAAUCAAUGUAUGCUCAAGUUUGAUUUUAUCAUACGAUGAAUGUAUAUAACUAAUCAAUAUUUGGGAUUGAAUUUCAGGAUUGAAUAAUUUGACAAAUUUGAAGUACUUGGAUUUAAGUUGGAACGACAUUGAAAGCAUCUCAAACAAAGGUAUAAGUAUUUGUGCAAAACUUUCUUGACCGACUCUUAUUCCAAAAGGCAAUGACAGACUUCAAAUGUAUUUUCUUUAGUGAAUUUUUAUUGCAAAAAUGGAGUAUUAUUAUUUAUUUAUGUUUUGUAGUAACUAAUUAUAUAAUAUAUAAAUCAGGUUUUCAACGGCUCAUUAAAUUGGAAAUUAUUGAUAUAAGUUGGAAUUAUUUGAAGAAUAGCAUUCUUUAAAAUAAAUUCAUGUUGAAGGAAAAGUUGUUGCAAUAAGUCAUUUGAUUUUAUCAUAUCAUGAAUAUAUAUAAGUAAUCAAUAUUUGGGAUUGAAUUUCAAAAUUGAGUAAUUUAAGUAGGAAGGUAUCUCAAACAAAGUAUUUAUAUAUUGAAUCAAUUCAUGGGAAAGCUUGUAAAUUGGCUCUUCCUUCUCAAACAAUCAUUUUUCCUAACUUUUUAUAUCUUGAAUGAUAUUAACUAUACUCAUUAUUUUCUUCCAAUGAUAGAUGGAACACAAUGGAGGCUAACAAACUUAGAGGAACUUGAUUUGAGUGGUAAUCUCUUUCGGAACAACACAAUUUCCUUUCCUCAAGGGCUUUCAAGCCUAAAGUCUUUGACUUUGUACAACAACCAUUUGCAAGGCUCAUUAGAUACUAUAGGUACCAAAGCUAUAACUUUGUUUUUCUUGAUAAUUCUUUCUAGAACCUUUUAAAAUUAAUUGUUUCAAAUUUGAACAUUCACAUUUCACUUUUGAGGAUUUUCAUCUUCACUUCCAGUUUUAGAUUUACUUUUUUUUUCAUUUUUAUUUCAUUAAAAUAUUAAGUAGAAAUUAAAAUUAUUAACAUAAUGAUUUUUUAAAUUGUACGUGGAUAUGUAUAGGAUUGAGCAAUUUAACAAAUUUGAAGAAACUCGAUUUAAGUGGGAAUCAAAUUGAAAGCUUUCAAACCUUUAAAGGUAUGCAUUUAUAUUUAACUAAUUACCUAAAUUCUUACAUAUAAUUAAAUUUUAUGCCAAUUCAUUUCAGUGAUGAAAUUAUAUAAAUCUUUUGUAGAUGGUGGUAGAAAAUUGGAGUUGACCCACUUGGAAGAGCUUUAUUUAGAUGGAAAUCACUUCAAUACUAGUGUAUUUGCAUCCCUUAACAAGCUUUCAAAUUUGAAAUCUUUGAGCAUAAGUGAGAAUCAAUUGAAAGGAUCAAUAGAUAUGAAAGGUAAAAAUAUUAGUUUUUUAACAAGAAUAUAAUAAUGUUUGAAGAGAAUAUAAUGAAGUUGAUUUGUUGUUUUUGUUUUCCUAGAUUUGGAAGCAUUUAUCAAAUUAAGGGAACUAGAUAUGAGCUAUAAUGAAUUGAGAGAUUUUGUGAUCCACCAAGGUAUCAUUUAAUUAAUUUUCCUUUUUUUUUAAUUUAGAAAUUUAGUUUUGAUCUAUGAUAUUAUAAUAACAGUUAUUGUCAUAAAUAUUAAUAAAGUUAUAUCAUAUCAUACUUGAAAGUAAAAUAUGGGUUUGGUGAAACAUUUUCUAAACCCUCCAUUAUAAUGUGUUUCGACUUUGGUUUGAAACUAAAAUUCUUUAAAUUUUUCAUAAUUUUUAAAUAUUAAUGUUUAUAAUUAUUUUGUUUGUAUAACUAUGUUUUUAAAAUAAUUUAUUGAAUUUUUAUGAGAUAAAAAAUAAUUAUAACGAUAAAAAAUGAUAUUAUAAGUAAAAAUACAUAUAUUUAUGGGAAAAUAUGUAAUAUAACUAUAUUUUAAUUUCAUAUAUUUUUAAUAGUAUAAAACAUAAAAAUACAUAUUAGAGUUAAAUAAAUGGCAUUUUUUGGCCAAAAAUAAAUAAAUGUCAAUUUUGAAUAAUAUAAAAAAAAACUUCAAUUUUAUGAAAUUUAAACAUACAUUUUGAGGUGUUUAAACUUUUUUUUUUAACUUUUUAUAAAUUUCAAAAUGCACAUGUUGUUAAUUUUUUGGUUUUAAAAAAUGUGAUAGGUCUAUGUACUCUUUACAAAUUUGUAAUUUAAUUCUUGUAUUUUUAUUUUCGGGAAUUUGAUCCCUCUAUUUUUUAAAUUUUAAAAUCCAAGUUCAAUUGUUAACAUUGUUAUUUUUUUAAAAAAUAAUUUAUUGGUGUUGACAUUUUAAAAUAAAAGAACUUGGUAGCGAUGUAACUAAAAGAUGAUGUAAUGAACAUGGAUUUAAUAAAAUAAUUUCAACCGUAUAAAUAGUUAGACUUGAAUUUUGAAAAAAAAAAUUUGUAAAGAGAAAAAUAUGCACAUUAGAUUUAAAUAAAAAUAAUAUUUUUUUUAGUUUAAAAUUUUCUAUUUUAUAAUAGAACCAUUGAUUUAAAUAAAUGAGAUUUUGAAGAAUUUCCAAAAAAAAAAAACUAUGUAGGUGAAAUUUAAAUAGAGAAUUUGAUAAGCUGAAAUUCUCUUUUGGAAUUCAUAAAUUUUAAAAUUCAGAAGCAUGUAUUUUGACAAUUUUGAUUUAAUAUGGUGAAUUUAAUCAAAAAAUUAUUUAUUAGAUUGUAAAAUAUUUCUUAACAUUUAUAAUUGAGUACAAAGUAAAUUAAGUUUAAGGGAAAAUAUUGGGUACUAUUAAUGAAAUUCUUUUCUUUUAUCAAUUUUUUUUUAAAAAAAUCGGGGUGGUACUAUUAAUGAAAUUCUAAACUUCAUAAGUAGGAUUGAGAUAAUAACAAAUUUCUUAUAUGGUAUAGUAAAAUAUUAAAAAAUAAAUAUUUAAAAGAAAUAGGUUAGUGGCCAUUUUUUAACUUCACUUGUAGAGUUAAAAAACUCCAUUACCAGUACCAAAUACUAACAUUAAGGUUAAAUGCUAAUUGAUUUCAAACAUAUUUGAGUUUUUUAAAAGAAUAUUCUCAUAUAUUUAAAAGAAAACAACACAAAGUUAGAAGAUCUCAUCUUGAAGGGUAAUUCAUUUACCGGUCCUCUCACAUUACCGUCAGCUCCUAACUCUAAAGUGUCUUUAAUUGACAUAUCCCAAAACAAAUUGCAAGGUCAGAUUCCAACCAACGUGUGUUCACAUUUUCCACAUUUGAGCCACUUAUUCUUAUCCAAGAAUGCCUUCGAAGGUGAUAUCCCUCCUUGUUUGAGUGGCAUGAAGGAUUUAUCGAUUUUAGAUUUAUCAGACAAUCAAUUGUCUGGAAGAGUACCUGAAGAGUUAAUCACAAAAAACUCGUUGACCAUUUUGAGACUAUCAAACAACAACCUCAGUGGACAUGUGCUUCCUGUGAUUCUCAAUGCAAAUGGGCUGUCAAAAUUAUAUUUGGAUGGAAAUAAUUUUUCUGGGGAGAUGGCAAAUGUUGAUGUCUCUAUUUCUGAGUUUCCAACUUCACUAAGGGAAAUUAAUCUCGGAAAUAACAAGUUUUAUGGAAACCUCCCAAGAUGGAUGGGGAAUGUGUCAUUUUUGGAGAGAUUAGCUUUGUCCCAAAAUGGUUUCGAGGGUUCUAUUCCAAUGGAAUUUUGCAACUUGAAUCGCUUGGAAUUUUUGGAUCUCUCUGAAAACAAUUUAUUUGGCUCUAUACCGUCCUGCUUUAAUACCCUAAACAUAAAGCAUGUCCACCUGCACGGGAGUAGACUAAGUGGCCCACUACCAAUCGCUUUUUAUAAUAUCUCUUCACUGGUUACGUUAGAUCUUAGAGGAAACAAUUUGACUGGUAGUAUUCCAAAAUGGAUUGGCACACUUUCUUCAUUGAGUGUUCUUCUCUUGAAAGAUAAUCAUUUUCAUGGUGAAGUUCCAGUUCAGUUAUGCAAGUUGGAUUCUUUAAACAUCAUAGAUCUUUCUCAAAAUAUGUUUUCUGGUAUUAUACCUUCUUGUUUGGGAAAUUUAACCCUUUCAACGGAAACAAAUAAGAUUCUAACUGAUUCGAAAAUUAGUCCAAGGUUAACAGGGGACGGAUUAGUGAAAACAUUGGGAGCUCUCGGAAAUUAUUACUAUCCUGAAGGCUACUUAGAAGAAGUAAUAGAGUUCACAACAAAGAGUGGGUUCUUAUCGUAUGAGGGAAACAUCCUUACAUAUAUGACCGGGAUUGAUUUAUCUUGCAACAACUUAACUGGUCAUAUCCCACCAGAAUUAGGGAACUUAAGUGAAAUCUAUUCUUUAAACUUGUCGCAUAAUAAGUUGACAGGAGUUAUACCCUCAUCAUUCGCAAAACUUCAUCAAAUUGAGAGUUUGGACCUUUCUUACAACAAUUUGAGUGGUGAAAUCCCCAAUCAGUUGGUAGAGUUGAACUCUUUGGAGGUUUUCAACGUGGCAUACAACAACUUGUCAGGUAGUAUUCCCGAACCAAAAGCUCAAUUUGGGACCUUUAUUGAAAACAGUUAUGAGGGAAAUCUUUUUCUUUGUGGAGCUAUAUUGCAUAAAAGUUGUUCCAAAACCGAUUCACCAUCAACGAUAUCAACUCUAUCAGAAUAUAAAGGAGAAGAUGGUUUGAUAGGUACUUAUGAUUUUUGUGUGAGCUUUUUGGUUUCUUAUGUAGUUGUGUUGUUGACCAUUUUUGUUGUCCUCUACAUAAAUCAAUACUGGCGAAGAGUUUGGUUUUCUCUCAUUGGGAAAUGCAUCACCACCUGUCGCUACUCAAAUGUGGGCAAUUUUCUUACUUAUCACAUUUUCAAGCAAUGAGUUUAGCUACUCAAAUUGUAAUUUGAUUUUCACACCUAAAUGUUUAAUUAUGCUAAGUUGAGCGAUAAUGAAUAUUUUGUUGAUUUUUGCAUUUUAAAUAAAAGCUCUUUGAUCUUAUGAUUUUAUCAUUUUCAACCAUCUAUUUCUUUUUUCUUCUAUGAAAUUUAAUGUAAAAUCAUAAUCCAUUAUUAUGUAUAUGCAAUAUCUCUUUGAAUUAAAUUAAAUUGAAUACCAAGCGUUCACUAGUGCAUACUGAAAAGGAAAUCUAAUGUAAAAUUAAACCAAACAUACUAGAAAAAUGAAUCUGAAACUGAAAUAUUUUAAAACCUCAAAAACAAUGCAAUUCUUUAUUCCUCUUUUCCUUUCAAGUUAUUUUGUAUCAUGUUAUAUUUUACAUAAUCAUUCAUAUCAUCAAAUUUUAAAAAAUAUUUAAUAUUUUGAUAUCAUGUUCAUAUUAUGCUUUAAUUCACAAUGUAUUUUAUACAAUAUGUUAUAACAAUUCAAUUUAAAAAACAAGCAAUGAUCUUAUUUUUGCAUACCGUAUUAUACAUUUACAUGUUAAUAAUUCAUUGUACGUAAAUUUUGACAUGUUUGCAUAUUUGAGUCAUUAUAAUUUUAUUAUUUGUAAUAUGACAUGUUUUAAUUACCCUUAAUAUUGUGUCAUGAUAAUUAUAACUCGAUUGGCACCAAAUAAUUUUUCUAAUAAAAAAUAGUAUUUUAUUCUAUUUACCAAAUCUUUAUCAACUUUAUAUUCUCACCAACAAAACAUACAUUCAAAGUUCAAAUAAGUUCCACACCCAUUUCUUUACUGCAAUACUCAAGAAUAUGCUCAUCAUCAGAAAUCUGAAAUAUUCCACUCUAAUUAACAUUACGAUUCUGUAAAAACCAAAAAUGUGUGAUCCUUUUUUAAAGCUCUUUUUUUUUUCCUUUAAUGAAAUGGGAUUGGUAAAAAAUCCGCACAUGUGUCGUGUGUGAAGAAGGUGAGGUUGUCUAUUCAUUCUCUAAUAAGUAGCUAAUUAUAGUUGAUCCUACAAAAUCAAAAUUAAUUCAGGUAUCUUUAUAUUCUGAAGACUGGACAGACCUUAGAAGCUUCUUCAAAUUUGCAAGAACAUGUCGUGGUCCUAAACUCUUUACACCGAUGAAAUUCAAAAGUUGCUCUAUAUUCUGCAAUCACAGUAAAGAUUAUGCAGUCAUUUCAGAACGAAUAACAUAACAAGCAAAAGGCGAUCAAAAUACCGUGAUCUCGAUAAUGUUCUUUGCCGAAAAGGAACAUUAACUUAACCUUAAAACAUCAGUGAAGGCUCAUCAGAUUUGCUUAGCAACCUCACAUACACAUGUAAAAAGCUUUGCUUUUGGAUGUAAGGUGUGACUAUCAUUACAGUCUUUUCUAAUUAGCUGAUAACCCUGUAUCUAACAUUUAUCAGGGCUAAGCAAAUUAACAUACAUGAUGUAAAGGAAUUUGACUAUAAGAUCCAACAGAAAACUUAAUAAACGAUAAUCAACAUAGAAAGAAGGCAAUGCAAACUUAUUACAAUGAUGCAAGCGGAUCAAAAGAAAGCACUUCUAUAGGGAAUUUGCAUUUAAGGCAUCGUAAACAGAAAAAAAAAUGAUAAAACUUUUUGGAAAGUAUUUUCAAAGAGGAGACAAAAACAGGGUAGAAACAAUGUUUGGUUCUUCCUUUUUCUAUUUACAAUUUUAGGGUGCAUUCUCUACUGUUGUGAAAAAGCCUUUUUGGGUUAAAAGUGUUUUUACACUGCAGAAGUGUUUUUCCACUGCAGAAGUGAUGAACAACACAUAGCUGUUGUAGUCAAAAACUGUUUUUGGCUUUUGCAUUCAAAAGAGAAAAUUAUCAAAAUACUAUUAUUUUCAUUAACUAUUUAAAAGGUAUAUAAAAAUUAGAUUAAUUUAUAUUUUAUAUAUUAUUAUAUUAAAUUGUUUAAAUCUUAUUUAUUAUUAUAUUUAAUUUUUUCAAAAUAUUUUAUAUAUUAUCAAUUUUACAACUAAUUAACAAAAUAUUUUACUAGGGAAUACGUAUAUGUGAAUAUCUAUAAAUGGCAUGCCUGGAUAUGCAUAUCCUUUGAUAUCAAAUAUUUUGAAAAAAAUAUUAUCAAUUCCACUGAUAUAUUAUCAAUUCCACUGAUAUAAAGCUCUUUAUAUUACCAAUAUAAAUAUAAAUAUUUUGAAUAUAAAUAUCCAUUGAUAUAUUAUCAAUUCCACUGAUAUAAAGCUCUUUAUAUUAUAAAUAUUUUAUAUUUUUUUUCAAAAAUAUGGAUAUGCAUAUCCUUUGAUAUCAAAUAUAAAGGUAAUAUUUAUAGGAAUUGUUUUUUAAUUAGAUAUUUUUAUAUAUCAGUGGAAUUGUCAAAAUAUUUUCAUUAACUAUUUAAAAGGUAUAUAAAAAGAGCUUUAUAUUGCCUCAAGCGCAAGGCACAAAAUGAAGCGCUAGCCUGUGUGCAGUAAAGCGCAAUACGUAUAUGUGAGAGUUUUUGCAAGUCUGUGUGUCUAUAACAUAAAAGUUUAAGAUAUAUAGUAAACUCUAAAGUGUGGUCUGGUUUAUCCACAAAACUUGAAAUUUUUUUAUAGGUGAAUGCUCAAAUAUUGAGAAUUAUAGAGUUUGAUAUUAUCCCUUCCUUAUUAGUAAAGGUAUAUCAAAUGAAAACAGUGAAAAAUAAAAUAAAUUAUUGAGAAAUUCAACAAGGCAGGUUUUUCUAAUGCCCAUUGCCUUACAAAAAAAGUGUGCCUAGGUGCACCAGGCAUGCGCUUGAUCAAAUGGACCUCACCUGGAAGGGUCCAAGGCGUUUUGUUGUAUAAAACUAAGGCGUAGGCAUGCCUAGGCGCAUGCCUUGACGACACUGACCAUAUGUUGGCUUUAUUGCAAAGCAUUAGCAAUUCAAAACUACUAGCACAUUACCUAAUCUACUACUGCUAGAAUAGGACUCAAGUUCUUGCUCCUGUGCAGGUCCAACCAAGAUCUUUACAGGAUACAGUAAUGAAACUUGUGAUAUCAUAUAUUGUUGCCUUGCUCGAAGCUUCCUUUGCACAUUUUUAAGUUUAACACAACCCCUUUCUUCAGUGAGUAAUCUAUUUGCUUCCUGUGAUAAAAACAACAUAUAAUCAAUCAUGCCAUGCAUGCAAGACUACCAACCAUCUUAAAAAAGAGACAAAGAAGUAGGACAGCAAGAAGGGGAUAACCCUUGACUAUGCAAAGGAAUUCAUAGAAUGAGAAUCAUCUCAUCUAAGCCCCUCAACCACCUUCACAGGGGGUGGAGCUGCAAAAAGAGAUGUCUUAUUGAUCCAAGAGGAGAAUAAAUAACAUCUAAAGCUGAAUAAGAAGAAACCUUCAAAUGUAUCAUAAAUUCAGCAUUCAUGAUAAUAUCAAAAUGAAAUUCCAAAGCUAAUUUAAGCUAGAAUAAAAAUGCUUCACCUGUAAUCGCUUCCUUGCUACAGAAAGAGAGGUACCAGCAACCAACAAUGAUCUUACUUCAGUACUAAGCAUUUCCUCCUGUUUUUUAGCAUCCUCUGUUGCAACUUUGCAACGAGUUGACAUUUUGCCAUAACUACUUUCCUUGCCUCUAGUCUCUCACGCAUUUCCUCAAGCUCGUUCAGUUUAUUCAAAGACUCAUUUUUUACCUGCACAGCAUGUUCCCGCCCAUUAAUCAGUGGGCCAAUUGAUUAGGUCACAGAAGACAAAACUAAAUUACCACUCACCAGGUCCCCUUGAAGUGUCAUAUGGCUUUAACAAUUCAACGUGCAAUAUCUAGUAAAAGUAAAAUAAACAUAGAAGAAAGCAAAUGCAAUUCUUAAACGCCUUUAAAUGGACAACAUGAAACAGUUUAAGAGCCCUAUAAAACAGUAAAGUGGAAAAAAAAUCUGAAAAGGAAAAAGAAAUGAAUUGAAACAAUAAAUCCAUCAGGUACAAACAGCAACAAAACUUGAAAUAAGCUUUGGCUUUAGCCCAUUAAAGCCCGGGCAUCCAGCCAAAUAAACAGUGACUGCCAUGUCAACUUUUUGAGACGGUAGAAAAGAGAUCGAAAAUCUCAAUUUCCAAAAAUAAGGACAUAAGAAGUAAAAAAAUGCACUUAUUCUUACAGUAGAAGAGCAAAAUGAAACUAAAUGAAGCAUAAGGGAACUGAUGCGAAUUGACAUUGUCAUUUUUGGGACUAAAAAGAAUACGCAGAUUGAAUAUUUAAGAUUUGGAAGGGAAAAGUUCCAUUCACCAACACAAUUAUCGUCGCCCUUCAUCCUAGUAAAGCUUAAUUGACAAUUUUUCUGUCUCGUGUUCUUGCUAAAGCAUUUGAGCAACCCAACAGAAAUCAUUAUAUUUCAAACUGAAAUGAUUGGCUUUAUCAAUUUCACAACCUAUACCGCCCAACCUAGUAAGUAAUUUAGGUGCAGACACCAGAAAUCUAUUUCCUUUGCACUCUACAACUAAAUAGCCUACCACUUAUCAAUCAAACACAGCUGAAAACUUCAGUGAGGAAACAUUAUGAAAACUGAAAAAACUAUAACUUCAACUUGAUUCAUAGCUCGGCAAGUUCAGGGAAUUGGGACUUCUACCACCAUGAUCCAGUUCGAUGUGAAACAGUGAUCUAUAUCACGCAUAUCGGUUCCCGCAACAAGAGGUAAAACAGCAAAUUAGGUAAACGAUGAUCCUACUAUAUUUCAGAAUAGCAACAUUGAGCAUGAAAGCUAAAGUUAUAGCAUAUUAUGGGUCCUUGCUCUCUACAACUACAUAUAAAAUUACUAAACAAUAUUACUACAUUAAGGAUCCAGAAAAACUUUGUUUCAAUUGUUGAUCACUUGAUCCAACUAUUUUAGAAAGUUUAUUCUUCUUUUUCCUUUCCCUUAUUUUCUAAAUCAGGAAAAACAGUAGCACAUAAACUGGAUUACUACUCCAAGUUUCUAAAAUUUCAGCAAUAUCCCUUUAACCUUUUCACUCAAGUCACUACCCCCCCAAUUAACAAAUAUAUUCCCAGUUUCCCUUUCACUUCAAACCCCCUUUUUUUUUUCUCUACCCAAAUUCAGCUUAAGUUCAAAAACCCAAAAUUGGUUUGCUAAAAAUACAUAAUUUUCAAACACAAAGGUAACCUAAUUUUAAUCAGAAAAAAAAAGCAUUACCUGAAUUAGUGAAUGGAGUUUCUCUUGAAGACUUUGUUUUAAAACUAUCUUAUACUAUUUGCUUUAAAUCGAUUUUUAUUAGCUAUUUAAAACUCGUUUUCAUGUAUUAUUUAUUUUUUUAUCACUUAUUUAAAUUGUUUUACAUAUCUAUUUUUUAAACCCUAUUUUAUUAUAUUUUACUUAUUUUAACUUUUUUACAUAUUUCAUUAUAAAUAUUAUUAAUUAUCUAUAUUGAGUUUUUCAUUCCAUAUGUAUUACUUAUUUAGAUAAAUAUAUACUAUUUUGUGUAUUACUUAUUUUGAUUUUCUUCUUAUACAAUAUUACUUUAAAAUUCAUUUAGAUAUUAUUAUUUCACGUAGUAUUUAUUUUUAUCUUCAUUUUUUAUUUAUUUCAAACUCAUAUAUUGUUUAUUUUGAAAUUUUAUGCAUAUGAUUUAUUGUUUAUAUUGAUGAUUUUAAAUUUCCUUUCUUGCAUGUUUUUUUUAUUUAUUUUAAAACUUGUUAUACUUUAUUUGUGUUAAUUUGCUUAGUUUUUCUUUCAAAAUUAACUUAUAAUUCAUUAGCUUUUAAUGUUAGUAUUUGCACAAUAUGUGAUGUAAGAUUAUUGCUUUCCUGUAUUGCUUAUCUGUAUAUAUUGAUUAUUUGUCAUUCAUUAGUAUACAUUUUGGUUUACGAAUUGACUAAUUUACCAAAAAAAGCCAUUUUUUUAUAAAUUACCGAAAUAGGCCGGUUUUUUAAUUAUUUACCGGAAUGGGCCAUUUCCCCCGAAAUCGCGCCACGUCGAAGCGAUGUCAGGGGACGGGGCAGAAGGUCGCGUCCACGUCAGAGCGACCUACUGACGUGGAAGGAAAUCGCUCCCCUGAGGGCGCGAUUUCCUUCCACGUCAGCAGGUCGCGCUGACGUGGACGCGACCUCCUGUCACUUUGCGCGGUACCGGGAAUGCGAUUUUGACCCUGAUUUUUACGCCUAGGUUUUAUGGCUUUUAGGGUUUAGGGUGCAGGCUUUUUAGGAGUUAGGGGUCCGGGAAAAUUAUUUUUCGAGUUGACGUUUCUGGUUAAAUAGUGGGAAAUCGCUUAUACUAGGAUGCUAUUUAAGAAGAAAUUGUGAAAUAGUGGCCUCGUGGACGCGAUUUCGCUACAGUGGUCAUGUGAGAAAUAAUUUUUUUAGACGUUUUCUGAGGAAAUAGUAUAAAAUCGCUGAUACCAGGAUGCUAUAUGAGAAGAAAUUGUGAAAUCGCGCCCUCGUGGACGCGAUUUCGCUACAGUUGGUCAUGUAGGAAAUAAUUUUUUUUGACGUUUCUGAGUAAAUAGUGUCAAAUCGCGCCCUCGUGGACGCGAUUUCGCUACAGUAGCAAGUUUGGGCUGAGGUUAUAAAUUAGGCAGAGAAUUUUCUUAGAAUGCAUAACUCAGAGCAGAAACAUUUUAGGUUAGGGUUAGGGAAUUUAGAGUUUCAAAAUGAGUGAAUGUAUUAGUGCUGUUAUUUACUACGAUGGUGAGGUUUGCCACACCGAGAAUGGUGUUGUUUUUUUGUCGAAGAAUACGAUGCGACUGUCAUUUAGCCAAAACAUAGAUUUGACAGAACUCCGUAAAAGAAUUAGGCGUAAAAUCUUCGGAACCACGCCAAUGAAAGUUCAGUCAAUGACGUAUCGAUUUUGUUCUUCUGUUGAUUCGGUGACAUAUGACUCGUUCGACAUAAAAGGUGCUCGUAGCUUAGAGGCAAUGGUGCAGACUCAUCUUGCUAGCGGAGCAACUUAUAUUGAGUUAUAUGUACAAUUUACGUCACCAAAUGAUGUACUUUCGUCCGGUGUUCGAGAUGUAUACACGACCCCUGGCCGACACUCGGUUAGUGUGUUACAAAAUACGGAACAGCCCAUGUUCGGUAGCGGUGUCGAAUGCACAUCCCCCCAAGACACUCUGUCGGUGGAUGGGACAUGUACGUCGGUGGCUCGACGGUUGACGCUGGAAAUACGAGCUGGUACGUUCAUUCUCUUAUUUUAUUUUAUUUCAUAUUUUGGGAAAUUUAGAACGAUAAGCGAAAAUGAAUAUAUUCAGAUUAGCAGGGGACAUGACCCAUUUGUUUAGUGUUCUUGUUUUGCUUCUUAAGAUCCACACAAUCAAGUCUUGUGCUGGUACGUUCAUUUUCCAAAUAUUUACUUUACUUUUUGUUUCUGGGCUUAUUUCAUUUUAUGUUGUACUUUUUUCCCAGUAAUUUACUGCUUAAUAUAAAAGAAUCGAAUAUUUAGGUUAAAUUGUGGGUGGGUUUUUGCUAGUUUAUUGAAUACUCAAAUUGGAGCCAUGUAAAAUGUGGAAACUUUAGCUUGAUAGAAAAUGUGACCCCCUUUUUUUUUAAUGUAUGGAAUAAAAAUUUUUGUAUUUUGUGAAUUUUUUUUUAGUAAUUUGAAUUUGUAUGUAUGUUCAUUGGAAGUUUAGAAGCAAGGAGUUCUGAUCAUUAGGACUUUAUGUGAUUCAUUCAUUUUGAGUUAUAGUGUAGUUAGUUGUUGGAUUUAGUGUCACUGUUGGCAUCUUAUUUUAGCUGAUUUCCUUUCUAUUUGUACCGAUAAACCUCUAGAGGUUUUGAAAUUAGCAACUGAUUUUUUUUAUGUGUGAGAGUUUUUAUGGAAAUCAAUAAGCUAAUUACAUUUUGCAGGAUCAUACAGUCGGGUUAGUGGUUUUUAUGUCAUGCUGGCCUAUGGUUUUGAGAUGAACAUCAUGAAAUCUGUAUAAGAUGAGGGUAUUAAACUAUAAACAUAGCCGAGGUAGCGAUUUAUUUCGUAUCAUGCUAUUGGAAGUUUUUUUGGGGCGGCAAUGUCAACUAAAUUUAUAUUCUUUUGAUCAAGUCGAUUAUUUCCAGUUGCACAACUAGCUUGUUGGAAAUAUUUUCUUUCUUUGCUCCUGUCCUUUUCACUUUCAUAUUUUAUGGGUGGUGUGAUGAUGGGAAGAUUCAUGGGUGGCUAAAGCCAUCUUACUCACUAGAAGUGAGGCUGUUAUUUUUAGAAGUUAGAGAUGCUAUAUCAAUUGAGGAUGCCGUGAGCAAAAGCUUGCUAAUAAUAAGUGACUGUUCAUAUGCGUGGGUUCUAUCACAUGUUGAUGGAGUAUUUGGUGCUCUUUCUUCACUAAUUUCAUAUGUAUAGAUAUAAUUGUAUAACAUCUCGACGUUGAUUACUGUUACGAGGGGAAAAAAACACAGCAUGUAAUGAAACUCAAAAAGUAGGAAUCCUAGAUCCUUGUAUUCAUUCAUAGGCAUUUUACAACAUUUGAUUUAACUUGAGCAAGAUUCCGUUUUGGGCCUGGUCUUUUCCUGUUCGUUCCCUUGUUUAUAUAUGAUGAAGUUGGUUCAGCAUGCAGGAAACUCGACAGCAUGCAGGCCAUGAAGACCAAGUCGUGCAGGAGCUGCUGGAACGAGCUGAACUUUUCCUAUUUUGUUCAUCUAGUAAUCUUAAGUUAAUGUAAUGUACUUUAGUUCAUUUAGAACUAUGUUAGGUUUAUGAUUGAUGUAAUUUUGAUGACAAUUGAGCUGUUAAGUCAGCUUUGUUUAAGUGUGUAAGCUUAGUUUUUCAAGUUUCAAUGUAUUAGUGGUAGUAGGUGAUGAUUAGGUAUCAUUAUGCAGAUUUUGACAAGCAAAUUGCUUGGUUUAUGUAUUGGCAUUAUGCCAUUGUUCAACAUAUGAAUGAAAUCAACUUUGUUCAUCAAUAUUCUCUCAAAUUUCCUCAGCUUAUUUUCUUUUUUCUUCAACUCGAAAUUGUUUGUUUGCUCAGCAAGAUUCGAGGCUUGCUCGACAAGAAACUUGCUGAGUCUGUUUGAUUCUGCUGUUGCACCAACAAUUGGUAUCAGAGCUUAUUUCUUAAGGGACCUGUUAUACAAAUCCAUGGCUUCAUCAAGUUUUUCACCAGCUGCACCUCAAGUCUUCAAUGGAGAAGGCUAUCACAUAUGGGUGGUCAAAAUGAAGACCUACCUGCAGGCAUUUGAUCUGUGGGAGGUGGUCAACUCUGAUGUUGAACCAGAGCCACUUAGAGCUAAUCCAACAGUGGCUCAGAUCAGGCAGCAUGCUGAUGAAAGGACCAAGAGGCACAAUGCUAUGUCUUGCAUCCAAAACUCAGUGUCUGAUGUGAUUUUCACAAGGAUUAUGGCCUGUGAAUCACCAAAACAGGCCUGGGACAAGUUGCAGGAAGAGUUUCAAGGGACUGAGAGGACAAGGCAACAACAGUUGUUAAACUUGAGGAGAGAUUUCGAGAAUUUGAAGAUGAAGGAAGAAGAAACUGUCAAGCAAUAUUCUGACAGGAUUAUGGCUGUGGUUAACAGCAUCAGGCUCCUUGGAGAGCAGUUCAAUGAAGCUAGGAUAGUGGAGAAGGUUAUAGCAACUCUGCCUGAGAGGUAUGAGGCAAAAAUCUCAUCUCUCGAGGACUCAAGGGACCUGUCCACCAUCUCCCUGACAGAGUUGAUCAAUGCUCUAUAUGCUCAAGAGCAGAGGAGAGCAAGCAGACUGGAGGAGCACCAAGAAGGUGCCUUUCAGGCAAGAACAAAUACUUCCUACAAAGGCAAGAAGGCUUGGAGAGACAAGCCAAAGGAUGAUGCUGCAAGGAGAGAAGGUCAAACUUGCAAGCACUGCAGAAAGGCUGGUCAUUCAGAAGAAAAAUGCUGGUUUAAUCCAGAUGCUGUGUGUCAGCAUUGUAAGAAAAAGGGCCAUGUUGAGAGAGUUUGUAAGAGCAAUGCCAAAACAAGGCGCAAUCAGGCUCAACAGAUGAAAGCUGAGGCUCGAGUAGCUAAGGAGGACAGUGACCAAGAGGAGCAAGUCUUUACUGUGUCAUGCUCAGCUGCUCAGGAAAGGUCCUCAUCUGGUUGGCUCCUAGACAGUGGAUGCACCAACCACAUGACACCUGAUGCUGCAAUCUUCAAGUCUUUAGACAGAAGCUGCAGAACUAAAGUCAAGAUAGGAAAUGGUCAUUUUAUUCAAGCUGAAGGCAAGGGUGAUGUUCUGAUAUGCACUCUUACAGGUACCAAAGUGAUUUCAAAUGUGCUGUUGGUGCCUGAAAUUGACAGAAACCUGCUCAGCAUAGCUCAGUUGCUGGAAAAAGGUUACUUAGUUGUGUUUAAAGACCACCAAUGCCAAAUCAGUGAUCCAAGUGGAUCCAAACUGAUGGCAGUCCCUAUGGCUGAUAAGAGCUUUGUGGUUGACUGGACAAAAAAGUCAGACAUUGCCUACACAGCCACUUCAGAUGAAUCCAAGCUGUGGCAUCAAAGACUGGGACAUGCCAACUUCAGAUCGAUGGCCCGAAUGAUCAGAGAAGACCUGGCUGAAAACUUCAUCAACUCAGUAGACCAUGAUGAUGUAUGUGAAGUAUGUCAGCUAGGAAAGCAGGCCAGACUCCCAUUUCCCUCGAAUCAAGCCUAGAGAGCCUCUGAAAAACUCCAACUGGUGCAUACUGAUGUGUGUGGACCUAUGAAGACUGAGUCAUUAAGUGGAAACAGGUAUUUCAUACUGUUCAUUGAUGAUUUCUCGAGAUAUUGCUGGAUUUACUUCUUAAAACAGAAAUCAGAGGUGGCCACUGUGUUUUGGAAGUUCAAAACUGCUGCUGAGACUGAAACAGGCUGCAAGGUGAAGACCAUAAGGUCUGAUAAUGGGACUGAGUACACCUCAGCUCAGUUCCAAGCCUUCUGUGAUAAGGCAGGCAUCAAACAUCAACUUGCCAACACAUAUACACCUCAGCAGAAUGGGGUAAGUGAAAGGAAGAAUAGGAGUUUGAUGGAUAUGGCCAGGUGCUUGAUGAUUCAGAAGAAUCUGCCUAAAGCACUAUGGGCAGAAGCAGUUAACACUGCAACAUACAUUCAAAAUAGACUUCCAACCAGGGCUUUGGAUCAAAAGACCCCAUUCGAGGCCUGGUUUAGCUUCAAGCCAUCACUGGCUCAUCUGAAGGUCUUUGGAUGCAUCUGUUAUGCACAUGUACCUGCUGUUAAAAGGGACAAAUUGUCUGAAAGGGCUCGACCUGGUGUUUUGGUGGGCUAUAGCACUGUUAAGAAGGGCUAUAGGAUUUUAGAUCCUUCAACAAACAAAGUGUCAGUAAGCAGGGAUGUGGUAUUUGAUGAGAGGUCAUGUUGGAACUAGGAAAGACAUGAACCUGAAGAAGUUUUUGAAGAACUUGCAGCAGACCAAGCUGAGCCAGACCAAGAUGUCCCUGAAAUGGAUAUUGAUGAUGAACCAGUCAGAGGAACAAGGCCAUUGGCUGAAAUUUAUGAAAGGGCUCAUGUAGCCAUAGUUGAACCAAGCAACUUUGAAGAGGCUGAGGCUCAGCAAGGGUGGAAGCAGGCAAUGGCUGAGGAGAUCAGCAUGAUUGAGAAGAACCACACCUGGAAAUUGGUUGAAAGGCCAGUCAAAAGGAAAGUGAUUGGGGUGAAAUGGGUGUACAAAGCCAAGCAGAAUGCUGAUGGUACCUUGAACAAGCUGAAAGCAAGGCUAGUUGUCAAGGGGUUCAGUCAGAGGUAUGGCUUGGACUACCUGGAGACCUUUGCACCAGUGGCCAGGCUCGACACCAUCAGACUGCUGAUUGCCUUAGCAGCACAGCUUGAAUGGAAGAUCCAUCAACUUGAUGUGAAAUCAGCUUUUCUGAAUGGUUUCUUAGAUGAAGACAUCUAUGUUGAACAACCACAAAGGUUUGAAAUAGCUGGCAGAGAGCAUAUGGUCUACAAACUGAAAAAGGCCCUAUAUGGAUUAAAGCAGGCUCCAAGGGCCUGGUAUAGCAGAAUUGAUGGCUACUUGACUGAUCUAGGAUUCGAUCGAAGCAAGAGUGAGCCAACACUGUAUGUCAAGAAACAAGGGACACAAAUACAACUCAUUGUGUCCCUGUAUGUUGAUGAUCUUCUGGUGACAGGAGGAGAUCGAGUAGUGCUGGCUGAUUUUAAGACCAAGAUGCAGGAAGUGUUUGAAAUGUCUGAUCUUGGGGAGAUGUCAUACUUUCUUGGAAUGGAGGUGUCUCAAGUAUAGAAUGAGAUAUUUCUAAGCCAGAGAAGCUUUGCCACAAAGAUUCUGACCAAGUUCUCCAUGCAAAACAGCAAGGCAACUAAAACACCUAUUGCUGUUGGAGAAAAACUAUCGAGCCAAGGUGAUUUUAAGAAAGUUUGUGAAACAACCUACAGGAGUCUAGUUGGUUGCUUGCUAUACUUGACUGCCACUAGACCAGACAUUAUGUAUGCUGUAGGAUUGCUCUCAAGGUUCUUGCAUUGCUGCAAUGAGAAGCAUUUCCAAGCUGCAAAGAGAGUGCUGAGAUAUGUCAAAGGCACUUUAAACUAUGGUUUGAAGUACAGUAAAGAAGGAAAUCUGAAGCUGAUUGGCUACACUGAUAGUGACUGGGCUGGCUCGAUAGAUGACAUGAAAAGCACCUCAGGGUAUGCUUUUAACCUUGGUUCAGCCAUGUUUUGUUGGAGCUCAAAGAAGCAAAGUCUAGUAGCUCAAUCUACUGCUGAAGCAGAGUAUGUGGCAACAGCAAGUGCUAUCAACCAAGCCAUAUGGCUAAGAAAAAUAUUGGCUGACUUGAAUGUGCAUCAAGAGCAAGCUACUGAGAUCUUCUGUGACAACCAAUCUGCAGUAGCAAUUGCUAAAAAUCCAGUGUUCCAUGGAAGAACAAAACAUUUCAGCAUAAAGUUGCAUGUUGUUCGAGAAAUGGAGCAAGCUCAGGAAGUAAAGCUGGUCCACUGUAAUUCAGAAGAUCAACUUGCUGACAUUUUAACCAAAGCUCUUAGUGUCACAAGGUUUGAAUAUCUAAGAAAGAAGCUAGGUGUUUGCUCCAUGCAAACCAAGGAGGAGUGAUGAAGUUGGUUCAGCAUGCAGCAAACUCGACAGCAUGCAGGCCAUGAAGACCAAGUCGUGCAGGAGCUGCUGGAACGAGCUGAACUUUUCCUAUUUUGUUCAUCUAGUAAUCUUAAGUUAAUGUAAUGUACUUUAGUUCAUUUAGAACUAUGUUAGGUUUAUGAUUGAUGUAAUUUUGAUGACAAUUGAGCUGUUAAGUCAGCUUUGUUUAAGUGUGUAAGCUUAGUUUUUCAAGUUUCAAUGUAUUAGUGGUAGUAGGUGAUGAUUAGGUAUCAUUAUGCAGAUUUUGACAAGCAAAUUGCUUGGUUUAUGUAUUGGCAUUAUGCCAUUGUUCAACAUAUGAAUGAAAUCAACUUUGUUCAUCAAUAUUCUCUCAAAUUUCCUCAGCUUAUUUUCUUUUUUCUUCAACUCGAAAUUGUUUGUUUGCUCAGCAAGAUUCGAGGCUUGCUCGACAAGAAACUUGCUGAGUCUGUUUGAUUCUGCUGUUGCACCAACAAUAUACCUCCACUGUGCCAUUGUGUAUUUGUGUUCGAUUUUCAGUUCUGUCUCACAAUCCCUGUCAUGUCUUAUGAGUGAUUUUCUGGCUCUAAAUAUCUAUGAUAUAUUUGUGCAGGCAUUUCACUGAAGACUCAGGAACUCUAUGCUAUUGUCUUUGCUACUCGUUACUUGGACAUAUUCACUAAUCAUAUCUCGCCUUAUAACACAAUCAUGAAGCUAAUAUUCCUGGGCAGCUCUUUCUCAAUUGUAUGGUACAUGCGGUAUCACAAAAUAGUUCGUAGAUCUUAUGAUAAGGACCAGGAUACAUUUCGACAUUACAUCCUUAUACUCCCUUGCCUGAUUCUUGCCCUUCUUAUAAACGAGAAGUUCACCUUCAAAGAGGUAUCGACAUCCUUUUGUUUGUUGGAAUAUGAUAACAGUAUGUUCAUAUUAAUUACUGGUUAACUUAGAAGCUCCCUAAACUGUUUAUCUGUUUUAUAUUAAUUAUUCAUUAUUAUCCUUCUGGUUAUAUUUUUAUAUAUUGAUUAUUGUCUUAAAAAAAAUUGUUGAGCAGGUCAUGUGGACAUUUUCCUUGUAUUUGGAAGCUGUUGCGAUACUUCCUCAGCUUGUAUUGUUGCAAAGGACUAGAAAUAUUGACAACUUGACUGGACAAUAUGUGUUUCUCCUUGGGUAACCACUGUAUUCUUUAAAAAUCCUAAUCAGUUGCAAGUUUUCUAUUUUAUUACCUUGCAAUUUGCAUGAAGGACCCUUAUUUCCUGGCUCAGUUCCCUAAAAUGUUGCCUCCUUCCUGAGGAAACAAAAGAGAGAAAGUCUCUAAAUAGAGUUGCCAUCAUAUUGCCGCUUGGUUGCCACUGAUUUCUUUUUGAUGAAAAGUUGAUAUGAUUAUAUGUUGGACCAAAGUUAUCUAUUUUCAGAUGUGAUUAACUGCAGUUGAAUUUUGCGAGUAUGACUGUUCUUGUGUAACUUUUGUUAUGUGCUUUCAUGUCGUUUUUAGUCUUUUACACUGUGUUCUGUCUAUCUUUGUUUGCUAUUAUCCUAAGUUAGGAGACAAGGUGCCAUUAGGAGCAAUGUGACGUCAAAAUUCAUUUCCCUUUAGCCUUCAGUUCUACCUUUUCUUCCCUUUCUUUAUGUAGUUUUUGGGAGUUGGGGAUCACAGCGAUGAUAGUCGGUACAUGUGACUUGAAAGAUGCCUAAAAACUUCAAGAGCAUAGUGUUGUAUAAAUCUUUUGGAGAAAUUUUUUUGGUACAUUGAUGCCAACUUACAAUAACCCUUGCCACUACAACCGUGGCUUUGUUGGCUUAUGUAUGCACUCUCUUUGUCUUUAUAGGUCACCAAAUUCCUAAUGUCUAAUUCUUGGUUAUGGACUAAUAUAGUUGCUUGUUAUUGCAGUGCAUACAGAGCAUUGUACAUAGUGAACUGGAUUUAUCGGUACUUUACUGAAGACCACUUUGUCCACUGGAUAAGUAUGUACUCUUCUCUGUCUCCCUUCAUCUUUUACUCCAAGUCGGUAGCCAUGGGUGUAUGACGAGUGUGUCAAUAUAUCUACCCCAACACAUUUGUGAUAUACUAUGCUAUAUGUGUUAUUUCUAACACCUUGUUUACAUGAUUGCUGCCUUUCAGCUUGGAUUUGCGGUCUUGUCCAGACAUUGCUUUAUGCUGAUUUCUUCUACUAUUACUUCCAGAGGUAACCCCCUUUCUGACACUCUGGAAAGCACUUCAUACCUAUGUGAAUGAUUGCAACUUAUUUGAUUAUUAUGCCUGCAGCUUGAAGAACAACAUGAAGCUCCAAUUACCAGCUUGAGAUUUUAAUGGUGCAAGUUUUGUAGUAGCAUACAUAAACUUACAUCAUAUGGGUUCAAAUUUAUGAGUAUUUCAAUUAAUUUUAAUUUCACUAUGUUAUAUUGUAAUAUCAUGUAAAAAGUAUCAUAAAAGCAGGCAUAAGUUUUCCACCAAUUAGAACAUUUUGAAAAUUGAUGUCAAGCCCGAAAUGACCGUCACAAGUAAGCAUAUUAAACGUGUGAAGAGAAGACCUUAUUUUUCCACAUAACUAAAACUUUUUACACCAUAGGAACUUUCAUCGUCAUCAAGUUGGACAUGGAUGGAGCUCACGUAAAAAUAAUUUUUCAUAUAAAAACUAAAAACUAGAAAUUGACUUGUAAUAAUUCUCAAGGUUAAGGUUGACGUGGUCAAUAGUAAUGAACUUAUGUUUAAGGUUUGGGUUAUUUUUCUCAAUUAUAGAUUAGUAUUUUGUUCAUUGUAAACUUUGCUAACAAAAUUUAAUAUAUGACACAUAUCUGAUUUAAUUUAUUUUUAUUUUAUAAAACUUUCAUUAUUUGUUUUACUCAUUAAUGAAAUUUGGUGUGAAUACAUUAAAUAUUACCUUUUAUAUAUUUCACUCCCUCUUACUAUAUCUCAAUGGAGAAAUUGAAGGUCAUUCAAGGAAAUGGUAAUGUCCAUUUUCCACAAAACUAAAAUUUUCCACACGACAGAAACUUUCUUGGUCAAACAAGUUGGAUUUGGCUUCACCAAUAACUUAAUAAUCUGUACUAAAAUUUUCCACGCAAUAGAAUACGAACUCGUUCUCGUAAAUAUUUUAAAAAAUAAAAAAUUUAAUAUUAUGAGUUAACGAAUUAUCAAUUUAAUUAAAAAAAGUUGAAAGAUACAUUUUUUAAAAUUUUAUGAAAUUAUAUAUUAAUAUAAUUAUAAAAUUAUAGUUUUAACUUUAUAAAAUUUAUUAUUUAUCUUUGAUCUUGAAGAGAGACAAAGUAAAAUACCUAUUCUUGGAGCCAUAACGACAACUAGGAUUAUGAUUGCACAUUUUCUAAGUCUUCAUUUUUGUUAAUUAGGAAAGCUGAUGGGCAUCUCCACUAAGUUUCCACCCACAAGAAUAUACGUAUUAAUUUGUUUUUCUCAAUUUCCAUGAGGGGGGAUAUAAGCUUAAAGUUGACGUAGAAGUCAAUACUCAACAUUUGAAAGUUAAUGCAGUGAACUAUGUGCUUGUUGAUAUAUGAAAUGAUAUUUUCUUAACAAUUUCCUCCAACUAGUUCGUAGAUGGUGCUAUAUUACAUCACAAUGGGUAACCAAAUGUAUAUAAUUGAGAUUUUUAAGCAAAUAUUAUAUUUUAUCUUUAUCCAUGAAUAGUCUAAUAAUAAGGAUUAAUAUUUGGUACAUUGUCAGUGGAGUUUUUAAAUUCCAUAAGUAGGGUUAGAGGAUUGACACAUGCCAAUUUUUUAAUGUUGCUUGUGGGAUGCACUUGAAUUGUGGUUCAUAGAAGGAAAUUAUUAUAUAAAGGUUUAAUUCUACCAUAGUUCUUGUACUUUACUGAAGUUGUAGAUUUAAUUCCCAGACUUUAAUUUGAUAUUUUAGAUAUUUGUUAAAUUCAUAAAGUCCUACUAUUUCCAAAUUUGGUGUGGCAAACAUAUUAUCAUAGGUGUAAUAUCACUAAAAUUCAAAAGAAUGAGAAAUUUGUACAUAUUAUCAGAUGUCAAUAUCAAGUUGAGCAUUUCAAAAUCUAAAGUAAUAGUUCAAGUAUUUAUUUUUCCAUAAAACCAAAAUUUUCUACAUGAUGGCUUUUUUUUUGGCUAUUAGUUAAGAGGAAUUUUUUUAAUAACCCAAUUUAAUUAACUAAUUUAAAAAAUGGUUCAAGUAAAACUCAAGUCAUAUUAAAAAUAAUUAUUUAUAAAUUUUAUGUUUCAAAAACUAAUGAAUGUUCAAAGAAUAGUGAAUUAUUAAAGAGAAGUUAUAUGAUAAUGGAUUGUUUUAAAGUAGUGGUCUAGUAGAAAUAAAUAGUUUUUUAUAAAAAAAUAUUAUAUAAAUAAUUAAAUUUUAUAGUUACUCCUAUUUUUUUUAAAAAUAGUGAAUGUAAUAUUUUUUAAAAUGUUAAAUUAACUCAUGAUAUUAAUUAAAUCAAGAAAUUUUAUAAUAAUAGAGAUGAAAAAAACUAAAUUUUCAAAAUCAAAACCUAAAACGUGCAAGAAUAAAAGCAAUCUGAAGACUUAAAAUUUCCAUUAAUAAAACCAAAAUCAAAGAAGUAAAAUUUCCAUGAAUAAAACCAAAAAUGAAGACCUAAAUUUUCCAUUAAUAAAGCCAAAUCAAGACUAAGUUUGUAUAAGUGUAAGAAGGGUAUAAAGGAAACUCACAAGAAAGCCACAUGAAGAAUUUUAUAACUCCAACUACACGAUUUUAUGUCCACCUCUCACUUUUCAUAUUUUUUUUUGGCCAUUCAUUUUUCAAGAUUAACAUUAGCAUUCUUGUGGUCCGUUCAUCCUUUCCUAACCAAUUUCCACCAAGAGUUUUUGCAAUAAGGAAUUUACCUAAAUAAGAAACCUAGAUUGAUCCAAUUUUUGAGGAAUUAAUUAAUUAUAUAUUAUUUUUAUAUUAUAAUGAAUUAGUGGGAUGCAGUAUGUUCUGCUUGUAUAUAAAUAAGAAGCUUAGGCUUCUUUAGAUUAUAUACAUAUAGAAGUUAACAAAAAGUAACAUAUAGCUGAGAGAGAAGUGAAAAUAGAGAGAUGAUGAUGAUGGAGUGGAAAUGGUUAAGGUUUAUUAGGAUGGCAGUAAUGUUGUUGGUGUUAGAAGGAUGCAGAUGGUGUACUACUGAUGCUUGUUUGGAGCAUGAGAGAAUCGCUCUCUUGCAUCUCAAGCCUUUCUUCAAUUAUCAAAAUCAAUUGCAAAGUUGGGUUGAGGUGAAGGGUUCAGAUUGUUGUAAAUGGGAAAGAGUUGAGUGUAACACCACCACUAGGAGACUCAUACAACUCUCCCUUAAUUCUACAAGAUGGUUUGACAGUAUGGGAUACAAAACGGAUAAUAGGAAUCUCAAUGCCUGGUAUCUCAAUACCUCUAUGUUUCUUCCCUUUGAGGAAUUGAAGAGUCUUUAUUUGCGGGGGAAUGCCAUAAGUGGUAACCUUGAAAAUGAAGGUCGUGCCUCUAGUUUUUCCUUAAUUACAUCUUUUAUUAUCCCACUACUCUUACCAUCGUUAUUUUGCAAUUACUUAUAUUUUAUUUUAUUUUAUGGAAGAAAAGUCACUAACUUGUAUAUAUUUAAAAGAAUAUUUCUAUAGGCUUUGGAAAACUAUCAUCCACAUUGAGUAAUUUGGAGAUCCUUGACUUAAGUGAAAACUACUUGAAUGACAGCAUUUUGUUAUCUUUGAGUGAGCUUUCAUCUCUCUGGUAUUUAGAUCUAUCAGGCAACAAAUUUGAAGGAUCAAGCCAUCUAAGAGGUAAAUUAAGUUUGGUCUGGUAUUAGUUUUUAUUUGUAAAGUGGAGUUUGAGGAUGGUCUUCUAGUAAUUCCACUUUUGCUUUAGUAAAAUUUUCAUACAGCUAAGAAAGAAAAAACAAUUAACAAGUAAUUUUUAACUUUAAAAAUCAAUGUAUGUUCAUAUUCAAGGUAGACUGGUUUUAUAUGUUUCUUUUUUACUUUAAAACCAUUUUUUUUGUUUAAGGGACAGUUAAUGUUGCAAUAUGUCUUUGCUUUUAUCAUAUCAUGAAUAUAUAUAAUUGAUCAAUAUUUGGGAUUGAAUUUCAGGAUUGAAUAAUUUGACAAACUUGAAGUACUUGGAUUUAAGUUCGAACAGAAUUGAAAGCAUCUCAAACAAAGGUAUAAGUACAGUAUUUAUAUGUCAAUUCAUAUUAAAGGUAGACUGGUUUUAUAUGUUUCUUUUUUACUUUAAAACCAAUUUUUGUUUAAGGGACAGUUAAUGUUGCAAUAUGUCUUUGCUUUUAUCAUAUCAUGAAUAUAUAUAUAUAUAUAACUGAUCAAUAUUUGGGAUUGAAUUUCACGAUUGAAUAAUUUGUCAAACUUGAAAUACUUGGAUUUAAGUCGCAACAACGUUGAAAGCAUCUCAAACCAAGGUAUAAGUAUUUGUGCGUAGUAACUUUCUUGACUGACUAUUAUUCCAAAAGGCAAUGACAGACUUCAAAUGUAUUUUCUUUAGUGAAUUUUUAUUGCAAAAAUGGAGUAUUAUUAUUUAUUUAAGUUUUGUAGUAACUAAUUAUAUAAUAUAUAAAUGAGGUUUUCAAUGGCUCAUUAAAUUGGAAAUUAUUGAUAUAAGUUGGAAUUAUUUGAAGAAUAGCAUUCUUUAAAAUAAAUUCAUGUUGAAGGAAAAGUUGUUGCAAUAUGUUAUAUCAUGAAUAUAUAUAAGUAAUCAAUAUUUGGGAUUGAAUUUCAAAAUUGAGUAAUUUAAGUAGGAAGGUAUCUCAAACAAAGUAUUUAUAUAUUGAAUCAAUUCAUGGGAAAGCUUGUAAAUUGGCUCUUCCUUCUCAAACAAACAUUUUUCCUAACUAUUUAUAUAUUGAAUGAUGUUAACUAUACUAAUUACUUUCUUCCAAUGAUAGAUGGAACACAAUUGAGGCUAACAAAUUUAGAGGAACUUGAUUUGAGUGGUAAUCUCUUUCGGAACAACACAAUUUCCUUUCCUCAAGGGCUUUCAAGCCUAAAGUCUUUGACUUUGUUCAACAACCGUUUGCAAGGCUCAUUAGAUACUAAAGGUACUAAAGCUAUAACUUUGUUUUUCUUGAUAAUUCUUUCUAGAGCCUUUUAAAAUUAAUUGUUUCAAAUUUGAACAUUCACAUUUCACGUUUGAGGAUUUUUAUCUUCAAUUCAAGUUUUAGAUUUACUUUUUUUUUUCAUUUUUAUUUCAUUAAAAUAUUAAGUAGAAAUUAAAAUUAUUAACAUAAUGAUUUUUUGAAUUGGACGUGGAUAUGUAUAGGAUUGAGCAAUUUAACAAAUUUGAAGAAACUCGAUUUAAGAUGGAAUCAAAUUGAAAGCUUUCAAUCCUUUAAAGGUAUGCAUUUAUAUUUAACCAAUUACCUAAAUUCUUACAUAUAAUUAAAUUUUAUGCCAAUUCAUUUCAGUGAUGAAAUUAUAUAAAUCUUUUGUAGAUGGUGGUAGAAAAUUGGAGUUGACCCACUUGGAAGAGCUUAAUUUAGAUGGAAAUCACUUCAAUACUAGUGUAUUUGCAUCCCUUAACAAGCUUUCAAAUUUGAAAUCUUUGAGCAUAAGUGGGAACCAAUUGAAAGGAUCAAUAGAUAUGAAAGGUAAAUAUAUUAGUCUUUUUAACAAGAAUAUAAUAAUGUUUGAAGAGAAUAUAAUGAAGUUGAUUUGUUGUUUUUGUUUUCCUAGAUUUGGAAGCAUUUAUCAACUUAAGGGAACUAGAUAUGAGCGGCAAUGAAUUGAAAGAUUUGGUGAUCCACCAAGGUAUCAUUUAAUUAAACUUCCUUUUUUUUUUAAAUUUAGAAAUUUAGUUUUGAUGUCAAAUAUUAUAAUAACGGUUAUUGUCAUAAAUAUUAAUAAAGUAAUAUCAUAUCAUACUUGAAAGUAAAAUAUGGGUUUGGUGAAACAUUUUCUAAAUCAUCCAUUAUAAUGUGUUUGGACUUUGGUUUGAAACUAAAAUUCUUUAAAAUUUUCAUCAUUUUAAAAUAUUAAUGUUUAUAAUUAUUUUGUUUGUAUAAAUAUAUUUUUUAAAAUAAUUUAUUGAAUUUUUAUGAGAUAAAAAAUAAUUAUAACAAUAAAAAAUGAUAUUAUAAAUAAAUAAAAACAUAUAUUUAUGAGAAAAUAUGUAAUAUAACUAUAUUUUAAUUUCAUAUAUUUUUAAUAGUAUAAAACAUAAAAAUACAUAUUAGCGUUAAAUAAAUGGCAUUUUUUGGCAAAAAUAAAUAAAUGUCAAUUUUGAAUAAUUUAAAAAAAAUCUUUAAUUUUGUGAAAUUUAAGCAUACAUCGAGAGGUGCUUAAACUUCCAUUGCAAUCUUUUUAUAAAUUUCAAAGUGCAUAUGUUUUUAACUUUUUGGUUUAAAAAAAUAUGAUAGGUCUACGUACUCUUUACUAAUUUGUAAUUUAAUUCUUAUACUUUUAUUUUCAAGAAUUUAAUCCCUGUUUUUUUAUAAAAAAAAUCAAAAUCCUAGUUCAAUUGUUAAAAUUGUUAAAAUUUUAAAAUAGUUUGUUGGUGUGACAUUUUGAAAUAAAAAAAAAAACUUAGUAGUAAUGUAACUAAAAAAAUGACGUAAUGAACAUGGAUUUAAUAAAAUAAUUUUAACAAUAUUAAUAAAAUAAUUUUGAAUUUUGAAUUUUAACUUAACUCUAUUUUUGGGCCAAGAUUUAAUGCUUUAAAAUUUUCAUUUAAUCCGCUGAGUUUACUUAUAAUUCUUUUGAGUUUUAUUUAUUGGUGAGUAAAAUACCUAUUUGAUUUUUUUAUAUACUAUUGGCAUCUUUAAAGGUAAUAUAAUAAUUUUAGUGUAGACGUGUUUUAUUUUAUAAAUAUUAUUUAUAGUGUAGACAUGUGAAUUUUGAAUAAUUUAAAAAUAUCUUCAAUUUUAUGAAAUUUAAACAUACAUUUAGUGUAGACAUGUUUUAUUUUAUAAAUAUUAUUUAUAGUGUUGUUGAUUGGAGUUUGAAAAUUAUACAACUUAGCUAUAUCAGUUAAUUACUUAUAUUAAAAAAUAAUAUAAGAAAAUACUAAAAAGAAAAAAAAUAGUAUAAUUAAUAAAAUGGAUGAAGAGUUAUAUUAAAGUUUCAACAUCUUCUCUCUAUCAAAAUUUAUCUCAGAUAAAUCAUGAAUAAUCUAACUCAUAAAAAAUAUAUAUAUAUUUAUAUACUUCAUUUCAUUCACAGAAAAUAAAGCAUUCUACUUAGUAGAGGCUUUCUAUAAUACCGUUAUCUAAUACCUCUUGACAUUGCUUAGAUUCAAAUGUGUCGAGCAGUUUGGAGGAAAUAUAUCUUGACUAUUCUACUCUCAACACCAACAUUUUGCAAAGCAUUGGAGUAUUCGCUUCUCUUAAAACAUUGUCUUUAUAUCAUUGUGGACUUAUUGGUCCCUUACCUAAUCAAGGUAAAUAAUUUUAUGGCUCAAUUUGAUUUCUUUAUGAACUUUCUGUAAUAUAUUAUCUCCUAUUCUGUUUUAUAAAGCAAAAUUUAAUUGAAACUUCUUCCAUGAAUUUAUUUAUAAAAUUUUCAGGAUGGUGUGAUCUAAGGAACCUUGAAGUGUUGGAUGUGAGUGGGAAUGCACUUGAGGGGAUGCUUCCUCAUUGUUUUAGUAACUUGACAUCUCUUCGUGAGUUAUAUAUUUCAAGAAACCAUUUUCAAAUUCCGCUGUCAUUUGCACCAUUUGCAAACCUUUCAAACCUCAAAUCCCUUUGGAUUAAUGAAAACAAGAUGGUAAUGGAACCUUCCUUUUAUACCUCAAUCCCAAAGUUCCAAUUGGAAGUCAUCAGUUUGCUAAAGUGCAUAACAUCUCAACAACUCAGUCGUAAAGUUCCUACCUUCCUUUACUACCAAUAUGACUUGAGAUAUGUGGAUCUUUCGCAUAACAAUUUCAGCGGAACAGUCCCAACUUGGUUGUUAGAAAACAACACAAAAUUAAAAGUUCUUAUCUUGAAGGGUAAUUCUUUUACUGGUCCUCUCUCACUUUCGUCGGCUCUUAUUUCUAAUGUAUCUUCAAUUGACUUAUCUGAAAACAAAUUACAAGGUCAAAUUCCGAUUGGUAUAUGUUCAACUUUUCCACAUUUGAGUCAAUUAUUCUUAUCCAAGAAUGCUUUUGAAGGUAAUAUCCCACUUUGUUUAAGUGGCAUGAAGGACUUAUCAACUUUAGAUCUAUCAAACAAUCUAUUGUAUGGAAAAGUUCCAGAAGAGUUGAUCGCGAAAGGCUCACUGACCAUUUUGAGACUAUCAACUAACAACCUCAGUGGAAAUGUAGUUCCUGUGAUUCUCAGCGCAAAUGGGCUGGAGAAUUUAUAUUUGGAUGGAAAUAAUUUUUCAGGAGAGAUGACAAAUGUUGAUGUGUCUACUUUUGAGUUUCCAAAUUCACUACGGGAAAUUGAUCUCAGUAACAACAAGUUGCAUGGAAAGCUCCCAAGAUGGAUAGGGAAUGCAUCGUUUUUGGGGAGAUUAGCUAUGUCCAACAAUAGUUUUGAGGGUUCUAUUCCAAUGGAAUUUUGCAAGUUGAAUAGCUUGGAAUUUUUGGAUCUUUCUCAAAAUAAUUUAUCUGGCUCUAUACCGUCAUGUUUUAAUCCACCAUACAUAGAGUAUGUCCACCUCCACGGGAAUAGACUGAGAGGCCCACUAUCACUUGCUUUUUAUAAUAGCUCUUCAAUAGUGACUUUAGAUCUUAGAGGAAACAAUUUGACAGGUAGUAUUCCAAAAUGGAUUUACACGCUUUCUUCUUUGAGUGUUCUUCUCUUGAAAGAUAAUCAUUUUCAUGGUAAAGUUCCUAUUGAGUUAUGCAAGUUGCAUUCUUUAAGCAUCAUAGAUCUUUCUCAAAAUAUGUUUUCUGGUCCUAUACCUUCUUGUUUGGGAAAUUUAUCUCUUCCAAUGCAAACGAACAAGACUCUAGAAAUUGAGUUCUAUGGGCCAUCUAUAGAAGAGGAUGAAACAACACGCAGUAUGAUACUAAAUUUGGGAAUGGAUUCUUACUAUCCUGGUAGCUACUUAGAAGAAGUAAUAGAGUUCACAACAAAGAGUGGGUUCUAUUCAUACAAGGGCGACAUCCUUUCAUAUAUGACUGGGAUUGAUUUAUCUUGCAACAACUUAACUGGUCAUAUCCCACCAGAAUUAGGGAACUUGAGUGAAAUCCAUUCUUUAAACCUUUCACACAAUAAGUUGACCGGAGUUAUACCCUCGUCACUCUCGAAACUACAUCAAAUUGAGAGUUUGGACCUUUCUUACAACAACUUAAGUGGUGAAAUCCCCAAUCAAUUGGUAGAGUUAAACUCUUUGGAGGUUUUCAGCGUGGCAUUUAACAACUUGUCAGGUAGUAUUCCCGAACCAAAAGCUCAAUUUGGGACCUUUAUUGAAAAUAGUUAUCAGGGAAAUCCGUUUCUUUGUGGAGUUAUAUUGCAUAAAAGUUGUUCCAAAACCGAUUCACCAUCAACGAUAUCAACUGUAUCAGAAGAUAAAGGAGAAGAUGGUUUGAUAGAUACUUAUGAUUUUUGUGUGAGCUUUUUGGUUUCUUAUGUAGUUGUGUUGUUGACAAUUUUUGUUGUCCUCUACAUAAAUCCACACUGGCGAAGAACUUGGUUUUCUCUUGUUGGGAAAUGCAUUACCACCUGUCGCUACUCAAAUGUGGGCAAUUUUCUUACUUAUCACAUUUUCAAGCAAUGUGUUUAGCUACUCAAAUUGUGAUUUGAUUUCCACACCUAAAUGUUUAAUUAUGCUAAGUUGAGCGAUAAUGAAUAUUUUGUUGAUUUUUGCAUUUUGAAUAAAGGCUCUUUUAUCUUAUGGUUUUAUCAUUUCCAACCAUCUAUUUCUUUUUUCUUCUACGAAAUUUAUUAUGUAUAUGCAAUAUCUCUUUGAAUUAAAUUAAAUUGACUGCCAAGAGUUCACUAAUGCAUACCGAAAAGGAAAUCUAAUGUAAAAUUAAACCAAACAUACUAAAAAAUUGAAUCUAAAAUUGGAAUAUUUUAAAACCUCACAAACAAUGCAAGUCUUUGUUCCUCUUUUCCUCUCAAGUCAUUUUGUAUCAUGUGAUAUUUUACAUAAUUAUUCGUAUCAUCGAAUUUUUAAAAAAUUUAAUAUAUUGAUAUCAUGUUCAUAUUAUGCUUUAAUUCACAAUGUAUUUUGUAUAAUGUGUUAUAACAAUUCAAUUAAAAAACAAGCAAUUAUCUUAUUUUUGCGUACCAUAUUAUACAUUGACAUGUUAAUAAUUCGUUGUACAUAAAUUUUGACAUGUUCGUAUAUUUGAGUCAUUAUAAUUUUAUUAUUUGUAAUAUGACAUGUUUUAAUUACCCUUAAUAUUGCGUCAUGAUAAUUAUAAAUCGAUUGGCAGUCUACCAAAUAAUUUUUCUAAUAAAAAAUAGUAUUUUAUUCUAUUUACCAAAUCUUUAUCAACUUUAUAUUCUCACCAACAAAACAUACAUUCAAAGUUCAAAUAAGUUCCGCACCCAUUUUUUUACUGCAAUACUCAAGAAUAUGCUCAUCAUCAGAAAUCUGAAAUAUUCCACUUUAAUUAACAUUAAUUAUGAUUCUGUAAACAACAAAAAAGUGUGAUCCUUUGAAAUGGGAUUGGCAAAAAAUCCGCACGUGUCGUGUGUGAAGAAGGUGAGGUUGUCUAUUCAUACUCUAAUAAGUAGCUAAUUAUAGUUGAUCCUACAAAAUCAAAAUUAAUUCAGGUAUCUAUAUAUUCUGAAGACUGGACAGACCUUAGAAGCUUCUUCAAAUUUGCAAGAACAUGUCGUGGUCCUAAACACUUUACAGCGAUGAAAUUCAAAAGUUGCUCUAUAUCCUGCAAUCACAGUAAAGAUUAUGCAAUCGUUUCAGAACGAAUAACAAGAAGCAAAAGGCGAUCAAAAUACCGUGAUCUCGAUAAUGUUCUUUGCCGAAAAGGAACAUUAACUUAACCUUAAAACAGCAGUGAAGGCUCACCAGAUUUGCUUAGCAACCUUACAUACACAUGUAAAAAAAGCUUUGCUUUUGGAUGUAAGGUGUGACUAUCAUCACAGUCUUUCCUAAUUAGCUGAUUGUAAUACCCAAUUUGCCCAGCCCACAAUAAAAAACCAAAUAAAUAAAAAUUAAUUAAAACUCAAAUAGUUCACAGCCCAAUAACAACAAAAACCAAACCCAUUUACAGUGACCCGGUACAAACCCAAAGUCAGAUACAUCUAGUCCAACUACACCCAGCCCAAAUACCAAGCCCAAUACAACUAUCAACCCAACCCUAGCCCAAAAAAAAAUCAGAAAACCCUAGCUGCAACAGCCCUCCUUCCAGCGCCGCAGCCACCAGGGCCUUCCCCGAGUGUGCUGUGCCACGUCCACCACCUCCUUACGCCAGCUAGCCUCCUUACCUGCAAAGAAGACGAAAACAACGCAGCAGAGAGAAUUUUUUGUAUUUUCUUUCAUUUUAUUUCGAAUAUUCGGCUAUAAAGAGGGAGAAGGCCAUUGUAAUCCUUUUUUACGCAUAUUGAAUACAAACAAAAAAUCAAAACAGAAAGUUUUUUCGAAAGGUGAUUUUCUUCGUUUUUUUUUCUCUUUUAUUUCUUUGAUUCUUUGUUUUCUUCUUUGGCACCAAACGAAAAUAAAAAGAGGGAGAGAAGAAGCGUCUUACCAGAGCAGACGCCAUUGGAACCUGGUUUGCUCCGUCUGAAUCGGAGUCAGAUUGGGUUCGUGACUGGAGACCGGUGGGGAGAAAGGCUAGGCUCUUGAUCUGUUUUAGGAUGGCAAUACAACUUAUUAGGGUUUUAUUUUUUUAAAUGGCUUCAAAACGUCUCCGUGUUGGUUGACCCGAUGAUCCGACUUGACCCGGGGAGGAUCCGCGUGUUUUGUUUCAAUGGCUUAUUUUAGUGUUUGAUGCUUCUUUUUUUGAUUUACUUCAUUUUAAUCCUUCUUUGUCUUUUUUAAUUUUGCCACAUAAUUCGUUCUUUAUUUCAAUUUCAUCCUUCUGUCAGUUGAGGAGACAAACGUUCGAAACGACGCCGUUUCCGAUGAUCUGACUUGAUUGCCAGGUGAGACUUGUGCGUUUAAUUUCUGUUCUAGUCACUCUAUUUUAAAUUAAUUUCAAUUAGGUCCUUUUCAUUUCAUUUUAUUGCAUGUCUUACCCCUAACUUUCUGUUUUAAUUCCAAAUUAGUAAUCUGUUUUGUUAUUUUUGCUAUCAAAUUAAUUACUUUAAUAUUAAUUUAUCAUUAUUACUAUUAUUACUAUUAUUAUUAUUACUAUUAUUAUUACUACUACUAUUAUUAUUAGUAUUAUUUUUUUAAUCAAUUUAUCUAACCUUUUUAUAUUCAUUAUUUUAUUCUAUUAUGCACUAUUAUUUUAAGUUUUUUUUAUAUUAUUAUCAUAUAUUAUUUAAUUUCAUAAUGAAUUAUUUUAUAUUUUUAUGUUAAUCCAAUAGAAUUUACCUUUUUUAAAUAGUUUUCUUAUAAUACGUAAUUUAUAUCUAUUACCUAUUUAGAUUAAUAUAUGUGUAUUAUUUUGGGUUUUAUUUAUUUUGACUUUCUUCUUAUAAUAUUUAUUUUAAAAUUCAUUUAGAUAUUAUUAUUCAUUUUUAAUUCUAUUUUUAAAUUAUUUCAAGUCUUCCUAUUAAUUACUUCUUUUAAACUUUUAUAUAUGUGUAUUUUGUGUAUAUAUGUUGAUAAUUUCAAAUUUCUUUUCUCUCAUGCUUUUUUUUUAGUUAUUUUAAAUUUGUUAUAUUUGUGAUAGGCUUUUAGGUCAUUAGCUUUCAAAUGUUGAUGUUAAUAUUUACAUGUGAUUAUUGCUCUUAUAUGUAUGAUAAUGUUUAUUUGUUUUUAUUGAUUAUUUGUCAUUCGUUAGAGUAUAUUUUGUUUACAAAUCGUCAUUCCGCGUUAUACAUUAUCGUCCCGUCGCAUUUUAUUCGUUGUUAAAAGGUUACGUUUAAUAUCAUUCAAGUAUCGAGAGCAUUUUUAUUCAAAAAGUUUUUUUCAAAAAUAACGCGACACUCGGAAUUUAGGAUCCUCGAAAAGAUUGUGUCCUAACUUAUUGGAUUCCAAUCUUCCUCGUUGAAUCUAAGAAACCGGGUAUCCUUUUUUAAUUAAAGCAUAAAUAAAAAGCUCAUUCUCGAAAAUUCGAUACGUCGNNNNNNNNNNNNNNNNNNNNNNNNNNNNNNNNNNNNNNNNNNNNNNNNNNNNNNNNNNNNNNNNNNNNNNNNNNNNNNNNNNNNNNNNNNNNNNNNNNNNNNNNNNNNNNNNNNNNNNNNNNNNNNNNNNNNNNNNNNNNNNNNNNNNNNNNNNNNNNNNNNNNNNNNNNNNNNNNNNNNNNNNNNNNNNNNNNNNNNNNNNNNNNNNNNNNNNNNNNNNNNNNNNNNNNNNNNNNNNNNNNNNNNNNNNNNNNNNNNNNNNNNNNNNNNNNNNNNNNNNNNNNNNNNNNNNNNNNNNNNNNNNNNNNNNNNNNNNNNNNNNNNNNNNNNNNNNNNNNNNNNNNNNNNNNNNNNNNNNNNNNNNNNNNNNNNNNNNNNNNNNNNNNNNNNNNNNNNNNNNNNNNNNNNNNNNNNNNNNNNNNNNNNNNNNNNNNNNNNNNNNNNNNNNNNNNNNNNNNNNNNNNNNNNNNNNNNNNNNNNNNNNNNNNNNNNNNNNNNNNAAACUAAAUUUACUUUGUACUCAAUUACAAAUGUUAAGAAAUAUUUUACAAUCUAAUAAAUAAAUUUUUUAAUUAAAUUCACCAUAUUAAAUAAAAAUUUUAAAGCACCUAAAAUUGUCAAAUACAUUCUUUUGAAUUUUAGAAUUUAUGAAUUCCGAAACAGACUUUCAGCAUCUCAAAUUCUCUAUUUAAAUUUCACCUACAUAGUUUUUCUAGAAAUUCUUCAAAACUUCAUUUAUUUAAAUCAAUGGUUCUAUUAUAAAAUAGAGAAUUUAAAACUAAAAAGAUAUUAUUUUUAUUUAAAUCUAAUAUGCAUAUUUUUCUCUUUACAAAAAAUAAAUUUUCAAAAUCCAGGUCUACUAUUAAUACUGUUGAAAUUAUUUUAUUAAAUCCAUAUUCAUUUCGUCAUCUUUUAAUUACAUUGUUAUCAAGUUCUUUUAUUUUAAAAAAAGAUCACACUUUUUAGUUGUUUACAGAAUCAUAAUGUUAAUUAGAGUGGAAUAUUUCAGAUUUCUGAUGAUGAGCAUAUUCUUGAGUAUUGCAGUAAAAAAAUGGGUGUGGAACUUAUUUGAACUUUGAAUAUAAACGAACGUGUCAAAAAUUUAAGUACAACGAAUUAUUAACAUGUAAAUGUAUAAUACGGUAUGCAAAAAUAAGAUAAUUGCUUGUUUUUUUAAUUGAAUUGUUAUAACACUACACAAUACAUUGUGAAUUAAAGCAUAACAUAAAGAAUUGCAUUGUUUGUGAGGUUUUAAAAUAUUCCAGUUUUAGAUUCAAUUUUCUAGUAUGUUUGGUUUAAUUUUACAUUAGAUUUCAUUUUCAGUAUGCACUAGUGAAUACUUGGCAGUCAAUUUAAUUUAAUUUAAAGAGAUAUUGCAUAUACAUAGAAAGAAAUAGAUGGUUGAAAAUGAUUAAACCAUAAGAUAAAAGAGCUUUUAUUCAAAAUGCAAAAAUCAACAAAAUAUUAAUUAUCGCUCAACUUAGCAUAAUUAAACAUUUAGGUGUGAAAAUCAAAUCACAAUUUGAGUAGCUAAACAUAUCGCUUGAAAAUGUGAUAAGUAAGAAACUUGCCCACAUUUGAGUAGCGACAGGUGGUGAUGCAUUUCCCAACGAGAGAAAACCAAGCUCUUUGCCAGUAUGGAUUUAUGUAGAGGACAACAAAAAUUGUCAACAACACAACUACAUAAGAAACCAAAAAGCUCACACAAAAAUCACCUAUCAAACCAUCUUCUCCUUUAUCUUCUGAUACAGUUAAUAUCGUUGAUGGCGAAUCGAUUUUGGAACAACUUUUAUGCAAUAUAGCUCCACAAAGAAAAGGAUUUCCCUCAUAACUGUUUUCAAUAAAGGUCCCAAAUUGAGCUUUUUCGGGAAUACUACCUGACAAGUUGUUGUAUGCCACGCUGAAAACCUCCAAAGAGUUCAACUCUACCAACUGAUUGGGGAUUUCACCACUCAAAUUGUUGUAAGAAAGGUCCAAACUCUCAAUUUGAUGUAGUUUUGCGAAUGACGAGGGUAUAACUCCUGUCAACUUAUUGUGCGACAAGUUUAAAGAAUGGAUUUCACUUAAGUUCCCUAAUUCUGGUGGGAUAUGACCAGUUAAGUUGUUGCAAGAUAAAUCAAUCCCGGUCAUAUAUGAAAGGAUGUUGUCCUCGUACAAAAAGAACCCACUCUUUGUUGUGAACUCUAUUACUUCUUCUAAGUAGCUGUCAGGAUAGUAAGAAUCCAUUCCCAAAUUUAGUAUCAUACUGCGUGUUGUUUCAUCCUCUUCUAUAGGCCCAUAGAACUCAGUGUCUAGAAUCUUCUUCGUUUGCAUUAGAAGAGAUAAAUUUCCCAAGCAAGAAGGUAUAGGACCAGAAAACAUAUUUUGAGAAAGAUCUAUGAUGCUUAAAGAAUGCAACUUGCAUAACUCAACAGGAACUUUACCAUGAAAAUGAUUAUCUUUCAAGAGAAGAACACUCAAAGAAGAAAGCGUGUAAAUCCAUUUUGGAAUACUACCUGUCAAAUUGUUUCCUCUAAGAUCUAAAGUCACUAUUGAAGAGCUAUUAUAAAAAGCAAGCGACAGUGGGCCUCUCAGUCUAUUCCCGUGGAUGUGGACAUGCUCUAUGUAUGGUGGAUUAAAACAUGACGGUAUAGAGCCAGAUAAAUUAUUCUGAGAAAGAUCCAAAAAUUCCAACCUAUUCAACUUGCAAAAUUCCAUUGGAAUAGAACCUUCAAAACCAUUAUUAGACAAAUCUAAUCUCCACAAAAAUGAUGCAUUCCCUAUCCAUCUUGGGAGCUUUCCAUGCAACUUGUUGUUACUGAGAUCAAUUUCCCAUAGUGAAUUUGGAAACUCAAAAGUAGACGCAUUAACAUUUGUCAUCUCUCCUGAAAAAUUGUUUCCAUCCAAAUAUAAAUUCUCCACCCCAUUCACGCUGAGAAUCACAGGAACUACAUUUCCACUGAAAUUGUUAUUUGAUAGUCUCAAAAUGAUCAGUGAGCCUUUCGUGAUCAACUCUUCUGGUACUUUUCCAUACAAUUGAUUGUUUGAUAGAUCUAAAAAUGAUAAGUACUUCAUGCCACUUAAACAAAGUGGGAUAUUACCUUCAAAAGCAUUCUUGGAUAAGAAUAACCGCCUCAAAUGUGGAAAAGUUGAACAUAUACCAGUCGGAAUUUGACCUUGUAAUUUGUUUUCAGAUAUGUCAAUUGAAGAUACAUUAGAAAUAAGAGCUGACGAACGUGAGAGAGGACCUGUAAAUGAAUUACCCUUCAAGAUGAGUUCUUCUAACUUUGUGUUGUUUUCUAGCAACCAAGUUGGUAAAGUUCCACUGAGAUUGUUAUGAGAAAGAUCCACAUAUCUCAAGUCAUAUUGGUAGUAAAGGAAGGUAGGAACUUUUCGACUGAGUUGUUGAGAUGUUAUGCACUUUGACAAACUGAUGACUUCCAAUUGGAACUUUGGGAUUGAGGUAUAAAAGAAAGGUUCCAAUACCAUUUUGUUUUCAUUACUGGAGAGGGCUUUGAGGUUUGAAAGGUUUGCAAAUGGUGCAAAUGACAGUGGAAUUUGAAAAUGGUUUCUUGAAAUAUCUAACACACGAAGAGAUGUCAAGUUACUAAAACAAUGAGGAAGCAUCCCCUCAAGUGCAUUCUCACUCACUUCCAACACUUCAAGGUUCCUUAGAUCACACCAUCCUGAAAAUUUUAUAAAUUCAUGGAAGAAGUUUCAAUUAAAUCUUGUUUUAUAAAACAGAAUAGGAUAUAAUAUAUUACAGAAAGCACAUACAGCAAUCAAUUUGAGCCAUAAAAUUAUUUACCUUGAUUAGGUAAGGGACCAAUAAGUCCACAAUCAGAUAAAGACAAUGUUUUAAGAGAAGCAAAUACUCCAAUGCUUUGCAAAAUGUUGGUGUUGAGAGUAGAAUUGUCAAGAUAUAUUUCCUCCAAAUUGCUCAACACAUUUGAAUCUAAGCAAUGUCAAGAGGUAUUAGAUAACGGUAUUAUAGAAAGCCUCUACUAAGUGAAAUGCUUUAUUUUCUGUGAAUGAAAUGAAAUAUAUAAAUAUAUUUUUUUUAUGAGUUAGACUAUUCAUGAUUAUCUGAGAUAAAUUUUGAUGGAGAGAAGAUGUUGAAACUUUAAUAUAACUCUUCAUCCAUUUUAUUAAUUAUACUAUUUUUUUUCUUUUUAGUAUUUUCUUAUAUUAUUUUUUAAUAUAAGUAAUUAACUGAUAUGGCUAAUUUGUAUAAUUUUCAAACUCCAAUCAACAACACUAUAAAUAAUAUUUAUAAAAUAAAACAUUUCUACACUAAAAUUAUUAUAUUACCUUUAAAGUUACCAAUACUUUUAAAAAAAAAUAAAAAUAGGUAUUUUACUCACCAAUAAAUAAAAUUCAAAAAUAUAUUUAUAUAUGAAAUUAAAAAAUUUAUAUGUAUUUUUACUUUUAAAAAAAUAAAAACAGGUAUUUUACCAAUACUCUAAUAUGUAUUUUUAUGUUUUAUACUAUUAAAAAUAUAUGAAAUUAAAAUAUAGUUAUAUUACAUAUUUUCUCAUAAAUAUAUGUUUUUAUUUAUUUAUAAUAUCAUUUUUUUAUUGUUAUAAUCAUUUUUUAUCUCAUAAAAAUUCAAUAAAUUAUUUUAAAAAAUAUAUUUAUACAAACAAAAUAAUUAUAAACAUUAAUAUUUUAAAAUAAUGAAAAUUUUAAAGAAUUUUAGUUUCAAACCAAAGUCAAAGCACAUUAUAAUGGAGGAUUUAGAAAAUGUUUCACCAAAUCCAUAUUUUACUUUCAAGUAUGAUAUGAUAUAACUUUAUUCAUAUUUAUGACAAUAACCGUUAUUAUAAUAUAUGAGAUAAAAACUAAAUUUCUAAAUUAAAAAAAAAGGGAAGUUUAAUUAAAUGAUACCAAAUCUUUCAAUUCAUUAUAGCUCAUAUAUAGUUCCCUUAAGUUGAUAAAUGCAUCCAAAUCUAGGAAAACAAAAACAACAAAUCAACUUCAUUAUAUUCUCUUAAAACAUUAUUAUAUUCUUGUUAAAAAUCUAAUAUUUUUACCUUUCAUAUCUAUUGAUCCUUUCAAUUGAUUGUCCCCUAUGCUCAAAUAUUUCAAAUUUGAAAGCUUGUUAAGGGACGCAAAUACACUAGUAUUGAAGAGAUUUCCAUCUAAAUUAAGCUCUUCCAAGUGGGUCAACUCCAAUUUUCUACCACCAUCUACAAAAGAUUUAUAUAAUUUCAUCACUGAAAUGAAUUGGCAUAAAAUUAAAUUAUCUGGAAGAAUUUAGGUAAUUGGUUAAAUAUAAAUGCAUACCUUUAAAGGAUUGCAAGCUUUCAAUUUGAUUCCAACUUAAAUCGAGUUUCUUCAAAUUUGUUAAAUUACUCAAUCCUAUACAUAUCCACGUACAAUUCAAAAAAAAUCAUUAUGUUAAUAAUUUUAAUUUCUACUUAAUAUUUUAAUGAAAUAAAAAUGAAAAAAAAAAGUAAAUCUAAAACUUGAAGUGAAGAUGAAAAUCCUCAAACGUGAAAUGUGAAUGUUCAAAAUUGAAACAAUUGAUUUUAAAAGGUUCUAGAAAGAAUUAUCAAGAAAAACAAAGUUAUAGCUUUAGUACCUUUAGUAUCUAAUGAGCCUUGCAAACUGUUCGACCUCAUAUCCAAGGACUUUAGGCUUGAAAGCCAUACAAGAAAGGAAAUUGUGUUGUUCCGAAAGAGAUUAUGACUCAAGUCAAGUUCCUCCAAGUUUGUUAACCUCAGUAGUGUUCCAUCUAUCAUUGGAAGAAAAUAAUGAGUAUAGUUAAUAUCAUCCAAGAUAUAAAUAGUUAGGAAAAAUGAUUGUUUGAGAAGGAAGAGGCAAUUUACAAGCUUUCCCAUGAAUUGAUAACUACAUUUUACAAGUAAAACUUAAUUGAUUCAAUAUAUAAAUACUUUGUUUGAGAUUCCUUCCUACUUUAAUUACUCAAUCCCAAAUAUUGAUUACUUAUAUAUAUUCAUGAUAUGAUAAAAGCAAAUGACUUAUUAAUUGCAACAGCUUUUCCUUCAACAUGAAUUUAAUGCUAUUCUUCAAAUAAUUCCAACUUAUAUCAAUAAUCUCCAAUCUAAUGAGCCAUUGAAAACCUGAUUUAUAUAUUAUAUAAUUAGUUACUACAAAACAUAAAUAAAUAAUAAUACUCCAUUUUUGCAAUAAAAAUUCACUAAAGAAAAUACAUUUGAAGUUUGUCAUUGCCUUUUGGAAUAAGAGUCGGUCAAGAAAGUUAUGCACAAAUACUUAUACCUUUGUUUGAGAUGCUUUCAAUUCUGUUCCAACUUAAAUCCAAGUAUUUCAAGUUUGUCAAAUUAUUCAAUCCUGAAAUUCAAUCCCAAAUAUUGAUUAGUUAUAUAUAUUCAUCGUAUGAUAAAAUUAAACUUGAACAUACAUUGAUUUUUAAACUUGAACUUAUAUCAAUAAUUUCCAAUCUAAUGAGCCAUUGAAAACCUCAUUUAUGAGCCACUGAAAAUAAUUUUUUCUUGAUUCAUAUCAUAUUUUAAUAUAUUAGCAUAUUGUUUUAAAAACUCAAAUAUGUUUAAAAUCAAUUUAGCAUUUAACCUUAAUAUUAGUAUUUAACACCGGUAAUGGAGUUUUUUUAACUCUACAAGUGAAGUUAAAAAAUGACCAAUAACCUACUUUUAAAUAUUUCUUUUUUAAUAUUUUACUAUACCAUAUAAGAUAUUUGUUGUUAUCUCAAUCCUACUUAUGAAGUUUAGAAUUUCUUUAAUAGUACCACCCCGAUUUUUUAAAAAAACCAGAUUUUUUUAAUUUGAUAAAAGAAAAGAAUUUCAUUCAUAGUACCAAAUAUUUAUAUUAUUUUUUUAGUAUUUUCUUAUAUUAUUUUUGAAUAUAAGUAAUUAGCUAAUAUAGCUAAUUUGUAUAAUUUUUAAACUCCAAUCAACAACACUAUAAAUAAUAUUUAUAAAAUAAAACAUGUCAACACUAAAAUUAUUAUAUUACCUUUAAAGUUACCAAUACUUUAUAAAAAAAAUCAAAUAGAUAUUUUACUCAGCAAUAAAUAAAAUUCAAAAGAAUUAUAAGUAAACUUAGCGGAUUAAAUGAAAAUUUUAAAGCACUAAAUAUUGGCCCAAAAACAAAGUUAAGUUAAAAUAUGUCAUAUCUCCCUUUUACUCUUUACAAACGUGAAGUUUUAAAAUUCAAGUCUAAUUAUUAAUACUGUUAAAAUUAUUUUAUUAAAUCCAUGUUCAUUAUGUCAUUUUUUAGUUACAUUGCUACCAAGUUUUUUUUUUAUUUCAAAAUGUUACACCAACAAAUUAUUUUAAAAAAUUAACAAUUUAAAUAAUUAAACUUGGAUUUUGAAAUUUAAAAAAAAUAGAGGGACUAAAUUCCUGAAUAUAAAAGUAUAAGAAUUAAAUUACAAAUUUGUAAAGAGUAUGUAGACCUAUGUUAAUAACAUGUGCAUUUUGAAAUUUAUAAAAAGUUUGCAAUGGAAGUUUAAGCACCUCUAAAUGUAGGUUUAAAUUUCAUAAAAUUGAAGUUUUUUUUUAAAUUAUUCAAAAUUGACAUUUAUUUAUUUUUGGCCAAAAAAUACCAUUUAUUUAACUCUAAUAUGUAUUUUUAUGUUUUAUACUAUUAAAAAUAUAUGAAAUUAAAAUAUAGUUAUAUUACAUAUUUUCCCAUAAAUAUAUGUAUUUUUUAUUUAUAAUAUCAUUUUUUAUUGUUAUAAUUAUUUUUUAUCUCAUAAAAAUUCAAUAAAUUAUUUUAAAAAUAUAGUUAUCAAACAAAAUAAUUAUAAACAUUAAUAUUUAAAAAUUAUGAAAAUUUUAAAGAAUUUUAGUUUCAAACCAAAGUUCAAAAACAUUAUAAUGGAGGGUUUAGAAAAUGUUUCACCAAACCCAUAUUUUACUUUCAAGUAUGAUAUGAUAUAACUUUAUUAAUAUUUAUGACAAUAACCGUCAUUAUAAUAUCUGAGAUCAAAACUAAAUUUCUAAAUUUUUUUUAAAAAAAGGAAGUUUAAUUAAAUGGUACCUUGGUGGAUCACCCAAUCUUUCAAUUCAUUGCCGCUCAUAUAUAGUUCCCUUAAGUUGAUAAAUGCUUCCAAAUCUAGGAAAACAAAAACAACAAAUCAACUUCAUUAUUAUAUUCUUGUUAAAAAUCUAAUAUUUUUACCUUUCAUAUCUAUUGAUCCUUUCAAUUGAUUGAACCUUAUGCUCAACGAUUUCAAAUUUGAAAGCUUGUUAAGGGAUGCAAAUACACUAGUAUUGAAGAGAUUUCCAUCUAAAUUAAGCUCUUCCAAGUGGGUCAACUCCAAUUUUCUACCACCAUCUACAAAAGAUUUAUAUAAUUUCAUCACUGAAAUGAAUUGCCAUAAAAUUUAAUUAUAUGUAAGAAUUUAGGUAAUUGGUUAAAUAUAAAUGCAUACCUUUAAAGGAUUGAAAGCUUUCAAUUUGAUUCCCACUUAAAUCGAGUUUCUUCAAAUUUGUUAAAUUGCUCAAUCCUAUACAUAUCCACGUCCAAUUAAAAAAAUCAUUAUGUUAAUAAUUUUAAUUCCUACUUAAAAUUUUAAAGAAAUAAAAAUGAAAAAAAAGUAAAUCUAAGACUUGAAGUGAAGAUGAAAAUCCUAAAACGUGAAAUGUGAAUGUUCAAAAUUGAAACAAUUAAUUUUAAAAGGCUCUAGAAAGAAUUAUCAAGAAAAACAAAGUUAUAGCUUUUUGUACCUUUAGUAUCUAAUGAGCCUUGUAAACCGUUCCAACUCAUAUCCAAGGACUUUAGGCUUGAAAGCCCUUGAAGAAAGGAAAUUGUGUUGUUCCGAAAGAGAUUAUCACUUAAAUAAAGUUCCUCUAAGUUUGUUAGCCUCAAUUGUGUUCCAUCUAUCAUUGGAAGAAAAUAAUAUCAUUCAAGAUAUAAAUAGUUAGAAAAAUGAUUGUUUGAGAAGGAAGAGCCAAUUUAGAAGCUUUCCCAUGAAUUGAUAACUACAUUUUACAAGUAAAACUUAAUUGAUUCAAUAUAUAAAUACUUUGUUUGAGAUACCUUCCUAUUUUGAAAUACUGCAACAUUAACUGUCCCUUAAACAAAAAUUGGUUUUAAAGUAAAAAAGAAACAUAUAAAACCAGUCUACCUUUAAUAUGAAUUGACAUAUAAAUACUGUACUUAUACCUUGGUUUGAGAUGCUUUCAAAUUUCAAUUCUGUUCCAACUUAAAUCCAAGUAUUUCAAGUUUGUCAAAUUAUUCAAUCAUAAAAUUCAAUCCCAAAUAUUGAUUAGUUAUAUAUUCAUCGUAUGAUGAAAUCAAACUUGAAUAUACAUUGAUUUUUAAAGUUGAAAAGAAACAGGUAAAAUCAGUCUACCUUGAAUAUGAUCCAUCCUUCCUUUCAACUCAUUACCACUCAAUCUUAAAGUCUUCAAGGAUGAAAGAUUUCUCAUAUGGAACAAAAUGCUAUUCUUCAAAGAAUUCCAACUUAAAUCAAGAGUUUCCAAGUUAUUGAGUCUUGAAAGCAAUUGAAAACCUGAUAUAUAUACAUAAUUACUUGUUAAUUGUUUUUUUCUUUCUUUGCUAUAUGAAAAUUUUACUAAAGCAAUAGUGGAAUUACAACGGAUAAAAAGAAUGGAAAACUAGGUACCAAACCCAGAAGACCAUCCUCAAACUCCACUAUACAAAUAAAAACUAACACCAGACCAAACUUAAUUUACCUCUUAGAUGACUUGAUCCUUCUAAUUUGUUGUGUGAUAGAUCUAAAUACCGGAGAGAUGAAAGCUCACUCAAAGAUAACAAAAUGCUGUCAUUCAAGUAGUUUUCACUUAAGUCAAGGAUCUCCAAAUUACUCAACGUGGAUGAUAGUUUUCCAAAGCCUAUAGAAAUAUUCUUUUAAAUAUAUACAAGUUAGUGACUUUUCUUCCAUAAAAUAAAAUAAAAUAUAAGUAAUUGCAAAUUAACGAUGGUGAGAGUAGUGGAAUAAUAAAAGAUGUAAUUAAGGAAAAACUAGAGGCACGACCUUCAUUUUCAAGAUUACCACUUAUGGCAUUCCCCGACAAAUAAAGACUCUUCAAUUCCUCAAAGGGAAGAAACAUAGAGGCAUUGAGAUACCAGGCAUUGAGAUUCCUAUUAUCCAUGUCGUAUUCCCAUUUUGUAGAAUUAAGGGAGAGUUGUAUGAGUCUCCUAGUGGUGGUGUUACACUCAACUCUUUCCCAUUUACAACAAUCUGAACCCUUCACCUCAACCCAACUAUUCAAUUGAUUACCAUCAUUGAAGAAAGGUUUGAGAUGCAAGAGAGCGAUUCUCUCAUGCUCCAAACAAGCAUCAGUAGUACACCAUCUGCAUCCUUCUAACACCAACAACAUUACUGCCAUCCUAAUAAACCUUAACCAUUUCCACUUCAUCAUCAUCAUCAUCUCUCUGUUUUCACUUCUCUCUCAGCUAUAUGUUACUUUUUUUUAACUUCUAUAUGUAUAUAAUCUAAAGAAGCCUAAGCUUCUUAUUUAUAUACAAGCAGAUGCAUCCCACUAACUCACUAUAAUGUAAAAAUAAUAUAUAAUUAAUUAAUUCCUCAAAAAUUGGAUCAAAAUCUAGGCUUCUUAUUUACGUAAAUUAUUUAUUGCAAAAACUCUUAGUGGAAAUUCGUUAGGAAGGGAUGAAGGGGCCACAAGAAUAUUGAUGUUAAUCUUGAAAAACGAAUUGCCAAAAAAAUAUGAAAAGUGAGAGGUGGACAUAAAAUCGUAUAGUUGGGAUUGCAAAAGUCUUCAUGUGGCUUUCUUGUGAGUUUCAUUUAUACCCUUCUUACACUUAUACAAACUUAGUCUUGACUUGGCUUUAUUAAUGGAAAAUUUAGAUCUUCAUUUUUGGUUUUAUUCAUAGAAAUUUUACUUCUUUGAUUUUGGUUUUAUUAAUGGAAAUUUUAAGUCUUCAGUUUGCUUUUAUUCUUGCACAUUUUAGGUUUUGAUUUUGAAAAUUUAGUUUUUUCAUCUCUAUUAUUAUAAAAUUUCUUAAUUUAAUUAAUAUCAUGAGUUAAUUUAAUACUUUAAAAAAUAAAAUAUUACAUUCACUAUUUUUUUAAAAAUAAAAGUAACUAUAAAAUUUUAUUAUUUAUAUAAUAUUUUAAAAAAAACUAUUUAUUUCUACUAGACCACUACUUUAAAACUAUCCAUUAUCAUAUUGUAAUAGGCCCAAUUUGCCCGGGCCCGGUAAAUAAAUAAAACCAAUAAAAUCAAAUAAAAAAUAGUCCCAAAACAGUCCAUUUACAAUGACCCAAUACCAACCCAAUGGCCUAAAUCUCUACCCAAGCCCGAAUCUAAACCUAAACAGGCCCAAACCCCACUAAACCUAAUGGCCCAAUACCCAGCUUGGCUGAGACAAACCCUAGCCUUCAGCAGCUUUCUGCUCUUGCGCUGCAGCCAAGCCGCUCCUCACGUACGAGCCUCAUUCAUGCGCCGCACCGAGCAACGCCAUCGCCAGGGACCACGCCUGUACUGUGCCACGUGAGCCUCCGUACAUGCGCGCCCGUUCACCUCUGUACCAGUACCUGCAAAUACACACAAGAAGCAGCGAAGCAACAAAAAAAAAAAGAAAAUAGCAGUAGAAAAAUAGGGGAUUUUCAGUUUUUAUUUGAUUUUUCUGGCUAUAAAAGCCAAACACGCAGAUUGUAUCAUAGGGGGAACUCACACAUAUUGCAAAAAAAAAGGGGCAGAAAAUCAAUACAAAAAAAAAAAGAAAAGGUUUUCUCUUCCUUCAGGUCUCUUUUCUUCUCCAAUUGUUUCUUUUCUUUUUCGUUUGUUAUUAGCCUCAUAUAAGUAUAGAUAUAUAUAGAGUAAAUAAUAACAAAAAGGGGGGGUUAAAACGUACCUGGUGAUGCCUUUGAAUCCACGCGAAGAAGCCAAAAAGCCUUGAAUGGUGAGGCUCCGACCACCAUUCGCAGUGGAAUCAAGGCGGAGGGGCGGACUGACGGCACUGAAGGGUGAAACCCUAGCAGAGGAAACAAUAAGCAAUUUUUUUUAAAAACGAGUCUGCUAAUGUUUUUUUAGGGUAAAUUUUGUUUAAAUAAUGAUACAAUACGGAGCCGUUUUGGGCUAGGGUUCCUAGCGCCCAAACGACAUCGUUUAGAGGCCUUACCCAAUGACCCGAUCCAGAUGGCGGCUAGAUCCGCGUGUUUGGUAGGAGGAGGGGAAAUUUCGCGAAGAGUCCCUCUUGUUUUGUGCCGUUUCGGUUUGAUUUUCUUCAUUGUUUUUAAUUUGAAUCGCGUAUUUUAUUUUGUUUUCAAUUUGAUCCAUAGUUAAACGGCACCGUUUUCACUAAUCGGAUUUGAGCAUCCGAACAUUUGUGUUUAUUUUCUGUUUUAGUCCUCUCUGUUAUUUUUUAUUAUGAUUUUUACCCUCCUAUUUUAUUUUCACCCUAAUUUAGUCCCGAAACUGUUAGAUUUCACUUUAUUUAUGCAAUGUAUAUAUUUAUUUAUUUUAAACUUUAUAUUAUUUAUUUUAAAUCGUUCUAUUACUAUUUAUUUUAAGCCUUUUUUACAUAUUAUAUGUUUUAAAUUAUGUUAAUCAAUUAUUCAUUUUAAAUAUAUAUUAUUUAUGUUAAACUACAAAUGUAUAUUAUUUAUUUGGAAUUGUUCUUAUGCACAUCAUGCAUUAUCAUUUUAAAAAAAAUAAUAAUAAUAGAAUUUGUUUGCAUAUUGUUCAUUUAGGAUUCCUUCUCACACAUUACUUAUUUUAAACGUUUUACAUAUUAUUUUAAAUUGUUUUAUAUGUUUUUUUUAAAUGCUUUGAAGAUUAUUCAUUUUAACUUGUUUUACACAUUAUUUUAUUAUGUAUGGAAUUGCUUUAAUAUAUAUAUACGUGAAUAAAACGUAUUGUAACUGGUAAUUUCUAAAAUUUUAUUCUACGUUUUAAAAUUUUUAUCAUUUCGAUUAUGUUGAUUGGUUUACUUGGGAUUAAAUUAUUAUUGCAUUGAUUAUUCUUUUUUUUUUUGAUUUUUUUGUUAGAUUGAUUAUUAGUUUAUUUGAUUAUCAAUGUUGAUGUAUUAUAUGUUUGGUUGCUCCAAAUUGUAAAUUUAGCUUGCUAUUCACCAUUUGAUUAGUAUAUUGAUAUUUUAUUAUAUUGUUUGUAAAAAUUGCAUUUCAUUAAAGCAUUACAAUUGUUUUAUUUCAAAAUUCUCAAAAAGCUUGGUAUUUAAAAAUUCUCGAGAGGAUUGUGCCCUAACUUACUGGGCUUCAAUCCUCCCUUUUUGAUUCUAAAUAACCGAAUACCUUUUUUAAUUUGAACAUAGAAGUUUCAAAAUAAAAGCUCAUUCUCGGGAAUUUGACACGUUGUGUCCUAACGCAUUGAAUAUGACUAUUAUUUUCUCGAGAUGAGGAUUUUAAGGCAAUGUUCGAUAUUUAGGAAUUUUGUGAAAUCGAACCCUAACUUACUAGGUCUUGAUUUUCUCAUUUGACCCAGAUAAUCGGAUAUCCUCCUCAAAAUGCAUAGGUUUUAAAAGACGAGAGAUAAACUUAACUUGGAGGACUUAAAAUGUUGCACUCUAACUUACUAAGUGUGACGAUUUAUUUCUUUGAAAUAAGUGAGUCUCGUCGUCCAAUUCAUUUUAUUCAAAAUAAAAGGAUCAAAUUUUAAAAUCUUUUCAAAAUUUUGACAUUAAGACAUUAAACAUUCCAAUCGGUACCAAUUUUGGGCGUCACGAGGGUGCUAACCCUUCCUCGUGCGUAACCGACUCCCGAACCCGUUUUCUCAAAAAUUCGCAGACCUAAAAUUAUUUUCAAGGUGAUCCGCACACCACAAUAAAAGAUCGGUGGCGACUCCAUUUCCAUUUUCAAAAUUGAUCCCCAUUUUUCAAAUUACAAAAAAAUGGCUUCGACAGCUUGGCGACUCCACUGGGAACGAUUUAGAGAGUCAAGCCAUAAAAUUGAUUGUUUUUGUCUUAUUGUCGAAAAUUAAAAUUUGAUUUGAAAAAUUACGCUCUUUUCUUUGCACUUGUUUGCAUGAUUAUUGUAAAUUAAGUUGCAUAUUUUGGCAUCAUUUUGCAUAAGACUGUUUAGUCUUGUCCUUUUAAGUGGGAGUGAGAAACUAGUCCUUCGUGAGGUUUUCACCUUCGUGCAGGAUAGUGGAUCACUUCCGGGAUACAUCCGUACCUAUGUCUUCGUGAGAUUUUCAUCUCCGUGCAGCCAUAGGGAAAUGUAUUCCCCUGAACCGAACUCGGUCUGUAUGAGCCUAUAAUGGGUGAAGAUCGAGGAAUCUACUGGUUCGGGUACCUUGACUUUAGAAACAACCCUCAUAUAGUGGACUUAGGAACCCAUCCUAGGUAGAGCCACUCCGAACCCCUAGUGGUCACCCGACUAGGCACUUUUGUUUUCCUUGUUUGCUUCUGUUUCGCACUAACCUAUCUUGUUUUGUUUUGAUUAUGAUUGCAUUUCAUUUGCAUCUUAGGAAGGAGACAUUGAUUCAAGUUCGAUUACUAAAUUAAAAAGCUUGUCAUGGAAUACGAAUUCCUUGAUAAAGUGGAAAACAAUACGACUUUCCGAAUAUAUUCUGAGAAACAUAAGAAGGGCGAUCGAAGAGUUCGCAACCUCGCUUCGUGGCCUAAGGAUUCAAGGCGAUUGUCUGAGAGCCUUCGACGUUCCACCCCCUUUAAAAGCUGACGAGCCUUAAGAAGAUGGAUAGAUGAUGGAUCGUGACCAAGAUCAAGAAAAGGAGCUAGUAAUGGCAUCUAUUGGUAAGAUUACCUCAAACGUGCGGAUGAAGAAAAAGAUCGAUGUUGGUUCUUGGAAUAUGAGGGCGAGGUCGUACAUGUAUCCGUUUUAUGUAAGGGAAUUUGCUUUCUAGAAAAGUUUUCUAAAUGUAAUUGAAUCAGAAUCAACGUCUCUUUAGGCAUUCAUUUCAUGUAUUUGCAUUACAUUGCAUUACAUGCAUUAAAAUCCAUUGAAAAAGUCUAAACGAGUAAAUUUAUUUCAGCUAACCUGGAAAACCAACCGACCAAACACCCUUACGAUAUCCAAGAAAAGACUAGAGAAAUGGAAUGAAGGUUGGAAAAAUUAGAGCGGAUGCAGAUUCAGAUGCGGGAGAGAUUGACUGAAUUUCAACAGGAGAUGAGAGAUCAGAUGCUAGAAUUACAGAGAACCUUGAUGAACCAGUUCAACUGACUACUAGCUGGAGAGUUAGAAAAAAAGAAGGACCCGGUGGUCCACUUUGGGGUUGAUAAUAAGGAUCUUGCCCAUUCCCUAGAUUAUACUCCGACAAGUGUCCAAGUCCAGCCGGAUGGGCGUCCACAUGGGGCACUCUUUACUAUCAGAUCACAACAGUAUCAAACUGGUACAGCAACACCGGUGGGUUGCUUGACAAACCCAAGGUCCAAUGCGAGGAACAAUUUUCCUGUUGCUCUCGAUGGCCCGGCUGAAACAAAGCAGGCAAGGGUGGAGUACCUAGGUACUACAAAGGCCCUAAGGAAGAAGGGGAAUAAAUGGGAUAAUGUAGGUAGGUAUAACAAGGGCCACUCAAAACCAAUCACUGCGGGCCAACAAAAGAUGGCAACCACCAGCCAUCAGAGCCCUUUAAAGCAAGACCCUUAUGUGAAACAAGGCACUGAGAACCUCCAGUUCACGCCAAUUUCGGUGUCGUAUAAGGAGCUGUAUCAAAGCUUAUUCAAUAUGCACAUUGUUGCCCCUCUCUACACGAAACCUCCACAGCCUCCGUACCCUAGAUGGCAUGACGCAAAUGCACGAUGUGAAUAUCAUGCAGGAAAUAUGGGGCAUUCCAUAGAAAACUGCAUUGCCUUUAAAAAAACUGAUUGAAAGGCUUAUCAGUAUGGGCGUCAUUAAAUUUGAUGAUUCCUCUAGUGUAUAAAAUACGCCGCCUAAUCAUAUUAAUGACGAGGCGAAUGAGGUGUACGAAGUAGUGUUGGGAAAUGUUCACAUCAACGACGUGUCUGAAGACACAAAUGGAAAGGGAUCUUGUUAGAUGUCCGCCCUUAUAAAUUCUGGAGUGUUCUAAAUAAUUAGACUGCGGAAGAAAUCCAUAUAGUCUCUAGAGCUUUUUAAGGUAAUGUUCAGAACAUUUUUGUUGGUUUUAGCCUAGAAAUGAUAGAAAUUCCUUUGUGAAAUAGGCUUAUGUCUGAACGUUGUUAUUUUAAUGAAAUACAUCUUUGCAAUUACUUCUGAGCCAAUAUUUUCAUUCUUUGCGAAUAAGUCCAUAUUCUUUCACUCUUUUGGAUUUUCUUCCAAACCAUCAUUCAUUCAUUCAUAAUUAUGUGAUAUAAAUAAUUAUUCAUAAAUUUAUACAUUCUUUUGUAUAUUCUUCGGUGCUUAUUAUGGGUCCCCAGAUAUCAAUUACUUGAAUGACACUGCUAAAGACUCAGAUUUUCCUUUUGAGCAAGGCAUGUGUUCAGAGGGAUCUCAGGACUUUGGGAAUGACAUAGAUCUAGCUUAUCUCAGACUUGUUGAGGAUGAUAGAACAAGAGAACCGACAGAUCCUACCUCACAAGGAAUCAUUAGGAAUUGUGGGCUUAGUGAAGAUUAGAAUUGACCUGACCUCAAAGAUGAAACAAGACCUUGUUCAGAGAUGUCUUUGUAGGAUCAUGCCAGGAUAUGCCGGGUUAAGCGCAACAACACAAUGACAAAAUUUGCAGUGUGAAUGACGUAAUGGAAAUUCUUUGCCGGGGCAAUGCACUUCUUGUUAACUCAGUAUAGCUUUGCCCAUUUGAAUUCGAGUUUCUAUUUCUUCAAGUUUUGUUGGAUUUUAUCUUGAUUGAAGAGGAGGAUCCAAAAUUUUCUAUCGUAGUUUCGCCCCAGAAGGCUCUAUGAAAGAAACCUAAUACCAAAGAGGGUUUUUCGCAUAUAGGAUGAAAGUGGAAGAUCUUAUCGAAAGGGAUAUCAUAGGCUUGCCCAAUCCUAAGGGUUUAGAUUCAAAAAAAAAAUCAAAAUAAAAAAAAGAAAAAUCAAAGUCAAAAGUAAAAAAAAAAAGAAAUCAAUCAAAGUCAAAACAAAUAUGAAAAGAGAAAAAGAAAGAAAAGGAGAGGCCAAGGCGAAAACCCGCAAAGGGAACUUUGUGACCAAAGGUGGUUUUGAGUUGAAAACCCGAAAAAGGUGACUCAAAUUUUGAGUAAAUUGAGGCAUGGACAUCACAAUUAUCGAAGAUUUCUAAUGGGCAUUGCUUCACUAUUGAGAUCAUUAAUUACUUCAUCAAAUGGAUAGAGGCUACUGCAUACGUUAAUGUCAUCAUAUGCCGAUAUAGAAUUCCAGAUUGGAUGGUAUUGGAAAUUGCAUUGAACUUGAAUGACAGCACGACAGCUGAAGGCUGCAAUCAGUUCAAAAUCAGGCACCACGGUUUGCCACUGUAUUGCAAGAUGAUGAAGUUAAAAAAAAGAAUGAAAAAUGAAAAUGAAAAAUGAAAAAUGGAGAGGCUAAGGGAAAACCCGCAAAGGGCACCUUAGGCCAAGGGGAUUUGAGUUGAAAACCCGAAAAGGGCGGCUCAAAUAUUUGUUCAGAAUGGGGCAUGAGGCGAUCAGAGCGAUUUGAAUUUUGAUAAUAUUGGGGCAUGUGGUGAUCUUGCUAUGCCUGAAUCAACAGGAGAGGAUAGGCGACAUCUUGGGGCAUCGACAAAGCACUGUAGAUCCCCUAAACACAUGUCCAACUCAAAAUAGUCUUCAGAGAGUCUGUACAGAGAAGUUCAAGCUGCGAUAUCUAGGGCACCCAAUUCUCAUAUUAUUUGUUGUUCUUGGAAUACUUUUUUCUUUUCCAAGAUAUACAUUCCCAAUUGUCAUCCUUCUUUACUAUUUUCGAUAAUUUGUUCUUUCGAGCUAUGCUCAGAACCAACUUUAUUCUUAUCCAUUGUUAUAACCCUUUUUGUAAACAUGUUGCAUUGGAAUAAUAAUUAAUGGACUAAUAAAACUUUCACAAGGGAAGUUUUGCAUAUUACUUUGAAAAGUUUCUAAGAAAUAUAGGAACCUGAAACAGGACUAUUGUUUAGAACGCACCAGGUAAAGGUUGGAAAUUUGAGAGGGAAGAGUCUAAAUUUGGGCUUUCUCUUUGGAUUUCAUUGUUAAAUGCAUUGAUUGACAGGAUGCCAUGAUUGGUGACAAAGCUUAAGUAUACAAGCAAGCAAUUAUCACCAGGUAAGAGGAGGAGGUUACCUCGGAGAAGAGAGCCUUCAUCUGCGCAUAAGUCUUUGGUACGACACCUUGGGAAUGGUGUAAGGAACUAGAACGACUCGGAUCCUGUAUCCUUGAAUUAUGAUAAGGAAGGAUUGAGGAAAGGCCAUAUAUUUCUACGCUUGGAUUACAGUGGGAGAAUGAAGGUACAAAAUUUGUGUCCCAGUGGUUUACAGUGGGGGCAAUCUGACUAAGUGAUUCUUCAGAAAAGCCAAUCGAGCAAGAAGGUGUUGUAACAACGUCAGCCUAAAAAAAACUCAGAGUAAUGACAACCUAAGCGGGAUCGUUCUCGAAAAAAAUAAAAUUCCGCAUUCAUGCAAACGCCAUUCACACAUGUCUAGUUAGGAGCAUUUGAUUCAUUCUGAUCAUACCAUCCUAAUCAUUAGGCAUAAUUAGGUUCAUUAUACAGGUCAUGUUCCCCAGAGAACAGAUCAGUGAAUAUUGCGGAUCUUAUCUUCCCCAGGAGUAAGGAAAUAGAUCUAAGCACGAAUCUUAUCUUCCCCAGGAGUAGGGAAGCAGAUCUAAGCGGCGAAUCUUAUCGUCCCCAGGAGUAGGGAAACAAAUUUAAGCCACAAGUCUUAUGUCCCUGACCAACAGCGGAGUAGUUUGGAAAUUACAAGUCUUAUCUCCCUAAGCAGUAGUGGAGCAGACCGAAGAAGCAAAUUUUAUCUCCCUGAGGUUACAGUGGAGCAGAUCGAAAUCGAUAAUCCUAUCUCCCUGAAGUUGUAGUGGAGCGGAUUAAACAACAGAUCUUAUCUCCCUAAGCAGUAGUGGAGCAGAUCGCAUCAAGUUUUAUCUCCCUAAGUAGUAGUGGAGCAGAUGAAAAAAAAACCAAUCCUAUCUCCCUAAAAUUACAGUGGAGCGGAUUAAAACAAUAGAUCUUAUCCCCUUAAGCAGUAGUGGAGCAGAUCGCAUCGGGUCUUAUCUCCCUGAAGUUGCAGCGGAGCAGACUGAGCGAACAAGUCUUAUCUCCCUAAGCAGUAGUGAGCAGACGAAAAAACCAAUCAUAUCUUCCUGAAAUUGCAGUGGAGCGGAUUAAAACAAUAGAUCUUAUCUCCCUAAGCAAUAGUGGAGUAGAUCGCAUCAGGUCUUAUCUCCCUGAAGUUGCAGCGGAGCAGACUGAGAAAACAAGUCUUAUCUCCCUAAGCAGUAGUGGAGCAGACGGAAAAAAAACCAAUCCUAUCUCCCUGAGAUUGCAAUGGAACGGAUUAAAACCACAGAUCUUAUCUCCCUAAGCAAUAGUGGAGCAGAUCGCAACAAGUCUUUUCCCCCUGAAAUCACAGUGGGGCAGACUGAAGAAGCAAAUCUUAUCUCCCUGAGGUUGUAGUGGAGUAGAUUGAAUUCGAUAAUCCUACCUCCCUGAAGUUGUAGUGGAGCGGAUUAAAGUAAUGGAUCUUAUCUUUCUGAAGUUACAGUAGAGUAGAUCGCAUCAGAUUGAAGUCAGAAAUCUUAUCUCCCUGAGAUUACAGCGGAGUAGAUUGAAACUAGUAAUCCUAUCUCCCUUAGUUUACAGUGGAACGGAUUAAAAUAAAGGAUCUUAUCUCUCUGAAGUUACAGUAGAGUAGAUCGCAUCAGGAAUUAUCUCCAUGAGAUCACGGUGGAAUAGACCGAAGAAUUUUAGAUCUUACUUCCUAGAUAAUACAGUGGAACAGAUUAAAGCCACAGCAGCGAAUCUUGCUUCCCUGACAUCACAGUUAUGAGUUACAAAUCUGAUCUCCCCGACGUUGGGGUGGAGUGGAUCAAGGCACCGAUUCCUAUACCUCUAAAGAUGCAGUAGGAUGGAAUGAGGUAACUCGAAGAAGAAGAACACUAGGGUUCAGCACGACCGGGCAAAAUUGGUCCUCUUUAGUCUUUGCUCUAUUCUCGUUACACGACAAUGAGCAAAGAGGGGCAGCUGUAAUAGGCCCAAUUUGCCCGGGCCCGAUAAAUAAAUAAAACCAAUAAAAUCAAAUAAAAAAUAGUCCCAAAACAGUCCAUUUACAAUGACCCAAUACCAACCCAAUAGCCUAAACCUCUACCCAAGCCCGAAUCUAAACCUAAACAGGCCCAAAACCCACUAAACCUAAUGGCCCAAUACCCAGCCUGGCUGAGACAAACCUUAGCCUUCAGCAGCUUUCAGCUCUUGCGCUGCAGCCAAGCCGCUCCUCACGUACGAGCCUCCAUUCAUGCGCCGCGCCGAGCAACGCCAUCGCCAGGGACCACGCCUGUACUGUGCCAUGCGAGCCUCCGUACAUGCGCGCCCGUUCACCUCUGUACCAGUACCUGCAAAUACACACAAGAAGCAGCGAAGCAACAAAAAAAAAGAAAAUAGCAGUAGAAAAUAGGGGAUUUUCAGUUUUUAUUUGAUUUUUCUGGCUAUAAAAGCCAAACACGCAGAUUGUAUCAAAGGGGGGAACUUACGCAUAUUGCAAAAAAUCAAUAUAAAAAAAAAGGUUUUCUCUUCCUUCUGGUCUCUUUUCUUCUCCAAUUGUUUCUUUUCUUUUUCGUUUGUUAUUAGCCUUAUAUAAGCAUAGAUAUAUAUAGAGUAAAUAAUAACAAAAAGGGGGGGUUAAAACGUACCUGGUGAUGCCUUUGAAUCCACGCGAAGAAGCCAAAAAGCCUUGAAUGGUGAGGCUCCGACCACUAUUCGCAGUGGAAUCAAGGCGGAGGGGCGGACUGACGGCACUGAAGACUAGGGUGAAACCCUAGCAGAGGAAACAAUAAGCAAUUUUUUUUAAAAACGAGUCUGCUAAUGUUUUUUUAGGGUAAAUUUUGUUUAAAUAAUGAUACAAUACGGAGCCGUUUUGGGCUAGGGUUCCUAGCGCCCAAACGACAUCGUUUAGAGGCCUUACCCAAUGACCCGAUCCAGAUGGCGGCUAGAUCCGCGUGUUUGGUAGGAGGAGGGGAAAUUUCGCGAAGAGUCCCUCUUGUUUUGUGCCGUUUCGGUUUGAUUUUCUUCAUUGUUUUUAAUUUGAAUCGCGUAUUUUAUUUUGUUUUCAAUUUGAUCCAUAGUUAAACGGCACCGUUUUCACUAAUCGGAUUUGAGCAUCCGAACAUUUGUGUUUAUUUUCUGUUUUAGUCCUCUCUGUUAUUUUUUAUUAUGAUUUUUACCCUCCUAUUUUAUUUUCACCCUAAUUUAGUCCCGAAACUGUUAGAUUUCACUUUAUUUAUGCAAUGUAUAUAUUUAUUUAUUUUAAACUUUAUAUUAUUUAUUUUAAAUCGUUCUAUUACUAUUUAUUUUAAGCCUUUUUUACAUAUUAUAUGUUUUAAAUUAUGUUAAUCAAUUAUUCAUUUUAAAUAUAUAUUAUUUAUGUUAAACUACAAAUGUAUAUUAUUUAUUUGGAAUUGUUCUUAUGCACAUCAUGCAUUAUCAUUUUUAAAAAAAUAAUAAUAAUAGAAUUUGUUUGCAUAUUGUUCAUUUAGGAUUCCUUCUCACACAUUACUUAUUUUAAACGUUUUACAUAUUAUUUUAAAUUGUUUUAUAUGUUUUUUUUUAAAUGCUUUGAAGAUUAUUCAUUUUAACUUGUUUUACACAUUAUUUUAAUAUGUAUGGAAUUGCUUUAAUAUAUAUAUACGUGAAUAAAACGUAUUGUAACUGGUAAUUUCUAAAAUUUUAUUCUACGUUUUAAAAUUUUUAUCAUUUCGAUUAUGUUGAUUGGUUUACUUGGGAUUAAAUUAUUAUUGCAUUGAUUAUUCUUUUUUUUUGAUUUUUUUGUUAGAUUGAUUAUUAGUUUAUUUGAUUAUCAAUGUUGAUGUAUUAUAUGUUUGGUUGCUCCAAAUUGUAAAUUUAGCUUGCUAUUCACCAUUUGAUUAGUAUAUUGAUAUUUUAUUAUAUUGUUUGUAAAAAUUGCAUUUCAUUAAAGCAUUACAAUUGUUUUAUUUCAAAAUUCUCAAAAAGCUUGGUAUUUAAAAAUUCUCGAGAGGAUUGUGCCCUAACUUACUGGGCUUCAAUCCUCCCUUUUUGAUUCUAAAUAACCGAAUACCUUUUUUUAAUUUGAACAUAGAAGUUUCAAAAUAAAAGCUCAUUCUCGGGAAUUUGACACGUUGUGUCCUAACGCAUUGAAUAUGACUAUUAUUUUCUCGAGAUGAGGAUUUUAAGGCAAUGUUCGAUAUUUAGGAAUUUUGUGAAAUCGAACCCUAACUUACUGGGUUUUGAUUUUCUCAUUUGACCCAGAUAAUCGGACAUCCUCCUCAAAAUGCAUAGGUUUUAAAAGACGAGAGAUAAACUUAACUUGGAGGACUUAAAAUGUUGCACUCUAACUUACUAAGUGUGACGAUUUAUUUCUUUGAAAUAAGUGAGUCUCGUCGUCCAAUUCAUUUUAUUCAAAAUAAAAGGAUCAAAUUUUAAAAUCUUUUCAAAAUUUUGACAUUAAGACAUUAAACAUUCCAAUCGGUACCAAUUUUGGGCGUCACGAGGGUGCUAACCCUUCCUCGUGCGUAACCAACUCCCGAACCCGUUUUCUCAAAAAUUCGCAGACCUAAAAUUAUUUUCAAGGUGAUCCGCACACCACAAUAAAAGAUCGGUGGCGACUCCAUUUCCAUUUUCAAAAUUGAUCCCCAUUUUUCAAAUUACAAAAAAAUGGCUUCGACACAUAUAACUUCUCUUUAAUAAUUCACUAUUCUUUGAACAUUCAUUAGUUUUUGAAACAUAAAAUUUAUAAAUAAUUAUUUUUAGGGUAAACUACACCCAUGGUCACUUUUGUUUACCUUAGGUUACAUUUCAGUCACUUAUGUUUGAAAUGUUACGUUUUAGUCACUUAAGUUAUUGUGUUGUAACAUUUUAGUCACUGAGCCGUUAGUUGUCGUUAAUGGCUGACGUGGCACGUUAAAUUAUCAUUUCAAACAAAAACUUUAGGUUAAAUUAUACAAUUGGUUUCCAUAAUUUUUCGUUUUGAGCAAUUUAAUUCUUUUAUGCUCUUUAACUUUCUUUCUUUUUUUUUUUCUUUAUUUUCCAUUCUCUUCUGCUUCUCCCUGUUUUCCUACAUUCUUUAUUUCUUUUAACAUAUCAGGAAGUCGAAUUGGUAGUGAAGAAAGAAGCAUGGUAUGGGUUUAUGGGUUUUGGUUAUGGGCAAAUGAUGACAGUCGACUUCCUACUUCUUUUUUCACUGUCAAUUCGACUUCCUAAUAUGUUAAAAGAAAUGGGAAAAGUAUGAAAACAGAGAGAGAAACAAAAGAGAAUGGAAAAAAAGAGGAAAGUUUAAAGAACAUAAAAGAAAAAAAUUAAAUUACUUAAAACGAAAAAAAUAUGGGGAUCAAUUGUAUAAUUUAACCUAAAAUUUUGUUUGAAAUGAUGAUUUAACGUGCCACGUCAGCUUACCGUUACACCAUUAACGACGAUUAAUCGCUCAGUGACUAAAAUUUUACAACAUGAUAACAUAAAUGACUAAAACGUAACAUUUUAAACAUAAGUGACUAAAACGUAACCUAAGGUAAAUAAAAGUGACCAUGGGUGUAGUUUACCCUUAUUUUUAAUAUGACUUGAUUUUUACUUGAAUCAUUUUUGUAAUUAGUUAAUUAAAUUGGGUUAUUUUAAAAAAAAUCCUCUUAACUAAUAGCCAAAAAAAAGCCAUCAUGUAGAAAAUUCUGGUUUGUUGGAAAAAUAAAGACUUGACCUAUUACUCUAGAUUUUGAAAUGUUCAACUUGAUAUUGACAUAUGAUAAUAUGUACAAAUUUCUCAUUCUUUUAAAUUUUAGUGAUAUUACAUGUAUGAUAAUAUGUUUGCCACACCAAAUUUGAAAAUAGUAGAACUUAAUGAAUUUAACAGAUAUCUAAAAUAUCAAAUUAAAGUCUAGGAAUUAAAUCUACAACAUCAGUAAAGUACAAUAACUAUGGUAGAAUUAAACCUUUAUAUAAUAAUUUCCUUCUAUGAACCACAAUUCAAGUGCACCCGACAAGCUAAUUAAUAAAAAUUUAGUGGUAGAAUAUGUAUAUUCUUGUGGGUGGAAAUUUAGUGGAGAUGCCCAUCAUCUUUCCUAAUUAAUAAAAAUGAAGACUUAGAAAAUGUGCAAUCAUAAUCCUAGUUGUCGUUAUGGCCCCAAGAAUAGGUAUAUUAAUUUGUCUCUCUUCAGGAUCAAAGAUAAAUAAUAAAUUUUAUAAAGUUAAAACCAUAAUUCUAUAAUUAUAUUAAUAUAUAAUUUCAUAAAAUUUUAAAAAAUGUAUCUUUCAACUUUUUUAAGUAAAUUGAUAAUUCGUUAACUCAUAAUAUAUAUUUUUUUCAAAAUAUUUAUGAGAACGAGUUCGUAUUCUAUUGUGUGGAAAAUUUUAGUACAGAUAUUGGUGAAGCCAAAUCCAACUUGUUUGACCAAGAAAGUCUCUGUCGUGUGGAAAAUUUUAGUUUUGUGGAAAAUGGACAUUACCAUUUCCUUGAAUGACCAUCAAUUUCUCCAUUGAGAUAUAGUAAGAGGGAGUGAAAUAUAUAUAAGGUAAUAUUUAAUGUAUUCACACCAAAUUUCAUUAAUGAGUAAAACAAAUAAUGAAUAAUAAUGAAAAUUGGAGGAAAUUGUUAAGAAAAUAUCAUUACAUAUAUCAACACUCACAUAAUUCAUUGUAUUAACUUUCAAAUGUUGACUAUUGACUUCUACAUCAACCUUGAGCUUAUAUAGGCCCCCCUCACGGAAAUAAUCUCACAAUUAAUGCCUAGAGGUGCUUAUGGGCCGGGCCGGGCCCAGAAAAAAUUUUGGCCCGGGCCCGGCUCGGCCCGAAAUAUGGGCCUGAACUUUUGCCCAAGCCCGGCCCGGUAAAAAAUUCAUAAGCCCGAGCCCAGCCCUUUUUUUAAAAAAAUACCAAAAAUUUAUUUUAAAAUUAAAAAAAUUUAAAAAAAAGUAUUUUAAAAAUAUUUUAAAUAAAUACCAAAAAUUCACCCUGCAUCUAAAAGGAGGUCCAGCACUCGAAUCCCAUUCCCCAUAACUAAAAACUAUGUCACUGUGACUUGGUCAUAUCUCCGCUCAAAGUCGGACAUGGGUAGUUAAAGAAAAAUGAAGAGUCGAUGCAUGAUAGACUAAGGACUAGCUCAAAAGUGCUUUUAGAAAAAAUUGCUCUUGAAAAGAGGUGUGGAAAAGUGUGCUUGUUAGUUUUUAGUGUUGUUCAUUGCUGCCAAAAAUCGCAAUUGAAAGUUAAAAUGUUCUUUUUAGACAUGAUAGUAGAAAGUAAAAAAUUAGUCAAGUCAUAUGAUUUUUAAAUAAUUUAAUAUAAUGAUACAUGAAAUAUAACUUUUAAAUACCUUUUAAGUAAUUAAUAUAAAUUAGUUGUAAAAUUGAUAAUAUAUAAAAUAUUUUGAAAAAAAUAAAUAUAAUAAUAAAUAAGAUUUAAACAAUUUAAUAUAAUAAUAUAUAAAAUAUAAAUUAAUCUAAUUUUUAUAUACCUUUUAAAUAGUUAAUGAAAAUAAUAGUAUUUUGAUAAUUUUCCCUUUGAAAUGCAAAAGCCAAAAACAGUUUUUGACUACAAAAGCUAUGUGUUGUUCAUCACUUCUGCAGUGGAAAAACACUUCUCCAUGGUGUAAAAACACUUUUACCCAAAAAGGCUUUUUCACCACAGUAGAGAAUGCACCCUAAAAUUGUAAAUAGAAAAAGGAAGAACCAAACAUUGUUUCUACCCUGUUUUUGUCUCCUCUUUGAAAAUACUUUCCAAAAGUUUUAUCAUUUUUUUUUCUGUUUACGAUGCCUUAAAUGCAAAUUCCUUAUAGAAGUGCUUUCUUUUGAUCCACUUGCAUCAUUGUAAUAAGUUUGCAUUGCCUUCUUUCUAUGUUGAUUAUCGUUUAUUAAGUUUUCUGUUGGAUCUUAUAGUCAAAUUCCUUUACAUCAUGUAUGUUAAUUUGCUUAGCCCUGAUAAAUGUUAGAUAUAGGGUUAUCAGCUAAUUAGGAAAGACUGUAAUGAUAGUCACACCUUACAUCCAAAUUUUUACAUUGAGGUUCCUUAUUAUUUUUUCUUGUUUCACCAAUUGCAUCCUAUUUACAGUUCCUUAGCGUUAUCCACUGUGCUAGGGUGGUUCUUGUUCAUAUAUUAAUCACCAUGCGCCUUCAGCAAAUGCAAAGCCAGCCAGCAUCUUCUGAUUUGUCAUUGGAUACUACACUUUCAGCAAAUGUAAAGCCGCCAGAAUUUCAGCUGUUUUUAGAAGGUCAAGACACAACAAGAGCAACAUAUGUUGUAUUCUUGUCAAACAAGAUAAGUUUUCGCAUAUUAACGAUUCUUUUUCCAAGAUGAAUUAUUCUCCUGUUGCAUUUUUAUUUGGGUUCAAAUGUUCUGUGAAGUUAGCUUGCCAGUGCUUGUUUGUUCAUCAGCAUUUACAGCUCAUUUGUCAUUGGUCAGCAGAAUUUCCGCUGUUUUUAGAAGGUCAAGACACAACAAGAUCAGCAUAUGUUGUAUCUAACAUUUAUAUUCAACAACUGGAAACCAUGUCAUAAAUACAUAUGAGAAAUAUUUAAAAAUCCUUGGUUGAAUACUCGUGCACUAACAUUUUUUAAAAGUUAAUUUUGUGUUUCUUUUUUCAUCUCUUUUAUUAUAAAAUUUCCUGAUUUACUUGAUAUCACCACUUAAUUUAGCAUUAAAAAAAUGAAAUAUUUUUAUAAAAACUAUUUAUUUCUACUAAACCACUACUUUAAAACUAUCCAUUAUCAUACAACUUCUCUUUAAUAAUUCACUAUUCUUUCAACAUUCAUUAGUUUUUCAAACAUAAAAUUUAUAAAUAAUUAUUUUUACCUACAUUUUGAAUGAUGCAAUUUCUAGCUAUACACUAAAAUACUCCAUUUAUCAAUUUAAUUUAAUUCAAAGAAUUAUGAUAAUAAUUGAAAUUUCAAAAAAGAAAAACAACUAAAUAAUUGAAUAUUUAUAUACAAAAAUAAAACAAACAAGACAGACUUAAGCUUUCUUACCCCAAAGACAAGAUCUUUAUUCAAAAUGCAAAACUAGCAAAAUACUCCCUAAAAUUCAUCUAAACACAUCUUCUAAAGAUGUAAUACCCAAGAAGAUUGCCCACAGUUGAGUAACGGCAACUGCUGAUGCACUUCCCGACGAAAGAAAACCAAACUCCUCGCCAAUGUGGAUUUAUGUAAAGGAUAACAACAAUUGUUAACAACAUAACUACAUAAGAAGCCAAAAAGCUCACACAAAAAACAUAUGUGUCUAGAAAACUAUCUUCUCUUUCAUCAUCUGAUAUUGUUGAUGUUGAACCGGUUUUGGAGCAACUUAUAUGAAGCAUAGGUCCACAGAGAAAAGGGUUCCCCUCGUAACUGCUUUCAAUGAAAGUCCCAAAUUGGUUUUGUUCUGGAAUACUACCUGACAAGUUGUUGUGUGCAACACUGAAAACCCCCAGAGAGUUCAACUCUACCAGCUGGUUUGGGAUUUCACCACUCAAGUUGUUGUAAGAAAGAUCCAAACUCUCAAUCUGCUUAAGUUUUGAGAAUGAUGAGGGUAUAACUCCGACCAACUUAUUGUGUGACAAGUUCAAAGAAUGGAUUUCAUGCAAGUUCCCUAAUUCAAGUGGGAUUUGACCGGUUAACUCAUUGCAAGAUAAAUCAAUCCCAGACAUGUACUCAAGGAUGUCGCCUCCAUAUGAGUAGGAUCCACUCUUUGUGGUAAACUCUACCGAUUCUUUCAUGUAGCUAUAGGAAUGCAUCAUGUGCUCGAAAAGUAUACCCGUCUUUAAUAGUUUCAAUUCAUCCAGUUCUGAAAAUGUUGGCGACAUUAAAUCUGGUGUCAUGGUCUUAUCCUUAUUCAUUGGAAGAGUUAAAUUUCCCAAACAAGAAGGUAUAGGACCGGAAAACCUAUUUUGAGAAAGAUCUAUAAUGCUCAAGGAAUACAAGGUGCAUAACUGGACUGGAAUUCUUCCCUGUAAAUGAUUAGCUUUCAAGAGAAGGACACUCAAAGAAGAAAGUGUGUCGAUCCAUUUUGGAAUACCACCAGUAAAAUUGUUUCCUCUAAGAUCUAAUGUCACUAGUGAAGUGCUUUUAUUAAAAGCAAGUGACAAUGGACCACCCAGUCUAUUAUUGUGCAGGUGGACAUACUCUAGGUUUGGAGGAUUAAAACAAGAUGGUAUAGAGCCAGAUAAAUUAUUUUCAGAAAGAUCCAAAAAUUUGAAGUUAUUCAAGUUGCAAAAUUCCACUGGAAUAGAACCCUCGACACCAUUGUUAGACAAGUCUAAUCUCUCCAAAAGUGACAUAUUCCCUAUCCAUCUUGGAAGCUUUCCAUGCAAUCUGUUGUUACUGAGAUCAAUAUCUGUUAGUGAUGUUGGAAACUGAAAAGUAGAGACAUCAAAAUUUGUCAUCUCUCCAGAAAAAUUAUUUCCAUCCAAAUAUAAUUUUUGUAACCCAUUUGCAUUGAGAAUCACAGGAACUACAUUUCCAUUGAGGUUGUUGUUUGACAGUCUCAAAAGAAAUAGUGAGCUUUUCCUGACCAACUCUUGAGGUACUUUUCCAGCCAAUUGAUUGUUUGAUAGAUCUAACAUUGACAAAUUCUUCAUGGCGCUUAAACAAGGAGGGAUAUUGCCUUGAAAGGCAUUCUUGGAUAAGAAUAACUGCUCCAAAUGUGGAAAAGUUGAACAUAUAUUGGUUGGAAGCGGACCUUGUAUUUUGUUGUCAGACAUGUCGAUUGAAGAUACAUUUGAAUUAGGAGUCGACAGUAAUGUGAGAGGACCUGUAAAAGAAUUACCCUUCAAGAUGAGAUCUUCUAACUUUGUGUUGUUUUCUAACAACCAAAAUGGGACAGUUCCACUGAAUUUGUUCUGAGAAAGAUCCACAAAUCUCAAGUCAUUUUGGUAGUAAAGGAAGGUAGGAAGUUCAAGACUGAGUUGUUGAGAUGUUCUGCACUUGGACAAACUAAUGAAUUUCAAUUGGAAUUUCGGGACUAAGGUGUGGAAGGAAGGUUCCAUUUCCAACUUGUUUUCAUCAGCCAAGAGGACCUCAAGGUUUGGAAAGUUUGCAAGUGGUACGAAUGAAAUUGGAAUUUGAAAAUGAUUACUUGAAAGAGAAAUGGCUCUGAGUGAUGUAAGACUUGCUAAAGGAGUUAGAUUUCCGGAAAAUCGAUUGUUGGAGAUAUCUAACUCACGAAGAGAUGUCAAGUUACUGAAACAAUGAGGAAGCAUCCCCUCAAGUGCAUUCCAACUCACAUCCAACACUUCAAGGUUCCUUAGAUCACACCAUCCUGAAAAAUUUAUGAAAUCAUGGAAGAAUUUCUAAUUAAAUUUGGUUUUCUAAAACAGAAUAGGAGAAAUCAGAUAAAGAAAAGGUCGUAUAGAAAAUUUUACCGUGAUCAGGUAAGGAACCAAUAAGUGCACACCUAUAUAGAGACAAAGUUUGAAGAGAAGUGAAUACUCCAAUGCUUUGCAAAAUGUUGAUGUUGAGACGAGAAUAAUCGAGAUUUAUUUCCUCCAAGUUGCUUAAUUCUAAUCAAUGAAAAGAGGUAGUAGGUGUUAAUGAAACGUAAGUUGUUUUGGAAUAGAAGAAGUAUUAGAUGUUAAUCAAGAAAAGGUGUUUACCUGAUGAGAAAGCCUCUACUAAGUUUUCUAGCGGAAUGCUAUCGUCGGUGACAAUACUUUGGAGACGAAGAACUUUUAACUUUUUCAAUCCCUUGUUUUCUGUGAGCCAAAAUAUUUUGAUAAAAAUUGUGAAAACUUCAACAUGAUUGCACUAAUUGUUUUUCUUUUCUUUCUAGCAUUUUAAGAUAAAUAAUGUGUAAAAUAGAAUUUUCCUUUAUUGAGAUCAUUAUAUUACUUUAAAUUUAUCACCACUAAAUAGAAAAUUAUUAUUAAAUCAAAGUUUUAAAUUUAUUAUUACUUAAAUGUUGUUUAUGCUGGGUGAUUUUGAUGAGAAUAAUUUAUUAUAUAAAAAUAAAAGUAUAUUUCUUAAAGUAAAAUAAGAGAAAUAUUUUAAAUUUUUUUGAAAGUGUUUAUAUACAUAUUACACUUAAUCACUCUUUUGAAAAUUCUAAUUACUCUUUUAAAUUUUAUGUUAAUUUUAAAAAGUAUAUAUAAUUUCAACAGAAAUAUUACUUUAAUAUUAAAAUGAAGAGCUUUUGUGGGUAAAAAAAAUUAUAUGAGUUUAUUUAAUUACAAAAAUAAUUUAAGAAUUUAUUUAAAAAAUAUGUAGUAGUUUUAGGCUCGAUCCUAGGGGUUAUUUGAGAGUGCGGUCGCCCAGGGCUGGAAGGGGCCCAAUUUUUUUUUCAGAUUUUAAUAUGGGAAAAUAUUCAGACUAAAAUAAAUAAAUAAAUUGCCUAGAGCUUUCAAAUUUUCACCAUAAAUACUUCAUCUCUUAUGGCUAAAAAAUUUUCAGCUUUUAUUGUAUUACAUUUUAUAAUAUUUUUAAAAAGACUCGUUUAAAGACUUUUUUAAGUAUAUUAACCUAUUUUAAAAUUCCACAUUUUUAAAAUGUCUUAAUUUUCAAAUUAAAGUACAAACACACUAUAAUCCACAAGCCUUAAUUGCCAUGUCAACAUAAACCACCAUUUAGAAGAUUGUUUUCAUUUUUUAAAAAAUAAAAAAAAAUUAUUUAAAUGAUACCUUUGUGGACCACAAAGCCUCUCAAUUGAUUCCCACUCAUAUCUAGUUUCUGUAAGUUAGUAAAUGCAUCCAAAUCUGGGAAAGAAACAGAUAAGCUUCAUUAAAUCAUUCCAAAACAUGAUUAAUAUUUUUGUCUAUAGAGGCAUAAUUUGUCAAAAAAUAAUAAUUUUACCUUUCAUAUCUAUUAAUCCAUUCAAUUGAUUGAAACCUAUGCUCAAAGAUUUCAGAUUUGAAAGCUUGUUUAGAGUUGCAAAUACACUGUUAUUGAAGAGAUUUGCUUCUAAAUUAAGCUCUUCUAAAUGGGUUAACUCCAAUUUCUUACCUUCAUCUACAAAAGAUUUAACGUAAUUUCAUCAAUGAAAAAAAUGAUAUAAAUUUAAUUAUGUGUAAUAAAUUAUUUAACUGAACCCUAAAUUGUGGGUUAAUGGUUCAAGUGUUCGAAUUAUCAUUGUGUAAAAAAAACAAACUUAAUUAACGGACCAAAAUAUAAAUACAUACCUUUGAAGGAUUGAAAGUUUACCAUUUGAUUCCACCUUAAAUCCAACGUCUUCAAAAUUUUCAAAUUAUUCAAUCCUAUAUAUACUCAAGUUGAACAAAUAUUUUAAUAAAUUGGCUGAAGUGAAAAGGGUAAAAGUAAGGAAGUUGAAAAAUCCCCAAAAGUGAAAGUACUAAUUUGAAACAAAUAAUUAUAAAGGGUCCUACAUAAGUAAGGACUUUAUGCUUGAAAGCCUUCAAGGAAGGAAAAUGUGUGGUUUCCAUGGGAUCUAAUUAUAAUCCUUGUUUGCUGGAUUCCAACUUUUUUAUUUGGCCAACAAAAAAUAAAUAAAUAAUAUAAAAAAAUUGUGAUUACUAAGGCUUCAACCUUGAAGUUUAAAUAGAAUUAUUCAAUCCCAAAAAUUGACCAAAAAUUUCCCUCAAACAAAACUUAACUUUAAAGUAGAAACAAAACCAGAGAAAGGCAAUCUACCUUGAAUAUGAGGCCACUUUCCUUCUAAUAGGUUGUAAGCUAGAUUUAAAUAUUGGAGAGAUGAAAAUUGGCUCAAAGAUAAUAUAAAGCUAUCAUUCAGAUGAUUUUGACUUAAGUCAAGGAACUGCAGAUUUCUGAAUGUGGAUGAUAGCUUUUCAAAACCUGCAGAGUUAAUAAUAACAAGUAAUCGCAAAAUUAACAGUAAGUUGUGUUGAAAAUAUGUGUACAUAAUAGAGUAACUAAAGAUGAAAUGAAGGGCAAAUCAAAUAUAGAACCUUCAUUUUCAACACAACCGGCUAUGCCACUCCCUGUCAAAUAAAGCCUCUUUAAUUCCUUGAAGGGAAGAAACAAAGAGGCAUUCAGAUACCAAUAAUCCAAGUAUCCGGACCUCAUAGAAUCAAGAGAGAGUCCAAUGAGUCUCCCAGUGGUGGUGUUGCACUCAAUCCCUUUCCAUUUACAACAAUCUGAACCUUUAACCUCGUCCCAGCUGUCGAACUCAUUAUAGUGAUUGAAGAAAGGUUUGAGUUGCAAGAGAGCAACUCUCUCAUGCUCCACACAAGCAUCAAUAGUGCACCACCUGCAUCCUUCUAACAGUAGCAGCACACUCAUCACUGCCAUCCUCAUAAACCACAACCAUUUGGAGUCCAUCAUCUCUCUGUUUUUGCUUCUCUCUCAAUUGUAUGCUACUUCAAACUUCUAUUGCAUAAGCCUUCAUGAAACUUGUUAUUUAAAGACAAGGACCUAAGGCUGAAGGCAACCCACUAGUCCACGCUGAAAUAGUCCACUGAAUGUGACGAUAUAUAGGCCCUACAAAGUGUGGUUGUGGAAAUAAUCUAAACACCUAUCCUCCAAAUUAAUACUAUUCCUUGAGAAAUUAUUAAAGGUCAAUUUCUGGUUUUAGUCCCUACGCUAAAUUCAUUUUGAAGGUUUAGUUUUUAUAUAAUUUAAGAUCAAAUUUUUAUAAUUAAAUUAUCAUUUACGUCUGCUUUAAAAUUAUGAAAAAAAUAUUUUAAAAAUAUAACGAACUCCAGCUACAGCUUCAAAAUAUGAUGAAGAUGUUUUAGUAGAAUAAAUCGCAGAAUCCGCCAUCUUUGACUUUUGUUUUCUUAUUGUGAGAAUAUCUUAACAUUAUAACUUUUGAAUAUAUUUUGUUAUUUCAGUUAUUAAUUUAGAUCAUAUACAAAUUUCUUUCGUGAUAGUCUCAUUUAGAUUUGAAGUUUGUUGUUGGAUUUGAAGUUACAGGAAAAUAUGUUGAAAAUUUGGGUUUAAUAUUAAAUAAAAUGGGUUGGUAAAAUCUAUUAAUGUUAGUGGCGUUUUCCCACAAAUGCCACUAUAGAACAUGAUCUUUAGCUGCGCUUUUACUACAAACAUUGCUAAAAAACAUGAUUUUUUGUGGUACUUCUAGCUAUAAAUGCCACAACAUGCUUGACUCUUUUAUAGUGUUUUUCCAAAUGAACGCCGCAAAUUUUAGCGGCGCUAUCUAAAGCGACUUUUUACUGGCACUUAUCAAAGCGCCGCAAUCUGUUUUAGCGGCACUUAUAAGCACCGCCAUAGGGCCAAAAAAACACCGCUAAAAACCUAUUUUGCUGUAGUGAUUUACGCAUUUAUAAGCCUACAAAAUAAUCACGGAUUCAAUUUUAGAGUCCGUUAUCAGCCCCUAAUCGGGACAUCAAAUUGACCAAAAAGGGCCCACAUGACCUACCUGUUCAACUUGCGUAAUUGCACACGCCUAAGUGCUCCACACGGCCUGGCACACGGCCAACUACACAUCAAUGUGGUGCACAUGAACUUGUGACGCAGAGUAGCUUUGAAAAUUGUAACCUCCCAAACCCGGCCUAGAUGUUAUGACUAGAUUGAGAAGGCUACAAUAGCCACCGAAAUGGCUAAGCUAACUUACGUUACUUUUGAAGACCUUAAAUAAACUCAUUUUAGAGAAAACCGUAGUUGUACUUUGAGUUAGCUUAAAAGCAUUCAUUCAUUAGGUCGUGUAUACUUAGGAUUCAUUUUAUUGUUGAUAGUGUUGUUUUACAAAAAUAGUUUGCUUAUCGCUCUUCUUUUAAAAAAAACUCGAUGGUAAACUAAUGUGCGGAAAAACCAUUUUUCAAGUCAUUUUGGAAACUUAGUUGCCUUAACGAUUUGUUUUUCAGAAACAAUUCCUUUUUAAUGCAGCGGAAACUAGGGAACAAUAUCAAAUUUUACUUAAGCUCGAUAUCAUGCAUUAUUCAGUUAUUAUGCUUGAGUAAUCCAUGCAUGCAAAAAUCCCAAAAGAAAAGUUACUAAGCCACAAACCACAAGUCAUUAAAAAUUACAAACCAAAACUAAUAGAAUCUGAUUAAUACUUUUUAAAAAUAGUCCGAGGUCCAAGGUGAUUCUUCGAAUGCCAAGUCCGAUCCUAAUUUUGAGGUUUACACAUUCAUUUGACAUACUCAGCACGUCCUCAAUAAUCACAUACUUUUAGUAAAUGAAAACAAUGUUCCAAACUUUCAAAUUACCAUUGUGUUGGUAUUAAUCAAUAUCGUUCAAUUUCGCAUACUUUAUGAAUUUUGAUUAUGCAUAAAUAGCACCCUAUACAACAUAUAUGUAUAUAAUAUAUGCCAAGAAAAUUUAGAAAUACAAUAAAUCAACCUAAAUGAAAUCAUUCAUCAUCAUUUUUCAAGAUUUUAAAUUAUAUUUUCUCAUUCCCAUUGUCAGUGUAUUUCAACUUGUAAACAAAGAUGAUGGCUACUAUAAAUGGAAUCAUUGAUAUAUCAUGAUAUUUGAAUUUGACAACUAUUUUUAUACAUUUUAUUACCAAAAGUAAGGGUAUUAAUUUUUUAAUGUUUAAUUGUGGUUUAGAGUUAAUUUAUUUAAAGUUAAUUGUUAAUAUUAUUAAAUUCAAAUUUUCGUAAUUGUAUUAAUAAAAUAAAUUUAGUGUUAAAAGUGAGUUUAUUCAAUUUUAUAUUUAAUUUGUUAAAUGUAAUCUAAUGAUUUUUUUGUGCUCUAGUGUUGAUUUAAUUAAAGUUAAUUAUUAAUAUUAUUAGGUAACUAUGAGUUCUCAUCAAAUUAAUCCUAAAAUUCAAAUUAAAUGCUAAAAAAUUAACAUUAUUACUUUUAAAUAUCAAAAUGUAUAAAUUUUAUUAAAUAUAGAUACUAAAUCAAACAAAAAUUAUAAAUUUUGAGUCGUUGCAAAUUUUUCCAACAUUUUUGGGGUCUUGAAUUUGAUAUGCAAAAAGUUGGUGGGAAUUUUAAGUCAGCAAAUCCUUUAAAAGGGCAAUGACAUAAUUAAUUGCAUUACUUUAAUGGUUGAAUUUUCAUAGCUAAUAUGUAUGCAAAAAGUUGGUGUGAAUUUUAAGUCAGCAAAUCCUUUAAAAGGACAAUGACAUAAUUAAUUGCAUUACUUUUCAAAGAUCGACUACUGACUUUGGUGAACUUAUUUAUAGAAGGUUAAAUUCUGCUGUUGGUCACUGUACUUUACGAAAGUUGUGAAUUUAGUCUCUAAACUUAAAUUUGAUCAAUUUUAGUCUCUAUACCUUUUGAAUUUUGAAAUUUUAGUUCUAACCCAAACAGUAGCAGUUAUCAAUUUGAUUAAAUUCUAUUACUAUCGAUUUAGUCCAAACUUUCUGAAUUUUGAAAUUUUAGUCUUGAUGCAAAUGACAAUCACUGGUCUAUUAAUUGGAUUUUUAGUAAAUAAUAUGUGAAAAUAACAAGUUUGUUGACACCAUUUUUUUGAUAAAAAUGGGGUCGACUUAGAUUUUGAAAAUAAAAACGAAAAUGGGAGUCGCCACCGAUCCUUUUUGAUAAGGUGUGAUCGGGUCACCUCAAAAAGUGAUUGUUUUUAAUAAGCGAUUUGAUUUUAUUAAAACAACGAUUUUAGUCCACGAAAUUUAAAAAAAUGGGUUCGGGAGUCGGUUACGUUCAAGGAAGGAUUAGCACCCUCGUAACGCCCAAAAUUGGUACCUAGUUGAUUAAUUAAUAUCUUAAUGUCGAGAAUUGAAAACUCGAAAAGAAUUUAAAAUACGAUCAUUCCUUUUUAUUAAUGUUAAAUUUAUAAAUGAUGCUUGGAUAAAUCGAGGUGGAUGCUAAAGACCUUCUUGUCUCAGAGUAAAUAAAAUGUCAAUCCAGUACGUUAGGACACAACAUUUUAAAUCCUCGAGAACAAGCUUAUCUUUUUAUUUUCAAAACUCGUGCAUUUAAAUUUCAAAAGGAUAUUCGAUUAUUUGGAUCAAAGGAGAAAAAUCGAAACCCAGUGAGUUAGGGCACGAUCAUUCAAAUUUCCCAAAUACAGAAUAUCACUUUUAUUAUUUUUUUAGGAAAAUCCUCAUCUCGGGAAAACAACAUGUCAUAUCCAAUGCGUUAGGACACAACGUAUUGAAUUUCCGACAAUAAGCUUUUUAUUUAUGCAUUUUUGGUUAAAGAGAAUUCUCGAUUAUUUAGAUUCAACGAAGAAAAUUAGAACCCAAUACGUUAGGGCUCAAUCUUCUCGAAGAUCCAAAAUACCGAGUAUUACCCUUAUUUUCAAAAUUUUCUCUUUAUUACGAAUUUGAGUAAAAAUUGUAAAUGACAGAAUAACAAUUAUGAUAAUGUAAAUAAAUAAAUAAAUGAAUAGAAUGAAAAAAAGUAAAAAAGACAUAUAUGUAUGUGCAUAUAUAUAUAUAAAUUAUAAAAAAUAUAUAUGAUAUUAUAAAAAUGUAUGCAUGUAUAUAUAUUAAAAGUAUAUGUAUAUGUGUAUUUCGAAAGUAUAAAGUAUAUAAGAUAUAUAUAUGUAUAUGUUUAUAAAUUAUAAAAUAUAAAACAUAUAAGUACGUAUAUAUAUAUAAAUGAAUCAUGAAAUGCACGUGUAUAUAUGUAUAUAUUAGAAAAUGUAUGAAUAUAUAACAAAAUUUGGAAUUAAGGAUGUAAAUGAGUGAAUAAUAAUAACAAUGAAUUAAAAUACAAAAUCAAUGAUGCCAUACAAUAGUAUUAAUAAUAUCAAAAUAAUUAAUUUAAUGAUAAAAUAACUAAAACAACAAAUAGAGGAUUAAAUUAGAAACUAAACUAAAAUUUGGGGUCAAAUAAAAAUAACUUAAAGAGGGUGACUCGGGACUAAAACAAAAUGCGCUGAAGGAGCAAGGGACUUCCAGGGAAAUAUUCCCUAGUCCUGAAACGCAGCACUUCAGCAAGGAUUAAAAUGAAAUCAGAAAAAAAUUUAUGGGCCAAAAUGAAAGAAACAAAAGGGACAAAUUGCACUGAACUAUAAAAGAGGAGGGGCUGAACGCGCAAAUAGCCCCUCCAGGCAUAACACGCGGAUCCUGACCGCAUUCGGGUCGGGUCUCGGAUCGGCUCCUGGUUUUAUGCCAAACGGUGCUGUUUUGGCCAUGGAUGCUAAGGUCCAAAACGACGCCGUUUUUAAACUAUAUAAACACUCAAAAAAUCAACAAAAAAAAAAUUCAUCCCUUAUUUUUUUCAAAAAAACUGAGAGUCUCCCUAACUCUCUCUCAACCCCCAUCCCUCAUAUUCGGCCGACGACCUUCUUAGGCCUCCGUCGCGCCACCUCGUAGCCGGAGGUCGGCGCCGGAAAUGAAAGGCCAUUAAACCCCUUUUGUGGAGUCCUUGAGAGCCAGGCUCUCUCAACCCGCGAGGAGUGAAACAAAAGGGGAACCCUCGACCUUGGCAGACCCGACUCAACGAUGGAGGAGAGAGCCUCUGGCGGCACAGUCACGGCCAACUCCAGUGAGUCACCCUUCCCUUUUUGUCCUUUCUUUUAGUACUAGUUUUAAAAUCAGAUUUUUUAAAAAAAUGAUAAAUAAAAUAAGUAAAUAAUUCAAAAAAAAGAAUCGGAGAAGACAGCAACCUUUGUUUCUAUUUCUGAAAUUCGUAAAAAAAUGACAGACGAAGAAUACAAUGUUAAGAUUUUGGCCUUUAUAGCCGAUUUAAAAACCCCUAAAUUUCUAUUUUUUGUCGUUUUGUUGUUUGGCCUGUUCUGCUGUUGUGUGUGGUUUACUGCCUUGCAGGUGUCAGAGGCUGACGGUCGGUGAUAGGCGAGUAACGGCCUGCGUGAGGAGUGGCAGAGGAGGCAGAACAUGCGGCGCUGGGCAUUGGGCAGAGGCGUGCGGCGCUUUGGGGUUUGCUCUUGGCUGAAAUUGUUUAAAUUGUUUAAGUUUGCUGUAAAUGGACUGGAAUAGUUUUUAUUUUUUAGGCCCGGGCCAAAAUUGGGCCUUACAAAGUCGAUAUGACAUUACACAAAUGAUAAUAUGUUUGUCACACCAAAUUUUGGAGAUAGCAGAACUUAAUGAAUUUAACAAAUAUCGUUUACGGUGAUUGAAAUCUUAAAAUUUGAAAAGUACAAUAACUAAAAUAUCAAAUUAACUUAUAGGGAUUAAAUCCACAACUUCAAUAAAAUACAGGAAUUAAUGGUAGAAUUUAACCUUUAUAUAAUAAUUUCCUUGGUGAAAAAAACGCACAUUAUCAUUUCCUUGAAUGAACUUCAAUUUGUCCAUUGAGAUAUAAUCGGAGGGAGUGGAAUAUAUAUAAGAUAAUAUUUGAUGUAUUCGGUAAAUGGAGAAUAUUAAAUAGAGAGAGCAAGCCAUUCGCCUCACGGAACACAUUAACGAAAGACACAAGCUUAAUACAGUCACUAAAUCCAUCAAUUUCAUUAACAACCUGCUAAUAAUUCAAGACAAUUGUUGGGUCCGGAUGGAUUAUAUUUUAAAAUUUUCUUUCAAAAUACAGAAGUUCCUUUGACAAAAAUGAAAAUAUUAUUUAAUUAUAGGGUUAGUAAUUAGUACACUAAUAAUCUACUUAAUGCUAUUGAUUUUUUUUUAAUAUUAUACAACACCUUUAUAAAACACGUGUCAACCCUCUGACUCUGCUUAUGAAAUUUAAAAACUUCAAUGACAAUGUACCAACUAUUAUUCUUAAUUAUUAUACUAUUCAUGAUUUAAGGACAAAGAUCAAAUACAAUAUUUGCUUAAAAAUCUGUAAUAUAUAUGUAUAUAUAUAUAUACAUUUGCUCACUUAUUGUGAUGUAAUAUAGCACCAUCCAGCUAACCCUAGCUUUCUAGCAAGUAGUCGGAGGAAAUUAUUGAGAAAAUAUCAUUAAAUAUAUCAACAAUAAUUGCACUAACUUUCCGAUGUUAACUACUGACCUUUGCGUCAACCUUGAGCUUAUAUAGGCCCCCUACAAUAAUUUAGGCUAUGGAAAUAAUCUUACAAUUAAUGCCUGAGAAAUAAUUAUAGAUCAAUUUAUAGUUUUAAUCCCUAUAAUUACUCAAUUGAAUUAAAAAUUUUGUUAUUCUUAUUUAAUUUAAUUUGAUAUAUUCUGUUCCUCUUAUUAAUGUUAAUGUUUAGAGUCCCCGCUUGUACAUUGGUGAUUAGGUCUCUCACCAUUAAAUUACUCUCUUAAGAACCUAACCUGCAAAUUCACAACAUAAAAAAUUUACAGUCAAAUGUAAUCACACAAAUGACAUUCCUCACUUAAACAGAUUAAGUCGUUGCAAAUAUCUAAACAUAAUCAAAGUCGUCGUUAUGGCCCCAAGAGAAGGCACGUUAACUUGUCUCUCUCACACAUAGGAUGAAAUUAGUCUAAACCUAACCUUGGUAGAGCCGACCAUGUCGGGCAGACCACCCUACAUAAAUCUGAUUAUUUUAUCAUAGUUUAUUCAUCACUGAAGGAAGUAUGCAAAAUUAGGCAUACCAUUUAUCCUCACCUCUCUCGCUGACAAAAGAUUCAUGUUAAGUAUAUUCACCCUACAUAAAUUAUCAAGAGGAAUCACAGAUUUAAGGACCGUGGAAAAGAAUUCCAGAACCAGUUAUAUACAAGCAGGGCCUAUGACAUCCCCACUAAUUCUCAAUCAUAUAAAAUAAUAUAUAAUUAAUUCGUCUGGAAUGUUUAAGGCAUGGUGGUGAAUAUAUCAUGAGCGAUGUUGCUGAGUUUCUUCUGAAGAAUUGGCUAGCUAUUAGUGUCUAAAGGAUCUUUAGUUAUAUGGGGCUUAUGUUUCGGUUGCUUGAACAAUUGCUUUUCAGAGGGCAGAAUAGUAGAGGGGGGUUUUGGGGGUCUGGUGGUAUGGAGUUAUGAUGUUAUCAAUAUGAGAUUUUGGUGAUUUGUACUUGAUAAAGGGACACUUUUCGUGAGGGAUUGCUACAUUUUGCAGAUUAUAACAUUGUUUACAAGUGCUUAAAAUGUGUAAUAAUUUGAUCGAGAGAAAAAAUGACCAAAACAAAUGUUCUCAGCAUUUUUGCUUCAUUUAGAACUUGUAAUUAAUUUUUUUUAUCAGAGAAGUUGUAAUUAAUUGGAUUUGGAAUGAAUUGAUAAUAUCCUUACUAUUUCACCUUUUUUAUAUGUUUGGCGUGUGAGUAUGAUACAGAUUGAACUGAUUUUUAAAGUAGAAAUAAAACGAUAACAAACCAAAACAUUCUGGUUUUCAAAAUUUUGAAUCCAAAUCAAUCGAAUUAGUUUAAUUAUAAUUGAAUGUUUUAUGUGUUAUGAUGAUGAAGGAAGUUGAUGAGGUGACUUGCUUCAUCUUUCAAAAUAUGAGGUUCGUUAGACACAUCUUUACUAUUGUUUUUUAAUAACAAAUGAAAAGUCAAUUUAAAAAACAAAAAUCCAAACCAAUGAAUUUCUUUUAUACAUAUAAGAUAAGCUUACUGCAAAGCUCUUGUUUUUUCAAAAUAAAAUUUUGUUUUUGUUUUAUUAAUUUUGUAUGAAUCAAAUUAAUAAGUUUAAUUUUUUUAAGGGUAAAUUAAACCAACAGUUACUCAACUUUGAUGCAGCUGACAAAAUAGUUGAUUUGGUUUCAAUUCAGUCACUCAACUUUCAAAAAAUAACAAAUCAGUCACUAACGUUACCAAAAAGUGACAAAUCAAUCACCCAUUAACAUUUUCCGUUACAGACCUAACGGGACAGGUGACAUGGCUAGUUAACUUGCCACGUUGACAUGGCAAUGCAUUUAAAAUUGGUCUAAUUAAGAAUUUGGUCAUUGUACAUUAUGAAAACAUAAAAAUUAUUUCAAUUGAGUAUCAAUAUUAAAUCUUGUCCAUUGACCCAAAAAUCAUCAUUUCAACAAAUUGUAUGUAAGAAAUUAGUGAAAAUCAACAAUUCAGUAAUUUAUAUCAAAAUUGAGGACUAGCUUUUCAUUUUUUUGUAAAUUACAUGGAUGACAUUCACAAUUAGACCUAAAUAGUGACAAAUUACAAAUUUAAACCCUAAAUACCUUUGUUCAGAGGAUCCGUAGCCAACAGAAUCAAUAAAACCGAUGGAGAUGAAACUCAUGCAUUUGGCGUGAAGAUGAAACUGGACAGAGUAGAACUCGCAUUGUUCGUCACCGUUGUAGGUGUCACAGUCACACGAGAAUCGCAUCGACAUGGCGCGUCGGCUAGUGAGAGGGAUUAGAUCAAGUCGAUGGGCAAUGAACUUGUCGUUGACGACGGAAGAGUUAACUUCAAUUUUGACGAGGUCGAUGGCUAUGUUGGGAACCUCGGCUAUCAUGACACGAUGGAGGGCAUUGGCCAUGGAGGCGUUGGUGUCAUGGCAGCAUAGUUGUCUUUGAGUUCUCGGAUUUUGACCCUUGGGAAUCGCUAGUAUGAAGCUCCUUCCAUUUUCUCUUCUUCUCCAUUUCUUCUCUUCUUCUUCUUCUUCUUCUUCUUCUACUGCCCAAGGCUCUUAAAUGGGGUUGUUUAAAUGACAGCUAGCCUACCGUUAAAUGUCAUGUCACUUUUCUGUUACAAACGUAACGGAAAAUGGUUAAAAAGAUUGAUUUGUUAUUUUUCAAAAAUUAAGUGAUUGAAUUGGAACUAGAGUGACUGUUUUGUCAAUUGCAUCAAAGUUGAGUGAUUGUUGUUGCAAUUUACCCCUUUUUUUUUAAUAGAGAUAAGCUUUGUGGUGGAAAUUUGUUAGGAAAGGAUGAUUGUAGGAAUGGUCCACAAAAUUAAUUGCAUUCCCUUUUCUUGAUGAAUUCUUAUCUUUGGGUCAACUCUUAGCUUAAAUACACUGCUAAAUUUAUUUUAGGCUGUACAAUAUAAAUGGAGCAAUUGAUGUCAGGAGAUAAGUUGGAAGUACAAUUAAAUUUUUUCAUAAGAGGAGAUGGGAUGAGAAGAUUUGAACCCAACAAUUAUUGGAAUUUAGAUUAUAAAAUUGGCGUGAAAUCAUGAAUUUAGAUUAUAAAAUUCUUUCCAUUUUAAUAAUCAUUUUAGAACUAGUUUGGUUUCCAAUCUAUAUUUUGUGUUGUGUUUUGUUUAUGUCAAAUUUUAAGGUAAAACUUUGAAAGUUAAAAUACAUUCUAAGUCCCUAUACACUUUGUACUUUUAGAAUUUAGUUCUCCUAGUUUUUAUUUUUAUGAAUUUAGUCUUUCUAUUUUUUGGUUUUCAAAAUUCAAGUCCCCAAUUAUUUUCACUGUUAAAAUUCUUCUAUUAAACUCACUAGUGUCACCUUUUGAAAUUACCAAAAAAAAAAAAAUCAUUUUGUAGUCAUGUAAUAAUAAAGAAUAACGUUAAAAAUAAUGAUGUGGAUUUUUAUUUAAAAUACUCAUCCAAACUGAUCAUGAUAAAAUGACUUUUUUUUUGUUGGAAUAGUGUUUUUAAGAAAAAUUGACGUCAAUAUUUUGAUUGGAAUAGUUUACAAUGUUAAUUAUUUAGACUAACUAAUGACAUUACAAAAAUAAAAUAAUGAAAUUAUGCCAAAAAUUAAGGAAUAUAAAUUAAAUCUCAAGUUUUAACAUAAUAUAGGGGCUAAUACUAAAAUUUGACCAUUAAUUUCCAUGUAAUAUAAAAUAAAAAUAAAAAAGUUGUGUGAAGCAGCCCAAGCUUAUGACAGAAAAAAAAAACACGGCCCAAAGCUAAGGUUACGUGUUAGAAAGGGAAUGUCAUGAUAGGGGUGAGUAUUCGAUCAAGUCGAGUUAAAUUGAGUCAAAAAAGUUUAAGUUAGUCGAGUUUACGAAUCCUAUUUUAGUAACCGAACUCAAUUUGAAUUUUUUUUCUGAAUCAUAUUGAGUCAAAAAGUUUCGAGUCAAGUUGAGUCGAGCUAAAGAAUCCUAUUAUUUAUACUCAAAACUUAUAUUUACAUGGACCGAUUAUUUAACUAGUAGAUGAAGUACAAGAUUAUUUAACUACAUAAACAAUAUAAUGGUUUUGCCUUUUAACUUAAUGAGUAAAUAUUUAUCAAAACGAUAUAGUUUUGUCUUUUAAUUUAAUAGUUUUGACUUUUAACUUUGGAAAAGAUAAAUUCAGAUUUUCAGAUAACUCGAAUUGUGUAAUUCAUAUUCAAGUUGAAUAUAAAAACUUAAUUUUUUUUAUUCGGGUUGAUCCGAAUAACUUGAUUAACUCAAAUAACUCGAACUAUUUAAUUCAAAAUUUAAAAUUUUUAUCAAAAUUUUCAGAUCAAAUCGAAUUUUGCUCACCCCUAGUAUUGGACAUUAUUUUUAUAUACGGGUGUAUAUAUAUGUGUGCGUGUGUGUGUGUUUGAUGUGAUUUCCUUGUGAGUUCCAUCUAUUUUUAGAAGUUUUUCCACGUAAAAUAUGUGUAUUUAAUAUUUUCAAUUCUUUUAUUAUUCUACUUGCUCGUUGCAAAUACGUUUGAUUCACAACAUUUUAACCUAAACUUAAUUGUAAAUGAUAAGAGAUAUUUUACGAUUAAAUAAAAAAAUUUAAACCACUAAACCAUUACCCUAAUAUGUCAAAACACAUGCAUUUUUUAAUUUCAAAAUUUAUGAAUUCCGAAGUAAAGAGCAUACGAUAUUUAUAUUAAUGUAAGAAAUGUAGGCUUGCUAAGUUUCGCAAAAUCAUAUUACACUUUUAAUUGAAUAUAAUGGUGGGAUGAUUCAAUUAUUAAAAACUAAGUUCGGGCAAAAAUGUAAAAAUAAUCUAAAAUUAAUUGAAUUAUUAUAAUAAAUUUAUAUAACUUAUGGAGUGAACCAAAUCAUGACAUAAUAUCAAAAAUAAUUAAGACAUGUCAUAUUACAAAUAAUAAAAACUCAACUUUAUAAGCAUAUCAAAAUUUAUUAUCAUGGCGUAUAAUAUGUUAUGAAAAAAGAAAAAAGAAAAAAGAAAAAGAAGAGAGACAAUCGCUUCAUCAUGAGAUAUAAGCCCUUGAAACCAAAAGUUAGUUGAAGCUGUUAGGAUCGACUCAAUUAAGCAACAAGUAACAAAAAAUAGUGGAGUAAAUUGAGAAAUUGAACACACAAAUUUAACGUGGAAAACCCCUCCAAAGAGGAUAAAAACCACGGGCAAAAAUAAUUUUACUAUAAUGACAAAAGAAUAAAGAGUACAAAAGAUGGAGAUAAAAAGCUAAACUCCAAAAAACCCCAAAAACAAAGAACCCUCAAAACGUAAACACAAUGUAACGCCCCAGAAUUUUUAUUUUUGUUCUUGCAAAGGUAUAACACAAUUGUGUAUCUACUUUAGUGGUUAAGUGUUUUGGGUGUAUGAGAGGUCUCAAGUUCAAGCCAAGACUUGGCGAAAUUUUGGUAUUUUUAUGAAUAAGCUCUAUCUUUGGUCAGUAGGCUUUUAAGUAAGAGUCGACAAAUAAUUAAAAGAAUGGGCUUGUUCGUUUGGUGGAUAAGUGGAGUGUUGGUGUGAAGGAGGUUUUGUGUUCAAUUCUCUAUGGUGGCAUGGAGAUAGUAUUUUUGCUCCAAUUUUGGCUAAGAGUUGUGUUUGGGCAAAAUUCUGAGUAGUUGUGUUUUAGUGGGUUAAUAGGGAGUGAUUUUUGGAAAUAAUGGGGGAGAGGUUAUCAGAAAAUAAUCUGAUUGUCUUUUUAUUGCAUAAAAAAGUAGAGUUUCGGUUUUCUCUCCAAUUACCCAAACUUUUUCUGACGUUUUCUUCUUUUUUUCCCUCCGCUGUCGAUUCUUUCCCCUAGUUGUUGCCAAAAUUUCCAUUAUUUUUUCCCCUUCCAUUUCUUUCUUUUAUUUUCCAAUUGAUUUGGUUGUUUAUCGUUGGUUGCGUGUGUUCGGUAAGUAACGGUUUUGUCUAUUGUUAAUUGUUCUUAGUUAAUCUCUGAAAGGGGGAUUCCUUUUUGGUGUUUCGGAGUUAAUCAAGGGGCUAGUGGUUAUGAAUCGAUGCUGUGAUUGUGUGAAGUCAUGAUUACUCAAGCGAGGUAAGGGUUUUGUUAGGUUUUUAGUUGAGUUCCUUCCAAAAUUGGUUAAUUAAAAAUGAAUUAAGUGAUUAAUCUGGAGAUUUGUUGGUCGAUUUUUAGGUUAUGGAGGCUUAGGAGUGCUUACGCAUUAGAAAUGAUACCAGGUGUGUACCCGAAAAGCAGAAAAUGAGAUUCGGCGAAAAGCAUAAAUUGCUUGCUAUUUGGACAGCAGCAGUGGGCUAACUUUAAAAAAUCAUCAUAAAUUGUGAAAAUCGAAUUAAAGGAUGAAAAAAGUAAGGAAUUAAAUAUUAUUGAGUCUAGUUUCUCAUAGAGAAAUGGUGUAAGUAAUGGAAUUGUAAAUCGUGAGAUAUAAUAAAUUUUGUGAGACAAGGUCAGAAUGAAUUCAGGUUUCCCUUUUUUGACUUUGGAAAAUCAUUAAAAAUUGUAUAAAAAUGAUUAUGGGUUAAAAUUUAUAUGAUUAAAAUUCUUAAUGAGUAUAUUUUCAAGAGAAACAAACCUUAACAUCAUCUGAAUCUCGUACUAAGAGAUAAUUAAUUUUUAGAGAAGAAGGGUCGAAAUUAUCAGACAGCAGAACAGGGACAAUUUUGAAGAAUUAACUGUACUCAUUGGCUAAACCAAAAAUUCUAAAAAUUUUAAGGUAAGAAGAUAUGUGAGUCUGUUUUUCGGGAAAAUCAAGCGGAUCUUAAUUUUGAAUUCUGUAGCUCUAGUUAUAAAUAAUUUAGUGACAAUGACUCAAGUAGACAACUCUGAAUGAUCAUAUUAGUAAAUAGUGGAAACAUAUAUGAAUAUUUAGCUAGCAUGGGUUACAUUAAAAAUGGAUCACACGGCCAAGGCCAAUUUGGGCCGAGUGGGCCACGCGGGCACAUGGGCGUGUGGGUCCAUUUUUACCAAAAUGUUUCUAAGGCUGCACAGGUUGCCCAAGUCGACUGUGAACCUACUGUAAGGUCGGUAAGUGCUACUUAAACCCCUAAAUGUGUGAAAUUGACUGAAUGAUAUUUGUACUGAGCAUGUUAAUAUCUAAACUGAAUAUAUGUACUGAAAUUGCAUAAUAGCAUAUCAUCCAUGGUAUGUUGCAUUGCAUUGGGUUGAGGGUUGUUAUUUGGAGGAAAUGUACUAAAAGGCUUUAAGCCUAAUUUACUGGAAUCUCAGCUACAAACUACUGUUUUGUGCCGCAAUAUUCAAUACUACUUGAAGUGUAGGAAUGGGUGGGUUGAUUAUAUCCCCACAUGGUGUGUAGAGGCUGGUUGGCAAAUGGAGUUUUAGUAAGCACAAGCAUCGUCAUCUGUCCAUCAUAACUUGGAAGACAACAAAGAUACUCAUAAAAUAGAUCUGCAAACUGAAAAGAGAGAAGUCAUGUGGAGUGAAUAAGAAGAAGAAAGAAAAAAAGGUUGGUGGGAGGAAGAAAAAGGGUCGCGAUAGCCAAUUCGAAGGUUGUCAAUGCCAUUGGGCAAAAUAAAACAUAAUAAACAAACGGCUUGGAGAAAAAAAUUAAGAAAGAAGAAAAAAUUUAGGCAAAAUUUAUAUUAAUGUAAGAAAUGUAGACUUAUUAUGAUAUUACAUUUUUAAGUGUGAUCAUUCAAUUAUUAAAAAUGUAUUUAUAACAAAUUAUGUAAAAUUUUAUAUAAGCAUAUAAUAUGUUAUGCAAAGAGAAUCACUUUUCUUAGUUGAAUUGUUAUAACACAUUAUACAAAAUAUAUUUUAAAUUAAAGCAUAAUGUGAAUACGAUACCAACCAACAAAUUAAAUUCGAUGAUUUAUGGAUAAUUACAUUUAUUACUCAAUUUAAUUUAAUUCAAAGAGCUAUUGAAUACACAUAACAAUUAAUUAUGAUUAAACUUUAAAUUUCACAGAAAAUAAAAAGAAAUAGAUUGUUGAAAAUGAUAAAAUGGAAAGAUAAAGCUACAAACUUCCUCCCCACAAACCUAAGAGCUUUUUAUUCAAAAUGCAGAAAUCAACAAAAUAGUCCUCACAAUCCAACUUAGCAUAGUAAAACAAUUAGGUGGGGAAAUCAAAUAGUAAAUUCCUUUUUCCUUGAAUCAACACCAACCGACUUUGUUGAAAUCUUCACUAUAGCUAAUCACAUUGCCUGAAGAUGUGAUAUGUAAGAAAAUUGGCCAUUGUUGAGUAACGACAGGUUGUGAUGCACUUUCCAAUAAAAGAAAACCAAACACUUCGCCAAUAAGGAUUUAUGUAAAGAACAACAAAAAUUGUCAAGACCACAACUAUAUAAGAAACCAGGAAGCUCACACAAAAAUCAUAUGUGUCUAGCAAACUGUCCUCUCCUUCAUCAUCUAACGAAUUUGAUCUAGUUGAUGGUGCAUCUGGUUUGGAGCAACUUUUAUGCAAAAUAGUUCCACAAAGAAAAGGGUUUCCCUCGUAACUACUUUCAAUAAAGGUCCCAAAUUGAGCUUUUGGUUCAGGAAUACUACCUGACAAGUUGUUGUGUGCCACACUAAAAACUUCCAAAGAGUUCAACUCUACCAACUGAUUGGGGAUUUCACCACUCAAGUUGUUGUAAGAAAGGUCCAAACUCUCAAUUUGAUGAAGUUUUCAGAAUGAUGAAGGUAUAACUCCGAUCAACUUAUUGUGUGACAAGUUUAAAGAAUAGAUUUCACUUAAGUUCCCUAAUUCUGGUGGGAUAUGACCAGUUAAGUUGUUGCAAGAUAAAUCAAUCCCGGUCAUAUAUGCAAGGAUGUUGCCCUCGUACGAAUAGAACCCACUCUUUGUUGUGAACUCUAUUACUUCUUCUAAAUUCUAUUACUUCUUCUAAGUAGCUGUCAGGGUAGUAAGGAUUUAUAUCCCUUUCCAAUUUUCUCAUCGCAAUGGAUGUUGAUUCAUCCAUUUCUGUAAAUGGAAGAUAGAACCCAGUUGCUAGACUCUCUUUCUCUUUCAUUGGAAGAGAUAAAUUUCCCAAACAAGAAGGUAUAGGACCAGAAAACAUAUUUUGAGAAAGAUCUAUGAUGCUUAAAGAAUACAACUUGCAUAACUGAAUUGGAACUUUGCCAUGAAAAUGAUUAUCUUUCAAGAGAAGAACACUCAAAGAAGAAAGUGUGUCAAUCCAUUUUGGCAUGCUACCUGUCAAAUUUUUUUCUCUAAGAUCUAAAGUCACUAGUGAAGAGCUAUUAUAAAAAGCAAGUGAUAGUGGACCUCUCAGUCUAUUCCCGUGGAGGUGGACAUGCUUUAUGUUUGGUGGAUUAAAACAUGACGGUAUAGAGCCAGAUAAAUUAUUUUGAGAAAGAUCCAAAAACUCCAACCAAUUCAAGUUGCAAAAUUCCAUUGGAAUAGAACCCUCGAAACCAUUGUUGGACAAAGCCAAUCUCAAUAAAAAUGAUGCAUUCCCUAUCCAUCUUGGGAGCUUUCCAUGCAACUGGUUGUUACUGAGAUCAAUAUCGCUUAGUGAAUUUGGAAACUCAAAAGUAGACACAUCAACAUUUGUCACCUCUCCUGAAAAUUUAUUUCCAUCCAAAUAUAAAUUCUGCAGCCCAUUUGCUUUGAGAAUCGCAGGAACUACAUUUCCACUGAAGUUGUUAUUUGAUAGUCUCAAAAUGGUCAGUGAGCCUUUCGUGAUCAACUCUUCUGGUACUUUUCCAUACAAUUGAUUGUUUGAUAGAUCUAAAAUUGAUAAAUCCUUCAUGCCACUUAAACAAAGUGGGAUAUUACCUUCAAAAGCAUUCUUGGAUAAGAAUAACCGACUCAAAUGUGGAAAAGUUGAACAUAUACUGGUCGGAAUUUGACCUUGUAUUUUGUUUUCAGAGAUGUCAAUUGAAGAUACAUUAGAAAUAAGAGCUGACGAAAAUGAGAGAGGACCUGUAAAAGAAUUGCCCUUCAAGAUGAGAUCUUCUAACUUUGUGUUGUUUUCUAACAACCAAGUUGGGACCGUUCCACUGAAAUUGUUAUGAGAAAGAUCCACAUAUCUCAAGUCAUAUUGGUAGUAAAGGAAGGUAGGAAGCUUACGACUGAGCUGUUGAGAUGUUAUGCACUUUGACAAACUGAUGACUUCCAAUUGGAACUUUGGGAUUGAGGUAUAAAAGGAAGGUUCCGUUACCAUCUUGUUUUCAUUACUCAAGAGGGCUUUGAUAUUUGAAAGGUUUGCAAAUGGUGCGAAUGACAACGGAAUUUGAAAAUGGUUUAUUGAAAUAUCUAACACACGAAGAGCUGUCAAGUUACUAAAACAAUGAGGAAGCAUCCCCUCCAGUGCAUUCCCACUCACAUCCAAUACUUCAAGAUUCCUUAGAUCACACCAUCCUGAAAAAUUGAAAAAAUUGGUGGAAGAAAUUCUAAUUAAAUUUGGUCUUAUUUAAGAGAAUAUGAGAUAUUACACAAAGCUCGUACAAAAUUCAAUUUGAGCCAUAAAUUUAUUUACCUUGAUUAGGUAGGGGACCAAUAAGUCAACAAUCAUAUAAAGAGAAUGUUUUAAGAGAAACAAGUACUCCAAUGCUUUGCAAAAUAUUGGUGUUGAGAGUAGAAUAGUCAAGAUAUAUUUCCUCCACAUUUCUCGACACAUUUGAUUCUAAGCAAUGUCUAGAGAUAUUAGAUAACGAUAUUGUAAAUAGAAAAUUAUAAUUGAUCAUGAGAAAGAAGUUCAUAUUGACGAGAAAUGCCGAGGACAGCAAUCGCCAUCCCAUGUCAAAAAAAUCAUUUGAGAUAAAUAAUGUUUGAUUUUCUCAGUCUUUUAUUUUUUGUGAAUGAAAAGAAAUAUAAUUUACUUGAAGUUUUUUUAAUUAUUCGAAAAUGCCAUUUAUUUAUUUUAGGCCAAAAAAUUCCAUUUAUUUAACUGUAAUAUAUAUUUUUAUGUUUUAUAUUAUUAAAACCAUAUGAAAUUAAAAUGAUAGUUAUAUGACAUAUUUUUCCAUAAAUAUGAGUAUUUUUUAUUUAUAAUAUUAUUUUUUUUAUUUUUAUAAUUAUUUUUUAUCUCAUAAAAAUUUAAUAAAUUAUUUUGAAAUUAUAUUUAUACAAACAAAAUAAUUAUGAACUCUAAUAUUUUAAAAUUAUGCAAAAUUUAAAAUAUUUUACUUUCAAACCGAAGACCAUAGGAUUUAUAAAAUGUUUCACCGAACCCAUAAGCUGAAUUUUUCCAUGUAUGAUAUAAAACAUAAAGACAAAGAUGAGCAACACAAAGACAGAAAAUUAUUAUUUGGUAGUUUGUUGAUUUACUUUAAGGAUUUAGCAGUUUCAAUCAUGUUCCUGUUAUGCUUUGAUUUUAUUUAGGUUCAUCCAUGUAAAACAAAGAAACAAAAACAUUAAUUAGUUGAAAAAUAAUUAAUUGUGUUAUAACAUAAUCCAAACCUUGUAUUAACAAAUAUUCUGUUUUUUAACCUUUUUCAACGAUGAAGUGGGGAGCACCGAUUCAGGGGCCAAGCAACAACUUUGUAUUGGAGGAUCGAUAUAAAAUUAUUUUUUUUGGAGGGACUAAAGUUAAAAUUAUUUGUGUUAAAAUUGUUGAAAUUGAAUUUUUAAUGUUUAAAGUGACUCAAAAUGCAAUUUUUAUGCAUAUAAUUAAAAAGCUACAGAGGAUUAUAUUGAAUAAUUAAAUUUUAAAAGGACUAAAAAGGGUAUUAUACCCUUGAUUAAAAUAUGUCAUAGGUCCUUGUACUUUUCAAAAAUUUGUAAUUUAGUCGAUAUACUUUUAUUUCUAAGGAUUUAGGCCCUCUACAUUUUCAAAUUUUAGAAUUUAAGUUCAAUUGUUAACAUUAGUUUUUUUUCCAAUGUUUUGAAAUAAAGAAAAUAUUCAAUUGGUAGCAAUGUAACUAAAAAAAUAGCAUUAUAAUGAACCUAAAUUUAACAAAAUAAUCUUAAUAGUGUCAACAAUUAAACUUAAAUUUUAAAAUCUAAAAAGUAGAGGGAUUAAAUUCGUAAAAAUAAAAAUAUAGAGACUAAUUUACAAAGAGUAUAAGGAUUUAUGUUAUAUUUUAACCUAUACCCGUUAGCCUAGGGGGGCCAAGACCUCUGUCUACCCCUUUGGCUUUUCCUCUACACCAAUUGAACAUUAGUUUAAUUGACAUUGUUGAUAUUGCAACAACUCUUUUUCUUUAUUUUCUUCGUCUUAUGAAAAAUGUUAAUUUUUAGUUUUGGACAUUUUUAAUAUGCUUAAAUUUGAGAUUUAAUUAUUAUCCUUUAUUUCUAAUUUAAAUUAAGCUUUAUAUUUUUAUAAUUUUACUAGUUAGUUCAAAUAGUUAAUUCAUUAACUUUUCAAUUAAAAUAUUAUGUAGUUAUAUAUUAUUUAAAAGUGGAUUUUUAAAUAGAUUAAAUUCUUAAAAAUAAAAGUUGAAGGAAAAAAAAUAAAAUUUAAACAAAAACGAAAGUUUAGUCAAAUGAUACCUUUAUGGAUCAUAAAAUCUAUCAAUUCAUUUGCCCUCAUAUUCAAAUGCAUCCAAAUCUGGAAAAAAAAGGGUAACAUAUAAACCUCAUUAUAUUAUCUUAAAACAUUAUUAAUGUUUUUGUUAAUUGAGUCAAGAUUUUGGGAAAAGAAAAUGUUUUUACCUUUUGCAUCUAUUGGUCCUUUCAAUUGAUUGCUUAUGGUCAAAGUUUUCAAAUUCAAAAGCUUGUUAAGAGAUGCAAAGACACUAUUAUUGAAGAGAUUGGAAUUUAAAUUAAGCUCUUUUAAGUGCGUCAAUUCCAAUUUUCUACCACCAUCUGCAAAAGAUUUACAUAAGUUCAUCACUGAAAAAAAUUAGCAUAAAAUUUAAUUAUAUAUAAAAACUUAGAUAACUCAUCAAAUAUAAAUACAUACCUUUGGAGGAUUGAAGGCUUUCAAUUUAAUUCUCGCUUAGAUCAAGUUUCUUCAAGUUUAUCAAAUUACUCAAUCCUAUAUAUUUUCACGUCCAAUUCAAAUAAUUAUGUUAAUAAUUUAAUUUUUACCGAAUAUUUGAAUGAGUUUCAUAAAAUAAAAACAAAAAAUUGGUUUGUUAGGCAAUUUUUUUAGGUGUUGUAGAAAUUUUAAGUUCCUCCAAGUUUAUUAUGCUUAAUUGUUUUUCAUCUAUAGUAGGAAGAAGAAUAGUUUCUAAUUAAUAUUAUAGGCUUUGAAUAUUUUAUAAGUUCAUCCCUUUGAAAAUUUAAUUUAUUCAAUAUAUAAAAAUCAUACUUGUACCUUUGUUUGAGAUGCUUUCAAUUCUGUUCCCACUUAAAUCCAAGUAGUUCAAGUCUGUCAAAUUAUUCAAUUCUGAAAUUCAAUCCUAAAUAUUGAUUAGUUAUAUAUAUUCAUGAUAUGAUAAAAUCAAAUAACAUAUUGCAAGUUUGCAACAACUUUUCCUUCAACAUAAAUUGAUUUUAAAGUACAAAAGAAACAAGUAAAAUCAAUCUACCUUGAAUAUGAAGCAGCCUUCCUUCCAACUGAUUACUACUCAAUCUUAAAGUCUUCAAGGAUGAAAGAUUUCUCAUAUCGAAUAGAAUGCUAUUCUUCAAAGAAUUCCCAGUUAAAUUAAGAGUUUCCAAUUUAGUGAGUCUUGAAAGCCACUGAAAACCUGAUUUAUAUACUAUAUAAUUAGUUACUACUAAACAUAAUAAAUAAUAAUACUCUAAUUUUACAAUAAAAAUUCACUAAAAUCUGUCAUUGCCUUUUGGAAUAAUAUUCUAUCAGAAAAGUCAUGCACAAAUACUUAUACCUUGGUUUGAGAUGCUUUCAAUGUUGUUGUAACUUAAAUCCAAGUACUUCAAGUUUGUCAAAUUAUUCCAUUCUGAUGAAAGUCAAUCCCAAUGUUGAUCAGUUAUGUUUUCAUGAUAAGAUAAAAGCAAAUGAAAUAUUGCAAUAGCUUUUUCUUAAACCAAAUUGAUUUUAAAGUAAAAGGAAGCAUGUAAAAUAAGUCUACCUUGAAUAUGAAAUAAUAUAUAAAUACUAUAUUUAUACCUUUGUUUGAGAUGCUUUCAAUUUUGUUCCCACUUAAAUCCAAGGACUUCAAGUUUGUCAAAUUAUUCAAUUCUAAAAUUCAAUCCCAAAUGUUGAUCAGUUAUAUUUUCAGGACAAGAUAAAAGCAAAUGACAUAUUGCAAUAACUUUUCCUUAAACCAAAUUGAUUUUAAAGUAAAAAAGAAACAGGUAAAACCAAUCUACCUUGAGUAUGAAUCAACUUUCCUUCCAAAAGAUUGUAUCUCAAACUUAAAGUCUUCAAGGAUGAAAGAUUUCUCAUAUAGACCAUAAUGCUAUUCUUCAAAGAAUUCCCACUUAAAUAAAGAGUUUCCAAUUUAGUGAGCCUUGAAAGCCACUGAAAACCUGAUUUAUAUACCAUAUAAUAAGUUACUGCAAAACAUAAAUAAAUAAUAAUACUCCAUUUUUUAGUUAAUUUGAGUAAGUUCUUGUUAGUCUUUUUUUCCUCUCAACCAUAUGAAAAAUUAUUGAAGCAAAAACUAAGUUACAGGGGAUAAAAGAAUGGAAAAUCACUGUCAAACGUCACAAUACAAAUAAAAACUAACAAUAGACCAAACUUAAUUUACCUCUUGGAUGACUUGAUCCUUCGAACCGGUUGUGUGAUAAAUCUAAAUAUCGGAGAGACGAAAGCUCACUCAAAGAUAAUAGAAUGCUAUCAUUCAAGUGAUUGUAACUUAAGUAAAGGAUCUCUAAAUUACUUAAUGUGGAUGAUAGCUUUCCAAAACCUGUAGGAGUGUUCUUUUAAUUAUAUACAAGUAAUUAAUGACUUUUCUUCAGUAAAAUAAAAUAAAUUAUAAGUAAUUGCAAACUAACAAUGAAUAGAGAAAUAGAAUAAUAAAAUAUGUAAUUAAGGGAAAAUUAAAGGCACGACCUUCAUUUUCAAGGUUACCACCUAUGGCAUUCUCUGACAAAUAAAGACUCUUCAAUUUCUCAAAAGGAAGAAACAUAGAGGCAUUGAGAUACCAAUAAUCCAUGUUGUAUUCCCAUUUUGUAGAAUUAAGGGAAGUUGUAUGACUCUCCUAGUGAUGGAGUUGCACUUAACUCUUUCCCAUUUACAGCAAUCUGAACCCUUCAGAUCAACCCAACUUUUCAAUGGGUUACCAUAAUUGAAGAAAGGUUUGAGAUGCAAGAGAGCGAUUCUCUCAUGCUCCAAACAAGCAUCAGUAGUACACCACCUACAUCCUUCUAACACCAACAACAGUACUGCCAUCCUAAUAAACCAUAACCAUUUCCACUCCAUCAUCAUCAUCUUUCUGUUUUCCCUUCUCUCUCAGCUAUAUGUUACUUUUUUAACUUCUAUAUGUAUAUAAUCUGCAGAAGCCUAAGCAGGAUCUAUGCAUCCCACUAAUUCACUGUAGUAUUAAAAUAACAUAUAAUUAAUUAGUUCCUCAAAAAUUGAAUGAAUCUAGACUUGUGCUGCUCUAACUUAUACGUUAGGAAAUAAAUGUUGACACAAUUUUUUGUUUUAUUUAGAAGUUGUAGUUAACUAUAUUUGCUAAAAUUUGUCUUGGAAUGAAACUGAAUUCAAAUCAAUCAAAUUAAUUAUAAUAAAAAUAAAAUUUCAAAAAACUGUUCAAAAUAUGAGUUAUGUUGAAGCCCUGUUCGACAUAUUUUAACUUUUAUUCUUUAUAUAAAAAUGAGAGUUACAAUAAAUAGUAAAAAGAAAAUCUAAUCAAAUGCACUUUUCCAUAACAAAAUUAAUUGCAUUCCUUGUGGAAAAUGAACUCUUGACUUGGCCGACCAUCCUCGACUGAAAUAGGCUGCUAAUUUUAAUUUAGACUGUAGAAAAAAUUUUAACCCAAUUAAUGUCAUUUGAAAUUAAAAUUACUUUAUAAACCUUUUGUUAGCCCUUAAAUUAAUAAACUUUUGUAUGUAGCUAAUUGAGUUUUAACUCAAUCGGUAUUGGUAUUGUUGUCAGUACAGGAAGACGUAAGUUUAAGUGUGCAGAAACGUGUGUUUUAUCCAAUUUAAGGAUUAGGGUAGAUUAUGAAUAAUUCUUUGAAUUGUAUUAACUUAGAAGCUUUGAGAUACUCACAAUUGAAUUAAACAUUCAAUAUAUAUAUUUAUCUUAUUUUUUUUUCUAUUUCCGAUAAAUAAGAAAAGAUCAUUCUUUACGCCACCAUACGAUUUUAGUAUCACAAUCAAAUGAGACUUUUAAAAGUCUUAACACUAUACAAGUAGUUAGUCGACAAAACUUGCACUAAUUUACUCUUUACGCCCAAAUUAUUUACAAAGUGCAAACAACAUUACUUUCACACUAAUUUUUUCCUUCUAUUUAUGUGGGAUAAAUAUCAAAAUUAUAUAUGAAUUUUAAUUUAAUGUGUAAUAUUAUAUAUAAAUUUUGAUUUUGUGUAAUUUUAAAAUGAAAUUUUGAUUUGAUUUAAUUUUCACAAAUCAUUAACAACAUCAUCGAAUUAGUACUAUAUUACAUUGAUAUAUUGCAUGCACAAACAGGUAUACUAAACCAAUAUGAAAAUAAAUAUAUGUAUUCAUUUAUUUAAAUGUGUACAAUUGAAUCAAAAUAAAAGUUUCAUGUAUACAUAUGGAUCACAAUUCAAGUUUCAUACAUAUAAUUGUACCAAAUCAAAGUUCAUGUAUCAAAUUGCACAUUAAGCCAAAAUUUAUGUAUAAAUUUAAUAUUUAUCCCAUUUAUGGGAGAUUAGCUUUCCAAUGGUAUUGUUUUAUUUACAUUAAUCCAAAUAAUUGGAAAUGAUGAAUUAGUUUAACGAAGAUUGUAAUUCUAUUAAUGUUUCUUCUCGAAUUUUUGGUUGCUCUUAUUUACAUGUUUUAUUAAUUGAUAGAUUUAAAUUCUUGGAAUAUAUUCUAAUUAAUUAGAUAUUUCCUUCCUUCCAAAAGCCUUUCAAAAUAGGUUUAGUUCGACCAAGAUACUCUUGUAGAAAAUUUUAGUUUUGUGGGAAAAAGAAAACUAGAUUUAUUUUUUACUCUAAUUGGUUUUAUAUGCAAGGUAUAUAAACUUUUGUGUCGCUGCAAUUUUUUUCCAACAUAUGUAUGUGAUUUGUGGGGUUUCAAUUUUGAAUUUUUUUUUACAAUUUAAUUAAAUUGUGAAAGUAUUUGAAAGUUUUUGAGUUGAUACAAUGUUUAGAACUACCCCAACACCCACCUAACCCUUAAAUAGGAGGAUAAACACGCUUCAGCACACUCGAACUCACAUCCUCCUACACCGAUGAUAAUACUAAUGCCAACAGAGUUAAGACUCAACCAGCCUUGAAUUUUGAAUUUUACUUCUUACACAUUUUGAAUUUUGAAAUUUUAGUUUUGACCCAAACAGUAGCAGUUAAAUCAAUUUGAUUAAAUUUAAUUACUAGUCCUAUAUUAUGCGUACGAUUAUUGAUUAGUCUAUACUCUCAAAUUGGGCAAUUCUAAGUACCUAUACUUUCCGAAUUUUGAAAUUUCAGUCUUGAUGCAAAUGACAAUUAUUAAUCCAUUAAUUUGAUUUUUAGCGAGUAAUAUGUGAAAAUAACAAACUGGUAUAACAUUACACAUAUGAUAAUAUGUUUAUUCCACCACAUUUGAAAAUAGCCGAAUUUAACAAAUAUUGUUAGUGAGGAUUGGAAAUUAGAGUCUAGCCCCCUACAAUAAUUUAGGUUAUGGAAAUAAUCUUGCAAAUAAUGCUUGAGACAUCAUUAUACAUCAAUUUAUAGUUUUAAUUCUUAUACUUACUCAAUUGGAAUAAAGAUUUAGUUUUUUAUUUUCUUUUGAUACAUUGUCUAGAAUCUUUAUUCCAAUUGAGUAAGUAUAAGAAUUAAAACUAUAAAUUGAUGUAUAAUGAUGUCUCAAGCAUUAAAAAUAACUAACUUCAUUAAAAAAUUCAUUAGUUGGCUCUCUAAGACUUAAAAAUUAAAAUUAUGUGGUUAUUAAAAAAGAAUUGUUUUUAUUAAAUUAUUAUUUAAAAUAAAUUUAUCUCAUCAUAAUGAUAUGAAUUUUUUUUCUUUAAAAAAUCCACAUUAACCGACUAAUAGAAUUGUAUAAAGCUGCCACCAAUCUCUUGGCAUGAUGGCAAAAGAUUCAGAGGCAAGCCAGAAAGUUUUUUGAGAGGAGUGAAUAAAGUUAUAUCUUUUUAUUAUAGUAAAAAUGAAAUUUUAUUAUUUUAAUAAUUUAUAUCUUUAUAAUUUUUAAAAGAUUAAAUAAAAAUUUUUUAUUUUUGAGGGGAUAAAGUAUAAGUUUAUCAUAUACUAAUUUAAAAAUUUUAAAAUUAUAAAAAGACUAAAGAUGAAAAUUUUCAUUUUAGGGAGAUGGGGCCCUGCCAGGUCCCUUGACUUCGCCUUGAUAAAAGUAUUAUGUUGCAAGUAUAAAGUUUGAGUUUAAUCUCGAACAAUCUCAUUUCUUAUCCCUAAUUAUAAAAUAAUAAAAUAAAUAGAGCAAUUGAUGUGAGGAGGCAAGUGUAAUAGGUCAAUUUUGACCUGGGCCAGAUUUCAAAACAAAACCCAAACUAAAUAAUAAAAGAGUCCAAAAUAGUUAAAACAAUCCAUCCAUUUUACAAACAAACCCAAAUUAGCAGCCCAAAUACAAAUUAAAACUCAAUAACUCAAAACUAACCCUAGCCCAAUUAGCUCAACACUUAAACACAACAAAAAAACCCCUAGCCCCCUAAGCCUCCAACGCCGCAUGACCACCUGUGCCGCACGCCGCCGCCGCUCAAGGCUUGCCUAUCACCGACCAUCCACGCGUCUAACACUUGCAAAACCAAGGCAACAUGCAACAACAAAGGCCAAAUAGAGGAAACAACAAGGAAACAGAUAAAAAAGGAAGAAACAAACAGUUUUGAUUUGGCUACAAAAGCCCGAAUCUCACCCUUGUAAUUUUUUUAAGAACAUUAGAAAAUAAAAAACAAAAACAACACUUUCAAGGUGAAUUUCUACUUUUAUUUCUGUUUUAAAUACCUAUUUGAUUCUAUAUUCAUAUUUUUAUUUGAUUUUAUAUAUAAUAAAAUAAUAAAAUAAAAAAAGGAAGAAAGGGCUCACCGGAGACGCCCCGUGACCGCGCCGUCGGAGGGCUCUUCUCCAUUGUUGCCAUCGAAUCCGAGAGAGGGUCGGGAGUACUCCUCUUUUGUUUUUUUUUUUGGGUCGAGAGGGCUGGGCUUCCAAGGGAGCUGUGAAACGGGGGCUAAAAACGACCUUUUGCGCAACGCCGGCCACCGGCCACAGGCCACAGCGGCGCUGCGGCGGCAACCCUGGCCUGCCAAGGGGUGGGCUGAGAGAGAGACCAAGAGAGACUGAGAGAGUUCUCUAUUUUUUUAGAAAAAUAAAAGUUGAACUGUUUUUUUCUUUUUCUUUUUGCUAUUUAUAUAGGGUAUAAAACUGCGUCGUUUUGGACUUAAGCAUCAGUGGCCAAAAUGACGCUGUUUUGCAUCAGACCAGAAAGCCAACCCGAAUGCAGUUAGGAUCCUAGCGCAUUUUAGCUUUGAGGAGCUAUUUGCAUAUUCAACCCUUCCGCUUUUGCAAUAUAGUGCAAUUUGGUCCUCGUUGUUUUUAUAUUUUGGCCGCAUAAUUUUCUGAUUGUUUUACUUUGGUUCGAGCUAAAACGCUACGCAUGGGGGCUGGGAAUAUUUGCCAGUCGGUCCCUCAUUCCUUAAGCACACUCUAUUUCAGUCCCUAGGCUUUUUUUAUUUAUUUGCAAUUUGAACCCCAAAUUUUGGGUCGAUUUCAGUAUCAUCCUUAGUCCAUUUAAUUUAUUUGUUCAUUAUUAUUUUUUAUUUAAAAAGCUCUUUUAAUAUUAUUUGUUUUAAGUUUUUUAUUUAUCAUUUACUUUAAACUGUUUUACAUACUAUUUAUUUAAAAUUUUUUUAUAUUAUUCAUUUUAAACCAUUAUAUGUACAUUAUCUUUUAAAUUCUUAUAUACAUAUAUAUAUGUCGAAACCGUUUUUUUGAAAACAAAAAUUUUUAGUUUCGACUUAAAAAUAAAAACUGGAGUCGCCACCGAUCCUUGAUUGAGGUGUAACCGGCUCACCUUAAAAACAAUUUUGGUCUACGAGAUUUGAGAAAAUGAGUUCGGGAGUCAGUUACGCACGAGGAAGGAUUAGCACCCUCGUAACGCCCAAAAUCGGUACCAAAUUGAUUCUUUAAUGCCUUGGUGUCGAAAAUUUGAAAAGAUUUUAAAAGGAAACUUUUUAUUUCAUGAAUGAAUCAAAAUAAUAAGACAUUCUUAUUUCAAAGAAAUAAAACACCACACCCAGUGAGUUAGGGCACAAUAUUUUUAAAUCUUCAAAAUACCCGAAUUUUACCUUUUGCUUUUGAAAAUUCUUAUUUCGAGAAGUCAAAAUAUCAGGACCAGUAAGUUAGGACCCAACAUUUUUGAACUCCCAAGAAUAAGCUUUUAUUUAAAAUUUACGAAUUUAUUGCAAAACAAAUACUUGGCUUUCUAAAUUCAUCGAAAAAUAAUCACGAUCCAGUCAGUUAGGACACGAUCUUUCUCGAGAAUCAUGAAUGCCAAAUAUUUUGGAAAUUUGUAAAAUAUGAUGAUUUUAAUGCCUUGACGAAGCCAAUAUAUAUUUUCUUUAAAAGCAUGAUAAAAUGUUAAUGCAUAACAUGAAACCAAUACUUUAAUUUAAAUCAUAUGUAUAUAUGUAUUUGCAAAUCGCGAAAAUAAAAUAAAUAUAAAUGUAUGGAUAUGUCAUGAAAAUAUGUGUGCAUUUAAAUAUAUGUAUAUAUGUACAAUAUGUAUAAAACCAUGAAAUAUAUAAAAUAAUAAAGAAAAAUGUGUACGUAUAUGUAACAGAGAAUGCAUGUAUGCUUUAAAUUAUAAGAUAUAGGAAAUAAAUAUGUUACAACAAUGUAUAUCUAUAUAAAAUAUAAAUGUAUAUAAAAGUAAGUAAAAGUUAUGCAAGUAGAAUAAUAAAAAAUAUAUAUAUGUAAGGUGCAUGGGUUUAUAAAAAUUAUUUUUAAGAAAAAAUGUAUGCAUAUAUUAUUGUAGAGAAUAAGCAUAUGUAUAUAUAUAGUAAUGGUAAUAAUAAUAAUGAUAAUAAUAAUAAAAAUGAUAAUAGUAAUAAUAAUAAUAAUAAUAUAUGACAUAAUUAAUAAUAUAAAAAACAACAAAUUAAGGAUUAAAUUGGAAAUAAGCGAAGUUUUGAAACCAAAUUUAAAGAUGGGAAUUAAAUAAGGACCAAAUUAAGAUGCGCGCAACAGUAGGAGGAUCGAAAAGAUAAUUUGCCCAAACCUCCCAAAUGCUGCGCAGCAACAUGGACCAAAUUGAAACAGUAUUAAAACAUAUGGCCUAAUUUAAAAAAAUAAAAAGACAGAUUUAAACACCCCUCAUAAAACAGAGGACCAAAUGUGAAAUUGUCCCCUUUCACAGAAAUGCGCGGAUCCUUCCCCGGGUCGGGUCACCGCACGGGUCGUAGGGCUGAAAUGGCGUCGUUUUUGUGCUUACCCUUCGGCCCAAAACAGUGCCGUUUUCGGUAAGCUAUAAAUACAAUGUUUUUUUUUUAAAAAAACUCAUUGUUCUUUCUAUUUCAAAAAAAAAAACAAAAAAAAAAUUUCCUUUUCUCUCAAGCAGGCCCAGAAUCUGGCCAAACUCCGGCGAGUGGCCACUGCGCCGGCCGCCAGUUGCCGGCACCGGCGCCGCCGUUCACGGCGGCGGGGAGUAAAAAAUCUCGCCUUUUUUAAACUGUUUUUAGAUCCCGUUCAAUAGUCAAACUGCUUUGGCUCAAAAGGAUGACCCUUGGCCCCUUCUCCUCUCGGAUCCGAUGUUCUUGAAGGAGGAGAGCCCUCCGACGGUGAACCCGCAAGGCAAAUCAGGUAAGCCCGUUCCCCUUUUACUUCUUAUUUAUUAUGCUUAAAAAAAAACAAACAGAAAGAGCAAACAAGGAAAAAAAAAACCGAAUCUAAGGGAAAAAAAAACCUCCGUUUUGUAUUUUAUUUUUUCAAAUCUUUUUUCUUCGUAUUUUCCUCUCUAUUUUUGUAUGUCUUUACACUCAAGACCCCCUUUUCAGAUCUCCCCCCACGGCUUUUAAAUAGUCGAAAAUAACAACAAAAUAAGCAACAAAAUCAUAUCUCCCUUCAAUAUUGGUUGCGAUUUUUGCUACUACUCUGCUAUUGCUGCGCCAUAUGCUUCUUUUUCGCAGGUGUGGUGGCUCUUGAGUGCGUGCGACGCGUGGGAGCGACAAGCGCGAUGUGCGGCGCUUGCGGAGGGGUGGUGCGCAGGGUGAUGCAGCGCUGAAGCAGAAAGGGCUAGGGUUUCUGGACUGGGCUAGGGUUAAUGUAAUUGGGCUAAAUUUUUGGGUUUAGUCUGUAGAUGGGUAAUUGGGUCUGCUAUGUUUUUAUUUUAUAUGGGCCUGGGCAGAAAAAUUGGGUAUUACAAUAUAUAUUAAAAAAAACUGUUGUAUGUUUCUUAUUUAUUUAUUUUAAACUGUUAUUAUUAUUCAUUUUAAGUUUUUAUAUACUGUUUAUUUAAAGCCUUUUAUUAUUUAUUUUUGAAUUGUUCUUAUAAAUUAUUUAAUUUAAAUUAUUAUUCUUUGAAUUUUUUUUUUUUGCAUAUUAUUUUGUUUUGUUUUCUUUGAUUGUUAAUAUUAGUAUAAAAAAUGAUAUACAUUGUGUGACUAUUACCAUCAUGUGUACUAUAAUUAGUUUCUUCGUGUUUUCAUAUUAUUAUCACUCAUUAACAUAUAUAACAUUUUUUUCAUAAAUUGUUAUUUUAUGUUCUAUGUUAUCAUUCCAUUUCACUUCAUCACUUUGAAAUUAAGUUGCCUUCAAUUUGUGUUUACCCAUAAUAAACCGUUCUAUUUUGUCACAAAUAAAACAAAUGCACCUCGUUCAAGCAUUGUACUCGCAAUUAUUCAAAAAAGAGAAAAAUUUUAAAAUAAGGCAAUAUUUCGCAUUUUGGAGAUUCGAGAAAUUGUACCCUAACUUACGAGGUUUCAAUUUUCUCAUUGAACCUAAAUAGCAAAAUAUCUUUCUAAUUUUCAAAAUUUACGAAAUUCCAAUAAAGUUAAAGGCUAGCUUAUUCUCGAGGGUUUCAAGUGUCGUGUCCUAACUUACGGGAUGUGACAUUUAUUAUCUCGAGACGAGAGGAUCUUUGACAUUCGUUUCGAUUUAUUCAAGCAAAUUCUUUUAAAUUAAAAUAGCGUUAACAAAAGGGGGAUUGUGUUUUAAAUUCUUUCAAAGUUUUUCAAUUUUUAAUAUUUAGACAUUAAUUAAUCAAUUGGGUACCAAUUUUGGGCGUGACGAGGGUGCUAAUCCUUCCUCGCAUGUAAUUGACUCCUGAAUCCGUUUUCUCAAAUUUCGUAGACCAAAAUCACUGUUUUGAUAAAUUAAAAUAUUUUAUUAAAACAACUAAAUUAUGAGAUGACCUAAUCACAUCUCAUAAAAAAAUGGAUUGGUAGCGACUCUCGUUUAAAUUUCCGUUUUCAAACCAACAUCGACCCUUUUAAAAAAAAUGGUUUCAAUAUUAAGUUAUAAGUUGAAUGAAUUAAAAAUAUGUGAAAAGUGUAAAUAAAGACUCUUCAAUCUCAUUUCCUCUAAUGCUCUUUUUUUUUUAAUCAGAGAAGUUGUAAUUGAUUGGAAUGAAAUUAAUAAUCGCCUUAUUAUUUCACUUUUUUUCUUCAUAUGUUUGGCGUCAGUAUGAUACAGGUUGGACUGAUCUUAAAGUUGAAGUAAAACGAUAUCAAACAAAAACCAUUCUGGUUUUUAAAAUUAUGAGUCCAAAUCAAUCCAAUUAGUUUAACUAGAUUUUAAUGUCUUAUGUGUUAUGAUGAUGAAGCAAGUUGAUCAAGGGACUUGCUUCAUCUUUCAAAAUAUGAGUUGCUUAAGAGCCCUGUUUGACGCUUUUUUUUUUCUUAAAUUACAAACGAAAAGGUAUUUUUUUAAAAAAAAUUAACUUAAUGAAUUUUUUAUAGAUAUAAAUUUCCUGCAAAGUUAUUCUUUUUUAAAAAAUAUUUUUUUAAUUUUUUAUAUACCUUUUAAAUAGUUAAUGAAAAUAAGAGUUUUCAUUUCGAAAUGCAAAAGCCAAAAAUAGUUUUUGACUACAAAAGCUGUGUGUUCUUCAUCACUUCUGCAGUGGAAAAACACUUCUGCAGUGUAAAAACACUUUUAACCCAAAACGGGUUUUCACCUAAGUAGAGAAUCCACCCUAAAAUUGUAAAUAGAAAAAGGAAGGACCAAACAUUGUUUCUACCCUGUUUUUGUCUCCUCUUUGAAAAUACUUUCCAAAAAGUUUUAUCAUUUUCUUUUUAUUAAGUUUUCUGUUGGAUCUUAUAGUCAAAUUCCUUUACAUCAUGUACGUUAAUUUGCUUCGCUCUGAUAAAUGUUACAUAUAGGGUUAUCAGCUAAUUAGGAAAGACUGAUGAUAGUCACACCUUACAUCCAAAAGCAAAGCUUUUUUCACAUGUGUAUGUAAGGUUGCUAAGCAAAUCUGAUGAGCCUUCACUGAUGUUUUAAGGUUUAAGUUGAUGUUCUGUUGGUGCAACAACAGAAUCAAGCAAACUCAGCAAGUAUCUUGUCGAGCAAGCCUCGAAACUUGCUGAGCAAACAAACAAUUUCGAGUUAAAGAAAGAAGAGAAUAAGCUGGGGAAAUUUGAGAGAAUAAUAUUGAUGAACAAAACUGAUUUCAUUCAUACAUAAAACAAUGGCUUGAAGCCAGUACAUAACUCAAGCAUAAGGCUUGUCAAAAUCAACAAGUAAUUACCUACCUCCACUAAUUACAUAGAAACUUGAAAUCUUAGCUUGUAAACUUAUACAAAACUGUGUUUACAGCUCAUACAUAAGCUAAUUACAUCAAUCAGAAAGCUAACUUAGUUAGAAAUGAACUAACACUCAUUUCAUCAACUAAAUAUAACAAAAUGAACAAAAUGAGCUUGCACCAGCAGCCCUUGCAUCUGUUCCAGCUUUGCUUGGUCUUCAUGGCCUGUAUGGAAUCGAGUGUUGGCUUCAUGCUGACCAACUUCAACACUCCUCCUUGGUUAGCAUGGUGCAAACACCUAAUUUUCUUCUUAAAUGCUCAAACCUUGUGACAUUAAGGGCUUUAGUCAAAAUGUCUGCAAGCUGGUCCUCUGAAUUGCUGUGAAUUAGCUUCACUUCCUGAGCUUGCUCCAUUUCUCGAACAACAUAUAGCUUAAUGCUAAAAUGCUUUGUUCUUCCAUGGAACACAGGAUUUUUGGCAAUUGCAACAGUAGAUUGAUUGUCACAGAAGAUCUCUGUUGCUUCCCUUUGAUCCAUAUUCAAAUCAGCCAGGAUUUUCCUAAGCCAAAUGGCUUGGUUGACAGCACUUGCUACUGCCACAUACUCUGCUUCAGCAGUAGAUUGUGCCACCAGACUUUGCUUCUUCGAGCUCCAGCAGAACAUAGCUGAACCAAGGUUGAAAGCAUACCCUGAGGUGCUUUUCAUGUCAUCUAUCGAUCCAGCCCAGUCACUAUCAGUGUACCCAACUAGAUUUAGAUUUCCUUUCCUGCUGUACCUUAAGCCAUAGUCCAAAGUGCCUUUGACAUAUCUGAGCACUCUCUUGGCAGCCUGGAAAUGCUUCUCAUUGCAACAAUGCAAGAACCUUGAGAGCAAUCCUACAGCAUACAUUAUGUCUGGUCUAGUGGCAGUCAAGUAUAGCAAACAACCAACUAGACUCCUGUAGGUAGUUUCACAUACCUUCUCAAAAUCUCCUUGGCUCGAUAGUUUUUCUCCAACAGCAACAGGUGUUUUAGUUGGUUUGCAGUUUUGCAUGGAGAACUUGGUCAGAAUCUUUGUGGCAAAGCUCUUCUGACUUAAAAAUAUCCCAUUCUGUGCUUGAGUCACCUCCAUUCUAAGAAAAUAGGACAUCUCCCCAAGAUCAGACAUUUCAAACACCUCUUGCAUCUUGGUCUUGAAAUUAACCAGCACUGCUUGAUCUCCUCCUGUCACCAGCAGGUCAUCAACAUAUAGGGACACAAUGAGUUGUGUUUGUGUCCCUUGCUUCUUGACAUACAGUGUUGGCUCACUCUUGCUUCGAUUGAAUCCCAGAUCAGUCAAGUAGCCAUCGAUUCUGCUGUACCAGGCCCUUGGAGCCUGUUUUAAGCCAUAUAGGGCCUUCUUCAAUUUGUAGACCAUAUGCUCUCUGCCAGCUAUUUCAAACCCUUGUGGUUGUUCAACAUAGAUGUCUUCAUCUAAGAAACCAUUCAGAAAGGCUGAUUUCACAUCAAGUUGAUGGAUCUUCCAUUCGAGCUGUGCUGCUAAGGCAAUCAGCAGUCUGAUGGUGUCGAGCCUGGCCACUGGUGCAAAGGUCUCCAAGUAGUCCAAGCCAUACCUCUGACUGAACCCCUUGACCACUAGCCUUGCUUUUAGCUUGUUCAAGGUACCAUCAGCAUUCUGCUUGGCUUUGUACACCCAUUUCACCCCAAUCACCUUCCUUUUGACUGGCCUUUCAACCAAUUUCCAGGUCUGGUUCUUCUCAAUCAUGCUGAUCUCCUCAGCCAUUGCCUGCUUCCACCCUUGUUGAGCCUCAGCCUCUUCAAAGUUGCUUGGUUCAGCUAUGGCUACAUGAGCCCUUUCAUAAACCUCAGCCAAUGACCUUGUUCCUCUGACUGGUUCAUCAUCAAUAUCCAUUUCAGGGACAUUUUGGUCUGGCUCAGCUUGGUCUACUGCAAGUUCUUCAGAAACUUCUUCAGGUUCAUGUCUUUCCCAGUUCCAACAUGACCUCUCAUCAAAUACCACAUCCCUGCUUAUUGACACUUUGUUUGUUGAAGGAUCUAAAAUCCUAUAGCCCUUCUUAACAGUGCUAUACCCCACCAAAACACCAGGUCGAGCCCUUUCAGACAAUUUGUCCCUUUUAACAGCAGGUACAUGUGCAUAACAGAUGCAUCCAAAGACCUUCAGAUGAGCCAAUGAUGGCUUGAAGCUAAACCAGGCCUCGAAUGGGGUCUUUUGAUCCAAAGCCUUGGUUGGAAGUCUAUUUUGAAUGUAUGUUGCAGUGUUAACUGCUUCUGCCCAUAGUGCUUUAGGCAGAUUUUUCUGAAUCAUCAAGCACCUGGCCAUAUCCAUCAAACUCCUAUUCUUCCUUUCACUUACCCCAUUCUGCUGAGGUGUAUAUGUGUUGGUAAGUUGAUGUUUGAUGCCUGCCUUAUCACAGAAGGCUUGGAACUGAGCUGAGGUGUACUCAGUCCCAUUAUCAGACCUUAUGGUCUUCAGUUUGCAGCCUGUUUCAGUCUCAGAAGCAGUCUUGAACUUCCAAAACACUGAGGCCACUUCUGAUUUCUGUUUUAAAAAGUAAAUCCAGCAAUAUCUCGAGAAAUCAUCAAUGAACAGUAUGAAAUACCUGUUUCCACUUAAUGACUCAGUCUUCAUAGGGCCACACACAUCAGUAUGCACCAGUUGGAGUUUUUCAGAGGCUCUUCAGGCUUGAUUCGAGGGAAAAGGGAGUCUGGCCUGCUUUCCUAGCUGACAAACAUCACAUACAUCAUCAUGGUCCACUGAGUUGAUGAAAUUUUCAGCCAGGUCCUCUCUGACCAUUCGAGCCAUCGAUCUGAAGUUGGCAUGUCCCAGUCUUUGAUGCCACAGCUUGGAUUCAUCUGAAGUGGCUGUGUAGGCAAUGUCUGACUUUUUUGUCCAGUCAACCACAAAGCUCUUAUCAGCCAUAGGGACUGCCAUCAGUUUGGAUCCACUUGGAUCACUGAUUUGGCACUGGUGGUCUUUAAACACAACUGAAUAACCUUUUUCCAGCAACUGAGCUAUGCUGAGGAGGUUUCUGUCAAUUUCAGGCACCAACAGCACAUUUGAAAUCACUUUGGUACCUGUAAUGGUGCAUAUCAGCACAUCACCCUUGCCUUCAGCUUGAAUAAAAUGACCAUUUCCUAUUUUGACUUUAGUUCUGCAGCUUCUGUCUAAAGACUUGAAGAUUGCAGCAUCAGGUGUCAUGUGGUUGGUGCAUCCACUGUCUAGGAGCCAACCAGAUGAGAGCCUUUCCUGAGCAGCUGAGCAUGACACAGCAAAGACUUGCUCCUCUUGGUCACUGUCCUCCUUAGCUACUCGAGCCUCAGCUUUCAUCUGUUGAAACUGAUUUUGCCUCGAUUUGGUCUUACUCUUACAGACUCUCUCAACAUGACCCUUCUUCUUACAAUGCUGACACACAGCAUCUGGAUUGAACCAGCAUUUUUCUUCUGAAUGACCAGCCUUUCUGCAGUGCUUGCAAGUCUGACCUUCUCUCCUUGCAGCAUCAUUCUUUGGCUUGUCUCUCCAGGCCUUCUUGCCUUUGUAGGCAGUAUUUGUUCUUGCCUGAAAGGCACCUUCUUGGUGCUCCUCCAGUCUGCUUGCUCUCCUCUGCUCUUGAGCAUAUAGAGCAUUGAUCAACUCUGUCAGGGAGAUGGUGGACAGAUCCCUUGAGUCCUCGAGAGAUGAGAUUUUUGCCUCAUACCUCUCAGGCAGAGUUGCUAUAACCUUCUCCACUAUCCUAGCUUCAUUGAACUGCUCUCCAAGGAGCCUGAUGCUGUUAACCACAGCCAUAAUCCUGUCAGAAUAUUGCUUGACAGUUUCUUCUUCCUUCAUCUUCAAAUUCUUGAAAUCUCUCCUCAAGUUUAACAACUGUUUCUGCCUUGUCCUCUCUGUCCCUUGAAACUCUUCCUGCAACUUGUCCCAGGCCUGUUUUGGUGAUUCACAGGCCAUAAUCCUUGUGAAAAUCACAUCAGACACUGAGUUUUGGAUGCAAGACAUAGCUUUGUGCCUCUUGGUCCUUUCAUCAGCAUGCUGCCUGAUCUGAGCCACUGUUGGAUUAGCUCUAAGUGGCUCUGGUUCAACAUCAAAGUUGACCACCUCCCACAGAUCGAAAGCCUGCAGGUAGGUCUUCAUUUUGACCACCCAUAUGUGAUAGCCUUCUCCAUUGAAGACUUGAGGUGCAGCUGGUGAAAAGCUUGAUGAAGCCAUGGAAUUGAGUAACAGAUCCCUUAAGAAAUAGGCUCUAGAUACCAAUUGUUGGUGCAACAACAGAAUCAAGCAAACUCAGCAAGUAUCUUGUCGAGCAAGCCUCGAAACUUGCUGAGCAAACAAACAAUUUCAAGUUAAAGAAAGAAGAGAAUAAGCUGGGGAAAUUUGAGAGAAUAAUAUUGAUGAACAAAACUGAUUUCAUUCAUACAUAAAACAAUGGCUUGAAGCCAGUACAUAACUCAAGCAUAAGGCUUGUCAAAAUCAACAAGUAAUUACCUACCUCCACUAAUUACAUAGAAACUUGAAAUCUUAGCUUGUAAACUUAUACAAAACUGUGUUUACAGCUCAUACAUAAGCUAAUUACAUCAAUCAGAAAGCUAACUUAGUUAGAAAUGAACUAACACUCAUUUCAUCAACUAAAUAUAACAAAAUGAACAAAAUGAGCUUGCAUCAGCAGCCCUUGCAUCUGUUCCAGCUUUGCUUGGUCUUCAUGGCCUGUAUGGAAUCGAGUGUUGGCUUCAUGCUGACCAACUUCAACAUGUUCCUUUUCGGCAAAGAACAUUAUCGAGAUCACAGAAUUUUGAUCGCCUUUUGCUUGUUAUGUUAUUCGUUCUUAAACGAUUGCAUAAUCUUUACUGUGAUUGCAGGAUAUAGAGGAACUUUUGAAUUUCAUCGGUGUAACGAGUUUAGGACCUUGGCAUGUUCUUGCAAAUUUGAAGGAGCUUCUAAGGUCUGUCCAGUCUUCAGAAUAUAUAGAUACCUGAAUUAAUUUUGAUUUUGUAGGAUCAACUAUAAUUAGCUACUUAUUACAGUAUGAAUAGACAACCUGACCUUCUUCACACACGACACAUGUGCGGAUUUUUUUACCAAUCCCAUUUCAUUAAAGAAAAAAAAGAGCUUUAAAAAAGGAUCACACUUUUUUGUUGUUUACAGAAUCAUAAUGUUAAUUAGAGUGGAAUAUUUCAGAUUUCUGAUAAUGAGUAUAUUAUUGAGUAUUGCAGUAAAAAAAUGGGUGUGCAACUUAUUUGAACUUUGAAUGUAUGUUUUGUUGGUGAGAAUAUAAAGUUGAUAAAGAUUUGGUAAAUAGAAUAAAAUACUAUUUUUUAUUAGAAAAAAUAUUUGGUACACUGCCAAUCGAGUUAUAAUUAUCAUGACACAAUAUUAAGGGUAAUUAAAACAUGUCAUAUUACAAAUAAUAAAAUUAUAAUGACUCAAAUCUGCAAACAUGUCAAAAUUUACGUACAAUGAAUUAUUAACAUGUAAAUGUAUAAUAUGGUAUGCAAAAAUAAGAUCAUUGCUUGUUUUUUAAAUUGAAUUGUUAUAACAUAUUGUACAAAAUACAUUGUGAAUUAAGGCAUUCUAUGAACAUGAUAUCAAAAUAUUAAAUUUUUUUAAAAUUCGAUGAUAUGAAUAAUUAUGUAAAAUAUAACAUGAUACAAAAUAACUUGAAAGGAAAAGAGGAAUAAAGAAUUGCAUUGUUUUUGAGGUUUUAAAAUAUUUCAGUUUUAGAUUCAUUUUUCUAGUAUGUUUGGUUUAAUUUUACAUUAGAUUUCCUUUACAGUAUGCACUAGUGAACGCUUAGUAUUCAAUUUAAUUUAAUUCAAAGAGAUAUUGCAUAUACAUAAUAAUGGAUUAUGAUUUUACAUUAAAUUUCAUAGAAGAAAAAAGAAAUAGAUGGUUGAAAAUGAUAAAAUCAUAAGAUAAAAGAGCUUUUAUUUAAAAUUCAAAAAUCAACAAAAUAUUCAUUAUCGCUCAACUUAGCAUAAUUAAACAUUUAGGUGUGAAAAUCAAAUUACAAUUUGAGUAGCUAAACACAUUGCUUGAAAAUGUGAUAAGUAAGAAAAUUGCCCACAUUUGAGUAGCGACAGGUGGUGAUGCAUUUCCCAAUGAGAGAAAACCAAACUCUUCGCCAGUAUGGAUUUAUGUAGAGGACAACAAAAAUUGUCAACAACACAACUACAUAAGAAACCAAAAAGCUCACACAAAAAUCAUAAGUACCUAUCAAACCAUCUUCUCCUUUAUCUUCUGAUACAGUUGAUAUCGUUGAUGGUGAAUCGGUUUUGGAACAACUUUUAUGCAAUAUAGCUCCACAAAGAAAAAGAUUUCCCUCAUAACUGUUUUCAAUAAAGGUCCCAAAUUGAGCUUUUGGUUCGGGAAUACUACCUGACAAGUUGUUGUAUGCCACGCUGAAAACCUCCAAAGAGUUCAACUCUACCAACUGGUUGGGGAUUUCACCACUCAAAUUGUUGUAAGAAAGGUCCAAACUCUCAAUUUGAUGAAGUUUUGCGAAUGAUGAGGGUAUAACUCCUGUCAACUUAUUAUGCGACAAGUUUAAAGAAUAGAUUUCACUUAAGUUCCCUAAUUCUGGUGGGAUAUGACCAGUUAAGUUGUUGCAAGAUAAAUCAAUCCCGGUCAUAUAUGUAAGGAUGUUUCCCUCGUACGAUAAGAACCCACUCUUUGUUGUGAACUCUAUUACUUCUUCUAAGUAGCCUUCAGGAUAGUAAUAAUUUCCGAGAGCUCCCAAUGUUUUCACUAAUCCGUCCCCUGUUAACCUUGGACUAAUUUUCGAAUCAGUUAGAAUCUUAUUUGUUUCCGUUGAAAGGGUUAAAUUUCCCAAACAAGAAGGUAUAAUACCAGAAAACAUAUUUUGAGAAAGAUCUAUGAUGUUUAAAGAAUCCAACUUGCAUAACUGAACUGGAACUUCACCAUGAAAAUGAUUAUCUUUCAAGAGAAGAACACUCAAUGAAGAAAGUGUGCCAAUCCAUUUUGGAAUACUACCAGUCAAAUUGUUUCCUCUAAGAUCUAACGUAACCAGUGAAGAGAUAUUAUAAAAAGCGAUUGGUAGUGGGCCACUUAGUCUACUCCCGUGCAGGUGGACAUGCUUUAUGUUUAGGGUAUUAAAGCAGGACGGUAUAGAGCCAAAUAAAUUGUUUUCAGAGAGAUCCAAAAAUUCCAAGCGAUUCAAGUUGCAAAAUUCCAUUGGAAUAGAACCCUCGAAACCAUUUUGGGACAAAGCUAAUCUCUUCAAAAAUGACACAUUCCCCGUCCAUCUUGGGAGGUUUCCAUAAAACUUGUUAUUUCCGAGAUUAAUUUCCCUUAGUGAAGUUGGAAACUCAGAAAUAGAGACAUCAACAUUUGCCAUCUCCCCAGAAAAAUUAUUUCCAUCCAAAUAUAAUUUUGACAGCCUAUUUGCAUUGAGAAUCACAGGAAGCACAUGUCCACUGAGGUUGUUGUUUGAUAGUCUCAAAAUGGUCAACGAGUUUUUUGUGAUUAACUCUUCAGGUACUCUUCCAGACAAUUGAUUGUCUGAUAAAUCUAAAAUCGAUAAAUCCUUCAUGCCACUCAAACAAGGAGGGAUAUCACCUUCGAAGGCAUUCUUGGAUAAGAAUAAGUGGCUCAAAUGUGGAAAAUGUGAACACACGUUGGUUGGAAUCUGACCUUGCAAUUUGUUUUGGGAUAUGUCAAUUAAAGACACUUUAGAGUUAGGAGCUGACGGUAAUGUGAGAGGACCGGUAAAUGAAUUACCCUUCAAGAUGAGAUCUUCUAACUUCGUGUUGUUUUCUAACAACCAAGUUGGGACUGUUCCGCUGAAAUUGUUAUGAGAAAGAUCCACAUAUCUCAAGUCAUAUUGGUAGUAAAGGAAGGUAGGAAGCUUACAACUGAGCUGUUGAGAUGUUAUGCACUUUGGCAAACUAAUGACUUCCAAUUGGAACUUUGGGAUUGAGGUAUAAAAGGAAGGUUCCGUUACCAUCUUGUUUUCAUUACUCAAGAGGGCUUUGAGGUUUGAAAGGUUUGCAAAUGGUGCGAAAGACAACGGAAUUUGAAAAUGGUUUCCUGAAAUAUAUAACCCACGAAGAGAUGUCAAGUUACUGAAACAAUGAGGAAGCAUCCCCUCAAGUGCAUUCCCACUCACAUCCAACACUUCAAGGUUCCUUAGAUCACACCAUCCUGAAAAAUUUAUAAAUUCAUUGAAGAAAUUUUAAUUAAAUUUGAUCCUAUUAAACAGAAUAGGAGAUAUUAUAUCCCAAAAGGCUCAUAAAGAAGUCAAUUUGACCCAUAAAUUUAUUUACCAUGAUUAGGUAAGGGACCGAUAAGUCCACAAUCAUAUAACGACAGAGUUUUAAGAGAACUGAGUACUCCAAUGCCUUGCAAAAUGUUGGUGUUGAGAGUAGAAUGGUCAAGAUAUAAUUCCUCCACAUUGCUCGACACAUUUAAUUCUAAAGGAUGAGAAGAGGUAUUAGAUGUUAAUCAAACGUAAUCUGUUUUGGAAAAGAAAAUCAUGUUCAGAUAAUGGUAUUGUAGAUAAAAGGUUUUAACUGAUGAGAAAGCCUCCACUAAAUUUUGUAAUGGAAUGCUUCCAUCGGUGAAAACGGAUGAAGAUAAAGAACUUUCAAAUUUCUCAAUCCCUUAUUUUCUGUAAGUGAAAGAAAUAUAUAAAUAUUUGUUUUCAUGAAUAAGAUAAAAGUUUAAUAGAGAAUGUCCAAAUCUUAACAUAACUAUUCAUUCAUUUUAUUAAUUAAUAAACUAAUCCUUUUUUAGCAUUCUAAGAUAAAAUAUAAUUUCAAAAUAAUUUGAUCUAGAUUUAAAUAGAUGAGCAUAUUCUUUUAAAAUCUCAAAUAUGUUUGAAAUCAAUUUAACAUUUAACCUUAAUGUUAGUAUUUGGUACUGGUAAUGGAGUUUUUUAACUCUACAAGUGAAGUUAAAAAAUGGCCACUAACCUAUUUCUUUUAAAUAUUUAUUUUUUAAUAUUUUACUAUACCAUAUAAGAUAUUUGUUAUUAUCUCAAUCCUACUUAUGAAGUUUAGAAUUGUUACUAUACCAUAUAAGAUAUUUGUUACUAUACCAUAUAACAUUAUUAUAUUCUUGUUAAAAAAACUAAUAUUUUUACCUUUCAUAUCUAUUGAUCCUUUCAAUUCAUUGCCCCAUAGGCUCAAAGAUUUCAAAUUUGAAAGCUUGUUAAGGGAUGCAAAUACACUAGUAUUGAAGAGAUUGUCAUCUAAAUAAAGCUCUUCCAAGUGGGUCAACUCCAAUUUUCUACCACCAUCUACAAAAGAUUUAUAUAAUUUCAUCACUGAAAUGAAUUGGCAUAAAAUUUAAUUAUAUGUAAGAAUUUAGGUAAUUGGUUAAAUAUAAAUGCAUACCUUUAAAGGAUUGAAAGCUUUCAAUUUGAUUCCCACCUAAAUCGAGUUUCUUCAAAUUUGUUAAAUUGUUCAAUCCUAUACAUAUCCACGUACAAUUCAAAAAAUCAUUAUGUUAAUAAUUUUAAUUUCUACUUAAUAUUUUAAUGAAAUAAAAAUGAAAAAGAAAGUAAAUCUAAAACUUGAAGUGAAGAUGAAAAUCCUCAAACGUGAAAUGUGAAUGUUCAAAAUUAAAACAAUUAAUUUUAAAAGGUUCUAGAAAGAAUUAUCAAGAAAAACAAAGUUAUAGCUUUAGUACCUUUAGUAUCUAAUGAGCCUUACAAAUCGUUGCCGUACAAAGUCAAAGACUUUAGGCUUGAAAGCCCUUGCAGAAAGGAAAUUGUGUUGUUCCGAAAGAGAUUACCACUCAAAUCAAGUACCUCUAAGUUUGUUAGCCUCAAUUGUGUUCCAUCUAUCAUUGGAAGAAAAUAAUGAGUAUAGUUAAUAUCAUCCAAGAUAUAAAUAGUUAGGAAAAAUGAUUGUUUGAGAAGGAAGAGGCAAUUUACAAGCUUUCCCAUGAAUUGAUAACUACAUUUUACAAGUAAAACUUAAUUGAUUCAAUAUAUAAAUACUUUGUUUGAGAUACCUUCCUACUUUAAUUACUCAAUCCCAAAUAUUGAUUACUUAUAUAUAUUCAUGAUAUGAUAAAAGCAAAUGACUUAUUAAUUGCAACAGCUUUUCCUUCAACAUGAAUUUAAUGCUAUUCUUCAAAUAAUUCCAACUUAUAUCAAUAAUCUCCAAUCUAAUGAGCCAUUGAAAACCUGAUUUAUAUAUUAUAUAAUUAGUUACUACAAAACAUAAAUAAAUAAUAAUACUCCAUUUUUGCAAUAAAAAUUCACUAAAGAAAAUACAUUUGAAGUCUGUCAUUGCCUUUUGGAAUAAUAGUCAGUCAAGAAAGUUACUACGCACAAAUACUUAUACCUUUGUUUGAGAUGCUUUCAAUGUUAUUGUAACUUAAAUCCAAGUACUUCAAAUUUGUCAAAUUAUUCAAUCCUGAAAUUCAAUCCCAAAUAUUGAUCAGUUAUAUAUAUAUAUUCAUGAUAUGAUAAAAGCAAAGACAUAUUGCAACAUUAACUGUCCCUUAAACAAAAAUUGGUUUUAAAGUAAAAAAGAAACAUAUAAAACCAGUCUACCUUUAAUAUGAAUUGACAUAUAAAUACUGUACUUAUACCUUUGUUUGAGAUGCUUUCAAUUCUGUUCCAACUUAAAUCCAAGUAUUUCAAGUUUGACAAAUUAUUCAAUCCUGAAAUUCAAUCCCAAAUAUUGAUUAGUUAUAUAUAUUCAUCGUAUGAUAAAAUCAAACUUGAACAUACAUUGAUUUUUAAAUCAAGGAUGAAAGAUUUCUCAUAUGGAACAAAAUGCUAUUCUUCAAAGAAUUCCCACUUAAAUCAAGAGUUUCCAAGUUAUUGAGUCUUGAAAGCAAUUGAAAACCUGAUAUAUAUAUAUUUACUUGUUAAUUGUUUUUUCUUUCUUAGCCAUAUGAAAAUUUUACUAAAGCAAAAGUGGAAUUAGAACGGAUAAAAAGAAUGGAAAACUAGGUACCAAGACUAGAAGACCAUCCUCAAACUCCACUAUACAAAUGACUUAUUGCAACAACAUUUCCUUCAACAUGAAUUUAUUUUAAAGAAUGCUAUUCUUCAAACAAAUCCAACUUAUAUCAAUAAUUUCCAAUUUAAUGAGCCACUGAAAACCUGAUUUAUAUAUUAUAUUAUUAGUUACCACAAAACAUAAAUAAAUAAUAAUACUCCAUUUUUGCAAUAAAAAUUCACUAAAGAAACAUAUUGAAUAUAAAUAAUAAUACUCCAUUUUCCAAUUUAACAUAUUGCAACAUUAAUUUUCCCUUAAACAAAAUUUGGUUUUAAAGUAAAAAAGAAACAUAUAAAACCAGUCUACCUUGAAUAUGAAUUGACAUAUAAAUACUAUACUUAUACCUUGGUUUGAGAUGCUUUCAAUGUUGUUCCAACUUAAAUCCAAGUACUUCAAGUUUGUCAAAUUAUUCAAUCCUGAAAUUCAAUCCCAAAUAUUGAUUAGCUAUAUAUAUUCAUCGUAUGAUAAAAUCAAACUUGAACAUACAUUGAUUUUUAAAGUUAAAAAGAAACAGGCAAAAUCAGUCUACCGUGAAUAUGAUCCAGCCUUCCUUUCAACUGAUUAGCGCUCAAUCUUAAAGUCUUCAAGGAUGAAAUAUUUCUCAUAUGGAACAGAAUGGUAUUCUUCAAAGAAUUCCCACUUAAAUCAAGAGUUUCCAAGUUAUUGAGUCUUGAAAGCAAUUGAAAACCUGAUAUAUAUAUAUAUAUAUAUGUAUAUAUAAUUACUUGCUAAUUGUUUUCUUCUUUCUUCGCUAUAUGAAAAUUUUACUAAAGCAAAAGUGGAAUUACAACGAAUAAAAAGAAUGGAAAACUUGGUACCAAGCCUAGAAGACCAUCCUCAAACUCCACUAUACAAAUAAAAACUAACAUCAGACCAAACUUAAUUUACCUCUUAGAUGACUUGAUCCUUCAAAUUUGUUGAUUGAUAGAUCUAAAUACCGGAGAGAUGAAAGCUCACUCAAAGAUAACAAAAUGCUAUCAUUCAAGUAAUUUUCACUUAAGUCAAGGAUCUCCAAAUUACUCAAUGUGGAU
rnacentral:lncRNA from 1 species